CAGCUACAAUAUCUCAAAAGCUCAGCCAUGAUAGCAAAACCACACCAGAUGCUGAGAAUAUGAUUCCAAUCAAAGGAGUCCCAUAUCAAGACCUCUUAGCAAAAAACUCAGGUAGCAUUCCACGCUCAGCCAUCCCCAAAAGUUGGAAGAGUCGCUGCUCAUCUCAGCCACAAACAUGCCCAUAUUGGACAUUGCUGCAGCCCCCUGGAUGCACCAUCUCAACCAAACUCCUCCAAGCACUUUAGCGAUAUCUGAAAAGUAACCAUCGGUCCACAAGUCGCGAUCUAAUGGAAUAGCUCCAGUUCCAACUAGAAGGGGAAAGAAAUAUCCAAAAACGACCAAGAUCAAAGCAUAAAACAAAGCCUUUGGAAGAGUCUUCUUUGGGUUAUCCACCUCUCCAGCUAGUGUACUUAUUGAGUCCCAGUAGUUGGAGAUUCCAAAACAGGGUGUUCAAAUACAAAUUCCAGUCCACUUCACCUAAAUUUACUACAAGCCAUCUUGAAGGCUCUAACUUGGGAAGGGACACAAGUCCCAUAACCGCAAAAGGAAGGAAUGAGAAAAUCCCUAAAAGAACAGCAGCCCAUCCCACAAUGGUUAGACCCCUAUAGUUCAUGAAAGUGAGAACAAAAGUCAAAGCUAACGCCGCAAAGGCUCUAGGUAACCCAUCGCCCAAAGCAGGGAUACCAGACUUCAAGUAGUCAAGAAACAGAACUGGGUAUAAAGCAUUAUCAAUAACCCCACUAAGCCAUUUCAUCCAAACUUGCUGAAAACCCCAAUAUGGGCCUAAGGCAGAUGAAACCCAAACCACAUAACCACAAUUUUCAGGAAACACGGUACCCAUCUCGGCAGUAAUUAAAGCUUCAGGGACACUCCAUAUAAUCGGAAACACCAAGAAACCAAGAAGUGCUAAAAGAGGACCAGCUGCCUUUACACUAUCCUCAACACCAAACGGCCCCCCAGAAACCUCAUAGAAUAUAAGGAAAAUAAGUGGCAAGAUUGAUACUUUUUUAGCGCCAUGGACUCUAGGAGAAGAUGGUUGGUCAUUGAUAUUAACAUAUUCAACAGCAUCAGACUGCCCCAUUUCUACUGAAAGUUGCCUAUUCACAGUGUUCCUCAAUUUCUGCAUCAAGUUUAAGCAUAACUAUCAAAAGGGUAUCGGCAUCUAAAUUAUGAAACAAAAUGAGCAUUUACUUAUUAAAAAAAAUCAAAAAAACAGAAAUGGAUUUCACAGAACACAUGAAUUUAAGUUCAACAUUAAACAGGCGCUUAAGAAAACAAAAGGGUCUGGUCGUAAAGCCAUCAGAUUGCAAGAUUGAACAACAUUAACGGAAUCAAUAGAAUCGAUGUAAAGAGAUCUGAAAAGAAAAUAAAAUAAAAGAUGAAGAGAGAUAAAACGACCCAUCAAAUAAGUGCAUGCAGAGCAGAGAGGCAGAUACUAGAGAAGCUCCGUCAUGUUAGAGAGAGCCUAAAUCAAUCAGAGCUCACUGAGUUUCUUUUCAACUGACCGGCAAAUUUGGAGUAGCAUGACAUAAUAUUUUUGCUUUUAAUUUUCGGAACACUUUUGAAUGGAAUUUUUUGUUUUUCAAAACUAACGAAAUCGUAAAAAUAAAUAAACACGUGUUUGGUUUUGGGCUUCUUCUUUUGUUCAUUUAAUAUCAUUUGGUUCCCUGAUUUUUGACUAAUUAUCAACGGUAUCCUGUUAGUUUCCAAAUUGAAAUAAUAUUAGGUCAUGAGAUUAUUUACUCCAUUUAGCACUGUAGACUUAAUAGUAUAUUGAAAAAGCUUUGUCAAAUAGUAGUAAUAGGGGCAUAAGAAAUAAGUUCUUCAGAAUUUAGAUAAUAUACUUGGCUCUAGGAAGAUUCCCCUCUUAUCGCUCAAGUUAGGCUUUUACCUUAGAGUUGAGUAAAUCAUUAAAAUAAAUUAUAGCUAUCACAAAUUCGUCAGGGGACUUUCAAUUUUUUUCCAUCAAAUGGAAAUGAGGCAAAAUUACCUCAGCUUAUAUUGCAAAACUAAUACUUCAAAUUCUGACAAUAAAUUUGAUGACAGUCGAUUUUAUGUAUAGUAAUUUUGACUCUUUUGUUUGGUCUAAAAGUAGUUAUUUAAAAUGGCAAUGAUGACUUAUUUAGAAGAAAUGAUAAACUUAUAGUUCGUAAUAUUAUUUACGCAACUAAUAAAGACUAAUUUGAUAAUAAUCUUUCAAAUAAUAAUGAAGUGUUAAUUACUAUUUAAUAUUUUUUAUUAAUUUCUAAAUUUAAAACAAAUAUGAAAGUUGAUUGCUUCGAAGGUUGGAUCGUGACAAAUUGACAAAUGAAAAGAGAAGUAGAGAAUAUAUAUUCUGAUGAAAGGGACAAGAUUAAGCAAGGGGACAAUAUUCUCUAUUGGACCGACAAAUGGGGGAAAAGAAUAUAUAUAUAUAUAAUUUCUUAUUUGUGGAUUGGCCAACACGUGUAACAAAUAUGAAAAGAUAAAAUUUGGCGUGGUUUUAACCGAUAUAAGACAAGAAGAACAAAGCAAAGCCCAUGAAAAUUCACCUUUCAUGUGGGUUGGAUCGGAUAAAAUCAAUAUCUUGAAUCAAACAAAAUGUUUGGUACAUAAAGUUUUUUUUUUUUUUUUUACAUGAUAUUCGAUUUUUAUCCCUCGAAUUUUUACAUGAUAUUAGAUUUUUAACCCUCACUAAUAAUCGAGAGAUGUCUACUCCUCAUUUUUGGGUAAGGGAGAAAACUACAUUCACUUAAUUAUAAUUGAGGAAGGAAAUACCCCCCAUUACACUUGUGGGGGUUCAAACUGUUGCCCUCCAACUUGGAGUGCAGCAGCACUGACCACUCGGCCAAAGUCUGAGUGGCUGGUACAUGAAGGUUUUGAGUGUGUGUAAUGAGCAAGAAUUUACAUAACGAUAUUUUAGUAAAUAUAAGAAAAAAAGGCUCAGGGAAUGGCCUAUAGAUAGAAGCACGCAGCCCAUGAGUGAUGAGAAUACAAUUUAACUGUUCAAACUAAUUAGAAGCAAAUUCUUUCAUAUCUUUCUUUAAUUUUUCCGCUUAGUUCCUUAGCAUCCAAUCAAGUUCAAGUUAAAACACUGUUGAGACAACAAUAUGCAGGCAUCAAUAAGCAUAGUAGUUUUUUAUAUGUAUUCUAUACGAUAUUUGAGGGAUGUCAAUUGUAGAACAUUUUGCAGCAACUUUUUUACAUUAACUAAUGUUUGAAGAACUUGUUAAAAAAAAUGGUAAUUUUAUAAUUUUGAAAAAAAAAGAGUGAAAGUGACGUUACCUCAUUGUCAUUAGAGACUUGUUGCAAUGAUAGCUCAAAAUUAAAAUUUUUGAAGAAUUAGUAGACAACGAUGACGUAAUAUUUAUACAGUCACCAACAUGUUGAUUUUUGUUUAAUGUUUGAUCGAUAGAAAUGUUUGUCGUCGUUGCUGUUGUUGAAUUCAUACUUAGAACACAGAAGAGAAGAAGGGAAGAAAGGGAAGAGAAGAAGAGAGAAGUGGCAUAUAGCAAAUAUGAUAUGCUAGCUACAUACCAGCCUUAGAGAGAUUUUUUUUAAUAUUUAUUAUAUUUUUGUUUUUGUUAUUGGUUUGUCAUAUGCUUCCAGGGAAGCAAUACGUUACAUCAUAAAUUGCACCUUUUAGGGGAGGUGGUAAAAAACGUGAGAGCACUACGCUCCAGCGCAUACAUAUAGAAAGAGUUUCCGAAUUUUAAAAAGUUUCUUUAUUUCUUCCAUGUUUUUGUGCUUAAAAUAAAAUUUAAUUGUAUUUUGCAUUAACUUAGAAAAGAAAAGCCAAUUCUAUAUAUAAACUCAUGCAUUAAUUAGAAGAGUUGAACUAUUGGCACCCCUCUAUUAUCUUUAUAAAAUUCCUCUCCUAUUGUAAUUACAUUAAAGGACAAAAUAAAUCUAAUUAUAUCAUUAUAUUUCUCUUUUCAACUCUUUACACCCGUGCAACUACACCAAAGUCUUUUACAAUUUUUGUUUCCUCACAAACAUUAUUUAAAAGGUAGAAAGAUGGUUAGUGCACAAUCAAAUUUUAAGCCGCUACCUCCUCGGCCCAAAAUUCAAACUUAGAUGAUAAGCCAAAUAAAAUUAUUUGAAAAUCAUUCAAUCAGGUUCCCGGGGCAAAAAUACAAGAUCCUUAUUUGCAUGAUAUAUAUGAAUUAAUGUAAUUUAUUUGAAUUAUCCAAAUUCAUUAGAGAUAAAACUAUAAAAUAUACCAAAAAAGUUAGAAGGAAGGAUGUGUUGGGAUAUUUUACAAACUAUAGGAAUCUGGUGAGAUUUUGAGCCAAACUGUAGGGAGUUGAAGGCAUUUGCCCAAUAUGUUUAGACGUACACUAACCGUUAUUUGCUCUUGUUGUUGGUCCCGGAUGAGCUGUAGUCUUAUUUUAAUUUUAUUUAAACUCACCAUAAGAUUCGCGGAGCUCCUAACUAACUUAAAUGACUCUGCAGAGCAUGUCAACACAUAGCAUGUUUAACCGUUUUAUUUGUAGAAGAAUUUAUGAUUUCCCAUUAGCAUUAUUAUUAAAGAAGUGGGGCGGGUCAAAUCUCAAUUGCUUGAAAAUUUUAUUUAUUAUUAUUAGUCUUGAAGUGGGGUGGGUAACGGUUCGCUCAAUUUGAUUUGAGGGAAUCAAAUAUAUCAUCCAAGGUAGAAUUGUGGAAAAUUAAAGCAAAAUAAGAAAUAUGGAAAGAAAAGAAGAAAGUUAAUGCAUGAAAGACAUAUACAGUUGAAAUUGAUAAUCAUGUUUCUAUUUUGUUAACUAAUCAAAUGGAAAGCUGAACUGUAAACAAACAUUAAAACGUGUGGACCAAGCUAGCUGCCCUACAAGUUUACAAUAAUAAUUGAGUACUUUGAUUCAUCCUUCUAUGAAUUUCUACCCAUAUUGACUCCACCGAAAUUUCCACAAAAUAAAAAAAAAAAAAAACUGAAUUUCCACAAAAUGCAAAACCCGUAGAACUUAAUUUUUGGUCAUGUGAACUAAGAUGUAAAUUAAAGAAAAAGUAUAAAAUUAAAAAAGAUAAGAUUUCUAAAAUGUGUGGAAGGUGAUUCAUGAUUCACUGAAAUUACUUACCCCAGAUAUAAAUGUAAACCUAUCUAAUUUCAUUAAAAAUAGUUGGAAAAAAUUAACUAAUAGAAAGCUACGGAAAUUAACCCCCCACAAAAAUGACUUUUUAUAGAAGAAUUUAUGUUUUUUAAAAUAUGUUAUCAAAGUGUAUUUGAUCAAAUCUCAAUUGCUUAGUAUGGUUAGGAUUUUGUGAACAUCACUAAAAAGUGAAAACUAUGAAUGAUAGGGGUGAUGCUUGCAAUAUGAAUAAAUAAUGGACUGAUUCAAUUGAUGAUUACAUUUAUAUAUUAUUGAUUAUUUAUGAAUUUUCAGAUUUUCGAGUGAUCAACUUAAAUCUAUAUGAAUUUAUUGUCAAAGAUGGUGAUCAUGAUGGGCAUGUGAAUAUGUUAGAAAAAACUUGCACUUGUCGGGAAUUCCAACUUGAACAAUUACCAUGUGUACAUGUUGUGGCGGUGUGUAGGCAUCGAGAUUUUUCAAUCUAUGAUUACUGCUCCUAUUACUAUUCAAGUGAUGCAUGGGUGUUAGCAUAUUCUGAGACUAUUUAUCCUGUUGGUCCUCAAGAGGGGUGGGAUGUUUCUAGUGAUGUAUGUGCCCGCGAAGUACAUCCUCCUCUAGAAAAGCGGUCAAGUGGGCGUCCAAAAAAUAAUAGAAUACCAUCUAGGGGUAAGGAAAAGGUGCCUCGUAAAUGCAGUCGGUGUGGUGGUCGUGGACACAAUCGACUCAAAUGCAUGACGCCAAUGCCGUUACAUGAGUGAUACCUUGUUUUAAAUUUAUAUGCAAUGUAAGUGUCUCAAUUCUUGGUAUUCAUUUAUGUUUUAUUUAUUUCGUUAAUGCUGUUUAAAUAUGUACUAAAUUUAACACUAUGUGUACAAGGCUUGACGGAGGAUUUAGCUUGUAUGUUGUCUUUAAAUGGUGGCAUCGUAGAUUUUUGGGUUAUGGCUUGAGUUCUUGGAGCAAUUAAAGGACUAUGCUAAGUCAUUGUAUAAGGAUUUUCGUAUUGAAAUUGCAUAAGGAUGAAUUUACUAGUUGCUAUUUAAUGUUUCUUGGAUAAGGAUCAAUUUACUAGUUGCUAUUUACUAGUUGAAAUUAUAUAAGGAUGAAAUAGAAUUGUAUUUAAUGUUUCCUGGAUAAUUUAAAGUUGUUGCAUAAAAAAGUCGAGUGUUUCCUGUUAUUUACCCGACUGCACUGAAAAAAGUCGAGUAUUUCCCGUUAUUUACUCAACUUCGAUGAAAAUAAUCUACAUUUACCCAACUUCGAGGAGAUGAGAAUUUUUGUUCAAUAUUUUGCAAGGUCACAUCAAAGUCGAGUAUUCUCGACCUCAUACCCGACUUGGAUGAGUCGAGAAUUUUCAUUUAAUCUGACGCAAUGUUACAUUAAAGCCGAGUAUUCUCGACCUCAUACCCGACUUUGGUGAGAGGAGAAUUUUCGUUCAAUGUUAGAGAAGAUUGCAAUAUAAGUCGAGUUUUCUCAACUGUUUACCUGACUUCAAUGUGGAGAAAUUUUAUUUAAUGUUAGGCAAUAUUACAUUAAAAGUCGAGUUUUCUCGACUGUUUAAGUCGAGUUUUCUCGACUGUUUAAGUCGAGUUUUCUCGACUGUUUACCCGACUUCGAUGAGGAGAAAUUUUGUUCAGUGUUAGGCAAGAUUACAUUAAAAGUCGAGUAUUCCUGACUAUUUUCCUAACUUUGCUUAAGGAAGUCGAGAGUUAAGUCAAUCAGAGGAGAAUUUUUUAGGCAAGCGUACAUUGAAGUAUGGGAAUCAAAAUACCAGACUUUGAUGAAAUAAUAACAAAAACCAAAAUAUUUAACUUAUUCACACAUUUACAACAAUACAAGUCAGUUCAUAAGGUUUUGAUUAACAUUAUCCCAAAAGUUAAACUACAAACUAAUACGAAGUCGAGUAUUCUUGAUUAUCCAAAACAAUGAACUUCUUGUCAUCAUCAAUCGUACUCCUCUAUCAACUUCUUGUCAGAAAACAACCUUGUUGCCACUUGUUUUCGGUAUGAGUUAAUGCCUGCUUGUGUACGAACGUCAUAUGGAAUGUCUAGACCAUAUACAAGUGCCUCCAAAUAAAACAUAACAAAAACCCCACAAUCAUUGCUGCAAGAGAAAAAUAGAAAGUGAUAGUUAUUUGAUAUUACAUAACUCAAGGGAUAAUAUAAGAGAGGCAACACUAUUUCUUACUUGUUUUUUUGUUGUGGGAUGUCUGAAACUCGCACAGCCUUCCACUUACGAGUUAGAGAAUUAUCAUAAGAAUGUGAAGUAUACCAUGAUAUCCUAUCUAGAAUCAAUGGCAUCAUAACUACAAACGGCAACAAUUCCUUCUCAAAUGCACUGUCAUUCAUAUAAUCUAACAUGGAGUCAUACACAAAAAUUAUCUCCUUUUGAAGGUCAAACUGUGCUAGUGCCCAAUGAUCUUGCUUAGGAUGAAGCGGAAUAUAUACCUACAGAAAAAACCAUGUAAACCACUAAAUGGAGAAAAAAAAUUAUAGUCAACAUGUCAAAUAAAUAUAAGCAACUUACUUUGGAAACAUCUUUCCAAUGAACAACACAUUUAAGUUUUUCACCCUUGGCAUAAUCAACGACAUAAUUAGUAGCAUUAUUUGUCCAUACUUUUUCAGGGUUGAUCACGUAAACUGAAUACAGAUGCUCUAACUUUCGCUAUCAUUACAAAAAACAAAAGUGUAAGUGUCUUAUAUAUUUUAUAUUUUCCUAUAUGUUUUAUAAAUGUAAUAACAAACUUACUUGAUAUAUAGUGUCCAUUAUGGCACAUCGUUGCAUACUACAAGAUGGGGAGUUGACCAAGAUGUGUCGUACAACAUAAAAAAAAGAGUCCAAGUGUUGUAUAUAAUAAACAAUAGUUAUUAUAUGCAUUGUUUAACAUAUUCAUUAAAGUACCUAACAAAAAUUAUUACUAAACAAUAUGUUUAUAACAAAAUUCAAAACAAUAUAUAGAUUCUUACACUACAAUCCUUAAUUUCAUAAAUUUACAGAACAAUAUGUUUAUAACAAAAUUCAAAACAAUAAUCAAUAAAAGGCAAAUCCAAUGAACACAAUCAAAUAACCUUUAAAAUUGAAUCAUAAUGUUUCAAAACUAAACACAUCAUUUCUCCAACCGCAAAGCCAAAAUUGGGAAAACUAACCCACAUGAUUCUUUAAUCAACUUUUCUUUAACCACAUUGUUGCCAAAUCUUAAUUGUUGCACUCAAACAAAAAUAAGAAUACAAAAUCCAUAGAGGAAAUAAAAUAAAUUUGAAGUUCUUCAAAUAAAAAUAUGCUGUCUAACAUUUGUUUUUGUAUGUCUCUUCGUGAUAUAUUGUAUUACAUUGUUCAUGUUAUACUUCUAAUUCUUUUCAUUUUCAGUAAUCCCAUAAAUUAUACCCAAUUCACUAAAUCACUUACCAUUUUCAAGCAAAACCCUAAAAUUUUUCUUUGAAUAUUUGUAGGAGAAAGAAGAAAAUGAAAAUUACUUACCUAGUAACCAAUGACGGAGGCAAGACAAGGUGGUGGUGACACGGCUGAGGCAAUGGUGAUAGCUGAAGUGCAGAAUGGGCAGGGAGCCGCUUGUUCUUCAAGGAGUUUUCUCUCUUAUUUUGUUUACUCGACUUUGUGAUUUUGGGUGGGAAUCGAUUCUGUUUUGUUGGCUUUUAUUAAGGUUAUUUUUGUAUUUUCCAUGAUCUUUUUAAGUAUAUAUGUGUAAAGUUAGUAAUUUUAAUAUAUAGAGGUAUAUUUUAGGUAUUUUGAGGAAACCAGGUAUAUCCCACGCAAUUCGGGGUUUUUUUAUUUAAAUAUCCUCAAUUUACCCUUAAAUGCCAAAUUUAUACCCUAUUACAUACAUAUACCUUAUGAAGAUAGGAAAAGUCAAAAAUAACCUUAAAAAAACUAAGAAUUCACAUCUCUCUUCUCCCAUUGCUUCUCUUUUUCGGGCUUCUCUCACCAUUCUCUAUUUUUCUUAUAAGUGUAUUUCCUAAUGAUUUAUGAAUUUUAGUAGUACAUUAUUCAUUUUUUGUGCUUGCACACACACACACUAUUUCAAUGUAGGGAUUUAAGACUACAUUUAAGUUACGAGUGAUUGAAGAAUCAGUGCAGGAAGAAGUCGGGUACGAAGUCAGGUAAAUCGAGAAUUUAGUCGAGUAAGAAUUAGAGAUAAGUAAGUCGAGUAUAUGGUCGGGUAAGAAGUCGAGUAAGCAUAUUAAAUAAGUCGAGUAUAUGGUCGGGUAAGAAGUCGAGUAAGAAAAUUAAAUGAGUCGAGUAAGCAUAUUAAAGAAGUCGAGUAUAUGGUCGGGUAAGAAGUCGAGUAAGAAUAUUAAAUGAGUCGAGUAAGCAUAUUAAAUAAGUCGAGUAUAUGGUCGAGUAAGAAGUCGAGUAAGAAUAUUAAAUGAGUCGAGUAAGCAUAUUAAAUAAGUUGAGUAUAUGGUCGGGUUCAAGAAGUUGAGUAAGAAUAUUAAAUAAGUCGAGUAAGCAUAUUAAAUAAGUCGAGUAAGCAUAUUAACUAAGUCGAGUAUAUGGUCCGGUAAGAAGUCGAGUACGAAUAUUAAAUGAGUCGAGUAAGCAUAUUAAAUAAGUAGAAUAUAUGAUCGGGUAAGAAGUCGAGUAAAAAUAUUAAAUGAGUCGAGUAAGCAUAUUAAAUAAGUCGAGUAUAUGGUCGGGUAAGAAGUCGAGUAAGAAUAUUAAAUGAGUCGAGUAAGCAUAUUAAAUAAACCGAGUAUAUGGUCGGGUAAAAAGUCGAGUAAGAAUAUUAAAUAAGUCGAGUAAGCAUAUUAACUAAGUCGAGUAUAUGGUCCGGUAAGAAGUCGGGUAAGAAUAUUAAAUGAGUCGAGUAAGUAUAUUAAAUAAGUCGAGUAUUUUUAUUAAGGUUAUUUUUGUAUUUUCUCUGAUCUUUUUAAGUAUAUAUGUGUAAAGUUAGCAAUUUUAAUAUAUGGAGGUAUAUUUUGGGUAUUUUGAGGGAAAACAGGUAUAUCCCACGCAAUUCGCUCCGCAAUUCGCUCCCAUCUCAUCAUCUUCUUCAGUUGUACUAACAUUAAAUUCUUCUUAUUCCCUUUCUCAACUGUCAUACCCUAUCCCUAUUCCCUGUGUCCCCACUAAACCACGCUCAAUUCAGUCCAUCAGAUUCUCUCGGAACCACAUUAAUCCAACGGCUCACAAUGACCGACAGCCUCUGCAUCUCCAUUUCAAGCUCCCUCUUCAACUGGCCUCUGCUUCCGUUGUACUCUUUCUCGGAUUCUCGGUGGUCCCACACAGCUCCAUCUCGCUCCAAUUGUCACCCAACAAGACCAAUUGCUUAAUCAAGUCACAGAACAAAAAGAGGAUGAGAAAUUGGAACAAGAAUUUGAGAAUUGGAAAUCGAAAAUGUACAAAUUGACCGUGCCUUUGAGAGUUGUUUCUCUUCAGAAUUCAAUACCUCAAUCUUGGAUUAAGGAUUUUAUGCGAAGUCAAGGAAAGAUAUUGAAUUUUCAGAUGAAUUUGUGUGCUAGCAUUGAUGGGAUCUCAACAAUUUAUCUGUGCCUUUUAACAAAGUUAAGGCUAAAUCAGCUCUUAUAUGGGUGCUGAUUUGGUUAGUGUUGGUGAUUCAUGUCUCAGUUUUGCGAUUAAAAAGAGAUUGAUUGAACCAAUAGUUGGAGCUGAAGAUGAAGAUUGGUUCAAAUGCUUAAGUCACAAAUGGAAGGUAACAUCUUUAUCAUUGUCCAGAUAUUUUUUAAUCAUUGUCCCGAUAUGUUUUAUUGUCUUACAUUGAAGUUUGGUAAUGUAAUUUGUUCUCUAUCUGUGUUCCCUUUGUAGUCAUUUUAUUUAUUUUUUUGUUUGCAUUUAUUUGCACUUACGAAGUCUCAGGUAUAUCUAUGCAGGAAUGAUGCAGAAGAAAUUGAUCCUUGAGGUAAAAUAUGCGCAGCACCAUAUCAGUGGGGCACAGUGGUGAUAGCUUACAAGAAAAGUAAAUUUUGAAAGCAUAAUUUGGCUCCGAUUGAGGUAAUAAUUGUCUUUAAACUCAUUUAGUUUUAUAUCAAACAAAAUCAAGACUGCCCUUCUCUUCAAUAUUUUUUAUGAUAAUAUCUUUAGAAGCAGCUAAUUGACGGGUAAUCAAGGUAUUCCUUAAAGGGUCUACAAACUCAAUGAUAUUAUCUUCUGCAAAUGGUUCAUUAGACCUCUUAGUUGUAGUCAAAUGUCCACUAAGGACAGCAAGAAGCUAUGCCACUGUAGCAUGGUAAUGAUGGCCCUCAAUAAGUGAGUUGGUAGGAUGUGAAGCAGAAAAAUUAAUUAAUGUCUCCCUGGCUAUGCCAGCUCAUAAGUUAGGGUUAAUAUUAGAGCUUGAGUAACUAUAACCUUGAGAAGCUAUUGACUGCAAAUUAAAAUAUCCAUUAAAAUGUUUAGGGAGUUAUGAAGGUGGAAGUAUCUUCCAAUUUCUAAGGCCAUAUUGUAGACAUCAUCCAGGAUCCUAUUAAAGUGCAGUUAGCCUCCUGCUUGAUGCUAAUGUCAAACAAUUAAUAAAUUUGGUCAAUGUAACUGAAACUUGCUAACUGACAUCAGAUUGCAACUUAAAAUGGGAUAGAUGAUUAGUAGCACUGAAUUCUUCUUGCCUAAGAUUGAGCAAUUGUUCUAACUACUAUCUCCUAUUGUAGGUUGAUUAUUAUGUUCUAAUUAGGUCCAUUUUGACCCAAAAAAUUACAUAAUCUUGAUCUGCAUAUUGUCACUGAACAGUGUCAAUAUCGUUCACCAACUAACUUGAGUUUGAUAUAACAAACACACGGUGUGUCUCUCAUGUCUCACCAUGAUGGAGAAUUUUUCUAAUGCAUGAAGUAAGCUUCGAUAUGUGGGUUAGCUUGGAGAAGAUAUCUCAAAAUGAAGAAUAUGGGGAGUUAAUGGGAAGAAACAGUUCAUUAGUUGAUAAUUCUGUCAUCGAGCUGUAUCUCUAACAUGGUCAAAUUUUAUGUGAAUAAGGACAGGGAAUCUUCAUUCCUCUUUUCCUUUCUAUACCCAGAUAUCUCUCAACCUUUAUAUGUUGCCCACUGGAGAUCUGCUUCUAAUAACUAAAAUAAAAAUUUCAUCCACUCAAUAAAUGCUGACCAACCUUUCACAAGAAAAAGUAACAUCUUUAGUGAAGUAAUUUACAGUUCCUUAUCAUCUUCGUGUGAGUCUAUCAGUAUGAUCCAAAAACAUAAUACAUCUUGUUAGAUCUUGUUUAUUGAUGUUUAAAUGUUGUUCAUUGUGAAAUGUAGAAAUGAUGACGUGAAGUUUCUUUGGUCAUCAGUUAGUGAGAUCUUGUCUGAAGUUGUUUUCUGAAAUGAACUGCCAAAUGGUAGUUUUUUUUUUUGGGUGCAUUUGAUGGCUCUUUUCUCCUCAUUUUAAGUGGGUGCCUGCUUGGAAUGGGAAGGAAUAGGCUUCAGAGUUGUUAUAUAUGUUGACAUGCUCUAGUCUUUACACAAUAUGUUCAAAUUGGAAAUUAGAAUGAGAUAUUUGUCGAUGCUUUUUGAGAGAUCUGCAUUCUAAGCACCAUAACAUGAUUAAUGAAAACGGGUUUAAAGACUGGAAAGAUCUGUGGCGGCCCGAGCUUGCAGGAAGGAUUUCAAUGGUUAAUUCUCUCAGAGAGGUUAUUGGUACAGUUUUGAAGUAUAUGGGAGCAUCAUACAAUUGAAACGACAUUGAUUAGCAAGUUGCUGCUGGGAGGAUUGCUGUUCAGCAGAAUCUGGCAUUACUGGGAAACCAGGUACUCUUAACGAAACGAUAUCUGGUCAAUGCAUAUUAUUGCCUGACAGCUGAUUUUGUUUGUAAAGUCUGCCUUUUCAUACAUAUGAAUGCAUAUGUUAGUGUUUUACGAAUGCAUAUGUUGGUUUUAUUUUCUGAGAUGGAUGCAAAUAAAGGCUUUUUCUUCUAAAUUUAGCUGAAGAAAUGGCAAGGAAUGUGAGAUUAUAUCUCAUUAAAUUAUCAAAACCCAAAACAAUGAAAACUCAUAUUAAUGUGAUGUGGAUAAAUUGGCAACAUUUGGCUUGUUUCCUCCACGCGAAUUAGCAAGCAAUAGAGACUAAAAAAAUGGAGUGAUAAUAACAAGUCAUUGUCGUUUGAUGAAUGCAUUUUUAAGCAAAAAUAGGAUUGUAACUGAACAAAUUUUUCUGGCAUGCCAAUUUCAAAAAAUUAAAUUAUGUGGUUAUUAGUAAUGAAGGGGAAUUGUAGGUGCAAUCAGGUCAAUCCAGUAAAGUUCAACAAAGUUCUGGUUUGGUGUAGUGAAAUUGGUUUAUGCAACUUGAGUCUUUCAGAUGAACAAUGAUGAGUUUUCAUUUAAAAAUGUUAUAAAUCUGCUGUGCAUAGUAUUCUAGUGGAAUCAUCUAUAAAUUCAAGUUAUUGAAAUUGUCUAUUUUGUCUGGUCUGAGUUAAGGAGGCAUGUAAUUUAUGAAAAAUAGUUGUCGAAUAUUGUAGGUUACCUAACAUUUGAUCAAUCCUGUGGUGAGGGCUUUAAGAUGUCUAACAGCAUGUAGAAUGCCCCUGCUCCCCUCACAUUGUUUAUCUUAUACAAUAAUCCAUUAUAGAUGCUAAUAUCUUUGUCAAUACCUAAAACAGUAUUACAAAAUCUGAGUUUAUUGGGUUUUAUAUAGGUUCAACUGUUUGACAGUACACACUAUCUGAAGGCAUUUGGAAUUGGAGAUGUCUGGGUUGCUGUUGGGUGGAGUAGCGAUGUUCUUCCUGCUGUCAAACGUAUGUCUAAUGUUGCAGUUGUUGUUCCCAAGUCAGGUGCUAGCUUAUGGGCUGAUCUUUGGGUAUGCCCAUGCUUACCAUUCUACUUUGAUAUUCACUUUGUUAUCUCCAUCAUAGUAAUGAUCAGUAAAUACGAGAAUGUGUGACUGAUAAGUUUGUAUUCUCUUUUUAGGCAAUCCCUGCUGCGUCAAGACUUGAAACAAACCAAAUUGGAGGGUGAGUCAGAGGUCCAUCUCCAUUAAUCCAUCAAUGGAUAGUGUUCUGCUUGCAAACAGCAAGAGCAUUGCCUUUCAAACAAGAGGUUAUCCCUGGCGUACUGAGAUGGCUAAAGUUCUUGAAGUUUUGUUAGAAAUGAAAGAUGAGUGGUUGUUUGAAUAAAGUUGUGGCCAAUCUCGCAAAGGUUAAAAAGGAACAUCACGGAGCUAAUGCCACCGAUUUCUUCAUCAUUGUAGCCUCUAUAGUUGAAGUUUCCUCAUUUGAAGCUCUUUAUGCAUUAUCCCUGCUCAAGUACAAUUGAAGAACUAACCAGAUGUGAUAUGCUGAAAGAGGGAAGUUUUCUUCCUUGAAUGUGGCCUUGUGAUUUGUCAGGGAAUAGGAUGAUCACUAGCAAGAACCCUGUCAAGGUAGAUUUUAUGAUAUUAACAUAUUAUUAAGCAUUUGCCACUUUAGCAACGAUACAUUCAUAGCGUGAAAGUGUUCAAAUUUAACCUAAUGAUCCUGAUUAAUCAAUUAAUUUUCAUGAGUUGUAACCGGAGUUAAAGCUAAGUACAAUCAUCGUUAACAAAGACUGAAAUUUUGGGUAAAUAUGAUCUUAUAUUGAAUCAUUUGAUGACACAACUCACAUUGGAAAUUACUUAUUGCGUGGGGAUGGCGAUGUUUACUGUUGUAUUGCGAUAUAAAAUAUGUGCAAGGUAUUGUCGACUGCUUUUUGGGUUAUGGUGUGAUAGCUGCUGAUUAGUGAUAAAACAAGAAAAAUUAAUUAAACUCAGGCCUACAUGCUAAAUGUGUAUGUUAUCCUAACUUUCACUACAAGAAAAUGUCCUUAACCUGACCGUGUUAGAUGAUUGUAAGUAGCAGUGUUCGUACAAGUUUUUUUUCCUUCAUGGUAUUUACAAUUUCUUAGGAACAUCUAAAAUCUGAAAAUCCUCAUUUACUAAAAAUUAAGUUAUCAUUUACUGGCUGGCAACUUAAAGAUAAGAAUAAAUUCAAGAGCUCAUCAACCAAGUAGAGUUUUCUCAAUAGACGCCGUAGUUAAUUUCUCUCUUCAAUCUUGAUUAUGAAUGAUUGUUUUGUUGCUUUUUAAAGCGCUUUUAAAGUUUUAUUUUGCUCAUGUCUGAUAUUUAAUUACCUGAAGAAGCCUGAUGAUUUCUUGAUAUGAUUGCUCUGCCAAGCUAUCUAAGAAAUAGCUAUAGAAAUCCCUUCAUUACAUUAGAUAAUCUUCAUUAUCUGUGCAAUUUGGUGUUUUGUCUUUGAAGCCAGCCGUUUGCUUUUGAUAGAUUCCAUCUCGUAUUUAUUCCUUUUCUAUAGAUUUUGCAGGAUUGAAGCUAUAUUUCUUCUCUGUAUAUGUGAUUGAUAUUAAGAGUAUGUUUUUGUGUUGUCUCUGUUUUUUCUAUUUGAUCUAGAUUUAAUACCUGAAAGGUUACUAACAAAUUAUCUUAGGUCAAAUUCUCUUUUACGAGACUUUUUUUGCUAAAUUCUUGGAAUUAUAUAAUUAACUAAAUCUUUAGUACAAGGAGGAGUUUGCCCCUAACUUUGCUUUCUUUCUAUAAUCGCAUUAAUAAUCAAUCCCCUGCAUGUUGGUCGCAUUAAUAACCAAAUGUGCCUUUGACAUGCAACUAUACAAUCACAAACCAUCAUAGGCCAAGAUUGGUUCAAAUGCUUAAGUCACAAAUGGAAGGUAACAUCUUUGUCUUUGACCCGAUAAUUUUUAUUGUCUUACAUUGAAAUUUGGUAAUGUAAUUUGUUCUCUAUCUGUAUUACCCUUUGUAGUCGUUUUAUUUAUUUGUUUAUUUAUUUGCUUUUAUUUGCACUAACGAAGUCUCAGGUAUAUCUACGCUGGAAUGAUGCAGGAGAAAUUGAUCCUCGAGGUGCAAUAUGGGCGGCACCAUACAGGUGGGGCACAAUGGUGAUAGCCUACAAGAGAAGUAAAUUUCAAAAGCAUAAUUUGGCUCCGAUUGAGGUAAUAAUUGUCUUUAAACUCAUUUAGUUUUAGUCAAAUGUACACUAAGAACAAUUAGAAGCUAUGCCACUGUAGCAUGUAGUGAUGGCCCUUAAUAAGUGAGUUGCUAGGAUGUGAACUAGAAAAAUUAAAUAUUGUUUCCUUGGGUAUACUAGCUCGUAAGUCAGGGUAAAUAUUAGAACGUAAGAUACUAUAACCAUGGGAAGCUAUUGACAGCCAAUUAAAAUAUCCUUUAAAAUGUCUAGGAAGUUAUGAAGGUGGAGGUAUCGUCCGAUUUCUAAGGCCACAUGGUAGACAUCAUCUAGGAUCCUAGGAAAAUGCAGUUAAACUCCUGCUCAAUGCAAUUAAUAAAUUUGGUCAUUGCCACUGAAACCUGCUAACUAACGUUACAAUGCGACAUGAGCACUUCAAAAUGGGACAGACGGUCAGUAGCACUAAAUUUUUCUUGCCUAAGAUUGAGCAAUUGGCUAACUACUAACCCCUAUUGUAGAUUGAUCAUUAUUUUUUCAAUUUUGUUCAGUUUGACCCAAAAAGUUACAGAAUCUUGAUCUGAAUAUUGUCACUGAACACUGUCAAUGUCGUUUAGCAUAGCCAACUAACUUGAGUUUGGUAAAACAAACACACAGUGUGUCUCAUGUCUCACAAUUCAAAUUAUCAUCUGUAAUGAUGGGGAAUUUUUCCAAUGUAUAAAGUAUGCUUUGAUACGUGGGUUAACUUGGAGAAGAUAUCUCAAAAUAACGAAUAUGGGGAGAAAACAGUUCAGUAGUUUAUUAUUCUGUAGUCAAGUUUUGUCUCAAAAAUGGUCAAAAUUUAAAUGAAUAAGGACAGGGGAUCUUCAUUCUUUUUUCUCUUUUUAUACCAAGAUAUCUCUCAACCUUUAUAUAAUCCCCACUGGAUAUCUGCUUUUAAUAAUUAAAAUAAAAAUUUCACCCCCACAAAUAAAUACUGACCAAGCUCUAACAAUAAAAAGUAACGUCUUUAGUCAAGUAAUUUACAGUUCCUCAUCAUCUUAGUGUGAGACUAUCAGUACGUUCCAAAAACAUAAUAAAACUGGUUUGAUCCUGUUUAUUGAUUUUUAAAUGUUGUUCAUUGUGACAUGUAGAAAUGAUGAGGCGAAGUUUAUUUGGUCAUCAAUUAGUAAGAUCUUGCUUGAAGCUGUUUUACGAAAUGAACUUGCCAAGUGGUAGUUUUUUGGGGGCAUUUGAUGGCUCUUUUUUCCUCAUUUUAAACAUGUGCCUCCGUGGAACGGGAAGGAUUAGGCUGCAGAGUUGUUAGAUAUUUUGACAUGCUCUGGUCAUUGCACAAUUUGUUCACACUGGAAAUUAGAAUGAGAAAUUUGUUGAUGCUGUUCUGAGAGAUCUGCAUUCUAUGCACAAAAACAUGACUAAUGAAAAUGGAUUGUAGGACUGGAAAGAUCUGUGGCAGCUUGAGCUCGCAGGAAGAAUUUCAAUGGUUAAUUCUCCCCGAGAGGUUAUUGGUUUGGUUUUGAAGUAUAUGGGAGCAUCAUACAAUUCAAAUGAUAUUGAUUCGCAAGUUGCUGGUGGGAAGAUUGCUGUUCAGCAGAAUCUGGCAUUACUGGCAAGCCAGGUACUCUUAAAGAAGUGCUAUCUGGUCAUUGCAUGUUAUUGCCUGACAACUGAUUUUGUUUGUAAAAGUCUGCUUCUUCAUACAUAUGGAUGCAUAUGUUAGUGUUUUCUUCUCCUUUUCAUACAUAUGAAUGCAUAUGUUAGUGUUGUCUUUUCCUUUUCAUACAUAUUAAUACAUAUGUUGGUGUUCUCUCCUGAGAUGGACGCAAUAAAGGCUUUUGCUCCUAAAUUUAGGUGAAGAAAUGGUAAGGGAUGUGAGAUUCUGUCUCAUUAAAUUAACAAAACCCCAAAACAAUGAAAACCCAUAAUAAUGUGGUGUGGGUAAAUUGGCGCCAUUUGGUUCGUUUCCUUAAUGUGAAUACACGAGCAAUAGAGACUAACAAAUUGAAGUGACAAGAACAAGUCACUGUCCUUUGAUGGAUGCAGUUUUAGGCAGAAAUAGGUUUGUAAUUGACCAAAUUUGCCUGGCAUGCCAAUAUCAAAAAAAUUAAAUUAUGUGGUUAUUAGCUGUAAUGAAGGGGGAUAGUAGGUGCAAUCAGGUGGAUCCAGGAAAGUUCAACAAAGUUCUGGAAUUGCGUAGUGAAAUUGGUUUGUGCAACUCAAGAGUCUUUCAGGUGAACAAUGAUGGGUUUUGAUUUAUAAAUGUUAUAAAUCUACUGUGCAUAGUAUUCUAGUAGAAUCAUCUAUAAGUUCUAGUUAUUGAAGUUGUCUACUUUGUCCAGUUUGGUCAAUUACCUAACAUUUGAUCAAUCCUAUUAUGAGGGCUUCAAGAUGUCUAACAAUAUGUGGGAUGCCCAUGCUCCUCCCCAUUGUUUAUCUUAUACAAUAAUUUGUUUUCGAUGCUAGUAUCUCUUUCGAUACCGGUAACAAUAUUACAAUAUCUGUGUUUAUUGGGUUUUACAUAGGUUCGAAUGUUUGACAGUACACACUAUCUGAAGGCAUUUGGAAUUGGAGAUGUAUGGGUUGCUGUUGGGUGGAGUAGUGAUGUUCUUGCUGCUGUCAAACGAAUGUCUAAUGUUGCAGUUGUUGUUCCCAAGACUGGUGCUAGCUUAUGGGCCGAUCUUUGGGUAUACCCAUGCCUGCCAUUCUACUUCGAUAUUCACAUUGUUAUCUCCUUCAUAUUAGCGAUCAGUAAACACAAUAAUGUGAGAAAUAAGUUUGUAUUCUCUUUAUAGGCAAUCCCUGCUGCCUCAAGACUUGAAACAAAACAAAUUGGAGGGCGAGUCAGAGGUCCAUCUCCAUUAAUCCAUCAAUGGAUAGAGUUCUGCUUGCAAAUAGCGAGAGCAUUGCCUUUCAAGCAAGAGGUUAUCCCAGGCGCAUCUCCCUCUGCUCUUGAAAGUACUCUGGUUAAGUUGCCUGAAGAACUUCUGAAGGGUAAACCAAGUCUGGAUACUAACUUAAUUUCUGGAGUACCCCGGGCUGAAAUUCUGGCCAGAUGUGAGUUUUUGGAGCCAUUAUCUGAAGCUACUUUGUCAGAUUAUGAGUGGCUGGUUGGUAAUCUGCAAAAAACCUGCUCCUGUCUUGGUGAAAAGGGGGCAAAAUUACUUGUCAUCAUUAAUCCAAAGCUUUCUAGCAAAAGCUGCAUUGAAACGUUAAUGGCACUGCAUGCCAGUCAUUAUAAUGCAGUCAGGGCAAUUGGGUCAGGGCAAUUAGGUCAGGGCAUAACUUCAUCAGGAAAAGAGGCUUCAGCUACGUUAAAUAUUACAGUAUGUACUAAGAUGGCUGAAGUUCUUGAGGUUUUAGGAGAAACGAAAGAUGAGUCUUUGUUUGAACAAAGUUGUUGCCAAUCUUUCAGAGUUCGAGAAGAAAGAUCACGGAGCGAUGCCGCUGAUUUCUUCAUCAUUGUAGCCUCCAUAGUUGAAGUUUCCUCAUUUGAAGCUGUUUAUGCAUAUGCUUUUUCCCUGCUCAAGUACAGGAAAUUGGAGAAUUAACCAGCUGUGAUAUGCUGAAAAAGGGAAGUUUUCUUACGUGAAUGUGGCCUUGUGAUUUGUCUUGAAGGAAUAGGAUGAUCACUGGCAAGAACCCUAUGAAGGUAGAUUUUAUGAUGUUAACAUAUUAGUAAGCAUUUUGUUACAUCAGCGAUGAUGCUUUCAUUGCAUGAAAGUGUCUAAAUUUAACUGAAUGAUCUUGAUUAAUCAAUUAUGAGUUUUAAUCGAGUAAAAACUAAAUUCAAUCAUCGUUAACAAAUACUGAAAUUGGGUAAAUAUGAUCUUGAUAUUGAGGAAUUUGAAAUCACAACCCGCACAGGAAAUCACCCUUCGCGGGGGGAUGGAGAUGUUUACUGCAGCGAUAAUGAAUAUGUGCAAGGUGUUGUCCACUGCUCUUUGGGUUAUGGUGUGACUUGCGAUUUCAAGGUUGCCCUGAAACAAUGGAAAAUAUUAACAUAUCCUCCAAUGAAUAAAAACGGCUGGACUAAUUCAAAUUACUCAGCAUCAGGUGGCAAUAAUAACAGUCCAUUUACUUUUCCAGGAUCAGAUGUUGAUAAUAAUAGUUUAUUAAAUGACAAAUCAUUGUUCUUGGGGGUUAGUUGUAUACGUCCUUACUACUUCAAGGAGAAGAAAAAGGUUGUGCAGGUGAUUUCAGAAAUAAAAUACAUUCUGAGAGAUGAUGGUCCACUACUGCAUGCCCCCCAGAUUUAAGAAUCAUCACUUUUCCUUUAAAAAACUGCUACGCUUUGAUUUUAGUGCUGAAUAUUUAUUGAACUCUGAUAGAAGGAGUUUGAAGUCAAACUCGUAAUUACAGGUUAUCUAAUUGCUGAGUUGUUGUCCAUAGCUGCUGAUUUGUAGUGAUUAUCUAAUUGACUGAGGUAACAACAAUUUUUUUUUUUUAAUUUUCAAUAGCACAAUGUCGAAUUCAAUAAUUAAAUUCUCCUAUUUAAUUUGUUUCAAGUUAAAUUAUUAAUUACUUAAACUAUGUUUUAAGUCUUUAAUUUUAUGUCUUGGCGUAUAUGCAGAAUUGGAUUCUUGAGCGUGUUGGACACGACCAACAAUGAAAUUGACAGUAAACAAACAUUACAACGUGUGGACUCCGGUAGCUGCCCUACAAGUCUACAACUUCACAAAUAAUAAUUGAGUAAGCACCUUUGAUUCUCGUAACCCUUCAAUGAAUUUCUAGCCCCAUUGACUCCACUAACAAAAGUUUUGUAAAAUAAAAAAAAUACAUAAAAUUCCACCAAAUACAAAACGCGUGGAAUUUAAUUUUCGGCCGUGUGGACCAAAACAUAAUUUAACGAAAAAAGAAAAAAAUGAUAAGAUUUCUAAAAUGUGUGGAAGGUGAUUCAUAUUUUACUGAAACGACUUGUUAAAUUUUUCAAGGAUUUAGAAUAUUUGGUCGUAAAUUAGGUGCAUGUUAAUUUUUCCGCCAUUGACUAUCAUAUUCUAAACUUAAUGGUACCUUUCUUGAUGAAGGGUACUUAGUCUCCCUUCUCCUCUUAUAAAAAUUAUAUUAAUUGAUUUCUUAUUAUAGUUAAUAGUCUUUAAGAACGGAUAGCUUUAUUGUUUUCAUAACCAAAUUAUGCCUGCCUAAGAUUGCGACUAUUAAUAAAAUUAAUAUUCAAUGUUUAUGUUAAAAGAUAUAAGAUUAAUUUAUGCGUUCAUUAAUUGUUAUUAGCUAAAGGAUGAAUUAUUUUUUCAACCCAAUCAGUUGAUGCAUCUGCAAGAGUUUUUUCUUUUAGUGACCAUAAUUAUAUUCCGGGUACAAUAAAUUGUCUUUGGUGCUUGGAAAAUAUGACUUCUUACUUCAAGUUUUUGAUAUGUCUCUCUCCAUAAACUUACUGGAAAUAUAUCCUCAUCUACUGUCAUUUAUCUAAUAUCAAUUGAAAAUCUCACUUUUCCAAACUAUCACUUCCAAGUCUAAUUGUCACUUGCCAUUCUUGGACCAUUCAAAACCAAUCAAGUGUUGAAAUAAUCAAAUAUAUGCAAAAUUAGAGUCACGAUUUUUGGUCCCCCAAAUUCUAAUUAUAUAACUUCUAUGUAUCUCAUUGUCAGGUCACGAACUUGUUGGCACAUUUUCCAAAUUCCUCUUCCAUCAGCUCUCACAUGUUAACUUGAGUGUAAAGUUUCCAAGUUGAUUGCUAGAAAGCAACGCAAAAUCAGACACACUUGACCCGUCCCAUAAUUAUCUUUUCUACGUUGAAAAAGAAAAAAAAAAAGAAAAAAGAAAAUAUAUCUAUGUAAAAAUAAAUAAUAAAUUGAGUAAAAGCACAUUUGUUUAAUUAACAUCUGAUCGGGGCAUUUUUGGUGUAAUUUAGUGCUGUGUAACCCACAACUAAAAUCAAACAGCCCCUUAGCAUACUUCUUCCAUUUUAUCUGCUACUUUUGUGGAUCUGAUAGGGUGGGCAUGUGGACAGAAUUUAAAAGUUUUAAUAGUCUCAAAGAAUAAGAUAUGUUAAAGCUAAAGUUGUUGCACCUUCUUAUUAAAUAAAGUUGCACAAUUUCACCAACUUGGAAGAAUUGACAUCAAUGGACUGGUCCCUCUCCAUAUAUGAAGCCUUCUUAAAAGUAAUUUUUAUUUCAGAAAAAAAAGUUUAAGUUACAUAUAUUACAGUAAGAUUUUUUGAGACCAAAUCCCUUCAAAUAAUAAUGGAAAAGUAUUAAUUUAAAAACAAAAUGAAUAUGUAUUGAUUAUAUCCGGAUUUUCAUAGAUUAUAGUGAGAGUUUCUCCAAAUCAAUUCCCUUAUUCAAAUAAUACAGAAAAAAUAGUAAUUUAAUAGUAAAAUAAACAGGUGUUGAUUGUAUAUCCUUAGUUUCAUCGAUUAUGUGAUCAAAGUGGCAUUGAUGAUUUAUUUCUUGUUCAAUGUUAAUUUUUAGGUUAUCUAAAUUUUAAGGAUUUAAAAUCUUUGGUCAUGGAUUGCAUGCUUGUCAAUUUUUCUGUCAUUGACUGUCAUAUUCUAGACUUAAUGGUACCUUUCUUGAUCAAGGGUAAUUAUUCUCUCUCCUCCUCUUAUAAAUUCCUCUUCCAUUAACAUCACUAGGAGUUUGUUGAUCUCUAAGACGUUAACUUGAGUGGAGAGUUUCCAAAUUGAUCGUUACAAAACAGUACAAAAACUAGACACACUUGAUCUGUCUAAUAAUUCUCUUUUGGUAAAAUUAAUUAAUUUUAGGAGAAUAUUCGGCCAACCUCUAUAAUUUCAGAUUGAUCACUAAUUAAUUAAACGAUACAAAUUGCUAAAGUGAUUAGAUGUUUGCUGACAAUACAAGUUCAUGGUUUGAAAUUUGAUCUCUAUCGAUUGGUUUACAAUGGACGUACUUGUGCCUUUGUGGCGAUAAUUGAACCAGAGAUGUGAAGCUGUAAAGAUUUGGCAGUAGUAAAUUGUUAUAAAGACAUAAUGACAAGUUCCCAUGAUUAUUAUUUUUUCCAAAAACUUUUUUACAACAAAUUCAUCUCGCCCAAAAAUUCUAUUUUUCUAACCAACAAUAAUUGAGUACUUGGCCGUAUUGACUCCACGUCUCCACCUGCUUUCUAAGUAAAAACAUGGAAAUGUACUUUCCACAAAAUGCCAAAUGUGUGGAAUUUAAUUUUUGGUCUUGUGGACCAAAAUACAAAUGAAAGAAAGAAGAAAAAAAAGGCCCAAAGACUUCUAAAAGGUGUAGAAGUCUUUGGACCUUUUUACAAUAGUGGAUUUUUUAAAAGGAAAAAAUAACAACACUUUUAUGAUUUGUUUUGAUAAUCAUAUUUACAUAUACUCUCUAAUUUUCAAAAUGGACACAUAAUUUUUUUUUUUACAAAUAUACGUUAUUCGUAUUUUUUAUUAUUUUUAUUAUCGUAUUUUUAUUUAUUAUAAAUAUUUAAAGUAAAUUUUUAGGUUGAAAUAUAUUAAAAGGAUAUAAUCGUUCUCUUAUUAAACACACAUACUUUUAGUUUCUAUCCAUUUGUCAUCUCAAUCUCUCUCAAUUAUUGUUUAUUGCUAGCUCAAAGCGCGUUGCUGUGGAAAAUUGUAGCAAAAUGAAAAAUUGGAAAGAAAGGGAAGAAGAUUAAUGGGUGAAAGAAUUGGAGAAAACAACCAAAUAAGUCAACUGCUCUUUAGUGAGAACAUUUUACAAAAGGAUUGGAUCGAGUUUUUGUUUGAUAUUGAAGGACCUGCGUCCCUGUCGCGAUGUAGAAUAUGUGCAAGGAGUUGUCUACUGCUCUUUAGGCCAUAAUAAUGUGACUGGUGCAUUCCACGUUGCCCUCAAACAGUGGUCUGAAGUCAAAAGCAAUUAGUUACAUAACAAAUCAUUGUUCUUGGGUUAUACCUCGUCAUGUCUUCAAGUGCGAAGAUGAAGAUUAUGCAAGUGAAUUCAGGAAUACAAUACAUCAUUUCCAGCUCUUUGGGUUAUGGUGUGACUUGCGAUUCCCUCCAAUGAAUGAAAACGGGUGGACUAAUUCUGAUUACCUAAUUGACUCAGGAUCGGCUGGCAAUAAUAACAGUUUAUGAACAAUGCACAGUCCUAGUACUUUUCCAGGAUCUGAUACGACGUUGUCUAAUGUUGAUAAUAAUAGUUUAUUAAAUGACAAAUCAUUGAUCUUGGGUGUUGAUUUCAGAAAUAAAAUACAUUCUGAGAGAUGCUGGUCUACUGUUGCAAGCCCCCAGAUUUAAGAAUCUUCUGAUGAUAAUUUAUCACCUGCAACCGUGCCGGAAGAUUCAACUAGCACUGAAAAAGAUGAUAAUUUAAUUGAUAUGGACAGUUUCCAUAUCACUUUUAAAUCAUCCUAUGUAAUUGUGAUGUUAGGAAGCAUUAGUGAUCUAUAUGUGAACUAUUAUUGGUGCCAUUGGUGGUUUUAUCUUGUUAAAAUAUGGAUGACUUCCAGUUACUAUUUUGUAGUAUACAAUUUUAUUCAAUUAACAUAUAGCUUAAAACCAUUAUGUAUGUGCUUUAUUAAGAUUCUCAAGUACCAAUCACGUUUGCUUAAGAAAUAAAAUUUUACCAUUAAAAGCGUAGUAAUAUUUCCAAGCGCUUCGCAUUUAUCUCAACAUUUUGAAGGAAUUUUGAGAAAUACACGUGUCCAAAAGUCUAGUCAUCAUCCUUAUUUUUCUAUCGUUCUUUUGGGUUUGCAGUUGGUGGUGCUUUCAAUGUUUCCCUGAAACAUAGCAAAAGAAGGUACAUAUUCUUGGUAUGAGUUAGAUUUUUAGUGAUUAUCUAAUUGACUGGGGUGACAACAGUAGCACAACGUAGAAUUCAAUAAUAAAAUUCUCCUGUUUAAUUUGUUUUAAGUUAAAUAAUUAAUUACUUAAAACUCUGUUUUAAGUCUUUAAUUUUAUGUCUUGGCGUUUAUGCAGAGUUGGAUUCUUGAGUGAGUUGGACAUGACCUACAAUGAGAAUGACAGUAAACAAACAUUAAAACGUGUGGACUCCGGUGGCUGCCCUGCAAGUCUACAACUCUACAAGAAUAAUUUCUAGUCCCGUUGACUCCACUAACUAAAGUUUUUUAAAAUUUAAAAAGGUACAUAGAAUUCCAUGACAAGCAAAACGUGUGGAAUUUAAUUUUUUGCCGUGUGGAAAAAAAUACAAUUUAGCAAAAAAGGACAAGAAAAAUGGUAAGAUUUCUAAAAUGAGUGGAAGGUGAUCCAUAUUUUACUGAAACGACUUGUUCCGAACAUCACGACGUGAUUUUUUUUAUUUUUUAUUUUUGAAUAACAUCAACUUCCAUAUCUGUCUAACCCCCAGAAUAUGCUCACGUUCAAGUCUAUCUUGCUAAUUUAAAAAAAGAAAAUCAAAUCAACAUCUUCAGGAAGAUUUUCCUCAAUUUGCUCCAGAAGAGUUGGAGCUGUGGUUCUGAUAAACCAAAGAAUUAGUAGCAAUAUUAAUAUUGCCCACCCAAGAAAUAUGAGUGAAUUAAAGUAUUGACAAGACUUCGCUCAGAGGAGCAUUUAAACCACUUCCUUAUCAGUUGCGGCAGCCGUCUAUUAACUAAAACGCCAAUCUAAUACAAGAAGAAAGAACAUUUACAGACUUGGCAAUUGAGUUUAUUAAGAAGUAGCAUCGCAUUCGGGUGAUGAGUUUCCUUUUGUUAAUAAUUUUAGUCUAAUUUCAAUUGUACUGUGAUGGCUUCUCAAGGUAAGUGAAAGUUACAGAUGUGGCAAAAUAAAUAAUUAAAUUAACAAAAUGCUAACUGAUUUUCCUAAACACCUAGGGUUGUACAAUUUCACCAACCUGGAAGAAUUGACAUUAAUGGACUGGUCUCCUCCCCAUAUAAUUAUAAUCCUUCUAGAAAGCUAAUUUUUAUAAUUUCAAUUAAAAAAUGUUUUAAGUUAUAUAUACUCUAAUGAGAUUCUGAAUUCCUUUAUUCCAAUAAUAAUGAAAACGUAUUAAAUUAGAAAUGAAAAAAUGGGUGUUGAUGAUUCAUCCUGAUUUGGAUAGAUUACGUGAAUAAAAUUGAAAUUUUAAUAAAAAAACAAGGAAAGGUUUUUCCGAGUCAUCCAUUAUUUGAUUACCGUCAAUCAAGAAAACGACCAAAUUAAUUUCUCUCCAAAAUUUCCAAAAGCUAGAAAAUUUUGUUAUUUGAAAAUAACAUCAUUAAUUAUAGAGUGGAUCAAACCGCGUUAUUGUCUUUCAUAAAAUUGAUGUCUUUUUAAGAGUCAAUACUUUUUAUUUACGCAAACCAGUCGACAUCAACUUAAACUUCCAUAUUUUUAUUAUUAUGUUAUUGAUUUUAAUCCCUGAUUAUUUGAUUAGCCACUAUAUAUAUCAAGAAAGCGACAAAAUUUAUUUCUCAUGACUUUCAAAAACUAGAAAACAACAUCAUUUAUUAUUUUUUUGCAACCCUAAUUGACAUCAACUUUAACUUUAUUAUGUUAUUAUUUCAAUCCCCCAUUAUGACCUUUCUAAUCCUCCAUUAUGCAUCUUUUAUAGUGCAAAUUUAAUUGCACAUCUAAAUAAAUUGAUUAUUGUCACUCCACCACCAAUAUUUCAAAUAGUCACUAUACCAUUUCUGCCUUUAAUUUUCCCUUAAGUUUAACUAUUGACUGUUUUUAGCAUCUUAAAAUAUACAUUUAUUCCUUGAUUAUGUGAUAAAAUUAUGAAAAUAUCCAUUUUAGCUUAAAUUAAUUGGAAUAACCAUAAACAUAACUUAAAUUUAUAGAACAAAAUUAUCAAGUGUAUGUUCUAUCUUACUUUUUGAAGAAUUUAACAUAUAUAAUGCUAUACUAUUAAUAAAUUUAUCAUUUAAUAUAUAUUUUCAAAUAUUUUAUAUAUUUAUUAAUUGUUAUAUAGUCAAAGGAUGAAUGAUUUUUCUGGUCUACAUGAGUUGGUGCAUCUGCAAGACUCAAUUUUGACAACAAUGAUCUAAGGGGUAAUUUACCUUGGUGUUUGACAAAUUUAACCUCUCUUCAAGAUUUACUUCCAAUCUACUUACUGUAAAUAUAUCCUCAUCUCCUCUCAUUUAUAUGAUAACCCUUGAAGAUCUCACAUGUUCAAACAAUCAUAUUAGGAUUUUUAUUAUUAGCAUCAUUGUGUCAAUAAUAUAUGUUGCAGUAAGAUUUUUUCAGACCAAUUCCCUUCUUCAAAUAAUAAUGGAAAAGUAUUAAUUUAAAAAUAAAAUGAAUAUGCAUUGAUUAUAUCCUGAUUUUCAUCGAUUAUAGCGAGAGUUUCUCCAAAUCAACGCCCUUAUUCAAAUAAUACAGAAAAAAUAGUAAUUUAAUAGUAAAAUUAACAAGUGUUGAUUAUAUAUCCUAAGUUUCAUCGAUUAUGUGAUCAAAGUGGCAUUGUUGAUUUAUUUCUUGUUCAAUGUUAAUUUUUAGGUUAUCUAAAUUUCAAGGAUUUAAAAUCUUUGUUCAUGGAUUACAAGCUUAUUAAUUUUUUUGCCAUUGACUGUCAUAUUCUAGACUUACUGGUACCUUCCUUGAUCAAGGAUAAUUACUCUCUGUUCUCCUCUUAUAAAUUCCUCUUCCAUUAACAUCACUAGGAGUAUGUUGAUCUCUCAGACGUAAACUUCAGUGGAGAGUUUCCAAAUUGAUUGUUACAAAACAACACAAAAACUAGACACACUUGAUCUGUCUAAUAAUUCUCUUUCGGUAAAAUUAAUUAAUUUUAGGGGAAUAUUCGACAAAUCUAUAUAAUUUUAGAUUGAUCAUUAAUUAAUUAGACGAAAAACGUACUUGUGCUUUGUGCCGACAAUUGAACCAGAGAAGUGAAGCUGUAAAGAUUUGGCAGUAGUAAACUGUUAGAAAGACAUAAAGACAAGUUCCCAUUUUAUAAUUUUUUCAAAAAACGUUUUUACAACACAUGCACCUGGCCAAAAAUUUUAUUUUGCUAACUAACAAUAACUGAGUAGCUGACCGUACUGACUCCGCCUACUUGCUAAAGUAAAAAAAUAGAAAUAGAAUUUCCACAAAAUGUCAAACAUGUAAAAUCUAAUAUUUGGCCGUGUGGAACAAAAUACAAAUGAAAAAAAAAUAGAAAAAAGGCCUAAAGACUUUUAAAAUGUGUGGAAGUCUUUCGGCCCUUUUAUAAUGGUGUGUUUUUCAAAGGAACAAAUAAUAAUAAUGACACUUCUACGGUUUGUUUUGAUAAUCACACAUAUACUCUUUAAUUUGAUAAAUGGUUACACAAAUUUUGUUUACAAAAAUAUAUUAUUCAUGUUCUGUAUUAUUUUUUAACAUCAUAUUUUUAUUUAUUAUAAUUGUUUAAAGUUAAUUGUUAGGUUGAUAUAUAAUAAAAACGUAUAAUCCUUCUCUUACUAAACACACAUACUCGUAGUUUCUGUUCAUUUGUCAUCUCAAUCUCUCUCAUUUAUCCUUUAUUGAUAGCUCAAAAUGCGUCACUGUGGAAAAUUAUAGCAAAACGACAAAUAUGGAAAGAAUGGGAAGAAAAUUAAUGCAUGAAAGAGUUGCAGAAGACAACCAAAUAAGUCAACUAUACGCUAGCUGGGUGUAUAAAUUGUUAGAUGUGUUAUAAACAAAUAGCAUAGAGCCCUUUGGUUGGUUACAGAGAUAGAAAGAGUGUGUGUGUUUUUUAGAACUUAAAGAUACAGUUAGAAUGGGUGGUUCAAAAUCAAAAAUGGUGAUAAUGUUUGUUCUGUUAUUAAUAAUAUUAGAAGGUGGGGGGAGUGAGGGAUGUUUAGAUCAUGAGAGAUUUGCUCUUUUACGACUCAAACUUUUCUUUGAUGAUACUUAUAAUUAUCUUCACGAUUGGAUAGAUGAUGAGGGAGUUACUGAUUGUUGUCAGUGGGAAAGGGUUGAGUGCAGCAACACCACAGGCCGAGUGAUAGCGCUAGACCUUUCUGACACGUAUUCGGGAGAGUACAACUGGUAUAUGAAUGCUUCUUUUUUUACUCCCUUCCAACAACUUGAGUCACUUGAUUUACAUGGCAACAACAUAGCUGGUUGUGUUGAGAAUGAAGGUGCUUCGUCUAAUUCAAUUAAAUUACAUUUCGCUCUCCUAAUUUAAGUCGAAUAUCAAGACUGAGUAGCUAUAUGCAUAUUCAUUCAAUUGACAAUUUUUACAUAUUUUUUAAAAUGUUUAAUUUUGAAAUUACACCAAACAUCAUAUGUGAUCUUUGUUUUGAUUUUACUUGCAGGUCUAGAAAGAUUGAGCAACUUGAAGAGGCUUGAUUUAAGUUUUAACUUGUUCAACAAUAGCAUCUUAUCAUCUGUGGCUCAUCUUUCAUCACUAACAUCAUUAGAUUUAUCUGAAAAUAGAUUGGAAGGAAGUAUUAAUGUUAAAGGUACGUAAUUAAAACGUCAUCGCUUCUCCCAACUCUUGCAUUAACAUGCUAAAAUAAGAUUCAAGGCUUUGAAUUCAUUUUUUUUAUGAGUAAAUAUUAGAAAAAUAGUUUUAAGCAAUUCAUAAAUACAAUUUUCAAUGUUUCUCAUAAUUUCAUCUUGUACUUUUGUAUGUCUUGACUUUAAGAUUAAAAAAAAAAAUUACUCUAACUGUGAAGCAAAUACCCCAUGACUAAUUUAUCAUUUUGUCCAGUUAAAAAUGAUAAAAUUUAUCAUUUGUUUAUAUUGAUUAAUUAACUCUAUUUUAAGUCUUAAGUCUUGGCGUCUUGGCAUGUUUGCAGAAUUUGAUUCCUUGAGCAACUUAGAGGAGUUGGACAUGAGCGACAAUGAAAUAGACAAUUUAGAGGUUCCUCAAGGUAAACAAUUAAAAUAUUAUUCAAUUACAUUAAUUUAAUUCGUUUGAUUAGGGAAGACCCAAAAGGUACAAAAUAUAAUAAUAAUAAUAAUAAUAAUAAAAGAAACAGAGAAUCUAUAUUAUUUCAAAAAAUAAAACGUAAUACUAUUAUUUCAAAAAUAGAUUGUAAUAAAGAUUUGAUUCCGGUUCUUUAAUCUUUACAGCAAUUGAAAAACGAUGUUGCUCUUUUCCUAAAGCAUAAAAUAUGAAAUGACUCCCAAUAGAAUUAAUCAUUUAUUUCGUUUACUCUAAAUUUAAACAAUGAAUCUUGAUUUUCUUCAAUCAUAUCCUUAUUAUUAUUGUUAAACAGGUUACAGAGGUUUGAGGAAGUUGAAAAGCCUCUAUCUAUCGAAAGCUAAAAUUAGAGAUGGAAGCAAGUUGUUACAGUCAAUGGGAUCAUUCCCAUCCCUCAACACUCUUUACCUGAAGGAUAAUAAUUUUACCGAUAUAGCGACAACUACUACUCAAGGUAAGUAAAAGGUACAGAUGUGGCCAAAUUUACAAAUAAAUUGUUAAUUAAUUAAUUUUUCCGUAUUAUUAAUAAAGCUAAAUUCGUCGCUCCUUCCUUCUAAUUCUAAACAGAGUUGGCAAUUUCACCAACUUGGAGUAUUUGACAUUGGACUUGUCCUCGCUCCAUUUAAGCCUUCUACAAUUGCUUGAAGAAAGAAUUUAUUUAUUUAUUUAUUAUUGUUGUUGUUGUUGUUGUUGUUGAAGUGAGGUGGGCAAAGCGUUCACUCAAUUAAUAUGUGGGGAAUUAAUAAUUACAAUCCAAGGUAGAAUUGUGGAAAAUUAAAGCAAAAUGAGAAAUAUGGAAAGAAAGGAAGAAAAUUAAGGGCAUGAAAGACUGGGAGAAGACUAAAGACCACCAAAUAAGUCAACUGAAAACUAGCUGAGAGACAGAGAGUGUGCAUUUUGUUAAUUAAAUAUAUAUAUAUAAAAUGGGUGGUUCAAAAUCCAAAAAUGGUGAUAAUGUUAGUUUUGUUAGUAUUAAUAAUAUUAGAAGGGAGGUGGCGUGAGGGAUGUUUGGUGCAUGAGAGAUUUGGUCUUUCGAGACUUAAAACAUUUCUUCAAUUCUCCUUAUAAUUUUUGUCACGACUGACCGUUGUCAAUGGGAUGGGGCUGGGUGCAGGGUUGAUUUACGUUAGAAUAAUAUAGCCGGUAGUGUUGAGAAUGAAGGUGUUUCAUUUAAUUUAAUUAAUUUAUUUUCUCCCUCCUAAUUUAAGUGGAAUAUCAAGAUUGAACAAUUAUAUGCAUCUUCGUUCAGUUGACAAUUUUGACAUAUUUUUUAAGUGAUUAAUUUUGAAAUUACACCAAACAUUAUUUGUGAUCUCUGUUUUGACUUUACUUGCAGGUCUAGAAAGAUUGAGCAACUUGAAGAGGCUUGAUUUAAGUUAUAACUUGUUCAAUAAUAGCAUCUUGUCAUUUGUUGCUCGUCUUUCAUCAUUAACAUCAUUAGACUUAUCUUACAAUGGAUUGGAAGGAAGUAUUAAUAUUAAAGGUACGUAAUUAAAACGUCAUCGCUUCUCCCAACUCUUGCAUUAACAUGCUAAAAUAAGAUUCAAGGUUUGAAUUCAAUUUUUUUUAUGAGUAAUAUUAGAAAAAUAGUUUUAAGCAAUUCAUAAAUACACUUUUCAAUGUUUCUCAUAAUUUCAUCUUGUACUUUUGUAUGUCUUGACUUUAAGAUUAAAAAAAAAUUACUCUAACUGUGAAGCAACUACCCCAUGACUAAUUUACAAUUUUGUCCAGUUAAAAAUGAUAAAAUUUAUCAUUUGUUUAUAUUGAUUUAUUAACUCUAUUUUAAGUCUUAAGUCUUGGCGUCUUGGCAUGUUUGCAGAAUUUGAUUCCUUGAGCAACUUAGAGGAGUUGGACAUGAGCGGCAAUGAAAUAGACAAUUUCGAGGUUCCUCAAGGUACACAAUUAAAAUAUUAUUUAAUUACAUUAAUUUAAUUCGUUUGAUUAGGGAAGGCCCAAAAUGUACAAAAACAUAAUUAGAAAAAAUAAAGAAACAGAGAAUUCAUAUUAUUUCAAAUAACAAAAGGUAAUACUAUUAUUUCAAAAACAGAUUGUAAUAAAGAUUUGAUUCCAAUUCUUUAAUCUUUACAGUGAUUGAAAAACGAUACUACUUCCCAAAGCAUAAAAUACGAAUUGACUCUCAAUUAAAUUAAUCAUUUAUUUCGUUUAGGUCUAAAUUUAGAAAAAUGAAUUUUGAUUCUCUUGAAUCAUUUCCUAAUUAUUAUUAUUCAACAGGUUACAGAGGUUUGAGGAAGCUGAAAAGCCUGCAUCUAUCGGGAGUUGGAAUUAGAGAUGGAAGCAAGUUGUUACAGUCAAUGGGAUCAUUUCCAUCCCUCAACGCUCUUUACCUGAGCUAUAAUAAUUUUACCGGUACAACGUCAACUACUCAAGGUAAGUAAAAGGUACAGAUGUGGCCAAAUUUAUAAAUAAACUGUUAAUUAAUUAAUUUUCUGUAUUAUUAAUAAAGCUAAAUUUUUUGCUCAUUCCUUCUAAUUCUAAACAGAGUUGCACAAUUUCACCAACUUGGAAUAUUUGACAUUGGACGAUUCCUCUCUCCAUAUAAGCCUUCUGCAAAGCAUUGCAUCAAUAUUCCCUUCGUUGAAAAAACUGUCGAUGUCUUAUUGUGAAGUCAAUGGUGUCGUACAUGGUCAAGGUAAAAGAAAAGUGUUGGUUGUGCACUCACUCAGUGGUGUCCUACGUGUUCAAUAUUUUUAUUUAUUUAUUUUAUUGUUUAAUGAGAUGCUUCCACCCUCCCCUUUAAAUCUAUAAUAUUAAUUUUCGAUAAAUAUAUAAUUAUAGAAACCAAUCACUUAUAAAAGAAUGCUAUGCAUUUGCCAAUUUUUUUAUAUUUUACUGAUUGAUGAAUUAAUAAAUUUUCAGGCCUCUGUUCGUUGGUGCAUCUACAAGAGUUGUACAUUGCAACUCUUGUAGUAAUUAAUUAAUUAAGUAUUAGUUAAUUAAUUAAUUAAUUAAUUUUCUGUAUUAUUAAUAAAGCUAAUUUUUUUGCUCAUUCCUUCUAAUUCUGAACAGAGUUGCACAAUUUCACCAACUUGGAAUAUUUGGCAUUGGACUCUUCCUCUCUCCAUAUAAGCCUUCUGCAAAGCAUUGCAUCAUUAUUCCCUUCAUUAAAAAAUCUGUCGAUGUCUAGUUGUGAAGUCAAUGGUGUCGUACGCAGUCAAGGUAAAAGAAAAGGGUUGAAUGUGAACUCACUCAAUGGUGUCCUACGUGUUCAACAUUUUUAUUUAUUUAUUUUAUUGUUUAAUCUUUCUGCUAGGUUUUCCUCAUUUCAAGAGUUUGGAACAUUUUGACAUGGAUUUCACGCGCAUUGCACUCAACACUAGCUUUAUUGCACUCAACACUAGCUUUCUUCAAAUCAGCAGUGAAUCGAUGCCUUCUCUUAAGUACUUAUCACUAUCAUAUUAUACUCUUGGAACUAAUAGCAGCGGGACUCUUGAUCAAGGUUAACGAGAUGCUCCCACCCUCCCCUCCUAAUCUAUAAUAUUAAUUUUUUAUUUAAUAUAAUGACACAAACGAAUCACUUAUAAAAGAAUGAUAUGCAUUUGUUAAUUUUUUUAUUGUACUGAUGGAUGAAUUAAUAAAUUUUCAGGCCUCUGUUCGUUGGUGCAUCUACAAGAGUUGUACAUUGCAAGCAAUGAUUUAAGAGGUAGCUUGCCUUGGUGCAUGGCAAAUAUGACAUCCCUCAGAAUAUUAGAUGUUUCUUCUAAUCAACUUACUGGAAGCAUCUCCUCAUCUCCCCUCGUUCAUUUGACAUCCAUUGAAGAGCUGAUGCUUUCAAACAAUUACUUCCAGAUCCCAAUUUCACUUGAACCACUUUUCAAUUACUCAAGACUCAAGAUUUUCAAUGCUGAGAACAACGAAAUAAAAGCUGAAAUAACUGAGUCACAUUCUUUGAUCGCCCCAAAAUUCCAAUUAAAUACUCUCUCAUUGUCUUCCAAUUACGGAGACGGUUUCAUAUUCCCCAAAUUCCUUUACCAUCAACAUGACCUGGAGUAUGUUGAUCUCUCACACAUAAAGAUGAAUGGAGAAUUUCCAAAUUGGUUGUUGGAAAACAACACAAAAUUAGAAACUCUUUUUCUGGUUAAUGAUUCUCUUGCAGGACCUUUUCGGUUGCCAAUUCAUUCACACAAGCGGUUAAGACAGUUGGAUGUCUCCAACAACAACAUUCGAGGCCACAUUCCAGUAAAAAUUGGAGAUGUUUUACCAAGUUUAUACGUUUUCAACAAUUCCAUGAAUGCUUUAGACGGUAGCAUUCCCUCUUCAUUUGGUAAUAUGAAAUUCCUCCAAAUUCUGGACUUAUCCAACAAUCACUUGACUGGUGAAAUCCCCGAGCACUUGGCCGUGGGUUGCGUCAACUUGCAGUUUCUUGCAUUAUCAAAUAACAACCUACAAGGUCAUUUGUUCUCUAGAAAUUUUAACUUGACAAACUUGCAAUGGUUACAAUUGGAGGGCAAUCGCUUCGUAGGUGAGAUCCCACAAAGUUUGUCUAAAUGCUCCUCACUAGAAGGAUUGUACCUUAACAAUAAUAGUCUUUUAGGUAAGAUUCCACGAUGGUUGGGUAAUCUGACACGGUUACAAUAUAUUAUAAUGCCCAAUAAUCAUCUUGAAGGCCCUAUUCCAGUGGAGUUUUGCCAGCUUGAUUCGCUUCAGAUUUUGGACAUUUCAGACAACAACAUAUCUGGAAGUUUACCAUCUUGUUUCCAUCCUCUCUCUAUCAAACAAGUUCAUCUUUCAAAAAAUAUGUUACAUGGACAGCUAAAAAGAGGUACAUUCUUUAAUUGCUCUUCCCUUGUGACAUUAGAUCUUAGCUAUAACCGCUUGAAUGGCAGCAUUCCGGAUUGGGUUGAUGGGCUUUCUCAGUUAAGCCACCUUAUCUUAGGUCACAAUAAUCUUGAAGGUGAAGUGUCAGUUCAAUUGUGCGAAUUGAACCAACUACAAUUGUUAGAUCUUUCUAAUAAUAAUCUUCACGGUCCUAUUCCUCCUUGCUUUGAUAACACCACACUUCAUGAAAGUUACAGCAAUAGUUCUAGUCCUGAUGAGCAAUUUGAAAUAUUUUUUUCCAUCGAAGGCCAUCAGGGAUUUUUAGAAAAGCAAAACCAUGAAAUUUUUGAGUUCACAACAAAGAACAUUGCGUACAUUUACCAAGGAAAAGUGCUUAGCCUCCUAUCAGGACUUGAUCUUUCUUGCAACAAGCUAAUUGGUCAUAUUCCUCCUCAAAUUGGAAAUUUGACAAGGAUUCAAACAUUGAAUCUAUCACACAACAACUUGACAGGAUUGAUCCCAUCAACAUUUUCAAACUUGAAGCAUGUCGAAAGUUUGGAUCUUUCCAACAACAAAUUGAAUGGGAAAAUCCCUCAUCAACUAGUGGAGUUAAAGACAUUGGAGGUUUUCAGUGUGGCAUACAAUAACUUAUCAGGCGAAAUUCCAGAAUGGAAAGCACAAUUUGCAACCUUCAACGAGAGUAGCUAUGAGGGAAAUACUUUUCUUUGUGGACUGCCAUUGCCCAUUUGCAGAUCACCAGCAACUAUGCCGGAGGCUUCAAUUGGCAAUGAACAAGAUGAUAAUUUAAUUGAUAUGGACAGUUUCUUUAUCACAUUUACAACAUCGUACGUAAUUGUGAUAUUCGGAAUUGUUAUUGUUUUAUAUGUAAAUUCUUAUUGGCGACGUAGAUGGUUUUACUUUGUUGAAAUGUGGAUAACUUAAUGUUACUAUUUUGUUGUAAACAAUCUUAUUGCAACAAGAUAUUGUCAUUGAAAUUAAUUAGCAGUUUAAUUACGAUUCUUUAAGUUCUAAUCAAGUUUGCUUAGGAAAUAAUUUUUUUUUAUUUUUUUAUUAAAAUUGUAGUAGUAUUUAGCGCUAUAUAGCUUCCAACUUGGUAGAAAGCUCCAUUUUUUGUUGGCUACAGUAAAAGCAUGUUGUUUUAUUCUUCUUAUACUUUACGCCUGCAUCAGCUUAAAUCACUUCUUAAACGCUUGCUUUAACUGCACCGCUUCGUACUGCUCUAUAUAUGUAACGGUUAUGCGGUUGUAGCUCACGGCUCAAGCUACGCGUUUGUUUGACGUGGUAGUUACGUUACGAUGUUUCGAGUCUGUUAAACAUUCGGUGAUAAGAUUAGUUACAACAAACCUACUAGUUUUAUAAAAUUCAAGUGAGAUGGAAUAAAAUAAAAAAUAAAUAUAAAAUUGGCUUUUAUUUUUUAGGUUAACCAUAUUUUGUGUUCUCUUCGGGCACUACUACAAUUGUUCCCUAUACAUCAGUUACACUCACGUAUCAUCGACACGAAAAAUGAAAUCUAAUAUCACCUGUUUAGUUAAAGAAUCACUCAUGAAAAAAAAUUACCAUUUUGAUUUGAAGAUCCAUAUUUUGAACUACCAAUUAAUGUUCAUCAAGAACAGAGUGUGGCCGUUAAGUAGAAAAACUAUUUUUGGACAAAUUAUUAAAUUCCAAUAUUGUAUCCAUAUGCAAACGAUGCCUGAAGCAGAGCCUCCAAACAAUGACCAGGGCACAAAACAAGAGUGUAGUAAUCAAGUGUAUUGUCUCAUAAUCAAUUAAAAGCAGAUAUACAGGAUACCAUAUUCAAUUCCAAAAUAACAAAAGCAUAAUGAGGAUGAGAAGAACAAUGAUCACUCAAAUAUUUCUUCACUUUGGUUGUCAAUUAUCUAUUCAAAUUAAUCAGUGUCAUUAUGGACUUAUUUAUUUAGAAGAGCGGGUGAUAAAUAUAUUCAAUAAUGUGAACAAGAAGUUGAUUAACUUUUAUGAUCAUUUGGAAGGUCGGCGUGUCAUCACUCGUCAAACACAUUGCAUCGAUCCACCAGCAUGAACCGACCGGAUUAUGCCCAAAAGUUGAAAUAUCAAUAAAAAAAACAAUUAAUUAAAGGUCGAAGAUGGGUCCUUUACAUAUGUUUUUGUUUUCGUAUUAGGUAGGAGGUUAUUAUAUUAUAUCAUGUAAUUAAUUUAUUAUUACUCAACACUAAGUAAUAACUUAACUAUAUAAAGACAACAAGAAGAUAAAAUGAUAUAUAAAAAAAAAAAGAAUUUCAAAGAGAUAGCAACAUACAAUAGACUGAAGCCAUUUGAUCUGCUCAUUGAUUUCAGCCUUAAACUUGUAAAUAGUUACUGUCAAAUAUUCUAUUCAUACGAAAAAAAUGUUUAGAUAUCUUACUAUAAAUAUAGCCGUUUGACUGUCUUAAUAAAGUCACACACAACCAUUCUUAUUAAAUUAGCAAGAUCAAACACUGCCCUGGAUCUUGAACAGAUCAACACAAGAUGCACAACUUAUGAUUGAACCCAGAAACAAUCAAAUCUUUAGCAAGAACAAUUAAUCAGAGUCAAGAAACAAGUUUAAUGAAUAUAAACCUAUAAUUGAAACAAACAUAGCCAAGAAAAAAAUACAGAUUUUACACGGUUCAGUUGUACCUAGGAUGGCACAACCUACACCACGAGAGAAGCUUUCUGGUGAGAUUUUAUUGAUGAUCAAAGAAGAAUCUUUUGACAAAGCUAAUAAUAGAGAUUUCAGAGAAUAAGCUGUAACCCUCUCUCCCUCUUCAAUCUCUCUCUAUUUUGUUCCCAUUGAUGACCCCAAUCUGCUUAGUUAUCCAGCUUUAUAUCUGCAUCAGUAACAAACCAGCAAACCCAGAUUGAGCAGAUUGACGACACGUGGAUAACGGCUUUAACGAACCUGGUUAAGAACUGCUCACAUGUUCGUCACGCGUGCUGCUUAAAUGAUGGCCAAAACGACUUCAAACAAAUGUCGUUUUGAGGCUUAUGAAUUACAAGUGAUAACACGAGCUUGUCUCAUGACUUUUAAAUGCAACAGCGUGCCCAAAACGCCGUCGUUUUACUCUGUUGAGUUUGAUUCAUUACUAAGCUUUACGACUGGCACUGGAGAAGAUGAUAAUUUAAUUUACAUGGACAGUUUUUAUAUCACUUUUACAACAUCCUAUGCAAUUGUAAUAUUGGGAAUUAUUGAUGUUUUAUUCUGUGAAUCCUCAUUGGCAAAAACUAGUGGUUUUAUCUUUGUUGAAAUGUAAAUGACCUCUCGUUACUAUUUUAUUAUAAACAUAUAGUUUCGUAAGUGAAACUACAUGUUUAUAAUAAAAUUAACAUAUAGUUUCGUUACAUUUCUGCCUCAUUAAGAUUCUCAAAUACCAGUCAGGUUUGCUUAAGAAAUAAAAUUUUUCCAUUAAAAUUGCAGUAGUAUUUCCAAGCAUAUCGCAUUUUCUAUGAUUUUUCAUAAAUUAAUUAAUCUGCGGUGCCAAUAUCAGAUUUAGUUUUUCAAACUAAAUAAUCAAGAAAGCAAACAUACAAAUAUACAGUUUAGAGGGGUAAACUAGGUAGGUGGUUUAGAUUUUAGAACUAAGCCAGCUACCUCACUAAAUUCCGAUUCGUACAGUGAACUGCAAGAAAUUGAGAAAACAAUGAAUUUAUAAUUUAAUAGAAUCAUAAGAAAACAAUGUAGUCAUUGCUCCAUAUAAGAUGAUGAUUUCGGAGAGGCACAUUGUUUUCAAGUUAAUUUGAUCCGUUUAUAAGAGAUGAAGUGGAAUCAAGUUGAAAGUUUAAAUAACAAAUCCUUGUUCUUGAGUUUUACGACGUCGUUACUCCUUCAAGUGGCAGAUUAUGCAAGUGAAUGCAGAAACACAAUGCAUCAUCCGCGGGGAUGAUACAUCAAAAGGCGGGAUUUGUUUAUGCCUGCAGAUUAGCAAUUUCACUCAUAUAGAAAAUUAAUUUUUUAUAUAUACUAAUCAACACUAAAUUGAUUAUGUGUUGUAUGUUUAUAUGCUAAUCAACACGAAAUUAUAUUGAAUUAUUAACAUUCAUAUUCCUAAUAAAAAUUAUUUUCCAUCAGUAUUCAAAAUUUUCACUUAUGGAAAAUGCGUUUUAUGUGAAUACUAGUUAUUGUGUAAAUUUGAAUGAUAGCGAAAAAUAAACCUAUUUGAAAACUGUAAGGGUGUGUUGGGAUAUUUUACAACUGUCGGAAUCUGGUAGGAUAUUGCACCAUUUGCCCAAUAUUUUUAGACGUACUCUAACCGGUAUUCAAGAUAAGUAAAAGUUACAAGCGUGGCAAAAUAAAAAAAUAAAAUUUGUAAUUUGUAAACGAAUUUUCCUGACAUGUAUAGUAGAUGAAGUUGUUGAUCCUUUCUUUGGAUUAUUUCAGCUCUGGUUGUUGGUCACCGAUGAGCCGAAGUCUUAUUUUAAUUUUAUUUAAACUCAUCAUAAGAUUCGUGGAGCACCUAACUAACUUAACUGACUGUGCAGAGCAUCUCAACAUGGCAUAUUUAACCAUCAUUCAAGUGAUGGGUUUAAUAAGACUGCUUUUGUUCUAUCAACUAUCAAGUUCCUCUGCCUCUAAGCAGAAUUACUAUUGAAGGGCCAAAAGGAAAAUGAAAACGUGUGAGCUCCAACAACCACCCCACAAAUUCAAUGACGAUGCUCGGAGAGGGUUAGGUUGGGCCUCUGAGAAAAAAAAAAUUAUUUAGUUAAAAAGUUACCCUUAUUGAAACCUGUAUAAAAAUUUUAUAUUAAUUAGUUAUGUUGCCUCUUCAACUAUGAUCAAAUUUUUAUCCGAGCUCAUCAUUUAAUGAGUAAACAUGUAUUUUAAUGAUCUCAAUUAAUAUUUAGAACAAAUAUUUUAAGAAGUAAAGCUCAUUAUAUCUUCCAUUAUUAUGUAUUUCUUUAAUUUCUUAUUUACAUAAUUAUAUUGUACAUUAAAAAUGUAUUGAAUUUGAAGAAAAAAAAAUUCAACUCACUCAAAAAAAAAAAAAAAUGCUGGUAGCUUCGUAAUAAUUACUGUAUUGACUGCACCAGAUAAAGUUUUGUAAAAUAAUAAGUUCUCAUUAGUGGUUUUUAAUUUUUUUAAUUUUUUUUUCCGGCACACCUGAUCAAGAAUUCUAUUUUGUUAACUAAUCAAUUGCAAAGCAUAAGUGUUGAACGGCAAAAAAAUUUAAAAAAACACUUAAAACGUGGGGAAAUGAGAAAUAUAGAAAGAAAGGAAGAAAGUUGAGACAUGAAACUGAUCUGCAGUGAAAUUGAUAAUCAUGUUUCUAUUUCGUUAACUAAUCAAACGGAAAACUGAAACUGUAAACAAACAUUAACACGUGUGGACUCUGCUAGCUGCCCUACAAGUCUACAAUAGUAAUUGAGUACCUUUGAUUCAUCCUUCUAUGAAUUUCUAGCUGUAUUGACCCCAACUGCUAAAGUUUUGUAAAAAAUAAAAAUAAAAAUAAAAAAACUGGAAUUUCAACAAAAUUCAAAACGUGUGAAAUUCAAAAAUGGACUUUGGCCAUGUGGAACAAAAUGUAAAUUAAGGAAAAAGUAUAAAUCUCAAUUGCUUAGUAUGGUUAGGAUUUUGUGAGCAUCACUAAAAAGUGAAAACUAUGAAUGAUAGAGGUGAUGUUUGCAACAUGAAUAAAUGAUGAACUGAAUCAAUUGAUGAUCGUAAUUACAUAAUGAACAAAAUUUACAAAAUCAACAAAAGUUAAUAAAAAUUUAUUCAAAUAAUAAAAAAUCAAUAAAAACUUAUUAUUUAACGGCGCUCAAACCAUGGAGUACCAUAAUCAUAAUCUUCUUUUAAGAAAAUUAUAACUUAUUAUUUUACAGGUUUGAUCCAUUUGGAAUGAAGUGGUCUCAAGUUGAAAGUAAUUAAUUUAUUGAAUAACUUUCGACUUAUUAAUAGUUAUAUCAACGGGUGUUUUACCUCAUCAUGUCUUCAAGUGGAAGAUGAAGACUAUGCAAGUGAAUUCAGGAAUAUUGCAUGCCUGUUGUCUAAAGCAUUACCUCACAAGGUUUCAUGAGAAACGAAAGAUGUGUUUGCUUUGAACAAUUAAAGUUACUGCUACGAACCUCCCCAAAGGUCAAGAAGACAGAACAGGAAGCUAAUGCCAUCAAUGUCUUGUUCAUUAUAGCUGCUGGGUAGUUAGGUGUAGUUUCCUCAUUUGAAGCUGUCUAUACAUAGGCAUUUCCCCUGCUUAUGUACAAAUAAAUGAACAACCUUGAAGCUUUAUUAUUCGCAACAAAAAGGGAUUACUAAUUGGAGAAGACUAUACAGAGUUUUCUCUCACACUUGCUCUCUGUCAAUUUCAUCCAGAAGUCCCUCUGAAAGCUUCUCCCAAAACAGUUAGUCAUCUUUUAUGCUCUGUUUUCUGAAAACAGAGUCCUAACUAAAUUAAUUGACUGUACAGUGCAUUUCAACAUAGCAUAUUUAACCGUUUUAACAGUUAUUUGGACCGUCUUCAGAGGUAACAUCAACAAACUCAUUCAUAUGCUUAAUAAUGAACGAAUAGUCUUGGAUUGAUGUUUUGCAGCAAGAGCAACACGACACAAUCUGGAUUCAACCUCCUCCUUUCUAACAGGGGAUUUCGAUUUGAGUUACUUUGUGCUCAAGCAAAUUCACAUCAUAGUUUUGAUUCUUUAGAUAUGAAUUCAUCUCAUUACAUAUAUCAGAUUAAGUGUAACAAAAUUUGUAAUUUACUGCGAAAAGAAUAUGCACUAAAAAAUGAUUUCAAGACUAUUUGACUACAAAAAGCAGCUGUCAGAGUGCACUAAAAAUUUCUGUAGGAUAUUUUGUAGCUGUUUAAUAUGUUAUGAUGGGCAUAUAAUUCUCAAAUUUUGAUGCCUCUCAGCGAAAAAUAUAUCAAAGUUACGGAUGAUAUCACGUAAAACAUGCAUGGCUCAGGCUCAGGCUCAGGUAAGAAAGCCACAGAAAUGGAAAAUCUCACUGUCACGACUCACGUCACGCAUCAUUCAAGUGAUGGAUUUAACAAGACUGCUUAUGUUCUAUCAAAUUCCUCUGCCUCUCAGAAGAUAACUUUUCUGGGCCAAAUUUCUCAUCUAAAGCAUAUUAUGCCCCAAAGUCACAGAUAACAAAAUGGGGCACUACCGAUUAUGAAAGAGAACUAGUAGUUGUCAGAAGCCUAAGCCAAAUUCCGGUAGUAAGAAGAGGCCUUUCUUGAGUUUAGAUUAUGUGUUCGAGUUUUAAUAAAUGCCUAAGUUAAUAAUAAUAACAACAGUAAUAAUAAACUAAAAAGCAUAAUUACUAUUGAAUGGUAAAAAAAAAAAUGAAAAUGUGUGAACUCCAAUAACCACCCCAGUGGCGAAUUUUGGAGAGGGCUAGGCCGGGCUUCUUAGAAAUUAUUUUUAUUUAAUUACAAAAUCACCUUUACUGAAACCUAUAUAAAAUUUUUUAUAUUAAUUAAUUAUGUUGCCUCUUCAAUUAUCAUUAAAUUCUUGUCCGUUCAUAAUUUGAUGGAUAAAUGUGUAUUUCAAUAAUUUCAAAUAAUGUCUAGAACAAAUAUUUUGAAUUAUAAAACUCAUUAUGUCCUGCAUUACUAGAUGUAUCUAUAAUUUAUUAUUUACAAAUUAUAUUGUAUGAUAAAAAUGUAUUGAAUUUUUGUUUAAAAAAAAGUUCGGCUCACUCAGAAAAAAAUGUUAUUAGCUUCGCCACUGCACAAAUCUAGAAUAAUAAUUAUUCCUUAUUAUAUUGACUGCACCAAGCAAUAAACUAAUAAGUUCUCAUCAGUGGUUUUUAAUCUUUUUAAUUCUUUUUACCGCACACCUGAUCAAGAAUUUUAUUUUGUUAACUAAUCAAUUGCAAAGCAUAUAUAAGUGUUGAACGGUACACAAGAUUGGAAAAAAAAAAUCUUAAAAAACGUGCGGAUUCGGGUGGCCACACCAGAAAUCUAUUACAAUAAUUAGCUUUGAUGCUGGGAAUCUUUUAAUUUCUGGCCGUAUUGAAGUUUUUAAAAUAAUAAGUUCCCCUUCUCGUUUUUUUUUUUUUUUAAAUAUAUAUGCUUAUAACAAUUUUAGAAUAAUGAUUCAUUUGUAGAAGAACUUAUGAUUUCCCAUUAAUAUUAAUAUUGAAGUGGGGUGGGUCAAAUCUCAAUUGCUUGAAGAAUUUAUGUAUUAUUAAAUAUUACCAUCCAAGGUAGAAUUGUGGAAAAUUAAAGCAAAAUGACAAGUAUGGAAAGGAAGGCUGAAAGUAAGGCAUGACGAAAGGCUUUGAGAAGGCUGAAGACUACCAAAGAAGUCAACUGAAAACUAGCUGGGGCCUGAGUGUAUAAAUUGUUAGAUGCGUUUGUUAUAAAUAACAUAGAGCCCUUUUGUUAUUUAUAGUUAUAGAGAAAGAGAGAAUGUGUGUUUUUUAAUAGUUAGAGAUAUAGCUAGAAUGGGUUGCUCAAAAUCCAAAAUAGUGACAAUGUUAGUUCUCGUAUUGAUAAUAUUGGGGGGGGGGGGGGGGGGGGGGGGGGGGGGGGGGGGGGGGGGGGGGGGGGGGUGUUGGGAGGUCGAGUGAGGGAUGUUUGGAGCAUGAGCAAUUUGAUCUUUUGCGGCUUAAACAUUUCUUCAAUUAAUAUCGAUCUGGGAGAGUGGUAUCUGAAUGCUUCUCUAUUUACUUCCUUUCAACAACUUGGUAACAAAAUAGCCGGCUGCAUGCGUUGAGAAUGAAGGUGCUUCAUUUAAUUUAAUUUACUUAAUUUCUCCCUCCUAAUUAAUGUCUAUAAUCAUUAGGAGGAACAAGGGAUUUUAUUAACUCAAAUAUAUCUAAUGGAUCUCAUUCUUUGGUUUUACUUGCAGGGCUAGAAGCAGGUGUCAUCUAACAGCUGCUUUGAUAAUUUCCCUCCCCUUCAUCUUUGAUGGAAAGAUGAAAUAAAAACAAAUUGGUGAAAAUGGUAUUGGUACCUGAGGCUAUGUAAUCUAAUUCAAAAACUGCACCAUCAAAACGAUUACAUAAGUCUCAGAAGAAUCAAAUAUCAGUUUGCAAAAUAUCAAUUGCUGGAGGUUUGAUUCUAACUUCCGCUCUUCAUUUUAUGGGCAUAUUGUGUUGUACUUGCAUCCGAAAAUCAUAUUUUAGUUUACUUGCACUCAAUGCUUGGAUUAAAGUUUUUUGGGGGGGGGGGGGGGGGGAUUGAAGAAGACUAAAAUUACACCAAAAAAGAGUUGAGCGAGAGCGGGUUUUGUCUUCAUUUAAGGAGCUCUUUAUAAAUUUUGGGAUUUUUUUUCCUGAGAAAAUUUAUGCCAACUCAUUCUUUGCUUCUUUUCUGAAGGACACAUGCAACCGAAAGUAUAUUCUUGAAUUCUCCAGGAUAAGAGACAUACGUUUAGAUUCUGGAGCAUUUAAAACAAUGUCAAAUUUUAGAUUGCUGAAAUUUUAUAUAUCCGAGUAUGAUGGUGUUCCAAUUAUAAGCUCCAGGGUGCAACUUCACUGAGGUUUAGAAUGCCUUCCUAUAGAAUUGAGAAAUCUCCAUUGGCAUAAAUAUCUUUUGAAAAUACUGACAUCAGAUUUUGAAUUGGAGAACCUGAUUGGACUCAGCUUGCCCUGUAGUAAGGUUAAGCAAAUUUGGAAAAGAGAAAAGGUAUAAUGUAUUACUAUUACCAAAGUAUCUAUUUUUCUUUCUUUAAGUAUUUUAUAAUGAAUAACUUUGAAAUUCAAUGAUGCUCAUUUAGUAUAGUUAUGUAUCUUUGGUUAUAGGAAGCUGUCAAGUUAAAAUCUAUAGACCUUCACCACCCCUUUAUCUCAAUAGGAUCCCAGAAAUACUAAAUCUUAAAAAAAUAAAUCUUUCAAAUUGUGAAAGCAUGCUUACGUUACCCCCGUAUAUCCACAAUUUCAACUAGCUGAGUAUGUUGUGUUUCAGGGAUGCAAAAUUCAUUUUGUUUCUCAUGAAAGGAUUGACUUGUCCGGAUGUAUUAGGGUUAGUAACCAACUAAUCCCAUAAUUUGUUGAUGUAGGGUCCUAACAAAUUAUCUGCAGUAGAUUGUAGAUCACGUACACUAUUCGAAAACGUAUUUGAUCCACACAGUGAAGUGGAUAUUGGACCAAUUUGAUGAUAAUGAAUUUCUUUCAAUCUCAAUCUUUUUUCUUUUUAGCAACAUGACUAGUCAUUGUGCAAAUUCAAAACUCUGACAAUAAUUUCUCAAUCGGUUUCUAAGAUGAUGACCAUGCAUGUAUAUGUAUAUGCGUGUGUAUAUGUGUGUGUGUGUAGAGAGAGAGAGAGAGAUCACACGUGUGUGAUUUCCUUUUUGCCAAUAGGAUAUGCAGAGAGCUUGAUCUUACCCAAUAGCGAAACAAACUUCCUAAUAAGUGAAGGUAUAGUAUAAAUACUUAUACUUUCAUGUUAUUUUGUUCAUCAGUAGCUUGAUUAUUUUAUAUGCGUCUUCGAUUUUAAUUUUCUUUCCCUAUAAUCGCUAUUAUCUUUGAACUGGUCAUAAUUUGCCCAUAAGAUUUCUCAUGUUGUUUUGAGGUGCAACGGAUUUUGAAUUUAGUGACAAGCAGUGGAAGCCAGAAGGCAAAUUAUGAAAAUGGAUAAAGAUCUAUAAUUAGCUGUUAUGGGAUGUCACAUAUCAUAUUGAUGGUAACGUUAUAUAUAUGUACAUAUAAUUAAUGGGGUUGGCUCACGAGCCCAUUAAUAAUGGUAUAUUAGCUUAUAUACUUCAAACAAUGUACUAUGAAGCAAUUUCACAAAUACUUGUUAGCUUAUGUUGAGCUUUAUUGAAUCAGUAGUUCACAGUUCAAUAAAAUGCAGGUUUGCUAUUUGAAGUACAUGGUUAUGGUGCGUACAUUCUUCAUAAGGCUAACUACUAAUUUAUCAUUGAAACUUGAAAAAUGUGAUAGAGAGAUGUAGAUAACAGCCGCAAAACACUGAGAUUGAAAAUCAGGGCUACUAAAUUCUAUUAAAAGUCCUUAAAAUAGACAGCGAUCACCCUGAAAUGUAUAUACUGAAACUAAGAAAUAUUAAUCGCAAAGUUAUGCAUUAAUAGAACUAUUGACUACUUAUCUUUAGCAUAAAGUAUAUUUUUAACUACAGCUUUCUGCUUUGUUCUAAGAACUAGGCAAAAGUGGUGUAUCUUCAAUCCAAUCAACAUAUAUACCACUUAUCUUCCUCUUCACUUCUGUCUAUUUUGAUUUGCACUUCAUAUCCUGCACUUGCUGCUUAGAAAUAGUCUUUAUUCUGGACAUUGAAAGUAGAAAAAGUACUUGAAACAAUCAUUGGCACAGCCCGAGAUUCCAUUGAAUCGUGGACUCCAAGCUUUCAUAGUUCUAUAAAGAAGAUGACAAAACUUCAUACAACUGGCAUUCUGCUUUUAACAUUUGCACAACCUGAGCGAGUUAGCAAGCCCCUUGUUGCGUUCCCAUUGAAUAGACCUACUUCUGUUAUCCGCAGAAGAUCCACCACUCAAAAUGUUUAUCACCAGGCUAUUCUUAAACUGAGCCUAAACUGAGUAGAAACUUCCGCACAUCUCUCAGCAUUUACAUGAAGAAAUCGACAACUAUCCUCAUCUCUCAGCAUUCUACAAAGUUGCAUUUCACUAAGCAAUCUAUCCUCUCCAUUCCUAGCAAAGUGACAUUGAUUCCCGUAUUUGUAAUCGCCUAACUUGGGUUUUGGCAUAGCGUGGUCUUAAAAAUUACCACCCAAUACUUUGUUCAGUGCCACUGGCAUCCACAAGCUCUAGCCCUGUUAGUUGAAUCAUAUUCAAUGGGACAGUGAGGCAGCAUUUCACUAACAUAUUCAAUUUGACUACUUAUAUUGACGCAAAUAUUAGAAUUUGAAAUCACUUCUUUUAUUGGAAUAUUAUAUUAAUAUGACCCCAAAUGAAAGUUCUUGAAUGGAAAUGAUUUUUAUUUACUUUUCGAACAGAUUCAAGAAAACCCAGAGAACACAAAAUUUACACAGUAAUAUGAUUAAGAGCUGAGAACGUAUAUGUAGUAAAUGUCUAUCAAAAAACACCCAAGGGUUUCUUUAAAAUUAGUAACUAGUAAACAAAAGAAAGAAUCAUUUUACAUUUUUAGCAACUUUGGGGUGAGUGAGUGAGUGAGAAAUUGAAACCCUCAAGUGAUGACAACAGUAAGAUUCAGUAUGAAGUGAAACCCCAAUUUGAAAUGUAGGCAUGAGUUGCUGAGUCAGUAGAUGAAGCUAUAAAUAGGCAUUCGGUUUCCUUCUUUUCGGUUUGGAGGCCAUGGAAUAGUGUAUUGGAGUGGGCUCCAAGUAAUAGCCUCUAUCACUGGAACGACACAUCUAUAAAAUGUGAUACAUGGGGAAGGAUUGGGCAUUUUAUUCUUAGAUUAGCCCUUAUUUAGGGUGUAUAUUAAGCAGAUUAUAUAUUACAUGGAGAUGGAGUUUAAAUAGAUUAAAAAGAAAAGGAAAUUUUGGUGCCUAAAGUUUGCCACUUGGAAUAUUUCGGUGUCUAAAAAUUCACUCACCACUUAUUUCAUGUUUGAUUAUAUGUUGAAAAGAUAUUAAAAUAGUAUAAUGCUAUUAAGGCUUAACGUAUAUUUUUUAUUAGUAGAGUGUAGAAUUUUUAAGAAAUAAAUUAUUAAAUUAUUAUAACUAACAUAUUAUUUUAAAGUUGUGUUAUGAAAAAAAUGAAAUAAAAAUGUACAGUAAAUAAGAAUAUUUUAAAACUUUUAUCUUUUUAAAAUUAGUUUUUAACAUAAGGUGAACUAUUUUUUUUUUAAAAUCACAUAUUCUAGUUAAAAUCAAAUAUGUAUUUAUCGAAGCUUGUAAAUUUUUUUUUUUAGUACUGAUAUUUGAAUAUUAUCAAUAAAAAAAAGGGUAAUGUUCAUGCUGCAUUAUUUUUGUAGCACACAAAAGGACAACACCGUUUAUGUUAUAAUACUAUCGCUUCUGUUAUGAUAAUUUUUUUUGUGGCCAAAUAUCUUUUUUUUUUUUAAGUAAAAAAAGUGGACAAAAUGCAAAUCAGUUUUUAAUCCUCAAUCUCUCCCAAAAAUAUAUAUUUCGGUGUCUAAAAAUUCACUCACAAAACUAUAGCUGACAAAAAGUUACUAACAAAAAGUUAGGUCCAUGGGUUGUUAAAACUAUAGCUGACAAAAAGUUACUAACAAAAACAGAAUGUCCAUUUUAUAACUUUCUUAAAAAACUUUCCUUAACUUUUUUAAACAAAAAGUUAUUUCCAAUUUUUAUUUUGUUAUAAUGUUUAUAACAAAAUUCGUAGUUAACUAAACUCUUCUUAUACCCUUUCUCAACUGCCAUACCCUAACCCACUAAACCACGCUCAAUUAAGGCCAUCAGAUUCUCCGGGCCCACAUUAAUCCAACUGCUCACAGAGACCGACAGCCUCUCUAUCUCCAUUUCAAGCUCCCUCUUCAACUGGCUUCUGCUACCGUCCUACUCUUUCUCGGCUUCGGAGUCCGUAUUUGCUCGGCCUGUCCCACGAAGCUCCCUCUCACUCCAAUUGUCGCCCCACAAGACCAAUUGCUUAAUCAAGACACCGAACAAGAAAGGAUGAGAAGUUGAAACAAGAAUUUGAGAAUUGGAAAUAAAAACGUACGCAUUGACCGUGCCUUUGAGAGUCGUUUCUCUUCAGAACUCAGUGCCUCAAUCUUGGGUUAAGGAUUUUAUGCGAAGUCAGGGAAAGAGAUUGAAGUUUCAGAUGAAUUUGUGUGCUAGCAUUGAUGGGAUCUUUAACAAUUUAUCUGUGCCCUUUAACAAAGUUAAGGCUAAGUCAGCUUCUUAUAUGGCUGCUGAUUUGGUUAGUGUUGGUGAUUCAUGGCUUAGUUUUGCCAUUAAAAAGAGAUUGAUUGAGCCAAUGGCUGGAGCUGAAGACCAAGAUUGGUUCAAAUGCUUAAGUCACAAAUGGAAGGUAACAUCUUUGUCUUUGAUCCUCGAGGUAAAAUAUGGGCGGCACCGUACAGGUGGGGCACAACGGUGAUAGCCUACAAGAAAAGUAAAUUUCGAAAGCAUAAUUUGGCUCCGAUUGAGGUAAUAAUUUUCUUUAAACUCAUUUAGUUUUAUAUCAAACAAAAUCAAGACUGCCUUUCUCUUCAAUAUUUUUUAUGAUAAUAUCUUUAGAAGCAUCUCAUUGACGGGUAACAAUGGCAUCCUGGUUAAGGAUUUUAUGCGAAGUCAGGGAAAGAGAUUGAAGUUUCAGAUGAAUUUGUGUGCUAGCAUUGAUGGGAUCUUUAACAAUUUAUCUGUGCCCUUUAACAAAGUUAAGGCUAAGUCAGCUUCUUAUAUGGCUGCUGAUUUGGUUAGUGUUGGUGAUUCAUGGCUUAGUUUUGCCAUUAAAAAGAGAUUGAUUGAGCCAAUGGCUGGAGCUGAAGACCAAGAUUGGUUCAAAUGCUUAAGUCACAAAUGAAGGUAACAUCUUUGUCUUUGAUCCUCGAGGUAAAAUAUGGGCGGCACCGUACAGGUGGGGCACAACGGUGAUAGCCUACAAGAAAAGUAAAUUUCGAAAGCAUAAUUUGGCUCCGAUUGAGGUAAUAAUUUCUUUAAACUCAUUUAGUUUUAUAUCAAACAAAAUCAAGACUGCCUUUCUCUUCAAUAUUUUUUAUGAUAAUAUCUUUAGAAGCAUCUCAUUGACGGGUAACAAUGGCAUCCCUGAAAGAGUCUAUAAACUCAAUGAUAUUAUCUUCUACAAAUGGUUCAUUAAACUUUGUCGUUGUACUCAAAUGUACACUCAGAUCAAUGAGAAGCUAUGCUACGUUAGCAUGUAGUGAUGGCACUUAAUAAGUGAGUUGCUAGGAUGUGAACUAGAAAAAUUAAAUAUUGUCUCCUUGGGUAUGCUAGCUGGUAAGUCAGGGUUAAUAUCAGAGCUUAAGAUAGUAUAACCGUGAGAACCUAUUGACUGCCAAUUAAAAUAUCCAUUGAAAUGUCUAGGGAGUUAUGAAGGUGGAGGUAACUUCCAAUUUCUAAGGCCACAGAGUAGACAUCAUCCAGGAUCCUAGGAAAGUCCAGUUAACCUCCUGCUCGAUGCAAUUAAUAAAUUUGGUCAAUGCCACUGAAACCUGCUAACUGACGUCACAAUGCGACAUGAGCACUUCAAAAUGGGACAGACGGUCAGUAGCACUAAAUUUUUCUUGCCAAGAUUGAGCAAUUGGUCUAACUACUAAUCCCUAUUGUAGUUGAUCAUUAUUUUUUCAAUUAUGUUCAGUUUGACCCAAAAAGUUGCAGAAUCUUGAGCUAAAUAUUGUCACUGAACACUGUCAAUGUCAUUUAGCAUAGCCAACUAACUUGAUGUUAAAACAAACACACAGUGUGUCUCAUGUCUCACAAUUCAAAUUAUCAUCUGUAAUGUUGGAGAAUUUUUCCAAUGUAUGAAGUAUGCUUUGAUACGUGGGUUACCUUGGAGAAGAUAUCUCAAAAUAAAGAAUAUGGGGAGAAAACAGUUCAGUAGUUUAUUAUUCGUAGUCAAGUUUUGUCUCGAAAAUGGUCAAAAUUUAAAUGAAUAAGGACAGGGGAUCUUCAUUCUUUUUUCCCUUUUUAUACCAAGAUAUCUCUCAACCUUUAUAUAAUCCCCACUGGAUAUCUGCUUCUAAUAAUUAAAAUAAAAAUUUCACCGCUCUAACAAUAAAAAGUAACAUCUUUCCUCAAAUAAUUUACAGUUCCUCAUCAUCUUAGUGUGAGAAUAUCAGUACAUUCCAAACAUAAUAAAACUGGUUUGAUCCUGUUUAUUGAUGUUUAAAUGUUGUUCAUUGUGACAGGUAGAAAUGAUGAGGCGAAGUUUAUUUGGACAUCAAUUAGUAAGAUCUUGUUUGAAGUUGUUUUCUGAAAUGAACUGCCAAAUGGUAGUUUUUGGGGGCAUUUGAUGGCUCUUUUUUUUUCCUCAUUUUCAACAUGUGCCUGCUUGGAACAUGAAGGAUUAGGCUGCAGAGUUGUUAUAUAUUUUGAGAUGCUCUGGUCAUUGCACAAUUUGUUCACACUGGAAAUUAGAAUGAGAAAUUUGUUGAUGCUGUUUUGAGAGAUCUGCAUUCUAUGCACAAUAACAUGAUUAAUGAAAAUGCAUUGUAGGACUGGAAAGAUCUGUGGCAGCCUGAGCUCGCAGGAAGAAUUUCAAUGGUUAAUUCUCCCCGAGAGGUUAUUGGUUCAGUUUUGAAGUAUAGGGGAACAUCAUACAAUUCAAACUAUAUUGAUUCGCAAGUUGCUGGUGGAAGAUUGCUGUUCAGCAGAAUCUGGCAUUACUGGCAAACCAGGUACUCUUACAGAAAUCAUAUCUGGUCAUUGCAUGUUAUUGCCUGACAACUGAUUUUGUUUGUAAAAGUCUGCUUCUUCAUACAUAUGAAUGCAUAUGUUAGUGUUUUCUUCUCCUUUUCAUACAUAUAAAUGCAUAUGUUAGUGUUGUCUUUUCCUUUUCACACAUAUUAAUACAUAUGUUGGUGUUCUCUCCUGAGAUGGAUGCAAUAAAGGCUUUUGCUCCUAAAUUUAGCUGAAGAAAUGGCAAGGGAUGUGAGAUUCUGUCUCAUUAAAUUAACAAAAACCCAAAACAAUGAAAAUCCAUAAUAAUGUGGUGUGGGUAAAUUGGCUCCAUUUGGUUCGUUUCCUUAAUGUGAAUGCGAGCAAUAGAGACUAACAAAAUGAAGUGACAACAAGAAGUCAGUGUCCUUUGAUGGAUGCAUUUUUAGCAGAAAUAUGUUUGUAAUUGACCAAAUUUGUCUGGCAUGCCAAUUUCAAAAAAAUUAAAUUAUGUGGUUAUUAGCUGUAAUGAAGGGGAUAGUAGGUGCAAUCAGGUGUAUCCAGGAAAGUUCAACAAAGUUUUGGUAUGGCGUAGUGAAAUUGGUUUGUGCAACUCAGGAGUCUUUCAGGUGAACGAUGAUAGGUUUUGAUUUAUGAAUAUUAUAAAUCUACUGUGCAUAGUAUUCUAGUAGAAUCAUCUAUAAGUUCUAGUUAUUGUAUACUUUGCCUGGUUUGAGUUAAGGGCACAUGUAAUAUGAAAGAUAGUUGUCGCAUCUUUUAGGUUACCUAACAUUUGAUCAAUCCUAUUAUGGGGGCUUCAAGAUGUCUAACAAUAUGUAGAAUGCCCAUGCUCCUCCCCAUUGUUUAUCUUCUACAAUAAUUUGUUUUAGAUGCUAAUAUCUUUGUCGAUACCGGUAACAAUAUUACAAUAUCUGCGUUUAUUGGGUUUUACAUAGGUUCGACUGUUUGACAGUACACACUAUCUGAAGGCAUUUGCAAUUGGAGAUGUAUGGGUUGCUGUUGGGUGGAUUAGUGAUGUUCUUCCUGCUGUCAAACAUAUGUCUAAUGUUGCUGUUGUUGUUCCCAAGUCUGGUGCUAGCUUAUGGGCUGAUCUUUGGGUAUACCCAUGCCUGCCAUUCUACUUCAAUAUUCACAUUGUUAUCUCCUUCAUAUUAGUGAUCAGUAAACACGAUAAUGUGACUAAUAAGUUCGUAUUCUCUUUAUAGGCAAUCCCUGCUGCCUCAAGACUUGAAACAAAACAAAUUGGAGGGCGAGUCAGAGGUGCAUUUCCAUUAAUCCAUCAAUGGAUAGAAUUCUGCUUGCAAACAGCGAGAGCAUUGCCUUUCAAGCAAGAGGUUAUCCCGAGCGCAUCUCCCUCUGCCCUUGAGUACUCUGGUUAAGUUGCCUGAAGAACUUUUCAAGGGUAAACCAAGUCUGGAUACUAACUUAAUUGCUGGAGUACCCCCGACUGAAAUUCUGGCCAGAUGUGAGUUUUGGAGCCUUUAUUUGAAGCUACAUUGUCGGAUUAUGAGUGGCUGGUUACUAAUCUGCAAAAAUCCACUCCUGUACUGAUCAACAAGAUGCAACAUUACAUGUCAUCAUUGAUCUUUAGCUAAAGGUACAUUGAAAAGUUAAUGGCACUGCAUACCAGUCAUUAUAAUUGGGUCAGGGCAAUUAGGUCAGAGCAUAACUUCAUUAGGAAAAGAUGCUUCAGCUACGUUAAAUAUUACAGGAUGUACUGAGAUGGCUGAAGCUGUUGAGGUUUUACGAGAAUCGAAAGAUAGUGUUUGUUUGAACAAAGUUGUUGCCAAUCUUGCAGAGUUCGAGAAGAAAGAUCACGAAGUGAAUGCCACCGAUUUCUUCAUCAUUGUAGCCUCCAUAGUUGAAGUUUCCUCAUUUGAAGCUGUUUAUGCAUACGAUUUUCCCCUGCUCAAGUACAGGAAAUUGAAGAAUUAACCAGAUGUGAUAUGCUGAAAGAGGGAAGUUUUCUUCCUUGAAUGUGGUCUUUGUGAUUUGUCUUGAAGGAAUAGGGUGAUCACUGGCAAGAACCCUAUCAAGGUAGAUUUUAUGAUGUUAACAUAUCAUUAAGCAUUUUGUUACAUCAGCAAUGAUGCUUUCAUAGCAGCAUGAAAGUGUUUAAAUUUUAACUGAAUGAUCUUGAUUGAUCAAUUAUGAGUUUUAAUCGAGUAAAAACUAAAUACAAUAAUCGUUAACAAAUAUUGAAAUUGGGUAAAUAUGAUCUUGAUAUUGAAGAAUUUGAAAUCACAACCCACACAGGAAAUCACCCUUCGCGUGGGGAUGGAGAUGUUACUGCAGCGAUAUUGAAUAUGUCCACCGCUCUUUGGGUUAUGGUGCGACUUGCCCUGAAACAAUGGAAAAGAAUAAUUAUAAUUUAACGCCAAGACAUAAAAUUAAAACGUGUGGACUCCGGUAGCUGCCCUACAAGUCUACAACUCUACAAACAUUAACUCUACAAACAUUAAACGUGUGGACUCCGGUAGCUGCCCUACAAGUCUACAACUCUACAAGAAUAAUUUCUAGCCCUGUUGACUCCACUAACUAAAGAAAUUUCAAAAACGUACAUAGAAUUCCACAACAAGCAAAACGUAUGGAAUUUAAUUUUUUGCCGUGUGGAACAAAAUACAAUUUAACAAAAAAGGAUAGAAAAAUGGUAAGAUUUCUAAAAUGAGUGGAAGGUGAUUCAUAUUUUACUGAAAUGACUUGUCCUGAACAUUAAGACGAUUGAUUUUUUUUUUUUAAUAACAUCAACUUCCAUAUCUUUCUAACCCCUAGAAUAUGCUCACGUUCAAGUCUAUCUUGGUAAUUUGAAAAAGAAAAUCAAAUCAAAUCAACACCAAAACAAUGAAAAGUAAAACUUUUGAAUUUCAACUUUAAACUUUUGUUAACCCUAGAAUAUUCAGCGUUUUCAAAUUCUUCCGAUUGCAUAUCUUCUUCCUCCAUCAAUGCAAUAUUUGAACGAUUAUGAAAGAGUUUAAGAACAUAAAAAAUCUCCAAGGUUUAUACGGUAUAACAAAUUUAAAUUCUCAAUUACAAUAGAUAAUAAUUAAACUAAUAAUUUUUUAUGUACUUAUUUUAGUAAUUUCACCUAAGAAUAAUAUUGUAAUUAGAAAAAAAAAUCUAAUAAGUAGGGUGGUCUUAUACAAAAUCAACUGUACUGUGAUGAGUUUCCUUUUGUUAAUAAUUUUAGUCUAAUUUCAAUUGUACUGUGAUCGCUUCUCAAGGUAAGUGAAAGUUACAGAUGGCAAAAUAAAUAAUUAAGUUAACAAAAUGCUAACUAAUUUUCCUCAAUACCUAGGGUUGUACAAUUUCACCAACCUGGAAGAAUUGACAUUAAUGGACUGGUCUCCUCCCAUAUAAUUAUAAUCCUUCUAGAAAGCUAUUUUUAUUAAAUAUUUGCUUUUAAGUUAAUUUCAAUUAAAAAUGUUUUAAGUUAAUAUAUACUCUAAUGAGAUUCUGAAUUCCUUAUUCAAUAAUAAUGAAAACGUAUUAAAUUAGAAAUGAAAAAAUUGGUGUUGAUGAUUCAACCUAUUUGGAUAGAUUACGUGAAUAAAAUUUAAAAUUUUGAUUUAAUUUUGUUUAUUGUUAAUUCUCAGGCUAUCUUUAAUUUCAAGAAUUUAGAAUGUUAAUUUGGUCAUGGAUUUCAACCCGUGAGUGUCAUAUUCUAGACUUAAUGGUACCAUUCUUUGAUUGAGGGCAAUGACUCUCACUCCUCUUGUAAAAAAAUAUUUUCAACUAUUUUGAUGACUUAAAAAUUGAUAGAUUUAUUGUUGUCAUGACCAAAUUAUUCAUUUUAAUGAAAUAUAAUUAAUGCAUCAAAGUUACAGGUUAUGUCUAUCUUAAUGCGCUUUUUUUUUUUCAGUUAUAGCUUCUGCUUACGUCUGUUUCAUUUUUUUUAAAUAAAAAAACAAGGGAAGGUUUUCCGAGUCAUCCAUUAUUUGAUUUCCGUCAAUCAAGAAAACGACCAAAUUAAUUUCUCUCCAAAAUUUCCAAAAGCUAGAAAAUUUUGUUAUUUGAAAAUAACAUGAAUUAAUUAUAGAGUGGAUCAAACCGCGUUAUUGUCUUUCAUAAAAUUGAUGUCUUUUAAGAGUCAAUACUUUUUUAUUUACGCAAACCAGUCGACAUCAAUUUAAACUUCCAUAUUUUAUUAUUAUUAUGUUAUUUAUUUUAAUCGCCGAUUAUUUGAUUAGCCACUAUAUAUAUCAAGAAAGCGACAAAAUUUAUUUCUCAUGACUUCCAAAAACAGAAAAACAACAUCAUUUAUUAUUUUUUUGCAACCUAAUUGACAUCACUUUAACUUAUUAUGUUAUUAUUUCAAUCCCCCAUUAUGACCUUUCUAAUCCUUCCAUUAUGCAUCUUUUAUAGUGCAAAUUGUAAUUGCACAUCUAAAUAAAUUGAAUAUUGUUACUCCACACCCAAUAUUUCAAAUAGUCACUAGACCAUUUCUGCCUUUAAUUUCCCUUAACUAUUGACUGUUUUUAGCAUCUUAAAAUAUACAUUUAUUCUUGAUUAUGUGAUAAAAUUAUGAAAUAUUCCAUUUUAGCUUAAAUUAAUUGGAAUAACCAUAAGCGUAACAUAAAUUAAUAGAACAAAAUUAUCAAGUGUAUGUUCUAUCUUACUUUUUGAAGAAUUUAACAUAUAUAAUGCUAUACUAUUAAUAAAUUUUUCAUUUACUAUAUAUGUUCAAUAUUUUAUAUAUUUAUUAAUUGUUAUAUAGUCACAGGAUGAAUGAUUUUUUCAGGUCUACAUGAGUUGGUGCACAUGCAAGACUCAAUUUUGACAACAAUGAUCUAAGGGGUAAUUUACCUUGGUGUUUGACAAACAUAACCUUCUUCAUGAUUUACUUCCAAUCUACUUACUGUAAAUAUCUCCUCAUCUCCUCUCAUUUAUAUGAUAAGUGAUAACCCUUGAAGAUCUCACAUUUUCAAACGAUCAUAUUAGGGUUUUUAUUAUUAGCAUCAUUGUGUCAACAAAAUAUAUGUUGCAGUAAGAUUUUUUUCAGACCAAUUCCCUUCUUCAAAUAAUUAAUGGAAAAGUAUUAAUUUAAAAAUAAAAUGAAUAUGCAUUGAUUAUAUCCUGAUUUCCAUCGAUUAUAGCGAGAGGUUCUCCGAAUCAACUCCCUUAUUCAAAUAAUACAGAAAAAAUAGUAAUUUAAUAGUAAAAUUAGCAAGUGUUGAUUAUAUAUCCUAAGUUUCAUCGAUUAUGUGAUCAAAGUGGCAUUGUUGAUUUAUUUUCUUGUUCAAUGUUAUUUUUAGGUUAUCUAAAUUUCAAAAGGAUUUAAAAUCUUUGUUCAUGGAUUACAACGCUUAUUAAUUUUUCUGCCAUUGACUGUCAUAUUCUAGACUUAAGGUACCUUCCUUGAUCAAGGAUAAUUACUCUAUGUUCCCUCUUAUAAAUUCCUCUUCAUUAACAUCACUAAGGAGUAUGUUGAUCUCUCAGACGUUAACUUUAGUGGAGAGUUUCCAAAUUGAUUGUUACAAAACAACACAAAAACUAGACACACUUGAUCUGUCUAAUAAUUCUCUUUCGAUAAAAUUAAUUAAUUUUAGGGGAAUAUUCGACCAACCUCUAUAAUUUCAUAUUGAUCAUUAAUUAAUUAGACGAAAAAAGUACUUGUGCUUUUGUGGCGACAAUUGAACUAGAGAAGUGAAGCUGUAAAGAUUUGGCAGUAGUAAAUUGUAGAAGACAUAAAGACAAUUUCCCAUUUUAUAAUUUUUUCAAAAAACUUUUUUACAACACAUGCACCUGGCCAAAAUUUUAUUUUGCUAACUAACAAUAAUUGAGUAGCUGACCGUAUUGACUCCGCCUACUUGCUAAAGUAAAAAAAUAGAAAUAGAAUUUCCACAAAAUGUCAAACAUGUAAAAUCUAAUAUUUGGCCAUGUGGAACAAAUACAAAUGAAAAAAAAAAUAGAAAAAAGGCCUAAAGACUUUUAAAAUUGUGUGGAAAUCUUUCGGCCCUUUUAUAAUGGUGUGUUUUUCAAAGGAACAACUAAUAAUAAUGACACUUCUACGGUUUGUUUUGAUAAUUACACAUAUACUCUUUAAUUUGAUAAAUGGUUACACAAAUUUUGUUUACAAAAAUAUAUUAUUCAUGUUCUGUAUUAUUUUUUAACAUCAUAUUUUUAUUUAUUAUAAUUGUUUAAAGUUAAUUGUUAGGUUGAUAUAUAAUAAAACGUAUAAUCGUUCUCUUACUAAACACACAAUACUCGUAGUUUCUAUCCAUUUGUCAUCUCAAUCUCUCUCAUUUAUCCUUUCUUGAUAGCUCAAAACGCGUCACUGUGGAAAAUAAUAGCAAAACGACAAAUAUGGAAGAAUGGGAAGAAAAUUAAUGCAUGAAAGAGUUGCAGAAGACAACCAAAUAAGUCAACUAUACGCUAGUUGGGUGUAUAAAUUGUUAGAUGUGUUAUAAACAAAUAGCAUAGAGCCUUGGUUGGUUACAGAGAUAGAAAAACUGUGUGUGUUUUUUAGAACUUAAAGAUACAGUUAGAAUGGGUGGUUCAAAAUCAAAAUGGUGAUAAUGUUUGUUCUGUUAUUAAUAAUAUUAGAAGGUGGGUGGAGUGAAGGAUGUUUGGAUCAUGAGAGAUUUGCUCUUUUGCGACUCAAACAUUUCUUCGAUGAUACUGGUAGUUAUUUUUACUACUGGGCAGAUGGUGAGGGAGCUACUGAUUGUUGUCAGUGGGAAAGGGUUGAGUGCAGCAACACCACAGGCAAGUGAUAGUGCUAGACCUUUUUUGAAACGUAUUUGGGAGAGUACAGCUGGUAUCUGAAUGCUUCUUUGUUUACUCCCUUUCAACAACUUGAGUCACUUGAUUUAUAUGGCAACAAAAUAGUCGGUUUUGUUGAGAAUGAAGGUACUUCGUCUAAUUCAAUUAAUUUACAUUUCGCUCUCCUAAUUUAAGUCGAAUAUCAAGACUGAGCAGCUAUAUGCAUAUUCAUUCAAUUGACAAUUUUUACAUAUUUUUUAAAAUGUUUAAUUUUGAAAUUACACCAAACAUCAUAUGUGGUUUUGAUUUUACUUGCAGGUCUAGAAAGAUUGAACAACUUGAAGAGGCUUGAUUUAAGUUAUAACUUGUUCAACAAUAGCAUCUUAUCAUCUGUGGCUCAUCUUUCUUCACUAACAUCAUUAGAUUUAUCUGGAAAUAGAUUGGAAGGAAGUAUUAAUGUUAAAGGUACGUAAUUAAAACGUCAUCGCUUCUCUCAACUCUUUCAUUAACAUGCUAAAAUAAGAUUCAAGGCUUUGAAUUCAUUUUUUUUUAUGAGUAAAUAUUAGAAAAAUAGUUUUAAGCAAUUCAUAAAUACAAUUUUCAAUGUUUCUCAUAAUUUCAUCUUGUACUUUCGUAUGUCUUGACUUUAAGAUUAAAAAAAAAAAUUACUCUAACUGUGAAGCAAAUACCCCAUGACUAAUUUAUCAUUUCGUCCAGUUAAAAAUGAUAAAAUUUAUCAUUUGUUUAUAUUGAUUAAUUAACUCUAUUUUAAGUCUUAAGUCUUGGCGUCUUGGCAUAUUUGCAGAAUUUGAUUCCUUGAGCAACUUAGAGGAGUUGGACAUGAGCGACAAUGAAAUAGACAAUUUAGAGGUUCCUCAAGGUAAACAAUUAAAAUAUAUUCAAUUACAUUAAUUUAAUUCGUUUGAUUAGGGAAGACCCAAAAGGUACAAAAUAUAAUAAUAAUAAUAAAGAAACAGAGAAUCUAUAUUAUUUCAAAAAAUAAAACGUAAUACUAUUAUUUCAAAAAUAGAUUGUAAUAAAGAUUUGAUUCCGGUUCUUUAAUCUUUACAGCAAUUGAAAAACGAUGUUGCUCUUUUCCUGAAGCAUAAAAUAUGAAAUGACUCCAAUACAAUUAAUCAUUUAUUUCGUUUACUCUAAAAUUAGACAAUGAAUCUUUAUUUUCUUCAGUCUUAUCCUAAUUAUUAUUAAUAAACAGGUUACAAAGGUUUGAGGAAGUUGAAUUAUCUUGAUCUAUCGAAUGUUGGAGUUAGAGAUGGAAGCAAGUUGUUACAGUCAAUGGGAUCAUUCCCAUCCCUCAACACUCUUUACCUGAAGGAUAAUAAUUUUACCGAUAUAGCGACAACUACUACUCAAGGUAAGUAAAAGAUACAGAUGUGGCCAAAUUUACAAAUAAAUUGUUAAUUAAUUAAUUUUUCCGUAUUAUUAAUAAAGCUAAAUUCGUCGCUCCUUCCUUCUAAUUCUAAACAGAGUUGGCAAUUUCACCAACUUGGAGUAUUUGACAUUGGACUUGUCCUCGCUCCAUUUAAGCCUUCUACAAUUACUUGAAGAAUGAAUUUAUUUAUUAUUAUUAUUGUUGUUGUUGUUGUUGUUGAAGUGAGGUGGGCAAGCGUUCACUCAAUUAAUAUGUGAGGAAUUAAUAAUUACAAUCCAAGGUAGAAUUGUGGAAAAUUAAAGCAAAAUGAGAAAUAUGGAAAGAAAGGAAGAAAGUUAAGGGCAUGAAAGACUAGGAGAAGACUAAAGACCACCAAAUAAGUCAACUGAAAACUAGCUGGGGCCUGGGUGUACAAAUUGUUAGAUGUGUUUGUUAUAAAUAACAUAGAGCCAUCUUGUUGGUUGCAGAGGCAGAGAGACACAGAGUGUGCAUUUUGUUAAUUAAAAAUAUAUAUAAAAUGGGUGGUUCAAAAUCCAAAAUGGUGAUAAUGUUAGUUUUGUUAGUAUUAAUAAUAUUAGAAGGGAGGUGGCGUGAGGGAUGUUUGGUGCAUGAGAGAUUUGGUCUUUCGAGACUUAAAACAUUUCUUCAAUUCUCCUUAUAAUUUUUGUCACGACUGACCGUUGUCAAUGGGAUGGGGCUGGGUGCAGGGUUGAUUUACGUUAGAACAAUAUAGCCGGUAGUGUUGAGAAUGAAGGUGUUUCAUUUAAUUUAAUUAAUUUACUUUCUCCCUCCUAAUUUAAGUGGAAUAUCAAGACUGAACAAUUAUAUGCAUCUUCGUUCAGUUGACAAUUUUGACAUUUUUUUUAAGUGAUUAAUUUUGAAAUUACACCAAACAUUAUUUGUGAUCUCUGUUUGACUUUACUUGCAGCGCUAGAGACGUUAUCAAGAUUGAGCAACUUGACGAUACUUGAUUUAAGUUAUAACUUGUUCAAUAAUAGCAUCUUGUCAUUUGUUGCCCGUCUUUCAUCAUUAACAUCAUUAGAUUUAUCUUACAAUGGAUUGGAAGGAAGUAUUAAUGUUAAAGGUACGUAAUUAAAACGUCAUCGCUUCUCCAACUCUUCCAUUAACAUGCUAAAAUAAGAUUCAAGGCUUUGAAUUCAAUUUUUUUUUAUGAGUAAUAUUAGAAAAAUAGUUUUAAGCAAUUCAUAAAUACAAUUUUCAAUGUUUCUCAUAAUUUCAUCUUGUACUUUUGUAUGUCUUGACUUUAAGAUUAAAAAAAAAUUACUCUAACUGUGAAGCAAAUACCCAUGACUAAUUUACAAUUUUGUCCAGUUAAAAAUGAUAAAAUUUAGGGAAAUUAUCAUUUGUAUACCCUUAGUUUACUCUAUUAUCAAAAAUACUACAACACUUUGAGGGUGUAUCAAUCGUCCACCCUAAGUUGACAAAAUGUAUUAGCCAACCACCAAACCGUUAGUUGCCGUUUAAAUAUGAUAACAUCAUAAGGGUAAUCUGGUCUUUUCAUAUGAUACAAGUGAUAAUUUAAGGGUAUACAAGUGAUAAAAAGAGAGUUUAAGGGGAUACAAGUGAUAAUUUUCAAGGUAAAAUCGUCAAUUUACUGUAAUUCCGUUAACUUUCAAACGGCAAUUAACAGUUUGGUGGUCGGUUGAUACAUUUCAUCAACUUAGGGUGGACGAUUGAUACACCCUUAAAGUGUUGUAGUAUUUUUGAUAAUAAAGCAAAUAUAGGGUAUACGAAUGAUAAUUUCCCUAAAAUUUAUCAUUUGUUUAUAUUGAUUUAUUAACUCUAUUUUAAGUCUUAAGUCUUAAGUCUUGGCAUGUUUGCAGAAUUUGAUUCCUUGAGCAACUUAGAGGAGUUGGACAUGAGCGGCAAUGAAAUAGACAAUUUCAAGGUUCCUCAAGGUACACAAUUAAAAUAUUAUUUAAUUACAUUAAUUUAAUUCGUUUGAUUAGGGAAGACCCAAAAUGUACAAAAACAUAAUUAAAAAAAAAUAAAGAAACAGAGAAUUCAUAUUAUUUCAAAAAACAAAAGGUAAUACUAUUAUUUCAAAAAAAGAAUGUAAUAAAGAUUUGAUUCCGGUUCUUUAAUCUUUAUAGCAAUUGAAAAACAAUGUUGCUCUUUUCCUAAAGCAUAAAAUAUGAAAUGAGUCAUAAUUGAAUUAGUCAUUUAUUUUGUUUAGAUCUAAAUUUAGACAAUAAAUUUUGAUUUUUUUUUCAAUUCUAUCCUUAUUAUUAUUGUUAAACAGGUUACAGAGGUUUGAGGAAGUUGAAAAGCCUCUAUCUAUCGAAUGUUGGAGUUAGAGAUGGAAGCAAGUUGUUACAGUCUAUGGGAUCAUUCCCAUCCCUCAACACUCUUUACCUGAAGGAUAAUAAUUUUACCGAUAUAGCGACAACUACUACUCAAGGUAAGUAAAAGGUACAGAUGUGGCCAAAUUUAUAAAUAAACUGUUAAUUAAUUAAUUUUCUGUAUUAUUAAUAAAGCUAAAUUUUUGCUCAUUCCCUCUAAUUCUAAACAGAGUUGCACAAUUUCACCAACUUGGAAUAUUUGACAUUGCACGGUUCCUCUCUCCAUAUAAGCCUUCUGCAAAGCAUUGCAUCAAUAUUCCCUUCGUUAAAAAAUCUGUCGAUAUCUUAUUGUGAAGUCAAUGGUGUCGUACAUGGUCAAGGUAAAAGAAAAGUGUUGGUUGUGCACUCACUGAGUGUUGUCCUACGUAUUCAAUAUUUUUAUUUAUUUAUUUUAUUGUUUAAUGUUUCUGCUAGGUUUUCCUCAUUUCAAGAGUUUGGAACAUUUGGGCAUGAUGUCCACGCGCAUUGCACUCAACACCAACUUUCUUCAAGUCAUCAGUGAAUCGAUGCCUUCUCUUAAGUACUUAUCACUGUCAUAUUCUACUCUUGGCACUAACAGCAGCAGGAUUCUUGAUCGAGGUUAAUCAGAUGCUCCCACCCUCCAUUCUUAAUCUAUAAUAUUAAUUUUCAGUUAAAUAUUUAAUUACACAAACCAAUCACUUAUUAUAAAAGAACAAUACGCAUUCAUUAAUUUUUAUAUUAUAUUAAUUGAUGAAUUUAAUAAAUUCCAGGCCUCUGUUCGCCGGUGCAUCUGCAAGAGUUAUACAUUGGUUCUAACGAUUUAAGAGGUAGCUUGCCUUGGUGCAUGACAAAUUUGACAUCCCUCCGAAUAUUAGAUGUUUCUUCCAAUCAACUUACUGGAAGCAUCUCCUCGUCUCCCCUCAUUCAUUUGACAUCCAUUGAAAAGCUGUAUCUUUCAAACAAUCACUUCCAGAUCCCAAUUUCACUUGAACCACUUUUCAAUCAUUCAAGACUCAAGACUUUUUAUGCUGACAACAACGAACUAAAUGCAGAAAUAACUCAGUCACAUUCUUUGACCGCCCCAAACUUCCAAUUAUCACGUCUCUCAUUGUCUUCCGGUUAUGAAGAUGGCGUCACAUUCCCCAAAUUCCUUUACCAUCAACAUGAUCUGGAGACUGUUGAGCUCUCACAUAUAAAGAUGAAUGGAGAAUUUCCAACUUGGUUGUUGGAAAACAACACAAAAUUGAGACAACUUUCUCUCGUCAAUGAUUCUCUUGGAGGACCUUUCCGGUUGCCAAUUCAUUCACACAAGCGGUUAGGAAUGUUGGAUAUAUCCAACAACAACUUCCGAGGCCACAUUCCAAUAGAAAUUGGAGAUGUUUUACCAAGUCUAUACCUUUUCAACAAUUCCAUGAAUGCUUUAGACGGUAGCAUUCCCUCUUCAUUUGGUAAUAUGAAAUUCCUCCAAAUUCUGGACUUAUCCAACAAUCACUUGACUGGUGAAAUCCCCGAGCACUUGGCCGUUGGUUGCGUCAACUUGCAGUCUCUUGCAUUAUCAAAUAACAACCUACAAGGUCACAUGUUCUCUAGAAAUUUUAACUUGAUAAACUUGAAAUGGUUACAAUUGGAGGGCAAUCGCUUCAUAGGUGAGAUCCCACAAAGUUUGUCUAAAUGCUCCUCACUAGAAGGAUUGUAUCUUAACAAUAAUAGUCUUUCGGGUAAGAUUCCACGAUGGUUGGGUAAUCUCACAUGGUUACAAUAUAUUAUAAUGCCCAAUAAUCAUCUUGAAGGCCCUAUUCCAGUGGAGUUUUGUCAGCUUGAUUUGCUUCAGAUUUUGGACAUUUCAGACAACAACAUAUCUGGAAGUUUACCAUCUUGUUUCCAUCCUCUCUCUAUCAAACAAGUUCAUCUUUCAAAAAAUAUGUUACAUGGACAGCUAAAAAGAGGUACAUUCUUUAAUUGCUCUUCCCUUGUGACAUUAGAUCUUAGCUAUAAUCGCUUGAAUGGCAGCAUUCCGGAUUGGGUUGAUGGGCUUUCUCAGUUAAGCCACCUUAUCUUAGGUCAUAAUAAUCUUGAAGGUGAAGUGCUAGUUCAAUUGUGCGAAUUGAACCAACUACAAUUGUUAGAUCUUUCUAAUAAUAAUCUUCACGGUCCUAUUCCUCCUUGCUUUGAUAACACCACACUUUAUGAAAGUUACAGCAAUAGUUCUAGUCUUGAUGAGCAAUUUGAAAUAUUUUUUUCCAUCGAAAGCCCUCAGGGAAAUGUAGAAAAGCAAAUCCAUGAAAUUUUUGAGUUCACAACAAAGAACAUUGUGUACAUUUACCAAGGAAAAGUGCUUAGCCUCCUAUCAGGACUUGAUCUUUCUUGCAACAAGCUAAUUGGUCCUAUUCCUCCUCAAAUUGGAAAUUUGACAAGGAUUCAAACAUUGAAUCUAUCACACAACGACUUGAUAGGAUUGAUCCCAUCAACAUUUUCAAACUUGAAGCAUGUCGAAAGUUUGGAUCUUUCCAACAACAAAUUGAAUGGGAAAAUCCCUCAUCAACUAGUGGAGUUAAAGACAUUGGAGGUUUUCAGUGUGGCAUACAAUAACUUAUCAGGCGAAAUUCCAGAAUGGACUGCACAAUUUGCAACCUUCAAUGAGAGUAGCUAUGAGGGAAAUACUUUUCUUUGUGGAUUGCCAUUGCCCAUUUGCAGAUCACCAGCAACUAUGUCGGAGGCUUCAAUUGGCAAUGAACGAGAUGAUAAUUUAAUUGACAUGGACAGUUUCUUUAUCACAUUUACAACAUCGUACGUAAUUGUGAUAUUUGCAAUUGUUAUUAUUUUAUAUGUAAAUUCUUAUUGGCGACGUAGAUGGUUUUACUUUGUUGAAAUGUGGAUAACUUCAUCUUACUAUUUUGUUGUAGACAAUCUUAUUCCAACAAGAUUUUAUCAUUGAAAUUAAUUAGUAGUUUAAUUACGAUUCUUUAAGUACUAAUCAAGUUUGUUUAGGAAAUAUUUUUUUAUUAAAAUUGUAGUAGUAUUUAGCAUUAUAUAGCUUCCAACUUCCAAGCACUUCACAUUUGUCUCUACACUUAAAAAACUGAGUGAUCAUGUUUUGCAGAUCUGGAUUUGGAGCAGGAUGGAUCCAAACCCAUAUCUGUCCACCGUAACUUAUAGCUUCCCUAUACUGUGCAGCAUACUUAAAUAAGAGAACCAUCUCCAAUGUUAAAAGCAUUCACUCUAUAACAUUCAUUUAGAAACUAUAUUCAGAAUAAUUUUAUAAUUAAACACAAGAAAUGAAACACACAGAUACACUUGAUCGCCUAUUUUACUCUAAAAAAGAACGAUUAUUGUGCUAUCAUCAUCUUCUUCACUAGCAACAUUAACACCAAAUCGAUGGACCCAUACAUUUCAUCAAGAAAGGUCUAUAUCCAAUAAAGUUGAAGCCUAACAAAAAAUUCAAGAAGAUUCAUGCCUCGCCACAACAAGGGGCACAACAACAUCAAAGUAGAGAUUAAGCAGUAUUCUCAAAGCUAAAACUCUCAAAUCCACCCACCAGAAUUUCAUAUCUCCUCAACAAUUUUAAGAACUAAAGAUAAUUAGGAUUUAACAUUAGUUUUUUAUAUAUUAGUUUCAUAAUUUACAAAUCAAUGAAGAUGAAGAUUAUGCUAAUAAAUUCAAAUUAUACCAUACAUUCUCUAGAUGUUACCAAAAAUUUCUAAGUCAAUCCCACAUAUUUCAUAAUUUUAAGACUAGAAAAUUUCACUAGUUAGAAGUUUCAUUACCUUCAAGUGGAAGAUGAAGAACAUUAUACAAGUGAUUCAGAUUAUAUCAUACAUACUCCAAAUGCAACUAGAAAUUAACAAGUUCAUGCACACAUAUUUCAUAACAUUAUGAUUGAAAAGUUUCACAGAGAAAUUCUAAAUUCAAUCUCUUGCAUGAAGGCAAUUUGAUUGAUUUGAGUUACUUUCUUAUCAAGCUACUAAUAUAACAUUCAAGUCAGGGAGAAAAUAAAUUAAAACUGGGAAGAAAUAACAGUAAAAAUUUGUUGCUCAACAUGAUGUGUAUUUUUUUUCAAGGCAAUUUGGAAACACAAUUGUUACCACAGAUAUUCUUCUCAACUUGGAGAUAAAUACAAAUAUUAAAAUGCAUAUGAUCGCACAUAUUACUUCGAGUUUAGUAAGAUUUCAUUAAAAGAAGCAAUCAAACCACUUAUCAAUUGUCGCAGUCGUUCUAUAAACUAAAAUAGCAAUAUAAUACAAGAAAAAGAACAUAUAGAUACUUGGCAAGAGUUCAUUAAGAAGUCACAUCACAUUCAGGUGAGGAGUUUGCUUCUGAUAUCUUGCUAGCUGGGGCUUUUUCUUGUCUUUCUACGUAUGCCGAGGGAAACCAACCAGCUUGGCCCUUGCAUUCACCUUCCGACCAUCCAAUAGGAGCCACCUUGAGAAGUUAUAACUAAAAUGGUGAAUUAAACAAAAGUUGACCGUUCAAAGACCUAAGGGGAAAACUAAUUCUUUUACGUAGGAGGAGUGAAUUAGUUGUGAUCACUGAAAUAACAGCAUAACUAUGGAAGCAUAACAAGAUAUAAAUUCACACGUCUAUAAGGGUAAACUGGGUGGUUGAGAACUGAGCUAGCAACCCUACUAUAUUCUGAUUUGCACUUCAAUGUAAAAGGGAAUAUAUGGUAGGAAGAAAGAAAACCAACCAUCAUUUGUUAACUCAUUGCUUUUCAAUCAAAAUUUUAAGAACAAAAUGCCAUGUGCUUUGAACAUCAAAUAAGUAUAAGCAUUAGUUCUAAAUUCCACAUAUCAUAAGUUGUUAGAAGGAUAAGUUAAUAGCAGAGUAGAAAAAUCUAUGUGUUGGUAUUUAGAGGGGAAAGUACCUGGCGAACCACAACAUAAUCAUCAAUUGAAAGACUUAGCUCUCCAUUUGCUUGAGCAUCAAAUGGAUGUAUAACCUGCAAGAUAAUGGGAUAAAUAGAACUUAAAAAAAGCAUAACAAAAGCGGCAACAGUAGCAGCAACGUUCAUUGUAACCACUAUGAUCAUGGCCAACAAAGAUAUAUUAGAAACAAAAUUCCAUUUUUACUACGACAUUAAUAUGUACUAUACGAUAUCAUGACGAUUGGGUUACUAAGAGCUAUCAAAGUCUAAUAAGUUCUGUAUAACUUUAUGUAGUUAUUUAAAUUAUGGAUCAGAUUUUAAAUUUGAAAUUUUGACUGCUCUCCACAAAACAUGGCCUAUGCACAAGAAAGUCAUAGAUAAUGAGGAUUACAAGUGUCCGACAUCUUUUGAGUGAUGGAUUUAACAUGAGAGCUUAUGGUCAGUCAAUUUCCUCUGCCUAGCAAUAUAAGCUUUCUCGGCCAGAUUUAUCAUCAAAUACAUAGAUUGCCCCCAAGUCACAUCCAUAUAAACAUAGUUUUUCUAGGUAAACCAAGUAAGGAGUAUCAUAAUUCAGACAUAAUCAUAAAAAGGCCCAUCUAACUUAAGAGAAAAUCUCAAAAAGAGGGAUGCUGAGCUAUCAGUCUUGUAUCUAUAAGCAAUAUCAAGACUUUACGUCACCUGCUACAUCGUGAGUGGCUACACAACUUUCAGUGGUUUGUCUUUCUUUGGCACGCCUAACUCAGCUUUCAUGUUGCUGAGAUAUUGAUAGUAGAGACACAUGAUACUUCUAGCUCAUGCAUUCUAUCUAACUCAUCCAACAACUAUCUCUUUUUUAAUUCAUUAGUGUUUGCUAAACCUCAUGCUUAAAAGUCCUGUUCUCCUAAACAAAGUUUCCUAAGAAUGACUUCCUUAGCACCACAGUUGGACACUUUUAGAGCAAUUUUAUUUGGGGGAAAAGAAUUUUCAAGGUGUUAACUAAUAAAUUUUAAAAAAUAAUUACAAUUUGUCCUACGAUCAUAUGACAAUUUAUCUGGGAUGAAAGGAUACAGAUAGACAUCUUCCACUUUCAAGACUAAUCACUACUUCCGUAGAUGUUGUGCAAUAAUACAAAUACUUGACCAGAUGGUAGUGAUGGUAGAAAAAAAUUUUAUUGCUCCAAAAUUAAAAUAAGAAUGCAAUAUGUUAAGCAAAAGGCUGUGCAACAUCAAAUUAAUUGAUAAGUUUGUAAUUCAGUAAAUUAACAACUUUCAUGGUAAAAUACAACAAAUUUCUUUUGAAAAAAAAUAAAUAAAUCUUAAAAGACAACAUUCAAUUUUGUGCACAUCUUAUUUCUUAAGAUUUUUCAGGAGGAGGGCAAUAGAGGGACUUUCACCUAUGCAAGAGAGCAGAAGCCUUACUUUCCCUAUAAAGUAGACGUCAUUCUGAUUAAUAUGCGUUUGCAAAUCAGCUCCGUUUGAAUCAGUAUUCUGAUAGACACACGAGGAAUUUACAUCCAUUUCCAAAGUCACAUGUUGCGAGGAGGACUCAUUUGAUUGCUCCUAUACGAUCAUCUAAUUCAAGUAGCAAGGGUUGGAAGAGAAUAAAAAGUCACAAUUAUUCUUUUGCAUAAGUGAGACGAAAAUGAUAAAUGCAAUAUUAUCAGCAGUAAACAAGAAGAGAACGCUCCAAGAAAUAGAUAGAUGCAGACAAGCAAGUUAAAAUGCAUAGUCCCAAACCUCCGCAUACAACUUCUCUAAAAUAGCAAUAACGUGUUGAUGCUAUGUUUUCUCAGCAUCUACCUGCAAAGGCCCGAGACCAGGAAAACAACAAUAAAACCACUAGCUGAAGGAGAAAGCAAAGAAAGAAAUACACUUGACAUAAAUCUUGACAAGAAGCACAAAUUAAGACAUAACAAACCCCAAUCAUAUUGUUUAGAACUACCAUUCGUUAUUUCGUUAUUGUAACAUUUCGAACAAGUGUUGACUUAAUUCAACAUUGUUGGAAAGAUAGGCUUUUAGAAGCAGAAGAAAGCCUCUCAAACCAAAGUGCUGGUCCUUGUAUUGAUCAAGGGAUGUAAACAUAUUACAUUUGCAGGAUGAGAUUUAAUCACUCCCCUGAUUUAUUCGGGUUGCAGUAAAACUAAGCGAGCAACUGUUUGACUUUCAAGCAACAGCUAAAUCAGCUAUUAAAAUUCAAAUAAAAUCAUAAUAGAAUAAUAACAGGCCAUCUUGCAUCAAAAAUUAAGUUUAAUUUGUGAAUUGUUUUCUAUAGACAUGUCAGUUUCUGCUAUUGAAAUGUUAAAAGCAUUGAAAAAUUAUUCAAUAAAUUAUGCAAGCAUUAAAAUAGAGGACAUAUUAAAAAGUUUCUAAUUACAAUGUUAAUAUUUCCUAUAUUUUAGCAUUUGCAUAUUUUAAUUUAUUUAAAAGCUACGUUGAUCAACUUUGGGCAUGAAGAUUUUAGCUUAUACGAGACUUGAUUGGAAUAUGCAUAAGAGUGUUAAAAUAUGAUGCAUCCAAUGAAAGACAAACCACGUGUAGUCUUUUAAUUAAGCCAAAGUAGCAGCUCAAACAAAUGACACUUGGACCAACAUGCAAUCAUGAAGUGGCCGGAAAAAGGACAAAUGCAACUUUGGCUUAAAUAAAAAAUAACAUGUGACUCGACUUUUGCUGGACAUGCAUCAUGUUAUCACAAGACAACAGAAAUCAGUAUGAUAGUACUAAAAGUUGACAAUAACAUGAAGAUAAGAGGCAGAAUGUCAACACAUGCAUAGGCACACACAAGAAAGUAUUAACUUAUAUACCAUAGCAAAAAGUCUUUGAUAUGUCAUCUGUUGCUGCUGUGAUUCAACUGACAGCAUGGCAGCUGUUGCUUCUCUACCAAGAGCCAUUAUUGUAGAUUUAAGCUCGGUCAAUCUUGCUUCUGCAUUUCGAAGCUUCACAGCACUCUCUGCUGAUAUAUCAGAUUCCCUAAUCUUUGAUCGGCGCCUAAAUACUUCAGCUGCCUGGUGAAAAUAUUCAAUAUAAAUCUAACAUAAUUCUCAUCUUGCCUUAUACAUGCAUAUGUUAACUCAAAGCUUACCUGGGCUUCAACUUCAUGUCGAAGUUUGUCAUAACGAUGAGUCAGGUGUCGAGCAUCUUCCAAAGGUGCUCCGUUGAUUAACGCCCGUAGUGGCUCAGAUACCUACAUGUCCAAAAACCUGUAACAUAGUUAGAAAAAUGAAAAGAAAGAGCGAAACCUCAAUUAAAAAGUUCCUCCAACAUAAUCAUGGAAUUUGGGCCUACUUCAAGGAUAUAUAUAAGGAUAAUUUCUGCAAUUUUGGGUCUUAGGAUGAUUGAUAUUAGGUUAUUGUUCUUCUCUUCUGUAUUUAAGGUUAAAAUAGAAAUAAACCUAUGCAAAUAUCUAAAUUAGGCCUGUAAGACAUCCACAUGCAUCCUUCAGCCUCAUGGAUUUGAUUUUACUAUAGAUGCAAGUGUCUUUAUCGAAAAUGCUUGGAGUCAAUUGAGAGAACUCAUGGCCAAUAACUUGUCACACGCUAGUGUUUGCUAGUGAUGUAAGAAGUCACAAGGUCUCUUCAACAUUUGAACCAAUAAAAUUAUUAAGUCAUGGAUGUCACUAGCAAUGAUUUUAAUAUAAAACAUUAAAUAUUUCAGAGUUGUAACUUUAAAAUGGAUUCUUUUAUUCAAUAUCAUAGAACUAAGUUUCCUUAUGAGAAGAUAAUAGUUUCGAUAAUAAUUUUACAUAUAAUUUUCUAUAUUUGAAUUAUUUUCUAGUUAGGGAUGAACUAACCUGAUCACGAAGAAUCCCGAGCAAAGUUUCCCUCUCAUUUUCCAUCAAAUCAUGUGAAGUGCCAAAUUGAAGAGCAGCUCUUGCAACGCAAGAAUUGUCACUUUGAUUCUCUGCUCCAUACUUGCAACAAUCUUCCGCCAACUUUCUCGCUACAAUAUUUGUACACAAGAACUAGUCAAGAAAAUAAAAAAAAAAAUCAAAUAUUAUAAAGAAAGCAAGAGCAAACAAACAACUUAUUUCCAUUUGGUUCAAGCUUACUGCAACAAACCCUUCAACGCCACGGACAAUAUUCCUCUGAAAAUGCUGUGCUACAGAGCAUAUAUUCCAAAUUAUUGUUCAGAUAAAACCAUAGAAACCAUCAUAAUUAUUCAACAUACAUUAAGCUCCGUUUGGUAAAUACUUGCAACUUCAGUCUAGAAAAUACAGUUAAUUUUUAUUUAAAAAACAUCAUAAUUAUCAACAUACAUAUUUGACAAAAUUAUUAUUUAAAAAUCAUAUCAAAUUAAUUACCAAAAGCCACAAUAAAUCAAUAUCAAACAGAGUCUUAUUAUUAGCUAAAGGAGGAUAGUACCUUAGCUGCCCUGGUGGAAUUGUAUAGAUUUUGAAGUUGUUGGUGACACUCAAUUUCAGCUUCAUCAACCACAACAUUUUCAAUACCAAGAUGGAGCAGAUGCUUCAAUACUGCCUGUACAAAUCAUAAAAAACGAAUAAAAAUAAAUAAAAUCGAGAUAUUUCACUAACUAAGAGUCUAAAUAUAAUUUUUUUAAAAAGAAAAGAAACGGACUUGCUGCUGCUUGGCGACUUGUUCUCGGAGCUUGAUUGCCUGUUUCUUGAUAGCUUCCAUACUGUUUCUUUCAAAAAGCGACGACGGCUCAGCUCAUGGAGGUGGAAAAAAAAAGUGUGAUCGGGAAAAAUAAAAAGGCAUGAAUAAUUUUUGAAAAAAAGCGAAAAUCAAGGAAAGCCAGCUCUUUCCAGAAAAUAAAAAAAGAAAAAAGAAAAAAGAAAAUUAUAAGGUUGAAAGGAGUAGAUGAUAGUGGAAGUGUGCGGUGUAGCUGCCAGCUACUUGGAUUGUAUUGUCGGGUAAGGUAAUAGUAGAGAAUUUUUUAAGAAGCUAGAACAGAGCAUGACAUUAGACUUUUGUUGACCAAAGGAUGUUGUUUUAUUCUUCUUAUACUUUACGCUUGCAUCAGCCUCAAUCACUUCUUAAUCGCUUGCUUUAACUGCAUCGCUCUCUCUGUGCUCUUCUAUAUAUGUGACGGUUAUGCGGUUGUAGUUCACGGCUGAGGCUACGCGUUGGUUUGACGUGUCAGUUACGUUACAAGGGGAUAAAUAAGAUUGGUUGCAACAAACCCACUAAUUUUAUAAAAUUCGAGUAAUAUAGAAUAAAAUAAAAAAAUAAAUACAAAAUUGGCUUUUAUUUUUUAUGGUUGACUGUAUUUUGUGUUCUCUUCCGGCACUACUACAAUUGUUCCCCAUAUAUCAGUCACACCUAUAUAUCAUUAACAUAAGAAAUGAAAUCUAAUGUCACCUAUUUAGUUAAAGAAUCACUCAUGAAAAUUUUUUACCAUUUUGCUUUGAGGAUCCAUAUUUUGAACUGCAAGCUAAUGUUCAUCAAGAAUCACUAAUGUUCAUAAAAAACAGAACAUGGCCGUUGAGUAGAAAAACUAUUUUUGGACAAAUUAUUUUUGUUGAUAGAAGAAUUUCUUAAGGGACUACUAAAAUUAUUAAUAAAAAUGUAGAACCACCCACAUAUCAUCUACACAAUUGACUUUGAGGAUCCAUGCUUUGAAUUGCCGCCUAAUGUUCAUCAAGAACAGAGUAUGCCUUGUGAGUAGAAAAUUUUAUGAUUUUGGCCCGAAAUAAAAGGAAAUUAAAUUAGAUGAGAAUCUGCCACUUUCUCAUGAAAAAAGGCAUACGGAGCAUACCAUGGUACCAUACGGAGAAUAUUAGAACCACCCUAGAAUAUCUUUACCCUGAUGUUUCUAACAAAAAUCUGCAUGUGGCAGCAAUUACUAGAUCUACAAUUUCCCAAAUAAUAUUUUGUGUUUCUUAAAAAAUUUGAAAUACAUAGUUGCACUUGCACACCGUGAGACAGUGCUACAAUCUACUGAGAUCUAAAUUAUAUGAGACUUUAAGCUACUAAUGUUUGCAUAUUUCUACAUGUCAAAUUAACAUUACCAUCUAUAAUCCGAAACGACAGAUGAUAAACGGCUUUUGGCCACUUAUUACUAGCAUCCACAAUUAAUUUUUGUUCAGCAAUCAGCUUAUUUUAUAGAAAUUGAUUUAGUCAGCAACAAACACUAUAAUUGCUACUAUGUACGAACUGGUCAUGAAUUAUCUAUAAGAUUUUUCAUGUUGCUUUUAGGUGCAUUGGAUUUUUUGAGUUUAGUGCAAGAGUAGAGGAAGGCAAAUUAAGAAAAAGGAUAAAGAUCUAUAAUUAGCUUCUCAUAACAUAUUGAUGGUAACAUUAUACAUAUGUAUAUCUAAAUAAUGGGGUUGGAUCAGGAGCCCAUUAAUAAUCAUAUAUUAGCUCAUAUAGUUAAAAAAAAAAAUGUACCAUAAAGCCAUUUCACCAGCACUUGUUAGCCUAUGUUGAGCUUUAUUAUCAAUACUUCAUAGUUCAUCGGUGCACUGCAGGUUUACUAUUUGAAGUAAAUGUUAUGGUGCGUGCAUUCUUCAUAAGGCCAACUAUUGAAUUUAGCAUUGAAACUUACAAAAUGUAAUAGAAAGAGGUAGAUAACAGCCAUAAAACACUAAGAUUGGAAAUCAGGGCUACUAUACUAUUACAAGCCCUUAGAAAAGACAGUGAUCAUCCUGAAAUGUAUCUACUGAAAGUAAGAAAUAUUAAUCGUAAAGUUAUGUGUCAACAGAACUAUUGACUACUUGUCUCUAGUAGAAAGUAAAUAUUUUUAACUCCAGCUCUCUACUUUGUUUUAAGAGCUAGGCAAAAGAAGAAAAUUUCGAUGUCUAAAGUUUGCCACUUGGAAUAUUUCACUGUCUAAACAUUCACUCACCACUUAUUUCAUCAACGAAUUUUGUCUAAUUAUAUGUUGAUAAAGAUAUUAGAGUAAUAUAAUGCGUUUAAGGCUUAACUUAUAUUUUUUAUUAGUAGAGUGUAGAACUUUUAAGAAAUAAAUUAUUAAAUUACUAUAACUAACAUAUUAUUUUAAAGUUAUGUUAAGGAAAAGAAUGAAACAAAAAUAAAUAAAUAAAUAAGGGUAUUCUAAAACUUUGAUCUUUUUAAAAGUAGAUUUUGACAUAGAUAAAAUAAUUUUUAUAUUUUUUAAAUCACAUACUCUAGUUAAAAUCAAAUUUGUAUUUAUAAAAUUUGUAAAUUUAUUUAUUUUUUUAGCACUGAUAUUUGAACACUAUCAAGAUAAGAAAUAGGGUACUGGUCAUGCUACAACAUUAUCAUAGCACGUAAAAAGACAAUACCAUUUAUUUUAUUGUACUAUCAUUGUUGUUAUAAUAGUAUUUUGUUAGUGGUCAAAUAUUUUUUUUUUAAGUAAAAAAAGUGAACAAUGUAAAUUAACUUUUAAUCUCUCCUAAAAUUCUAAUUCCUAGUUACGAAACAAAAUUGUUUGAAAAUCAUUAGGCUAACUGCAUGGGUUCUUAAAACCAUAGGUGAUAGAAGUUACUAACACAAGCAAAUUUGACGGUCCAUUUUAUAAAAUUUGUUAUUUACCAUUUUACCACCUAUAUAAGGAGUGCCGCAUCGACAUAUCAACUCAUUUGCAGAUUAUUUUAAUUUUGUAAAAUUCAUUUAACCUGCACUUGGUCGCCCCUAUUCUCUGAAUGGUUAUGGCGAUAUCAUCAUUAUCGUUACUUGUACCAACGCUAAACCCUUCUUAUUCCCUUUCUCGCCUGUCAUACCCUAACAUUAUAUCCCGUGUCCACACUAAAGACAAGUAGUCAAUUCAGGCCAUCAGAUUAUAGUGGACCCACAUCAAUCCAACUGCUCACAAUGACCGACAGCCUCUCCAUCUCCAUUUCAGGUUUCCUCUUCAACUGGCUUCUGCUUCCGCCGUAUUUGCUCCAUUUCUUGGAUUCGGAGUCCGUAUUUGGUCGGUCGGUCCCGCACAGCUCCCUCUCACUCCAAUUGUCACCCAACAAGACCAAUUGCUUAAUCAAGGCACAGAACAAGAAGAGGAUGGGAAAUUGAAACAAGAAUUUGAGAAUUGGAAAUCGAAAACGUCCGCAUUGACCGUGCCUUUGAGGGCAAUUACUUUUCUUGAGAAUUGAAGUUUGGUAAUGUAAUUUGUUCUCCAUCUGUGUUCCCUUUGUAGUCAUUUCAUUUAUUUGUUUGUUUGCUUUUAUUUGCAGGAGAAAUUGAUCCUCGAGAUAAAAGUAAAUUGUCUUUAAGCUCAUUUAGUUUUAUAUCAAACAAAAUCAAGACUGCCUUUUUCUUCAAUAGUUUUGAUGAUAAUAUCUUUAGAAGCAUCUCAUUGACAGGUAAUCGUGGUACCCCUUAAAGAGUCUAUAAACUCAAGGAUAUUAUCUUCUGCAAAUGGUUCAUUAAACUUCUUAGAUGUAGUUAAAUGUACACUGAGAACAACGAGAAGCUAUGCCACUGUAGCAUGUAGUGAUGGCACUUAAUGAGUGAGUUGCUAGGAUAUGAACUAGAAAAAUUAAACAUUGUCUCCCUGGGUAUGCUAGCUUGUAAGUCGGUUAAUAUUAGAGCUUGAGAUACUAUAACCAUGAGAAGCUAUUGACCGCCGAUUAAAAUAUCCAUUAAAAUGUCUAGGGAGUUAUGAAGGUGGAGGUGUCUCCCAAUUUCUAAGGCCAUAUAGUAGACAUCAUCCAGGAUCCUAUUAAAGUGCAGUUAGCCUCCUGCUUGAUGCUAAUGUCAAACAAUUAAUAAAUUUGGUCAAUGUAACUGAAACUUGCUAACUGACGUCAGAUUGCGACUUGAGCACCUUAAAAUGGGAUAGACGAUUAGUAGCACUGAAUUCUUCUUGCCUAAGAUUGAGCAAUUGUUCUAACUACUAUCUCCUAUUGUAGGUUGAUUAUUAUGUUCUAAUUAUGUCGAUUUUGACCCAAAAAAUUACAUAAUCUUGAUCUGCAUAAUGUCACUGAACAGUGUCAAUUUCGUUUACCAACUAACUUGAGUUUGAUAUAACAAACACACGGUGUGUCUCUCAUGUCUCACCAUGAUGGAGAAUUUUUCUAAUGCAUGAAGCAAGCUUCGAUAUGUGGGUUAGCUUGGAGAAGAUAUCUUAAAAUGAAGAAUAUGGGGAGUUAAUGGGAAGAAACAGUUCAGUAGUUUAUAAUUCUGUCGUCGAGCUGUAUCUCUAACAUGGUCAAAAUUUAUGUGAAUAAGGACAGGGAAUCUUCAUUCCUCUUUCCCUUUUUAUACCCACAUAUCUCUCAACCUUUAUAUGUUGCUCACUGGAGAUCUGCUUCUGAUAACUAAAAUAAAAAUUUCAUCCACUCAAAUAAAUUCUGACCAAGCUUUCACAAGAAAAAGUAACAUCUUUAGUGAAGUAAUUUACAAGUAAUUUAGAGUUCCUUAUCAUCUUCUUGUGAGUCUAUCAGUAUGAUCCAAAAACAUAAUAAAUCUUGUUAGAUCCUGUUUAUUGAUGUUUAAACGCUGCUCAUUGUGAAAUGUAGAAACAAUGACGUGAAGUUUCUUUGGUCAUCAAUUAGUGAGAUCUUGUUUGAAGUUGUUUUCUGAAAUGAACUGCCAAAUGAUAGUUUUUUUUUUUUUUUCUUUGGACGCAUUUGAUGGCUCUUUUCUCCUCAUUUUAAGCAUGUGCCUGCUUGGUAUGGGAAGGAAUAGGCUUCAGAGUUGUUAUAUAUGUUGACAUGCUCUGGUCAUUACACAAUAUGUUCAAAUUGGAAAUUAGAAUGAGAUAUUUGUCGAUGCUUUUUGAGAGAUCUGCAUUCUAUGCAGCAUAACAUGAUUAAUGAAAAUGGGUUUAAGGACUGGAAAGAUCUGUGGCAGCCCAAGCUUGCAGGAAGGAUUUCAAUGGUUAAUUCUCCCAGAGAGGUUAUUGGUACAGUUUUGAAGUAUAUGGGAGCAUCAUACAAUUCAAACGACAUUAAUUAGCAAGUUGCUGCUGGGAGGAUUGCUGUUCAGCAGAAUCUGGCAUUACUGGGAAACCAGGUACUCUUAAAGAAACGAUAGCUGGUCAAUGCAUAUUAUUGCCUGACGGCUGAUUUUGUUUGUAAAGUGUGCCUUUUCAUACAUAUGAAUGCAUAUGUUAGUGUUGUCUUCUUCUUUCCAUAAAUAUGAAUGCAUAUGUUGGUGUUCUUUUCUGAGAUGGAUGCAAUAAAGGCUUUUUCUUCUAAAUGACGAGUUUUCAUUUAAAAAUGUUAUAAAUCUGCCAUGCAUAGUAUUCUAGUAGAAUCAUCUAUAAAUUCAAGUUAUUGAAAUUGUCUAUUUGUCCAGUUUGAGUUAAGGACGCAUGUAAUAUGAAAAAUAGUUGUCGAAUAUUGUAGGUUAGCUAAUAUUUGAUCAAUCCUAUAGGGAGGGCUUUAAGAUGUCUAACAACAUGUAGAAUGCCCCUGCUUCCCCCACAAUUUUUAUCUUAUACAAUUUUUAUCUAUAAACAGUAUUUGCCAGACCUUAACUGUUCAGAUUCCCCUUCUCGACUAUCAUACCCUACGCCCCGUCUCCGUGUCUCCGAUAAACAGUGCUCAAUUAAGGCCAUCAGAUUAUCCCGGUCCCACAUUGAUCAACGGCUCACAAUGACCGACAACCUCUGUCUCCAUUACAAGCUCCCUCUUCAACUCGCUUCUGCUUCCAUCCUACUCUUUCUCAGAUUCGGAGCCCGUAUAUGCUCGGCUGGUCCCACGAAGCUCCCUCUCACUCCAGCUGUCAACCGACAAGACCAAUUGCCUUAUCAAGACAGAGAACAAAAAGAGGAUGAGAAAUUGAAACAAGAAUUUGAGAAUUGGAAAUCGAAAACGUACUCAUUGACCGUGCCUUUGAGAGUUGUUUCUCUUCAGAAUUCAGUGCCUCAAUCUUGGGUUAAGGAUUUUAUGCGAAGUCAAGGAAAGUGAUUGAAGUUUCAGAUGAAUUUGUGUGCUAGCAUUGGUGGGAUCUUUAACAAUUUAUCUGUGCCCUUUAACAAAGUCAAGGCUAAUUCAGCUUCUUAUAUGGCUGCUGAUUUGGUUAGUGUUGGUGAUUCAUGGCUUAGUUUUGCCAUUAAAGAGAGAUUGAUUGAGCCAAUGGCUGGAGCUGAAGACCAAGAUUGGUUCAAAUGCUUAAGUCACAAAUGGAAGGUAACAUCUUUAUCUUUGGCCCGAUAAUUUUUAUUGUCUUACAUUGAAAUUUGGUAAUGUAAUUUGUUCUCUAUCUGUAUUACCCUUUUUAGUCGUUUUAUUUAUUUGUUUAUUUGCUUUUAUUUGCACUAACGAAGUCUCAGGUAUAUCUAUGCAGAAUGAUGCAGGAGAAAUUGAUCCUCGAUGUGAAAUAUGGGCGGCACCAUACAGGUGGGGCACAAUGGUGAUAGCCUACAAGAAAAGUAAAUUUCGAAAGCAUAAUUUGGCUCCGAUUGAGGUAAUAAUUGUCUUUAAACUCAUUUAGUUUUAUAUCAAACAAAAUCAAGACUGCCUUUCUCUUCAAUAUUUUUGAUGAUAAUAUCUUUAGAAGCAUCUUAUUGAUGGGUAAUAAUUGUAUCCCUGAAACAGUCUAUAAACUCAAUGAUAUUAUCUUCUACAAAUGGCUCAUUAAACUUUGUCGUUGUAGUCAAAUGUACACUCAGAGCAAUGACAAGCUAUGCCACUGUAGCAUGUAGUGAUGGCACUUAAUAAGUGAGUUGCUAGGAUGUGAACUAGAAAAAUUAAAUAUUGUCUCCCUGGGCAUGCUAGCUCAUAAGUCAGGGUUAAUAUUAGAACUCAAGAUACUAUAACCAUGAGAAGCUAUUGACUGCCAAUUAAAAUAUCCUUUAAAAUGUCUAGGAAGUUAUGAAGGUGGAAGUAUCUUCCGAUUUCUGAGGCCACAUGGUAGAUAUCAUCCAGGAUCCUAGUACAGUGCAGUUAACCUCCUGCUUGAUGCAAUUAAUAAAUUUGGUCAAUGCCACUGAAACAUGCUAACUGACGUCGCAAUGCGACAUGAGCACUUCAAAAUGGGACAGACGGUCGGUAGCACUAAAUUUUUCUUGCCUAAGAUGAGCAAUUGGUCUAACUACUAACCCCUUUUGUAGUUGAUCAUUAUUUUUUCAAUUAUUUUCAGUUUGACCCAAAACGUUACAGAAUCUUGAUCUGAAUAUUGUCACUGAACAUUGUCACUGAACAUUGUCAAUGUCGUUUAGCGUAGCCAACUAACUUGAGUUUGGUAAAACAAACACACAGUGUGUCUCAUGUCUCACAAUUCAAAUUAUCAUUUGUAAUGAUGGAGAAUUUUUCCAAUGUAUGAAGUAUGCUUUGAUACGUGGGUUACCUUGGGGAAGGUAUCUCAAAAUAAAGAAUAUGGGGAGAAAACAGUUCAGUAGUUUAUUAUUCUGUAGUCAAGUUUUGUCUCAAAAAUGGUCCAAAUUUAAAUGAAUAAGGACGGGGGAUCUUCAUUCUUUUUUCCCUUUUUUAUACCUAGAUAUCUCUCAACCUUUAUAUAAUCCCCACUGGAUAUCUGCUUCUAAUAAUUAAAAUAAAAAUUUCACCCACACAAAUAAAUACUGACCAAGCUCUAACAAUAAAAAGUAACUUCUUUAGUCAAGUGAUUUACAGUUCCUCAUCACCUUAGUGAGACUAUCAGUGUGUUCCAAAAACAUAAUAAAAUUGGUUUGUUCCUGUUUAUUGAUGUUUAAAUGUUGUUCAUUGUGACAUGUAGAAAUGAUGAGGCGAAGUUUAUUUGGUCAUCAAUUUGUAAGAUCUUGUUUGAAGUUGCUUUCUGAAAUGAACUGCCAAAUGGUAGUUUCUUUGGGCAUUUGAUGGCUCUUUUUUCCUCAUUUUUAAACAUGUGCCUGCUUGGAACAGGAAGGAUUAGGCUGCAGAGUUGUUAUAUAUUUUGACAUGCUCUAGUCAUUGCACAAUUUGUUCACACUGGAAACUAGAAUGAGAAAUUUGUUGCAUUCUAUGCACAAUAACAUGAUUAAUGAAAAUGGAUUGUAGGACUGGAAAGAUCUGUGGCAGCCUGAGCUCGCAGGACGAAUUUCAAUGGUUAAUUCUCCCUGAGAGGUUAUUGGUUUAGUUUUGAAGUAUAUGGGAGCAUCAUACAAUUCAAACGAUAUUGAUUCGCAAGUUGCUGGUGGGAAGAUUGCUGCUCAGCAGAAUCUGGCAUUACUGGCAAACCAGGUACUCUCAAAGAAAUGAUAUCUGGUCAUUGCAUGUUAUUACCUGACAACUGAUUUUGUUUGUAAAAGUCUGCUUCUUCAUACAUAUGAAUGCAUAUGUUAGUGUUUUCUUCUCCUUUUCAUACAUAUGAAUGCAUAUGUUGCUUCUUUUCCUUUCCAUACAUAUUAAUACAUAUGUUGGUGUUCUCUCCUGAGAUGGAUGCAAUAAAGGUUUUUCUGAAGAAAUGGCAAGGGAUGUGAGAUUCUGUCUCAUAAAAUUAACAAAAACCCAAAACAAUGAAAACCCAUAAUAAUGUGGUGUGGGUAAAUUGACGCCAUUUGGUUCGUUUCCUUGAUGUGAAUACGCGGGCAAUAGAGACUAACAAAAUGAAGUGACAACAAGAAGUCAGUGUCCUUUGAUGGAUGCAUUUUUAGGCAGAAAUAGGUUUGUAAUUGACCAAAUUUGUCUGGCAUGCCAAUUUCAAAAAAAAUUAAAUUAUGUGGUUAUUAGCUGUAAUGAAGGGGGAUUGUAGGUCCAAUCAGGUGGAUCCAUGAAAGUUCAACAAAGUUCUGGUAUGGCGUAGAAAUUGGUUUGUGCAACUCAAGAGUCUUUCUGGUGAACGAUGAUGGGUUUUGAUUUAUAAAUGUUAUAAAUCUACUGUGCAUAGUAUUCUAGUAGAAUCAUCUAUAAGUUCUAGUUAUUGAAAUUGUCUACCUUGUUCAGUUUGAGUUAAGGGCACAUGUAAUAUGAAAAAUAGUUGUUGCAUCUUUUAGGUUACCUAACAUUUGAUCAAUCCUAUUAUGAGGGCUUCAAGAUGUCUAACAAUAUGUGGAAUGCCCAUGCUCCUCCCCAUUGUUUAUCUUAUAUAAUAAUUUGUUUUAGAUGCUAAUAUCUUUGUCGAUACCGGUAACAAUAUUACAAUAUCUGCGUUUAUUGGGUUUUACAUAGGUUCGACUGUUUGACAGUACACACUCUCUGAAGGCAUUUGGAAAUGGAGAUGUAUGGAUUGCUGUUGGGUGGAGUAGUGAUGUUCUUCCUGCUGUCAACGUAUGUCUAAUGUUGCAGUUGUUGUUCCCAAGUCUGGUGCUAGCUUAUGGGCUGAUCUUUGGGUAUACCCAUGCCUGCCAUUCUACUUCAAUAUUCACAUUGUUAUCUCCUUCAUAUUAGUGAUCAGUAAACACGAUAAUGUGACUAAUAAGUUCGUAUUCUCUUUAUAGGCAAUCCCUGCUGCCUCAAGACUUGAAACAAAACAAAUUGGAGGGCGAGUCAGAGGUGCAUUUCCAUUAAUCCAUCAAUGGAUAGAAUUCUGCUUGCAAACAGCGAGAGCAUUGCCUUUCAAGCAAGAGGUUAUCCCGAGCGCAUCUCCCUCUGCCCUUGAGAGUACUCUGGUUAAGUUGCCUGAAAACUUUGAAGGGUAAACCAAGUCUGGAUACUAACUUAAUUGCUGGAGUACCCCUGACGGAAAUUCUGGCAGAUGUGAGUUUUUGGAGCCAUUAUCUGAAGCUACAUUGUCGGAUUAUGAGUGGCUGGUUGCUAAUCUGCAAAAAUCCACUCUGUACUGAUCAACAAAGAUGCAACAUUACAUGUCAUCAUUGAUCUUUAGCUAAAGGUACAUUGAAAAGUUAAUGGCACUGCAUACCAGUCAUUAUAAUUGGGUCAGGGCAAUUGGGUCAGGGCAAUUGGGUCAGGGCAAUUAGGUCAGAGCAUAACUUCAUUAGGAAAAGAGGCUUCAGCUACGUUAAAUAUUACAGGAUGUACUGAGAUGGCUGAAGUUGUUGACGUUGUACGAGAAACGAAGAUGAGUGUUUGUUUGAACAAAGUUGUUGCCAAUCUUGCAGAGUUCGAGAAGAAAGAUCACGAAGCAAAUGCCACGAUUUCUUCAUCACUGUAGCCUCCAUAGUUGAAGUUUCCUCAUUUGAAGCUGUUUAUGCAUAUGCUUUUUUUCCCUUCUCAAGUACAGGAAAUUGAAGAAUUAACCAGAUGUGAAUAUGCUGAAAGAGGGAAGUUUUCUCCCUUGAAUGUGGCCUUGUGAUUUGUCUUGAAGGAAUAGGAUGAUCACUGGCAAGAACCCUAUCAAGGUAGAUUUUAUGAUGUUAACAUAUUAUUAAGCAUUUUUGUUACAUCAGCAAUGAUGCUUUCAUAGCAUGAAAGUGUUUAAAUUUAACUGAAUGAUCUUGAUUGAUCAAUUAUGAGUUUUAAUCGAGUAAAAACUAAAUACAUAAUCGUUAACAAUAUUGAAAUUGGGUAAAUAUGAUCUUGAUAUUGAUGAAUUUGAAAUCACAACCCACACAGGAAAUCACCCUCGCGUGGGGAUGGAAAUGUUUACUGCAGCGAUAUUGAAUAUGUCCACUGCUGGACUAAUUCUGAUUACCUAAUUGACUCAGGAUCGGCUGGCAAUAAUAACAGUUUAUUAACAAUGCACAGUCCGAGUACUUUUCCAGGAUCAGAUACGACGUGGUCUAAUGUUGAUAAUAAUAGAUUAUCAAAUGACAAAUCGUUGUUCUACUAUUGCAAGCCCCCAGAUUUAAGAAUCUUUUUCAGAAAUUAAAUACAUUCUGAGAGAUGCUGGUCUACUAUUGCAAGCCCCCAGAUUUAAGAAUCUUUUGACGGUAAUUUAUCACCUGUAACUGUGCCGGAAGAUUCAACUAGCACUGAAAAAGAUGAUAAAUUAAUUGAUAUGGAGAGUUUUCAUAUCACUUUUAAAUCAUCUUAUGUAAUUGUGAUGUUAGGAAGCAUUAGUGAUCUAUAUGUGAAUUAUUAUUGGCGCCAUUGGUGGUUUUAUCUUGUUAAAAUAUGGAUGAAUUCCAGUUACUAUUUUGUUGCAGACAAUCUUCUUCAAUUAACAUAUGGUUUAAAAUCAUUAUGUAAAUCAAUCUAUUAAUUUUCAAGAUAUUUAACUGAGUUAAAACUAAGUGCACUCAAUAAAUCUCUUUUCCUUUAAAAAACUGUUACGCUUUAUUUUAGUGCUUAAUAUUUAUUGAACUCCGAUACAGGGAAUUUGAAAUCAAACUCGUAACUACAUAUUAUCUAAUUGCAAGUUUCUAUCCAUAGCUGCUGAUUUGUAGUGAUUAUCUAAUUGACUGAGGUGACGACAAUUUUUUUUUUUUUAAAUUUUCAAUAGCACAAUGUGGAAUUCAAUAAUUAAAUUCUCCUUUUUAAUUUGUUUCCAGUUAAAUUAUUAAUUACUUAAACUCUGUUUUAAGUCUUUAAGUUUAUGUGUUUAUGCAGAAUUGGAUUCUUGAGCGUGUUGGACACGACCAACAAUGAAAUUGACAGUAAAAAAACAAUACAACGUGUGGACUCCGGUAGAUGCCAUACAAGUCUACAACUUUACAAAUAAUAAUUGAGUAAGCAACUUUGAUUCUCGGGGCCCUUCAAUGAAUUUCUAGCCCCGUUGACUCCGCCAACUAAAGUUUGUAAAAUAAAAAAAUACAUAGAAUUCCACUAAAUGCAAAACGCGUGGAAUUUAAUUUUCGGCCAUGUGGACCAAAACAUAAUUUAAUGAAAAAGGAAAAAAAAUGAUAAGAUUUCUAAAAUAUGUGAAAGAUGAUCCAUAUUUUACUGAAACGACUUAUUAAAUUUUUCAAAGAUUUAGAAUAUUUAGUCAUAAAUUACGUGCAUGUUAAUUUUUCCGCCAUUGACUAUCAUAUUCUAAACUUAAUAGUACAUUUCUUGUUGAAGGGUACUUAGUCUCUCUUCUCCUCUUAUAAAAAUUAUUGAUGGAUUUCUUGUUAUAGUUAAUAGUCUUUAAGAACGGAUAACUUUAUUGUUUUCGUGACCAAAUUAUGUCCGCCUAAGGUUGUGACUAUUAAUAAAAUUAAUAUUUUAAUGUUUAUGUUAAAAGAUAUAAGAUUUUAUGCGUUCAUUAAUUGUUAUUAGCUAAAGGAUGAAUUAUUUUUUCAACCCAAUCAGUUGAUGCAUCUGCAAGAGUUUUUUUCUUUAUUGACCAUAAUUAUGUUCCGGGUACAAUAAAUUGUCUUUGGUGCUUGGAAAAUAUGACUUCUUACUUCAAGUUUGAUAUGUCUCUCUCCAUAAACUUACUGGAAAUAUAUCCUCAUCUACUGUCAUUUAUCUAAUAUCAAUUGAAGAUCUCACUUUUUCAACUAUCACUUCCAAGUCUCAUUGUCACUUGGCCAUUCUUGGACCAUUCAAAACCAAUCAAGUGUUGAAAUAAUCAAAUAUAUGCAAAAUUAGAGUCACGAUUUUUUGGUCCCCCAAAUUCUAAUUAUAUAACUUCUAUAUAUUUCAUUGCCAGGUCACGAACUUGUUGGCACAUUUUCCAAAUUCCUCUUCCAUCAGCUCUCACACGUUAACUUAAGUGGAAAGUUUCCAAGUUGAUUGCUAGAAAGCAACGCAAAAUCAGACACACUUGAUCUGUCCCCUAAUUCUCUUUUCUACGUUGAAAAAGAAAAAAAAAAAAAUACAUAUAUAUAUAUAUAUAUAUAUCUAUGUAAAAAUAAAUAAUAAACUGAGUAAAAGUACAUUUGUUUAAUUAACAUCUGAUCGGGGCAUUUUUGGUGUAAGCCACAACUAAAAUCAAACAGCCCCUUAGCAUACUUCUUCCAUUUUAUCUGCUACUUUUGUGGAUCUUAUAGGGUGGGCAUGUGGACAGAAUUUAAAAGUUUUAAUAGGCUCAAAGAAGAAGAUGUGUUAAAUCUAAAGUUGUUGCACCUUCUGAUUAAAUAAAGUUGUACAAUUUCAUCAACUUGAAAGAAUUGACAUUAAUGAACUGGUCGCCUCUCCAUGUAUGAAGCCUUCUUAAAAGUUAAUUUUUAUUUCAGAAAAAAAAAGUUUAAGUUACAUAUAUUACAGUAAGAUUUUUUUGAGACCAAUUCCCUUCUUGAAAUAUAAUAGAAAAGUAUUAAUUUAAAAAUAAAAUGAAUAUGUAUUGAUUAUAUCCUGAUUUUCAUCGAUUAUAGUUAGAGAGUUUCACCAAAUCAAUUCCUUAUUCAAAUAAUACAGAAAAAAUAGUAAUUUAAUAGUAAAAUAAACAGGUGUUGAUUAUAUAUCCUAAGUUUCAUCGAUUAUGUGAUCAAAGUGGCAUUGUUGAUUUAUUUUUGUUCAAUGUUAAUUUUUAGGUUAUAUAAAUUUCAAGGAUUUAAAAUCUUUGGCCAUGAAUUACACGCUUGUUAAUUUUCCUGCCAUUGACUGUCAUAUUCUAGACUUAAUGAUACCUUUCUUGAUCAAGGGUAAUUACUCUCUCUUCUCCUCUUAUAAAUUCCUCUUCCAUUAACAUCACUAGGAGUAUGUUGAUCUCUCAGACGUUAACUUGAGUGGAGAGUUUCCAAAUUGAUUGUUACAAAACAACACAAAAACUAGACACACUUGAUCUGUCUAAUAAUUCUCUUUCGGUAAAAUUAAAUAAUUUUAGGGGAAUAUUCGGCCAACCUCUAUAAUUUCAGAGUGAUCAUUAAUUAAUUAAUCGAUACAAAUAUCUAAAGUGAUUAAAUGUGACUUGAAAUUUGAUCUCUAUCGAUUGGUUUACAAAUGGACGUACUUGUGCCUUUGUGGCGAUAAUCGAACAAGUACCCAUGAUUAUUAUUUUUUCCAAAAACUUUUUUACAACAAAUUCAUCUCGUCAAAAAUUCUAUGUUGCUAACUAACAAUAAUUGAGCACUUGGCCGCAUUGACUCCACGUCUCACCUCUUUCUAAAUUCUAAGUAAAAACAUGGAAAUGUAAUUUCCACAAAAUGCCAAAUGUGUGGAAUUUAAUUUUUUGCCUUGUGGAUCAAAAUACAAAUGAAAGAAACAGAAGAAAAAAAAGGCCCAAAGACUUCUAAAAGAUGAAGAAGUCUUUGUGCCUUUUUAUAAUGGUGAAUUUUUUAAAAGAAAAAAAAUAACAACAUUUUUAUGGUUUGUUUUGAUAAUCAUAUUUACAUAUACUCUCUAAUUUUCAAAAUGGACACAUAAAUCUUUUUUUUUUACAAAAUAUAUAUUAUUCAUAUUUUUUUUUUAUUUUUUUUUAUCAUAUUUUAUUUAUUAUAAAUGUUUAGAGCAAAUUUUUAGGUUGAAAUAUAAUAAAAAGGUAUAAUUGUUCUCUUAUUAAACACACAUACUUUUAUUAGUUUCUAUCCAUUUGUCAUCUCAAUCUCUCUCAAUUAUUCUUUAUUGCUAGCUCAAAACGCGUUGCUGUUGCAAAUUAUAGCAAAAUGACAAAUAUGGAAAAAAAGGGAAGAAAAUUAAUGCAUGAAAGACUUGGAGAAAACAACAAAAUAAGCCAACUAUGAGCUAGUUGGGUGUAUAAAUUGUUAGAUGUGUAUAUACAAAUAGCGUAGAGCCCUCUAGUUGGUUCCAGAGACAGAAAGAGCGUGUGUGUUUUUUCACAGUUAGAGAUAUAGUUAGAAUGGGUGGUUCAAAAUCAAAAAUGAUGAUAAUGUUUAUUAUGUUAUUAAUAAUAUUUAAAAGUGGGUGGAGUGAGGGAUGUUUGGAUCACGAGAGAUUUGCUUUUUUGAGACUCAAACAUUUCUUCAAUGAUCCUCUUAAUUCUCUUUACGACUGGGUAGAUGGUGAGGGAGCUACUGAUUGUUGUCAGUGGGAAAGGGUUGAGUGCAGCAACACCACAGGCCGAGUGAUAGCACUGGACCUUUCUUAUAUAUAUUCGGGAGAGUACAGCUGGUAUCUGAAUGCUUCUUUAUUUACUCCUUCCAACAACUUGAGUCACUUGAUUUAACUCAAAACAAAAUAGCCGGAUGUGUUGAGAAUGAAGGUACUUUGUUUAAUUUAAUUAAUUUACUUUCUCCCCCCUAAUUUAAGUUGAAUAUCAAGACCGAGCAAUUAUACGCAUAUUCAUUUAGUCGACAAUUUUGACUUUUUUUUAAAUGAUUAAUUUUGAAAUUACACCAGUAUCUAUGAUCUUUUUUAUUUUAUUUUAUUUGCAGGUAUAGAGAGGCUAUCAAGAUUGAACAACUUGAAGAUGCUUAAUUUAAGUGGAAACUCAUUCAAUAAUAGCAUUUUAUCAUCUCUAACUCAUCUUUCAUCAUUAAGAUCAUUAAAUUUAUUGUGGAAUAGAUUGGAAGGAAGUAUUGACGUUAAAGGUACAUAAUUAAAACUUCAAGCUCUUUCAUUAACUUGCUAAAAUAAGAUUCAAGGCUUUGAAUUCAAUUUUUUUAUGAUUAAUAUUAAAAAAACAGUUUUAAGCAAUUUAUAAAUACAAGUUUUAAUGUUUCUUGUAAUUUCAUCUUGUACUUUCAUAUGUCUUGAAUUUAAGAUUAAAAAAAAAACUCUAAUAGCGAACCAAACACCUCCACAACUUAUUAUUAUUUGUGGUGAGGUUUGAAACAUUCAACUCAAUUUGUACUUAUUACAGAAUUUGAUUCUUUGAGAGAUUUAGAGGAGCUAGACAUUGGCGGAACAAGAUUGACAAAUUUGUGGUCUCAAAAGGUACUACAAAUACCAUAAAAAAAUAUGCUAACUUUUACAAAUUAGUUAGAUUCUUUGCCAUUUGGUUUAUUAUUUUACAGGUUUGAGUAAGUUGAAGUCUCUUGGUUUAAGUGGUAUCAAACUCAAUCGUAGCAUCUUAUCUUCUCUGACUGUCUUUCUUCGUUAAGAGAAUUAUAUAAGUGAUACGGGAUUCAAAGGAACAUUCGAUGUUCGAGGUAAGCCUAAACCUUGCUUUCUCAUUUUAUAUAUGCCAACUAGAUUUGUGUAUCAUCGACAUAAUUUAAUAUUUAAUUUGAUAAGUCUGAAUGAAUUACAUGCUAAUUUAACACUUUUAUUUACUUUGUCAAUUAAUUAAUUAAUUAAUUAUACUAUUUGGCUUGGUUUGGACGAAAUUCUCAUGAUGUUUUAAUUUCUUUAAAUUAAUUAAUUAAUUAACUCUGUUUUUAAGUCUUAAGUCUGGGCGUGUUUGCAGAUUUGAUUCCUUCAACGACUUAGAAGUGUUGGAUAUGAGAUACAAUGAAAUCGACAAUCUUGUGGUUCCUCAAGGUAAACAAUUAAAAGGUACAGAUGUGGCCAAAUUUAUAAAUAAAUUGUUAAUUAAUUAAUUUUUUCGUAUUAUUAAUAAAGCUAAAUUCGUUUGCUCCUUCCUUCUAAUUCUAAACAGAGUUGCACAAUUUCACCAACUUGGAAUAUUUGACAUUGGAAUCUUUCCUCUCUCAUAUAAGCCUUCUGCAAAGCAUUGCAUCAAUAUUCCCUUCGUUAAAAAAUCUGUCGAUGUCUUUUUGUGAAGUCAAUGGUGUCGUACGCGGUCAAGGUAAAAGAAAAGCGUUGAUUGUGAACUCACUCAAUGGUGUCCUACGUGUUCAACAUUUUUAUUUAUUUUAUUGUUUAAUGUUUCUGCUAGGUUUUCCUCAUUUCAAGAGUUUGGAACAUUUUGACAUGAGGUUCGCGCGCAUUGCGCUCAACACCAGCUUUCUUCAAAUCAUCGGUGAAUCGAUGCCCUCUCUUAAGUACUUAUUACUGUCAUAUUCUAAUCUCUUGGCACUAACAGCAGCAGGAUUCUUCAUCAAGGUUAAUGAGAUGCUGCCACCCUCCCCUCUUAACCUAUAAUAUUAAUUUUCGAUUAAAUAUUUAAUUACACAAACCAAAUCACUUAUUAUAAAAGAACAAUACGCAUUCAUUAAUUUUUAUAUUGUAUUAAUAAUUGAUGAAUUUAAUAAAUUUUCAGGCCUCUGUUCGUUGGUGCACCUGCAAGAGUUGUACAUUGAUAAUAAUGAUUAAAGAGGUAGCUUGCCUUGGUGCUUGGCAAAUAUGACAUCCUCCGAAUAUUAGAUGUUUCUUCCAAUCAACUUACGGGAAGCAUCUCCUCAUCUCCCCUCGUUCAUUUGACAUCCAUUGAAAAGUUGAUCUUUCAAACAAUCACUUUUGGAUCCCAAUUUCACUUGAACCACUUUUCAAUCACUCACGACUCAAGCUUUCUAUGCUGACAACAAAAAUAAAAGCUGAAAUAACUGAGUCACAUUCUUUGACUGCCCCAAACUUCCAAUUAAAAUAUCUCUCAUUGUCUUCCGGUUACGAAGAUGGUGUCACAUUCCCCAAAUUCCUUUACCAUCAACAUGACCUGGAGUAUGUUGACCUCUCACAUAUAAACAUGAGCGGAGAAUUUUCCAAAUUGGUUGUUGGAAAACAACACAAACUUAGAAUAUAUUUUUUGGUUAAUGAUUCUCUUGCAGGACCUUUCCGGUUGCCAAUUCAUUCACACAAGCGGUUAAGACUGUUGGAUAUAUCCAACAACAACAUCAGAGGCCACAUUCCAGUAGAAAUUGGAGAUGUUUUACCGGGUUUAUUUUCUUUAAACAUUUUCAUGAAUGCUUUAGACGGUUGCAUUCCCUCUUCAUUUGGUAAUAUGAAAUUCCUCCAAUUUCUGGACUUAUCCAACAACCAAUUGACUGGUGAAAUCCUAAGCACUUGGCCGUGGGUUGCGUCAACUUAGAGUCUCUUGCGUUGUCAAACAACAACUUAGAAGGUCAUAUGUUCUCCAGAAACUUCAACCUGACAAACUUGAAAUGGUUACAAUUGGAAAGCAAUCACUUCGUAGGAGAGAUCCCACAAAGUUUGUCUAAAUGCUCCUCACUAAAAGGAUUGUAUCUUAACAAUAAUAGUCUUUCGGGUAAGAUUCCACGAUGGUUGGGUAAUCUCACAUGGUUACAAUAUAUUACAAUGCCCAAUAAUCAUCUUGAAGGUCCUAUUCCAGUGGAGUUUUGUCAGCUUGAAUGGCUUCAGAUUUUGGACAUUUCAGACAACAACAUAUCUGGAAGUUUACCAUCUUGUUUCCAUCUUCUCUCUAUCAAACAAGUUCAUCUUUCAAAAAAUAUGUUACAUGGACAGCUAAAAGAGGUACAUUUCUUUAAUUGCUCUUCCCUUGUGACAUUAGAUCUUAGUUAUAACCGCUUGAAUGGCAGCAUUCCGGAUUGGGUUGAUGGACUUUCUCGUUAAGCCACCUUAUCUUGGCUCACAAUAAUCUUAAAGGUGAAGUGCCAGUUCAAUUGUGCAAAUUGAACCAACUACAAUUGUUAGAUCUUUCUAAUAAUAAUCUUCAUGGUCCUAUUCCUCUUUGCUUUGAUAACACCACACUUCAUGAAAGUUACAGCAAUAGUUCUAGUCCUGAUGAGCAAUUUGAAAUAUAUAUUUUUAUGUCCGCCUAAGGUUGUGACUAUUAAUAAAUUAAUAUUUAAUGUUUAUGUAAAAAUAUAUAAGAUUUUAUGCGUUCAUUAAUUGUUAUUAGCUAAAGGAUGAAUUAUUUUUCAACCCAAUCAGUUGAUGCAUCUGCAAGAGUUUUUUCUUUUAUUGACCAUAAUUAUGUUCCGGGUACAAUAAAUUGUCUUUGGUGCUUGGAAAAUAUGACUUCUUACUUCAAGUUUGAUAUGUCUCUCUCCAUAAACUUACUGGAAAUAUAUCCUCAUCUACUGUCAUUUAUCUAAUAUCAAUUGAAGAUCUCACUUUUUCAAACUAUCACUUCCAAGUCUCAUUGUCACUUGGCCAUUCUUGGACCAUUCAAAACCAAUCAAGUGUUGAAAUAAUCAAAUAUAUGCAAAAUUAGAGUCACGAUUUUGGUCCCCCAAAUUCUAAUUAUAUAACUUCUAUAUAUUUCAUUGCCAGGUCACGAACUUGUUGGCACAUUUUCCAAAUUCCUCUUCCAUCAGCUCUCACACGUUAACUUAAGUGAAAGUUUCCAAGUUGAUUGCUAGAAAGCAACGCAAAAUCAGACACACUUGAUCUGUCCCCUAAUUCUCUUUUCUACGUUGAAAAAAGAAAAAAAAAAAUAAAAUACAUACAUACAUAUAUAUAUAUAUAUAUAUAUAUAUAUAUAUAUAUAUAUAUAUAUAUAUCUAUGUAAAAAUAAAUAAUAAACUGAGUAAAAAGUACAUUUGUUUAAUUAACAUCUGAUCGGGGCAUUUUUGGUGUAAGCCACAACUAAAAUCAAACAGCCCCUUAGCAUACUUCUUCCAUUUUAUCGGCUACUUUUGUGGAUCUUAUAGGGUGGGCAUGUGGACAGAAUUUAAAAGUUUUAAUAGGCUCAAAGAAGAAGAUGUGUUAAAUCUAAAGUUGUUGCACCUUCUGAUUAAAUAAAGUUGUACAAUUUCAUCAACUUGAAAGAAUUGACAUUAAUGAACUGGUCGCCUCUCCAUGUAUGAAGCCUUCUUAAAGUUAAUUUUUAUUUCAGAAAAAAAAGUUUAAGUUACAUAUAUUACAGUAAGAUUUUUUGAGACCAAUUCCCUUCUUGAAAUAAUAAUAGAAAAGUAUUAAUUUAAAAAAUAAAAUGAAUAUGUAUUGAUUAUAUCCUGAUUUUCAUCGAUUAUAGUUAGAGUUUCACCAAAUCAAUUCCCUUAUUCAAAUAAUACAGAAAAAAUAGUAAUUUAAUAGUAAAAUAAACAGGUGUUGAUUAUAUAUCCUAAGUUUCAUCGAUUAUGUGAUCAAAGUGGCAUUGUUGAUUUAUUUUUUGUUCAAUGUUAAUUUUUAGGUUAUAUAAAUUUCAAGGAUUUAAAAUCUUUGGGCCAUGAAUUACACGCUUGUUAAUUUUCCUGCCAUUGACUGUCAUAUUCUAGACUUAAUGAUACCUUUCUUGAUCAAGGGUAAUUACUCUCUCUUCUCCUCUUAUAAAUUCCUCUUCCAUUAACAUCACUAGGAGUAUGUUGAUCUCUCAGACGUUAACUUGAGUGGAGAGUUUCCAAAUUGAUUGUUACAAAACAACACAAAAACUAGACACACUUGAUCUGUCUAAUAAUUCUCUUUCGGUAAAAUUAAAUAAUUUUAGGGGAAUAUUCGGCCAACCUCUAUAAUUUCAUAGUGAUCAUUAAUUAAUUAAUCGAUACAAAUAUCUAAAGUGAUUAAAUGUGACUUGAAAUUUGAUCUCUAUCGAUUGGUUUACAAAUGGACGUACUUGUGCCUUUGUGGCGAUAAUCGAACAAGUACCCAUGAUUAUUAUUUUUUUCCAAAAACUUUUUUACAAACAAAUUCAUCUCGUCAAAAAUUCUAUGUUGCUAACUAAACAAUAAUUGAGCACUUGGCCGCAUUGACUCCACGUCUCCACCUCUUUCUAAAUUUCUAAGUAAAAACAUGGAAAUGUAAUUUCCACAAAAUGCCAAAUGUGUGGAAUUUAAUUUUUUGCCUUGUGGAUCAAAAUACAAAUGAAAGAAACAGAAGAAAAAAAAAGGCCCAAAGACUUCUAAAAGAUGAAGAAGUCUUUUGUGCCUUUUUAUAAUGGUGAAUUUUUUUAAAGAAAAAAAAAUAACAACAUUUUUAUGGUUUGUUUUGAUAAUGCAUAUUUACAUAUACUCUCUAAUUUCAAAAUGGACACAUAAAUCUUUUUUUUUUACAAAAUAUAUAUUAUUCAUAUUUUUUUUAUUUUUUUAUUAUCAUAUUUUUAUUUAUUAUAAAUGUUUAGAGCAAAUUUUUAGGUUUGAAAUAUAAUAAAAAGGUAUAAUUGUUUCUCUUAUUAAACACACAUUACUUUUUAUUAGUUUCUAUCCAUUUGUCAUCUCAAUCUCUCUCAAUUAUUCUUUAUUGCUAGCUCAAAACGCGUUUGCUGUUGCAAAUUAUAGCAAAAUGACAAAUAUGGAAAAAAAGGGAAGAAAAUUAAUGCAUGAAAGACUUGGAGAAAACAACAAAAUAAGCCAACUAUGAGCUAGUUGGGUGUAUAAAUUGUUAGAUGUGUUAUAUACAAAUAGCGUAGAGCCCUCUAGUUGGUUCCAGAGACAGAAAGAGCGUGUGUGUUUUUUCACAGUUAGAGAUAUAGUUAGAAUGGGUGGUUCAAAAUCAAAAAUGAUGAUAAUGUUUAUUAUGUUAUUAAUAAUAUUUAAAAGUGGGUGGAGUGAGGGAUGUUUGGAUCACGAGAGAUUUGCUUUUUUUGAGACUCAAACAUUUCUUCAAUGAUCCUCUUAAUUCUCUUUACGACUGGGUAGAUGGUGAGGGAGCUACUGAUUGUUGUCAGUGGGAAAGGGUUGAGUGCAGGCAACACCCACAGGCCGAGUGAUAGCACUGGGACCUUUUCUUAUAUAUAUUCGGGAGAGUACAGCUGGUAUCUGAAUGCUUCUUUAUUUACUCCCUUCCAACAACUUGAGUCACUUGAUUUAACUCAAAACAAAAAUAGCCGGAUGUGUUGAGAAUGAAGGUACUUUGUUUAAUUUAAUUAAUUUACUUUCUCCCCCCCUAAUUUAAGUUGAAUAUCAAGACCGAGCAAUUAUAUGCAUAUUCAUUUAGUCGACAAUUUUGACUUUUUUUUAAAUGAUUAAUUUUGAAAUUACACCAGUAUCUAUGAUCUUUUUUAUUUUAUUUUAUUUGCAGGUAUAGAGAGGCUAUCAAGAUUGAACAACUUGAAGAUGCUUAAUUUAAGUCGAAACUCAUUCAAUAAUAACAUUUUAUCAUCUCUAACUCAUCUUUCAUCAUUAAGAUCAUUAAAUUUAUUGUGGAAUAGAUUGGAAGGAAGUAUUGACGUUAAAGGUACAUAAUUAAAACUUCAAGCUCUUUCAUUAACUUGCUAAAAUAAGAUUCAAGGCUUUGAAUUCAAUUUUUUUUAUGAUUAAUAUUAAAAAAACAGUUUUAAGCAAUUUAUAAAUACAAGUUUUAAUGUUUCUUGUAAUUUCAUCUUGUACUUUCAUAUGUCUUGAAUUUAAGAUUAAAAAAAAAACUCUAAUAGCGAACCAAACACCUCCACAACUUAUUAUUAUUAUUUUAAUUUGUGGUGAGGUUUGAAACAUUCAACUCAAUUUGUACUUAUUACAGAAUUUGAUUCUUUGAGAGAUUUAGAGGAGCUAGACAUUGGCGGGAACAAGAUUGACAAAUUUGUGGUCUCAAAAGGUACUACAAAUACCAUAAAAAAUAUGCUAACUUUUACAAAUUAGUUAGAUUCUUUGCCAUUUGGUUUAUUAUUUUACAGGUUUGAGUAAGUUGAAGUCUCUUGGUUUAAGUGGUAUCAAACUCAAUCGUAGCAUCUUAUCUUCUCUUUCUUCGUUAAGAGAAUUAGAUAUAAGUCGUACGGGAUUCAAAGGAACAUUUGAUGUUCGAGGUAAGCCUAAACCUUGCUUUUCUCAUUUUAUAUAUGCCAACUAGAUUUGUGUAUCAUCGACAUAAUUUAAUAUUUUAAUUUGAUAAGUCUGAAUGAAUUACAUGCUAAUUUAAACACACUUUUAUUUACUUUGUCAAUUAAUUAAUUAAUUAAUUACUAUUUGGCUUGGUUUGGACGAAAUUCUCAUGAUGUUUUAAUUUCUUUAAAUUAAUUAAUUAAUUAACUCUGUUUUUAAGUCUUAAGUCUGGGCAUGUUUGCAGAAUUUGAUUCCUUCAAUAACUUAGAAAGUGUUGGACAUGAGUUGGAACGAAAUCGACAAUCUUGUGGUUCCUCACGGUAAACAAUUAAAAUGUUAUUCAAUUACAUUAUUUUUAAUUCAUUUGAUUAGGGAAGGCCAAAAAGGUAAAAAAAAUAAUAAUAAAGAAACAGAGAAUUUGUAUUAUUUAAAAAACAGAAUGUAAUAAAGAUUUGAUUCUGGUUCUUUAAUCUUUAAAGUGAUUGAAAAACAAUGUUGCUCUUUUCCCAAAGCAUCAAAUACGAAUUGAAUGCCAAUUAACUUAAUCAUUCAUUUCGUUUAGCUCUAAAUUUAGACAAUGAAUUUUUAUAUUAUUUCAAAAACAUGACGUAAUAGAAUUUUUUUAAAAAACAGAUUCUAAUAAAGAUUUGAUUCCAAUUCUUUAAUCUUUACAGUGAUUGAAAAAACGAUACUACUCUUUUCCCAAAGCAUAAAUACGAAUUGACUCCCAAUCAAAUUAAUCAUUUAUUUCGUUCAUCUCUGAAUUUAAAUAAUGAAUUUUGAUCUUCAAUCGUAUUAUAAUUACUAUUAAAGAACAGGUUACAGAGGUUUGAGGAAGUUGAAUCAUCUUGAUCUAUCGGAGUUGGAAUUAGAGAUGGAAGCAAGUUGUUACAGUCAAUGGGAUCAUUCCCAUCCCUCAACACUCUUUACCUUUCGUGGAAUAAUUUUAUCGAUACAGCGACCGCUACUCAAGGUAAGUAAAAGGUACAAAUGUGGCCAAAUUUAUAAAUAAAUUGUUAAUUAAUUAAUUUUUCCGUAUUAUUAAUUAAGCUAAAUUUGUUGCUCCUUCCUUCUAAAUCUAAACAGAGUUGCACAAUUUCACCAACUUGGAAUAUUUGACAUUGGACUUUUCCUCUCUCCAUAUAAGCCUUCUCCAAAGCAUUGCAUCAUUAUUCCCUUCGUUAAAAAAUCUGUCGAUAUCUCAUUGUGAAGUCAAUGGUGUCCUACGCGGUCAAGGUAAAAGAAAAUCGUUGAUUGUGAACUCACUCAAUGGUGUCCUACGUGUUCAACAUUUUUAUUUAUUUAUUGUUUAAUGUUUCUGCUAGGUUUUCCUCAUUUCAAGAGUUUGGAACAUUUGGAUAUGGAUUACACGCGCAUUGCACUCAACACCGGCUUUCUUCAAAUCAUCGGUGAAUCGAUGCCUUCUCUUAAGUACUUAUCACUGUCAAGGUUAAUCUAUAAAUCGAUGCCUUCUCUUGAUCAAGGUUAAUCAGAUGCUCCCACUCUCCCCUCUUAAUCUAUAAUAUUAAUUUUCAAUUCAAUAUUUAAUUACACAAACGAAUCACUUAUUAUAAAAGAAUAAUACGCAUUCAUUAAUUUUUAUAUUGUAUUAAUAAUUGAUGAAUUUAAUAACUUUUCAGGUCUCUGUUCGUUGGUGCAUCUGCAAGUGUUGAACAUUGCAGGCAAUGAUUUAAGAGGUAGCUUGCCUUGGUGCUUGGCAAAUAUGACAUCCCUCCGAAUAUUAGAUGUUUCUUCCAAUCAACUUACUGGAAGCAUCUCCUCAUCUCCCCUCGUUCAUUUGACAUCCAUUGAAGAGCUGAUGCUUUCAGACAAUCACUUCCAGAUCCCAAUUUCACUUGAACCAUUUUUCAAUCACUCACGACUCAAGAUUUUCCAUGCUUACAACAACGAAAUAAAUGCAGAAAUAACUGAGUCACAUUCUUUGACUGCCCCAAACUUCCAAUUAAAAUAUCUCUCAUUGUCUUCCGGUUACGGAGAUGGUGUCACAUUCCCCAAAUUCCUUUACCAUCAACAUGAUCUGGAGACUGUUGACCUCUCACAUAUAAACAUGAGCGGAGAAUUUCCAAAUUGGUUGUUGGAAAACAACACAAACUUAGAAUAUAUUUUUUUGGUUAAUGAUUCUCUUGCAGGACCUUUCCGGUUGCCAAUUCAUUCACACAAGCGGUUAAGACUGUUGGAUAUAUCCAACAACAACAUCAGAGGCCACAUUCCAGUAGAAAUUGGAGAUGUUUUACCGGGUUUAUUUUCUUUAAACAUUUUCAUGAAUGCUUUAGACGGUUGCAUUCCCUCUUCAUUUGGUAAUAUGAAAUUCCUCCAAUUUCUGGACUUAUCCAACAACCAAUUGACUGGUGAAAUCCCUAAGCACUUGGCCGUGGGUUGCGUCAACUUAGAGUCUCUUGCGUUGUCAAACAACAACUUAGAAGGUCAUAUGUUCUCCAGAAACUUCAACCUGACAAACUUGAAAUGGUUACAAUUGGAAAGCAAUCACUUCGUAGGAGAGAUCCCACAAAGUUUGUCUAAAUGCUCCUCACUAAAAGGAUUGUAUCUUAACAAUAAUAGUCUUUCGGGUAAGAUUCCACGAUGGUUGGGUAAUCUCACAUGGUUACAAUAUAUUACAAUGCCCAAUAAUCAUCUUGAAGGUCCUAUUCCAGUGGAGUUUUGUCAGCUUGAAUGGCUUCAGAUUUUGGACAUUUCAGACAACAACAUAUCUGGAAGUUUACCAUCUUGUUUCCAUCUUCUCUCUAUCAAACAAGUUCAUCUUUCAAAAAAUAUGUUACAUGGACAGCUAAAAAGAGGUACAUUCUUUAAUUGCUCUUCCCUUGUGACAUUAGAUCUUAGUUAUAACCGCUUGAAUGGCAGCAUUCCGGAUUGGGUUGAUGGGCUUUCUCGGUUAAGCCACCUUAUCUUGGCUCACAAUAAUCUUAAAGGUGAAGUGCCAGUUCAAUUGUGCAAAUUGAACCAACUACAAUUGUUAGAUCUUUCUAAUAAUAAUCUUCACGGUCCUAUUCCUCUUUGCUUUGAUAACACCACACUUCAUGAAAGUUACAGCAAUAGUUCUAGUCCUGAUGAGCAAUUUGAAAUAUAUGUUUUCAUCGAAGGCCCUCAGGGAGGUGUAGAAAAGAAAAUCCAUGAAAUUUUUGAGUUCACAACAAAGAACAUUGCGUACAUUUACCAAGGAAAAGUGCUUAGCCUCCUAUCAGGACUUGAUCUUUCUUGCAACAAGCUAAUCGGUAUUAUUCCUCCUCAAAUUGGAAAUUUGACAAGGAUUCAAACAUUGAAUCUAUCGCACAACAACUUGACAGGAUCGAUCCCAUCAACAUUUUCAAACUUGAAGCAUGUCGAAAGUUUGGAUCUUUCCAACAACAAAUUGAAUGGGAAAAUCCCUCAUCAACUAGUGGAGUUAAAGACAUUGGAGGUUUUCAGUGUGGCAUACAAUAACUUAUCAGGCGAAAUUCCAGAAUGGAAAGCACAAUUUGCAACCUUCAACGGGAGUAGCUAUGAAGGAAAUACUUUUCUUUGUGGACUGCUAUUGCCCAUUUGCAGAUCACCAGCAACUACGUCGGAGGGUUCAAUUGGCAAUGAACGAGAUGAUAAUUUAAUUGACAUGGACAAUUUCUUUAUCACAUUUACAACAUCGUACGAAAUUGUGAUAUUCGGAAUUGUUAUUGUUUUAUAUGUAAAUUCUUAUUGGCGACGUAGAUGGUUUUACUUUGUUGAAAUGUGGAUAACUUCAUGUUAUUAUUUUAUUGUAGACAAUCUUAUUACAACAAGAUAUUGUCAUUGAAAUUAAUUAGGAGUUUAAUUACGAUUCUUUAAGUUCUAAUCAAGUUUGCUUAGGAAAUAAAUUUAUUUUUAUUUUUUAUUAAAACUGUAGUAGUAUUUAGCUCUAUAUAGCUUCCAACUUCCAAGCACUUCACAUUUGUCUCUACACUUCCAAACCCAUAUCUAUCCACCAUAACUUAUACUUCCCUAUACUGUGCAGCAUACUUAAAUAAGAGAACCAUCUCCAAUGUUAAAACCAGCCACUCUAUAACAUUCAUUUAGAAUAGUUUUAUUAUCAUACACAAGAAAUGAAACACCUAGAUGCACUUGAUCGCCUAUUUUACUUUAAAAAAUAAUGAUUAUGGUGCUAUCAUCAUCUUCUUCACUAGCAACAUUAACACCAAAUCCAGCGAUGGACCCAGACAUUUUAUCAAGAAAGGUAUAUAUAUAAUAAAGUUGAAGCUUGACAAAAAAUUCAGGAAGAUUAAUGCCUCGCCACAACAAGGGGCACAACAACAUCAAAGUAGAGAUGAAGCAAUAUUUUCAAAUCUAAAACUCUCAAAUCCACCCACCAAAAUUUCAUAUCUCCUCAACAAUUUUAAGAACUAAAGAUAAUUAGGAUCUAACAUUAGUUUUUUAUAUAUUAGUUUCAUAAUUUACAAAUCAAUGAAGAUGAAGAUUAUGCUAAUGAAUUCAAAUUAUACCAUAGAUUCUCGAGAUGUUACCAAAAAUUUCUAAGCCAAUCCCACAUAUUUCAUAAUUUUAAGACUAGAAAAUUUCAUUAGUUAGAAGUUUCAUUACCUUCAAGUGGAAGAUGAAGAACAUUAUACAAUUGAUUCAGAUUAUAUCAUACAUACUCCAAAUGCAACUAGAAAUUAACAAGUUCAUGCGCACAGAUUUCAUAACAUUAUGAUUGGAAAGUUUCACAAAGAGAAAUUCUAAAUUCAAUCUCUUGCAUCAAGGUAGUUUGAUUGAUUUGAGUUACUUUCUCAUCAAGCUACUAAUAUAACAUUCAAGUCAGGGAGAAAGUAAAUUAAAACUGGGAAGAAACAACAGUAAAAAUUUGUUGCUAAACAUGAUGUGUAUUUUUUUUUAAGGCAAUUUGGAAACACAGUUGUUACUACAGAUAUUCUCCUCAACUUAGAGAUAAAUACAAAUAUUAAAAUGCAUAUGAUCGCACAUAUUACUUGGAGCUUAGUAAGAUUUCAUUAAGAGAAGCAAUCAAACCACUUAUCAAUUGUUGCAAUCGUUCUAUAAGCUAAAAUAGCAAUAUAAUACAAGAAAAAGAACAUAUAGAUACUUGGCAAGAGUUCAUUAAGAAGUCGCAUCACAUUCGGGUGAGUUUGCUUCUGAUAUCUUGCUAGCUGGGGCUUUUUCUUGUCUUUCUACGUAUGCCGAGGGAAACCAACCAGCUUGGCCCUUGCAUUCACCUUCCGACCAUCCAGUAGGAGCCACCUUGAGAAGUUAUAACUAAAAGUCUAAAACAAUGAAUUAAACAAAAGUUGACCGUUCAAAGACCUAAGGGGAAAACUAAUUCUUUUACGUAGGAGGAGUGAAUUAGUUGUGAUCACUGAAAUAACAGCAUAACUAUGGAAGCAUAACAAGAUAUAAAUUCACACGUCUAUAAGGGUAAACUGGGUGGUUUAGAACUGAGCUAGCAACCCUACUAUAUUCUGAUUUGCACAUCAAUGUAAAAGGGAAUAUAUGGUAGGAAGAAAGAAAACCAACCAUCAGUUGUUAACUCAUUGCUUUUCAAUCAAAAUUUUAAGAACAAAAUGCCAUGUGCUUUGAACAUCAAAUAAGUAUAAGCAUUAGUUCUAAAUUCCACAUAUCAUAAGUUAGAAGGACAAGUCAAUAGCAUAGUAGAAAAAUCUAUGUGUUGUUAUUUAGAGGGGAAAGUACCUGGCGAACCACAACAUAAUCAUCAAUUGAAAGACUUAGCUCUCCAUUUGCUUGAGCAUCAAAUGGAUGUAUAACCUGCAAGAUAAUGGGAUAAAUAGAACUUAAUCUUAAAAAAAGCAUAACAAAAGCAGCAACAGUAGCAGCAGCGUUCAUUGUAACCACUAUGAUCAUGGCCAAUAAAGAUAUAUUACAAACAAAAUUCCAUUUUUACUACGACAUUAAUAUGUACUAUAUGAUAUCAUGACGAUUGGGUUACCAAGAGCUAUCAAAGUCCAAUAAAUUCUGUAUAACUUUAGGUAGUUAUUCAAAUUAUGGAUCAGAUUUUAAAUCCGAAAUUUUGACUGCUCUCCACAAAACAUGGCCUAUGCACAAGAAAGUCAUAGAUAAUGAGGAUUACAAGUGUCUGACAUCUUUUGAGUGAUGGAUUUAACAUGAGAGCUUAUGGUCAGUCAAUUUCCUCUGCCUAGCAAUAUAAGCUUUCUCGGCCAGAUUUAUCAUCAAAUACAUAGAUUGGCCCCAAGUCACAUCCAAAUAAACAUAGUUUUUCUAGGUAAACCAAGUAAGGAGAAUCAUAAUUCAGACAUAAUCAUAAAAAGGCCCAUCUAACUUAAGAGAAAAUCUCAAAAAGAGGGAUGUUGAGCUAUCAGUCUUGUAUCUAUAAGCAAUAUCAAGACUUUACAUCACCUACUACAUCGUGAGUGGCUACACAACUUUCAGUGGUUUGUCUUUCUUUGGCAUGCCUAACUCAGCUUUGAUGUUGCUGAGAUAUUGAUAGUAAAGACACAUGAUACUUCUAGCCCAUGCAUUCUAUCUAGCUCAUCCGACAACUAUCUCUUUUUUAAUUCAUUAGUGUUUGCUAAACCUCAUGCUUAAAAGUCCUAUUCUCCUAAACAAAGCUUCCUAAGAAUGACUUCCUCAGCACCACAUUUGGACACUUUUAGAGCAAUUUUAUUUGGGGGAAAAGAAUUUUCAAGGUGUUAACUAAUAAAUUUUAAAAAAUAAUUACAAUUUGUCCUACAAUUAUAUGACAAUUUAUCUGGGAUGAAAGGAUACAGACAGACAUCUUCCACUUUCAAGACUAAUCACUACUUCCGUAGAUGUUUUGCAAUAAUACAAAUACUUGACCAGAUGGUAGAAAAAAAUUUUAUUGCUCCAAAAUUAAAAUAAGAAUGCAAUAUGUUAAGCAAAAGACUGUGCAACAUCAAAUUAAUUGAUAAGUUUGUAAUUCAGUAAAUUAACAACUUUCAUGGUAAAAUACAACAAAUUUCUUUUCAAAAAAAAAAAAAAAAAUUAAAAGACGGCAUUCAAUUUUUUGGGCAUCUUAUUUCUUAAGAUUUUCCAGGAGGAGGGCACUAGAGGGACUUUCACCUAUGCAAGAGAGCAGAAGCCUUACUUUCGCUAUAAAGUAGACGUCAUUCUGAUUAAUAUGCGUUUGCAAAUCAGCUCCAUUUGAAUCAGUAUUCUGAUAGACACAUGAGGCAUUUACAUCCAUUUCCAAAGUCACAUGUUGCGAGGAGGACUCAUUUGAUUGCUCCUCUAGGAUCAUCUAAUUCAAGUAGCAAGGGUUGGAAGAGAAUAAAAAGUCACAAUUAUUCUUUUGCAUAAGUGAGACGAAAAUGAUAAAUGCAAUAUUAUCAGCAGUAAACAAGAAGAGAACACUCCAAGGAAUAGAUAGAUGCAGACAAGCAAGUUAAAAUGCACAGUUCCAAACCUCCGCAUACAACUUCUCUAAAAUAGCAAUAACGUGUUGAUGAUAUGUUUUCUCAGCAUCUACCUGCAAAGGCCUGAGACCAGGAAAACAACAAUAAAACCACUAGCUAAAGGAGAAAGUAAAGAAAGAAAUACACUUGACAUAAAUCUUGACAAGAAGCACAAUUUAAGACAUAACAAACCCCAAUCAGAUUGUUUAGAACUACCAUUCGUUAUUUCGUUAUUGUAGCAUUUCGAACAAGUGUUGACUUAAUUCAACAUUGUUGGAAAGAUAGGCUUUUAGAAGCGGAAGAAAGCCACUCAAACCAAAGUGAUUGUCCUUGUAUUGAUCAAGGGAUGUAAACAUAUUACAUUUGCAGGAUGAGUUUUAAUCACUCCCCUGAUUUAUUUGGGUUGCAGUAAAACUAAGCGAGCAACUGUUUGACUUUCAAGCAACAUCUAAAUCAGCUAUUAAAAUUCAAAUAAAAUUAUAAUAGAAUAAUAACAGGCCAUCUUGCAUAAAAAAUUAAGUUUAAUUUGUGAAUUUUUUUCUAUAGACAUGUUAGUUCCUGCUAUUGAAAUGUUAAAAGCAUUGAAAAAUUAUUCAAUAAAUUAUGCAAACAUUAAAAUAGAGGACAUAUUAAAAAGUUUCUAAUUACAAUGUUAAGAUUUCCUAUAUUUUAGCAUUUGCAUAUUUUAAUUUAUUUAAAAGUUACGUCAAUCAACUUUGGGCGUGAAGAUUUUAGCUUCUACGAGACUUGAUUGGAAUAUGCAUAAGGAAGAGUGUUAAAAUAUGAUGCAUCCAACGAAAGACAAACCACGUGUAGUCUUUUAAUUAAGCCAAAGUAGCAGCUCAAACAAAUGACACUUGGACCAACAUGCAAUCAUGAAGUGGCCGGUAAAAGGACAAAUGCAACUUUGGCUUAAAUAAAAAAUAACAUGUGACUUGACUUUUGCUGGACAUGCAUCAUGUUAUUACAAGACAACAGAAAUCAGUAUGAUAGUACUAAAAGUUGACAAUAACAUGAAGAUAAGAGGCAGAAUGUCAACACCUGCAUAGGCACACACAAGAAAGUAUUAACAUAUAUACCAUAGCAAAAAGUCUUUGAUAUGUCAUCUGUUGCUGCUGUGAUUCAACUGACAGCAUGGCAGCUGUCGCUUCUCUACCAAGAGCCAUUAUUGUAGAUUUAAGCUCGGUCAAUCUUGCUUCUGCAUUUCGAAGCUUCACAGCACUCUCUGCUGAUAUAUCAGAUUUCCUUAUCUUUGAUCGGUGCCUAAAUACUUCAGCUGCCUGGUGAAAAUAUUCAAUAUAAAUCUAACAUAAUUCUCAUCUUGCCUUAUACAUGCAUAUGUUACCUCAAAGCUUGCCUGGGCUUCAACUUCAUGUCGAAGUUUGUCAUAACGAUGAGUCAGGUGUCGAGCAUCUUCCAAAGGUGCUCCGUUGAUUAACGCCCGUAGUGGCUCAGAUACCUACAUGUCCAAAAACCUGUAACAUAGUUAGAAAAAUGAAAAGAAAGAGCGAAACCUCAAUUAAAAAGUUCCUCCAACAUAAUCAUGGAAUUUGGGCCUACUUCAAGGAUAUAUAUAAGGAUAAUUUAUGCAAUUUUGGGUCUUAGGAUGAUUCAUAUUAGGUUAGUGUUCUUCUCUUCUGUAUUUAAGGUUAAAAUAGAAAUAAACCUAUGCAAAUAUCUAAAUUAGGGCUGUAAGACUUCCACAUGCAUCCUUCAGUCUCAUGGAUUUGAUUUUACUAUAGAUGCAAGUGUCUUUAUCGAAAAUGCUUGGAGUCAAUUGAGAGAACUCACAGCCAAUAACUUGUCACAUGCUAGUCUUUGCUAGUGAUGCAAGAAGUCACAAGGUCUCUUCAACAUUUGAACCAAUAAAAUUAUUAAGUCAUGGAUGUCACUAGCAAUGAUUUCAAUAUAAAACAUUAAAUAUUUCAAGUUGUAACUUUAAAAUGGAUUCUUUUAUUCAAUAUCUUAGAACUAAGUUUCCUUAUGAGAAGAUAAUAGUUUCAGUAGUAAUUUACAUGAAAUUUUCUAUAUUUGAAUUAUUUUCUAGUUAGGGAUGAACUAACCUGAUCAUGAAGAAUCCCAAGCAAAGUUUUCCUCUCAUUUUCCAUCAAAUCAUGUGAAGUGCCAAAUUGAAGAGCAGCUCUUGCAGCGCAAGAAUUGUCACUUUGAUUCUCCACUCCAUACUUGCAACAAUCUUCAGCCAACUUUCUCACUACAAUAUUUGAAUACAAAAAUAUUGUACACAAGAACCAGUCAAGAAAAUAAAAAAAAAAUCAAAUAUUAUAACGAGAGCAAGAGCAAACAAACAACCUAUUUCCAUUUGUUUCAAGCUUACUGCAACAAACCCUUCAACGCCACGGACAAUAUUCCUCUGAAAAUUCUGUGCUACAGAGCAUAUAUUCCAAAUUAUUGUUCAGAUAAAACCAUAGAAACCAUCAUAAUUAUCAACAUACAUUAAGCUCCGUUUGGUAAAUACUUGCAACUUCAGUCUAGAAAAUACAGUUGUUUGUACCAUAUUUGACAAAAUUAUUAUUUAAAAAUCAUAACUAAUUACCAAAAGCCACAAUAAAUCAAUAUCAAACAGAGUCUUAUUAUUAGCUAAAGGAGGAUGGUGCCUUAGCUGCCCUGGUGGAAUUGUAUAGAUUUUAAAGUUGUUGGUGACACUCAAUUUCAGCUUCAUGAACCGCAAUAUUUUCAAUACCAAGAUGGAGCAGAUGCUUCAAUGCUGCCUGUACAAAUCAUAAAAAACUAAUAAAAAUAAAUAAAAUCGAGAAAUUUCACUAACUAAAAGUCUAAAUAUAAUUUUUGAAAAAAGAAAAGAAACGGACUUGCUGCUGCUUGGCGACUUGUUCUCGGUGCUUGAUUGCCUGUUUCUUGAUAGCUUCCAUACUGUUUCUUUCAAAAAGCAACGACGGCUCAGCUCAUGGAGGUGGAAAAAAAAAGUAUGAUCGAGAAAAAUAAAAAGGCAUGAAUAAUUUUUGACAAAAAGCGAAAAAUAAAAAGGCAUGAAUAAUGAAUAAUUUUUGACAAAAAGCUCUUUCCAGAAAAUAAAAAAAGAAAAAAGAAAAAAGAAAAUUAUAAGUUUGAAAGGAGUAGAUGAUAGUGGAAGUGUGCGGUGUGGCUGCCAGCUACUUGAAUUGUAUUGUCGGGUAAGGUAAUAGUAGAGAAUUUUUUUUUUUGAAGAAAAAUGGGUAAUUUUUAAAAACCUCCCCUGAGGUUUGGGCUUGUUGUAAGUAGAUGGCGAGAAUCCAUUUAUUUGUAAAAAACCCCCUACGUUUUUGCUCCGCUUGGUUGCCGUUUGGGCAAUUGUGGGCAUUGUUGACAUUUCGCAAUAAAACAAAUCUUUUGCAACUUUCGUUUCCUUGAGAACAAUAGCUAGAUUUCUCAAUCUGUUUCAUCCAACACUUCAAAAAUUUCAACUUUUAUGAGUUAUUGCAUUCUCUGGCAAAGUAGACUUCUUCUAAUUUUAUCACAGUGCUUUCAGGAACAAGAAUGGGAUCCAUUAACAUCCCCUCAAAUUUUACAGCUUCCUUACAGCUAUACACUGCUGUAACACGAAGUUUAAUGAUUCCAUCGCCAAAUAGUCCCCAAAAUCUAUUCUUCCCCAUAUUGAACAACUUAAGUUCACAACACUUGCAUUCUAAAGGCUUCCCACUAACAUCUAAUAUCUCAAGACUCAACGUUGCUUUACAAUAAUUGUUAUUACUACCAAACAAACAUGAAGAAACCCCGAUUAUCGGAUAAAUCAACCCAAAAUGAACAAGAGAAGAACCCAAAACAAGUGAAUCGCUAGAGCAAAACCCCCAACCCAUAUCCCUAAUCCCACACUCAAAAAAACCCAAUUUCUCUCCAAAGUCAUUGACACUAGCAUCACUACUAGACUCUAAUUCCAAUCCUAGAUUACAUUUAAUGUUAACCCAACUAAAAUGAAUGUUCUUACUACAAUACGCAUCGUUUACACUCUCAAACAACGCGCUGAACUUACUCUUAAACGAUCCCACAUUGGUCAAACACUCAUCACUCACAUCGACAUCCAAGAAUUCACUCAAAAACUUCAUAGACUCGACAAUUGGAGAAAACAAAACCACUAAACUCAACUUUAUACAAGCAUACCCAUCGAGAAUCUUACCGUCAUUAACCGAAUCACAACAAAUCACCGGGUCCCACGCGCAGUCGUGAACGAGCUUACGCAUGGACGGGGCAACAUUUAACCCCCGCGGCAAAAACGACGAAGCUUUGGAAAAAUUGUGUUUUAGAGCUGGGUUGAGGAGUAGAGAUUGGAGAGAUUGGAAGGUGGAAUCGGGACGGUCAAAGGAUAGAGAGAGAGAAGGGAAGGGGAUCUUUAAAAGAGAAGUGGGGAGAGGGAGGAGAAGAAGGAUUUGAAAGAGAAAAGAGAGGAACGGAGAGGCGGGAAUGAGAUUAAGGUUUUCACUGCAACUAAAAGAGUAAUCAUGUAUGGCUCUUGGUCUUGGAGAUGAAGGAGAGGAUUCAGGUCGAUUAAGAGGACUAUACGCUGCAUUUUGGUGUAGUCUGCCGCCAUUGGUAGAAGUUUCGAAGUGGGUUUCUGUUUAGAUCCGAGUUUGACGAAGAAACGUGGUGGUUGCGCUUGGGACAAUAUUGUUUUUGCACUGGUCAAUGUAGAAAUUAAACGACGGUAGGGUGUUUUUUUAUAAAUAAAUGAAUUCUCGCCAUUUAUAACAAGCCGAAACCUCAAAAGAAGAUUUUAAAAAUUACCCGAAGAUUCGAAAAAUAGUAGAGAAUUUUUUAAAAAGCUAGAACAGAGCAUGCUAGACUUUUGUGGACCAAAUUCAAAAGCCGAAGGGCACGGCCCAAAAGCUUUUGAAUACAAUAACUUACUAGAAAGCUCCAUUUUUUGUUGGCUACAGUAAAAGUAUGUUGUUUUAUGCUUCUUAUAUGUUACGCUUGCAUCAGCCUCAAUCACUUCUUAAUCGCUUGCUUUAACUGCAUCGCUCUCUGUGUACUCUUCUACACAUGUAACGGUUAUGCGGUUGUAGUUCACGGCUGAGGCUACGUGUUGGUUUGACGCGGCAGUUACGUUACGACAUUACGAGUCUGUUAAACAUUCGGUGAUAGAGCAUUAUUAGUUAUUUUAAGGGGACAAAUAAGAUUGGUUGCAAUAAACCCACUAAUUUUAUAAAAUUCGAGUAAUAUAGAAUAAAAUAAAAAAAUAAAUACAAAAUUGGCUUUUAUUUUUUAUGGUUGACUGUAUUUUGUGUUCUCUUCCGGCACUACUACAAUUGUUCCCUAUAUAUCAGUCACACCCAUAUAUCAUCAAUACAAGAAAUGAAAUCUAAUGUCACCUAUUUAGUUAAAGAAUUACUCAUGAAAAAAUUUUACCAUUUUACUUUGAGGAUCCAUAUUUUGAACUGCAAGCUAAUGUUCAUCAAGAAUCACUAAUGUUCAUAAAAAACAGAGCAUGGCCGUUGAGUAGAAAAACUAUUUUUGGACAAAUUAUUUUUGUUGAUAGAAGAAUUUCUUAAGGGGCUCAUAAGGCCAAUGAUGUUUCUACUGCUGGUGGUUUGAUUCGCGAUUAUUCGGGUCGUUGGUUGACUGGUUUUGGGUUGAUGCUUGGUUCCUGUUCUGUUACAAUGGCUGAGCUUAGAGGCAUUUAUCAGGGGCUUAUCUUGGCUUGGAAUUUUGGCAUUCGGUGGCUGCAUGUGGAAACUGAUAGCUUAUGUGCAACUCAAAUGUUGGCUAACCAGGUGGAGACUACUAAUGAAUAUGCGUCCCUCAUUUUUGCCAUCAAGGAGUAUCUCCAGAAAAAGGAUUGGCAGGUUUCUAUUUCUCAUGUGUACAGAGAGGCAAACUCGGCUGCUGAUUUUAUGGCGAACCUUGCUUGUUCUUUGCCUCUUGGGCUUAUGGUGUACCCUAGUCCCCCGCUCGGGUUUUCAUCCAUUCUUUUGUAUGAUUCUUACGGGGUUGCGACUCCGCGUUCGGUUGUUUUUUAGCUCUUAAUUGAGCCCCAAUUGAUCAAAAAAAAAAUAUUAUGAAUAACAAUGUAGAACACACCCACAUAUCAUCAACACAAUUGACUUUAAGGAUCCAUGCUUUGAAUUGCCACCUAAUGUUCAUCAAGAACAGAGUAUGCCUUGUGAGUAGAAAAUUUUAUGAUUUUGGUCCGAAAUAAAAAGAAAUUAAAUUAGAUGAGAAUCUGCCACUUUCUCAUAAAGAAAGGCAUACGGAGCAUACCAUGGUACCAUACAAUACAAAGAGUCUCUAUUCUCUGGUUUUUCAAACUCUGAAGGGGCCAAUAUUCCCGAAUUCCCCCUUGAAAAUUCUGAUUACGACAUUAUUCAAUUCUUGACACAAUCAAAGUAGCGACAAAGUUAAGAAAAAUAUGAGUCCUAAGUAAUGGCUAGGUAGGGUUCUUGAGAGCAAAAUUGUCCUAAGCAUUAUAUGCAUACAUGGUGUGGUACAUAGAGCACGUUGAAUUCCACACUAUAACACAAACCCAGAAAGACAAGUAAUAACUCAACUGAUAUAAAGACAAAAAGAAGAUAAAAUGAUAUAGAAAAAAGAAUUUCAAAGAGACAGCAACAUACGAUAGACUGAAGCCACUUGAUCUGCUCACUGAUUGCAGCCUUAAACUUACAAAUAGUUACUGUACGCUAGUGCUCUAAGAAGUGAAAAUGAUAAGAGACCUGAUUCCCUUUUGACUUCCAUUUACUGUCAAACAUUCUAGUAAUACAAAAAAUUGUUUAGAUAUCUUGCUAUAAAUAUAGUCGUUUGACUGUCAUAAUAAAGUCACAAAUAACCAUUCAUAUUGAUCCACUGUCACACAGCAUGCUUUAUGCAUACAACAUCUGCAUGUAUACCAACUCCUAACCUUAUCAAUACAUUUGGCAAAAACUUAAGAAGAAAACUAUUUCUCCAUCUCUUUUUUGAAAUUUCACAAUAAACCAGCACAUUGUGAAAGCUAUGUUCUAAUCUUAUGAUAAAUGCUCUAGACUCCAAAAGGAUUUUAUAUAUGAGAGUUUGUUGCAGCAGAUAUAUUGACUUAUCAAGUAUGAAUCAUUGUCUGGAUGAACUAUCUUUAAAUAAAAGAAUAUUAGAACCACUGUAGAAUAUCUUUACGCUGCUGGUUCUAACAGGAAUCUGCAUGUGGCAACAAUUGCUAGAUCCACAAUUCCCCAACUUGAAAUACAUAGUUGCACACCGUGAGAUAGUGCUGCAAUCUACUGAGAUCUAACUUAUUUGAUACUUUAAGCUACUAAUGUUUGCAUAUUUCUACAUGUUAAAUUGACACUACCAUCUAUAAUCACCCCAAAACGACAAAUGAUAAGCAGCUUUUGGCCACUUAUUAAUUACUAGCAUCCACAACACAAUUAUAAAUAAGAGAUCAUGGGUUUACUUGUUGCAACUACUUAAUGAUCUGCAUUUGAGACCCUGACGCAAGGUUUAAAUAGUGACUGCUUAGAACCCUUGUAGUUGGAUCUUGACCUCUCCCAUUGUAGCCAAGAUUGGCUACUCUGGUAAUGAAUCAACACUCUCCUGCUUAUUUUUUUGUUUUUAAAAAAUAACGAAAUCAUAAAAUAAAUAAACACGUGUUUGGUUUUGGGCAUUUUCUUUUGUUCAUUUAAUAUCAUCUGGCUCCCUGAUUUUUGACUAAUUAACAACGGAAUCCUGUUAGUUUCUAAAUUGAAAUAAUAAAAGGUCUUGAGAUUAUUUACUCCAUUUAGCACUGUAGACUUAGAGUAUAUUGAAAAAGCUUUGUCAAAUAGUAGUAAUAGGGGCAUAAUAAAUAAGUUUUUCAGAAUUUACAUAAUGUACUUUGCUCUAGGAAGAUUGCCCUCUUAUCACUCAAGUUAGGUUUUGCCUUAGAGUUGAGGUAAAUCAUUAAAAUAAAUUAUAGCUAUCACAAAUUCGUUAGGAGAAUUUCAAUUUUUUUUCCAUUAAAUGGCUAUGAUGCAAAAUUACCUCAGCUUAUAUUGCAACACUAAUACUUCAAAUCCUAACAAUAAAAUUGAUGACAAUGGUUUUUAUGUAUAGUAAUUUUCACUCUUUUGUUUGAUCUAAAAGUAGUUCUUAAAAUGACAAUGAUGACUUAUUUAGAAGAAAUGGCAAACUUAUAGUUUGUAAUAUUGUUUGCACAAACAAUAAAGACUAAUUUGAUAAUAAUGAAGUGUUAAUUACUAUUUAACAUUUUUAAUUAAUUUUUAAAUUUAAAAAAAAAUGAAGGCCGAAACUUGUGCAUUAAAUUUUAAUUAAAAGUUGAUUGCUUCGAAGGUUGGAUCGUGACAAAUUGACAAUUGAAAAAAGAAGUAGGGAAUAUAUAUUCUGAUGAAAGGGACAAGAUUAAGCAAGGGGACAAUAUUGUCUAUUGGACCUACAAAUGGGGGCAAAGAUAUAUAUAUUCCAAAAUUUCUUAUUUGUGGAUUGGCCACCACGUGUAACUAAUAUAAAAAGAGAAAAUUUGGCAUGGUUUUAACCGAUAUAAGGGUCCGUUUGGGAUUGAGGUGCUGUAGCUUUUAAGCUAUAGCUGCUGUGGAAAAAAAAAACUGUAAGUAUUAAAUAAAAGUUAAUAAUAUAUAGUAAAUAUAAAUUUUAAAUAAUAAUUUUGAUGAAAUUAUUAAAGAUAUAAUAGAUUUUCUAUUAUACAAAUGAAAAUUCAUAUCAACAUAGCUUAAAAGUUACAGCAGUUAGUGUUUACCAAACACUUUAGUGCUGUAGCUUUUAAGCUACAGCUGCCCAACCUCAAUCCCAAACGCACCCUAAGAAGAGAAAAUUUUGAGUGUAUAAGAAGAGAAAAUUUUGAGUGCACAACAAGAACAAAGCAAAACCCAUGAAAAUUCACCUUUCAUGUGGGUUGGAUUGGAUAAAAUCAAUAUCUUGAAUCAAACAAAAUGUUUGGUACUUGAAGGUUUUUUUAACAUUUUCAUUUUUUUUUCCAUUUAUGAAGUCCAUUUUUUUUUUAAUUUUGAUUUUUUUGAAUGAUUUUGCAGGUGUUGAUAUAAGGUCAUCAAAAGUUUGUGAACUUGGGGUGUUGAAUUAUAAGGCGAAGCGUGUGUUUUAUCCAUUUGAAGCAAGUAAAUUUCGCUGUCGGUAUGAUUACUAUUGGGCUUCUAUCUUCAAGGUAUUCAUACAUUUUCCCCUGUACUAUAAGCUUCUUAGUGGCGGUCUUGUGAGCGGAAGUGAGCAGUGUGGCUGACAGCUUCUUGAAAAUUAUAAGUUUGAACAGAGCAUGUUAGACUUUUGUUGACCAAAUUCGAAAGCCAAAUGGCACAGCUCAGAAGCUUUUGAAUUGAAUAACUUACUAGAAAGCUCCAAUUUUUUGUUGGCUAUAGUAAAAAGAGGUUGUUUUAUUCUUCUUAUACUUUACACUUGCAUCAGCUUAAAUCACUUCUUAAACGCUUUGCUUUAACUCCACCGCUUCGUACUGUUCUAUAUAUGUAUCGGGUAUGCGGUUGUAGUUCACUGCUGAGACUACGUGUUUGUUUAACGUGGAAGUUACGUUACGAGUCUGUUAAAACAUUCGGUGAUUAAAGUAUUAUCAGUUAUUUCAAAGGGACAAAUAAGAUUAGCUACAACACACACUAGUUUUAUAAAAUUCGAAUGAGAUGGAAUAAAAUAAAUAAGUAAAUUGACUUUUAAUUUAGUGCUUGAAUAUAUUUUGUAUUCUCUUUGGGCACUGCUGUAAUUGUUCCUUAUCACACCCAUAUGUUAUAGACACAAGAAAUGAAAUUUAAGAUCACCUGUUUAAUUAAAGAAUCACUCAUGAAAAAAUUUUGCCAUUUUGAUUUGAGGAUCCACAUUUUGAACAACCAACUUAUGUUCAUUAAGAACAAAGCAUUGCCUGUGAGUAGAAAAAUGAUUUUUGAACAAAUUAUUUUUUGUUUAUAGAAGAAUUUCUCAAGGGACUAUUAAAAUUACUAAUAAAAAUGUCAGACACACCCAUGUACCAUCGACAAAAUUAACUAUGAGGAUCCAUGUUUUGAACUGCCACCGAAUGUUCAUCAAGAACAUAGUAUAACUUGUGACAAGAAAAUUUUUUGAUUUUGGCCUGGAACAAAAUGAAAUUAAAUUGAAGGAGAAUCUACUACUUUCUCAUUAAGAAAGGCAGACGGGGCAUACCAUGGUACCAUACAAUACAAAAAGUUUCUGUUCUCUGGCUUUUCAAACUCUGAAGGGGGCAAUAUUCCCCAAUUGCCUUGUGAAAAUUCUGAUUACGACAUUAUUCAUCGCUUGAUACAUAAGUAAAAGUAGUGAUAAAAUUAGAAAAAAUAUGACUUAUAAGUAAUUACUUGGCAGGGCUCUUGAGAGCAACAUUGUGCUAGGCUUUAUAUGCAUACAUUGUGUGGUACAUUCUACACUAUAACACAAACCCAGAAAGACAAGUAAUAUCUCAACUUAUAUAAAGACAAAAAGAAGAUAAAACGAUACAGAACAAAAAAUUUCAAAGAGACAGCAACAUACAAUAGACUGAAGCCAGUUGAUCUGCUCGUUGAUUGCAGCCUUAAACUUGCAAAUGUUUACUGUAGCCUGGUGCUCUAAGAAGUGAAAGUGAUGCAAACCUUGAUUCCCUGUUUACUUCCAUUUACUGUCAAACAUUCUAUUCAUACGAAAAAAAUUGUUUAGAUAUCUUGCCGUAAAUAUAGCCAUUUGAUUGUCUUAACAAAGCCACACACAACCAUUCAUAUUGAUCCACUGCCCUUGAUCUUGAACAGAUCAAUACAAUACGCACAACUUAUGAUUGAAUCCAGAAACAAUCAAAUCUUUAGCAAGAAAAAUUAAUCAGAAUCAAGAAACAAGUUCAAUGAAUAUAAACCUAUAAUUGGAACAAACACAGCCAAAGAACCCAAGAAUGACACAACCUACACCACGGGAGAAGUUUUCCAGUGAGAUUUUAUUGAUGAUCAAAGAAGAAUCUUUUUACAAAGCUAACAAAAGAGAUUUCAGAGAAUAAGCUAUGACUCUCUCUCUUCAAUCUCUCUCUAGUUUGUUCACAGUGAUGACCCCAAUCUGCUUCGUUAGCCAGCUUCAUAACUGCGUUAGUGACAAACUAGCAAACCCAGAUUGAGCAGAUUACCGACACGUGGAUAACGGCUAUUAAGAACUUAGUUAAAGAACUGCUCACAUAUUCGUCAUGCGUGUUACUUAAAUGAUGGCCAAAACGACUUCAACCAGAUGCCGUUUUGAAGCUUGUGAAUUAUAAUUGAAAACACGUGCUUGUCUCGUGACACUUACAUACAACAACAAGCCCAAAACACUGCCGUUUCACUUUGUUGAGUUUGCCAUCUCUAAGCUUCACAACUAGCAACGGAGAAGAUGAUAAUUAAAUUGACAUGGAGAGUUUUUAUAUCACUUUUACAACAUUCUAUAUAAUUGUGAUAUUGGGAAUCGUCGGUGUUGUAUAUGUGAACUCUCGUUGGCGACACUGGUAGUUUUAUUUUUGUUGAAAUAUGGAUGACAUUUCGUUACUAUUUUAUUGUACACAACAUUUUGUUACUAUUAACAUGUUAGUUUCAUUAGCCACUAGGCCUUUGGCUGAGUCGUUCGGGUGUCUGCCCUCCAACUUGGAGGGCAGCAAUUUGAACCCCCACAAGCGCAAUGUUGGGUAUUUCUUUCUUUAAUCUCUCGAAUAUUAGUGAAUGUUAAAAUCUAGGCAGAACUCCAUAAGUAUUGAUGUAAGUUGGUUUCAGUAAUAGUUUAAUUUGUAAAUAUCAGUUAUAAUCUCAUGUAAGAUGAGUUGUAAUUUGAGCAAUAGUCUCAUAGAAUAAUAAUAAUAAUAAACAUGUUAGCUUCAUUACAUUUUUCUUCAUUAAAAUUCUCAAGUAUUAGUCAGGUUUGCUAAAGUAAUAAAAUUUUGCCAUUAAAAUUGUAGUAGUAUUUCUGAGCACCUCACAUUUUCAAUGAUUUUUCAUAAAUCAAUUAAUCUGUCGUACCGAUAUCAGGUUUAGUUUUUCAUACUAAACAAUCAAGAAAGCAAACAUACAAAUUCACAGUUUAGAGGGGUAAACUAGGUAGGUGGUUUAGAUUUUAGAACUAGGCUAGCUACCCCACUAAAUUCCAAUUUGUAUAGUGAACUACAAGAAAUUGAGAAAACAGUGUAUUUAUAGUUUAAUUGAAUCGUGAGAAAGCAAUGUAGUCAUAGCUCAAUCUGAGAUGAUCACGGAGAGGCAUAUUCUUUUCAAGUUAAUUUGAUCAAUUUAUAAGAGAUGAAGUGGAUUGAAGUUAAAAGUUUAAAUAACAAAUCCUUGUUCUUGAGUUUUACGACGUCGUUACUCCUUCAAGAGGCAGAUUAUUUAUGCAAGUGAAUGCAGAAACGCAAUGCAUCAUCCACGGGGAUGGUACACCAAAAGGCGGGAUCAUAGUCUAUGCCCGCAGAUUAACAAUUUCGCUCAUAUAGAAAAUUAAUUUUUUAUAUAUACUAAUCAAUACUAAAUUGAUUAUGUUUUGUAUGUUUAUAUGCGAAUCAACACUAAAUUAUAUUAAAUGAAGAAAUAAUUCAAUUUUUUCUAAUUUAAUUUAGAAAAUAAAAUUAUUAACAUUAAUAUUCCCAAAAAAAAUUAUUUUCCAUUAGUAUUCAAAGUCUUCACUUAUGGAAAAUGUGUUUUACAUGAAUAUUAGUUACCGUGUAAAUUUGAAUGAUAGUGAAAAAUAAUUUUUUAAUUAUUGUAAAAAUAAUUAACCAUAUCAAAUCCCUUACGUAAAUAAUUUUUAUUUUUCAAAAAGGUAGAAAGAUGGUUAAUGCACAAGCAAAUUUUAAGCCCCUCUCUUCUUGGCCUAAGAUUCAAACUCAGAUGACUAGUUAAAAAAACCUAUGUGAAAAUCAUUCGGCCAGGUCUGCGGGGCAAAAAUACAAGAUCCUUAAUUUCAUAAUAUAUAUGAAUUAAUGUCAUUUACUUGAAUUAUCCAAAUUCAUCAGAGGUUAUCGAAUUUUCCUGACAUGUAGCAGAUGAAGUUGUUGCUUCCUUCUUGGCAUUAUUUCAGCUCUGGUUGUUGGUCCCGAUGAGCUUUAGUCUUAUUUUAAUUUUAUUUAAACUCAUCAUAAGAUUCGUGAAGCACCUAACUGACUUAACUGACUGUGCAGAAAUGUCACAUAGCAUAUUUAACCGUUUUAACAGUAAUUUUGAACGGUCUUCGCAGUUAUCAUCUACAAACUCGUUCGUGUUGGUCCACUAGGUGAAGUUUUUGAAAUAAUAAUAAGCUCCCAUUCUUGAUUUUAAAAAAUGUGCUUAUAAUAAUUUUAGAAUAAUGGCUUAUUUAUAGAACAACUUAUGAUUUCCCAUUAGCAUUAUUAUUGAAGUGGGGUGGGUAACGGUUCACUCAAUUCGUCGGGAAUAAAAAAUUACCAUCCAAGGCAGAAUUGUGGAAAAUUAAAGCGAAAUGAGAAAUAUGGAAAUGAAGGAAGAAAGUUAAGGCAUGAAAGACUUCCAGUUGAAAUUGAUAAUCAUGUUUCUAUUUUGGUAACUAAUCAAAUGGGAAACUGAACCAUAAACAAACAUUAAAACGUGUGGACUCCGCUAGCUGCCUUACAAGCCUACAAUAAUAACUGAGUACCUUUGAUUCAUCCUUCUAUGAAUUUCUAGCCGUAUUGACUCCACCGAAAUUUCCACAAAAAAAAUAAAAAAAGAAUUUCCACAAAAUGCAAAAUGCAUGGCACUUAAUUUUUGGCCCCGUGAUCACUAAGAUACAAUCCUUCUAGGGAAGAGCAAUCAGGCAAAUUUUUUUAAAUCUCUCCGACAAAGUGAUUACCAUCUAAUCGCAACAUUGAAUAAAAAUAAAAAUUUUAAUGGGAGUUUGACCUUAGAUUUAGAAAAUGAAUUUUCACUUUCUUCAAUUAUUAAACAGAUUACAGACAUUUGAGGAAUUUGAAAACACUUUAUCCAUCGAAAGUUAAAAUUAGAGAUGGAAGCUAGGUGCUUCAACUAAUGGGAUCAUUAAUUCCCCUCCCUCAAAUGUGUAGUUGUUCCUCUUUCCACAGCAUAAGCCUUAUAGUUAGAGUUUCUUUUAAAAAAAAUGUUAAACAAUUUCGGUUGAGCAUGGUUUUGGUAGUUGAAUAGACACCUCCGCCGUACCUCAAACAAAACUGUCAUUAUUCGUGUCAUGAAACAUGUUUCGGCCGUCAAAGUCAUGAGUAGGAGUGGGCAUGGGUUGGUUUGGGUUAGGUUUUAAGUCAAUUCAAACCAAAUCAUAAAAAUUUGGGUUAAACCCAAACUAACCCAAAUAUUUUUAACCCAACCCAAACCAACCUAUUUCCUUCUGGUAUCAGAGCCAAGGGGAGGAAAGUGUUUUAUUGUUUUGAGUUUUUGUGUUCUAAAAUCUUGUGUUUUAUUUUGCCACCAGAAAGUAUCCCAUGUUUAUAUCUUGUUAAUCCUACAUUACCUAAAAUUGUUGAGACUGAUGCAUCUGAUUUAGGUUAUGGAGGCAUAUUAAAGCAAAAGGAAAAUGAUAAUGAAUAGAUAGUACAAUAUGUUUCUGCACACUGAAAUUUUGUAAUGCAUAAAACAAUGGAAAGGAUUUCUUUUUUGAUAGUAGAAUAAUUUUUCUGACAAUCAUUCCAGUGUGCAGAAACAUAUUGUACUAUCUGUUCAUUAUCAUUUUCCUUUUGCUUUAAUAUGCCUCCAUAACCUAAAUCAGAUGCAUCAGUCUCAACAAUUUUAGGUAAUGUAGGAUUAGCAAGAUAUAAACAUGGGAUACUUUUUACAGAAUUCUUUAUUAAUCUAACAACUUUUGUAUGUUCAUCUGUCCAAGGAGUAGGUUUCUUUUUUAAUCUGUCAUGCAAAGGCUUAGACAUUCUAUUAAUAUUAGGGCAGAAGUCAAGAACAUAAUUCAAACUGCCAAGAAAUCUCUGUAAUUGGGUUUUGUCAAGAAUUUUAUCAGGAAAUUUAUCGGCAAACAAAAGAGAUCUCUCGAUUGGAGUGAUUGUUCCUUUAGUAAUAUGAUGACCAAGGAAUCUGACUUUUGUUUGAAAUAAAGAAACUUUAGAACUGGAAAUUGCCAAUCCAGCCUUUUUGGUGGCAAAAUAAAAAGUCUUUAAAUGUUUGAAAUGUUGAUCGAUAGAAUUUGAAAAUAUUAAUACGUCAUCAAUAUAAACAAUGCAAAAAUCAGAAUAAGGAUUAUAAAUAUCAUUAAUAAUUUUUUGAAAUUCUGAGGGUGCAUUCUUUAAACCAAAGGGCAUAACAGUCCACUCAUACUGUCCAAAUGGAACAGUAAAAGCAGUUUUGUAACGGUCAUUAGGAUGAAUUUGAAUUUGCCAAAAACCAGAUUUCAUGUCAAAUUUUGAGAAAAUAAGAGCAGAACAUAAUUUUUGAAGCAAAUCCUUUUUAUUAGGUAUGGGAUACCUAAUCCAUUUUAAAGCUUUGUUUAAAGGUUUGUAAUUUAUUACAAGUCUUGGUAUGCCUCUCUCAAGUUCAGAAUUUUUGUUCACAUAAAAAGCAGCACAAGACCACGGGGAUCUAGAUUUUACAAUAAGUCCUUUGGACUCUAAAUCCUUGAUUUCAUUUUUACAAUGUUGUUCCAAUUCCAUGUUCAUUUGGAUUGGACGGGCUUUAGUGGGGAUCUGUCUUUCAUCAAAAGAAUUUUCAUAGGGUAGAUCUACCACGUGUUGUUUUCUGUUCCAAAAUGCAGAAGGUAGAUCAGCACAAAUUUCUUUUUCAAUGAGAAUUUUGAAAUCAGAAAUUUUUCUUUUAAUGAAAUCACUUUGUAAUUGGCUUUCAAUUCUUUGUAGGUUCAAAUCUUUUUGUAAAAACAUUAGAUCACACUGUUUUGAUUUAAGUAAAUUAUUUAUCCUGUUUUGAUAAACAGAACAGGCUUUAACAAUAUUCAAAUUUCUUGUUUUAGGCUUUUCAAUAAAAGGGAAAACAAGUUUCUUGUUUUUUGCUUUGAAGGAUAUACUAUCAUAAUUGACAGUAUAUGGAGUUAUAAGAUUUAUAAAAGGAGUUCCCAAAAUGAUGGCAUGAUGAAUAUCAUUUGUGAGAACAAAAGAAGUUUUAAAAUCAAAACCAUUAUUAUGGAUUGAGGCUUCAACCUUAGAACUGACAUUCAGUUUUGAAUUAUUAGCGGCAGAAAGUCUUUCUUUUGUCUUUUCAUGAAAUCUUUUGGGGACGAUGUCUUCUCUAAUGCAAUUUAAAUCGGCGCCAGUAUCAAAAAGGGCAAUGGCGUCCAUUGCAAAAUCAUCAGAAAAGAUUAAAGUGACUUUAAUCAAAUACUUUCUUGUGGUGAUUUGCUUUAAAACAAAUAGAAAAUCAUUGGGUACAGACUCGAUGUUUUCUACUUUAAUAUCAUCACCAUCAUCAGGAUUAGAUUCAUUGUCUGAAUUAUCCUGCAAUUGUUUUUGUAAAAGAAGUUGGAUAGUAUCAGAAUCACUUUUUUGUUUUUCUUUUAAAUCUCUGAUUUCACAUUUGAUUUCUUUUAUCUCUUUCUGAAGAUCUUGGAUAUUAGGAACCGUCUUCUUUUUUUUCUUUUUAUCCAAAAUUUGAGUAAGAUCAUAAGAAUUCUUUUUAACAAUUGGGACUUUAGAAGUCUCAGCUUUAUUAAAAUCCAAAGUUUUCAAAAGUUUAUCAAGAUAUUCUUUUUGAAGAUUCGGAUCAGAAAUAUGCUUUACAAGUUCAAGAAAAGUUUCUUGGUCUUUAGUCAAAACAUUGAUUUUCUUUAAAAAUGAAUCAGAUUCAGAUUCACUGCUGCUAGAUGCAGAGUCAUCUGAGUCAAUUAGCUCAUCAACUUGAUUAGGGUCACUGUCUCCCGACAUGGAAGACUCAGAAUCAGAAGACUCGAUUAGAAGAGGGGCUAAUUUGGAAAGGAUCUCUUCAUCGAGGUCAAGCUCAUGAAGCUUUUUGUUCAUUCUGCAAUAUUUUGCAGUAUGACCUUUUAUGCCACACUUAUGACAUAUAGCUUCUUUGUAAUUGAAAGGAGUCUUUGGUUUGGCUUUAAACUCUUUUUUAGAGAAUUUGGGUUUCUUAUAAGGCCUCGAAGGUUUCUUAUAAGGAAGUUCUCUAAAAUUACGAAAAGGUUUCCUAAAAUGUUUAGAUUUGUAAUGUUUCCUGCGAGGUUUAGUAGAACACUCACAAUUACAAUCUUUGGAGAUAGAAGUUUUAAAGGGGUCAUAAUUGAAUUGUUUACAGAAACCGCCUAAUUCUUGUUUAGACUUCUUAAGCUCCCACUUAAGUCGUUUCUGUAGUUUCAAAUCUUGACAAAUCUUUAAACCUUCCUUAUUGACAAAACUGACAAGUUCGCCAUAAGUGAGCUCAUCAUAAGGAAUACGGUUAUCAUAAAGGGCUUUAAUAGAAUUUCUUACCUUUUCACCUAGAAGGGUAGGUAAUCCAGCAAAAAAUUUUUCUUUCCAAGUAGUAUGAUUUGCAUCAUCCCUUAGAAAUAGUCUGGUAAGAAAUGAGGUUUUGUAGCUCUGAAAUUCACUAAGUUUCCUACAUCUUAAAUUAUGUAGUAACUCAGCGUUUUUAUCACGAAAGUGUGAAGGGUCACCAAUGAAAUGGAGGGAAAUGGUUAAAAUUAGAGUAGCAACAGCAUCCUGAAUAGGGUUGUUGAACUCAUCAAAAAUAGGGGCUCCAUUUUCAUCGACUUGAAUGGAAUUUAGAAUGUCUAAUUGUUGCUGACUAGUGAGAAGAUGAUCCCACCAACCUUUGAGUUGACCAGUAAAACCGGCAAUGAGGAUUUCUGAUAUGGCACGAUCAGAAGUUCCUGCUUGGGUUUUAUAGGCAUUGGCUGCCAUUGUCAUUUGUUGCAACAAUCCUAGGAUAUUGUAUUCGGACAUACCGUCAAUAUUCCACUCAUAGACUGAAGAUGCAUUAUAUCGGGAUUGAUUUAAUGCACUUGGUCUAUUAUCUAUCGCUAGAUCCGGUGGAGUCUUGACAGUGGGAAGGGCUAAUUCCCAAUGAAUUUUGUUUGCCUUAGGAGUGGGUUCCUCUUGGAAAGCAUCAACGUCCGAAGAGGCUAUAGAAGUUUGGUCAUCUUGUUCUAAUACUCCAAUCUUGCUAGAUUGGGGAGUAUCAGGGGCUAUCUGAAUUUUGCUAGAUGAGGAAGAAGCAGCUUCUAUCCUAUCUAGUUGUUCUCUAAUGGCUUUAGCAAAAUCUGAUUUUGACUCUUGAACAAGCUUUUGGCUAGUUUUCGAAACCUGAAAAGGUUUGAAAAUAGGUUUCUUAAGCUUUUUGUCAGAAUCCGAUUUUGUUGGAAUAGGAGAGAUUGAUGGAACAGUAAUGGUUGACUUCUGGAUUUGGUUUUCUAUCCUAGUCAACUGUUUUCCAAUUGUAUUUAAGUUAGUAUUACAGAAAUUAUUCUGUUGGAUAAUACUACUUAAAUUUGCCUCGGAAUCAUUUGGUUUUGGGAUUUUGUAAGGUGAAGCUCGGAUUUGGACAGGAGGUUCACCGUGAUCAACGGUUAUACUCCGAAGAGGUGGGUGUUCAGACUCUAUAGUUCUAUCACUAUCAAGAAGUUUCCAUUCAGGGACUUUCUUCCUAAUAGUAAUAGGGUUUGACUCUUUAAAAUGAUAAGAGAUGUUGUUAUCGGAAGAAUAUAUCUCAAACCAAUCAAAAAACAAUAUAUGAAUUUUAUGAAAAUUCACAAAUUCAUAGUAAGUUUGUUGGAUUUCUUUUCUUUGGUUUAAAAAGUGUUGAAAAACCAAAGUCUUUUUUCUUUGUUUAAAUCAGAAUAAAAAUCAUUAUGCAGAAAAGUUUUAUCUAAUUCAAAUUCUUUUUCAAUGACAUUAAUGACAUUUUCUGUAACAGCAGAAAAUGUAGGGGAAGUUGGAGGAGAAGGUUCCUUCUCUUCCUGACUUUGUAAAUGUUGAUUACUAGUGUAGAUUGGAUGAGGAACACUAGUGGUGUAAUCAACUGAUCGAAUGGAGGUACCUGUAGCUAAACCAACCUAUUUGGAUUUGGGUUUGGUUUGAAUUUUAUAAUUAAAAUAUUUUUUAUUUUAAUAAAUUUAACUAUAUCAAAUUAUAAUAAUUAUUAAUUAAUAUUAAUUAUUAAAUUAAUAUUAAAAUACGAAAAAAUGUAGUGGAUAAAAAUUAUGAAUAAUGGAUUUUACAAUAACUUUGUUCUUAAAUAUUAACCAUAUUACAACAUAAAUUCUAACAAUGUCAAUACAAAUUAAAGUAAGAUAAGAUAUCUCAACUCAAGCAUCAAAGCAAUCCAUCAAAAUUAAAUUAUUUAAUUUUAUAAAUUUAAAUCUUCCGAGAAAUAAAUCUAAAAUUUAUUGUAAUUAGAAAAAGCGCCAAAAUUUUAAACGCAGUAAGAAAAAUUAGACAUGAAAUCUAAUUAGGUUUAAAUUUAAUUAAAAAAUAACAAUAGAAUCAUAUUUUAUUUGAUAAAAUCUUAAAAUCAAUUGCAUUUUUAAUUUUAGUAAGUUACAAUACAAAUAGGAUUAUAAAAUUAUAUUACAGGAUUUCAUAAAAAUAUUGUUUGAGUAAUUUAUUAAAGGACUCACCUACGUUGCCACAGUUGUAGCUUACCACGCUUUUUGUCUUUUUCCAGUAAAAUCGUAGGAUGCUUUCAAAUUUAAUCUAACGGCUGCAAUUAAUUAUUAGAUAAUUUAAUCAGCCAUUGGCAACCUUUACAACCGGUUAUAUUCUCUCGUUACAUUUAUCGGCUACCAAACAAUCCCCAAGAAAAUGACGAAGUGAGUAACUAAUACACACACCGCAGAGAAAGAUGACAGGAGAAGAGAUGACGGUAGGCCCACCGGCACAAAGGUUCUUCGAUUGCUCUAUUUCUUCGGCGCCGGAUUUAUCUACACAGCUACAAUCGACAAGUGGCGGGAACUCGAGCGGAAGUCAUUGAAAAAGAAACAGCAAGAGAGCAAUCUAUGGACUGAUGAUAACUCAGCAACUACGGUAAAGAAAGCCGUCAAAUGAUCUUUUUAUUUGACUUUUGAUGGAUUUUCAAGAGUUUUGGUAAUAAAAUGUCUCUUAAUUUUUCAUUUCAAUGGCCUAUUGUUUGAGUUAUUAUUAUGCAUAAUUGUUGGAAGAGUUAGGGUUUUACUAUUGGAUUUUGGAAUUUGUAUUUUGGCUUUGAUAUGUUAUUGUUGUGAUGUCGGUCAAGAAAUUUUUGACAACACUCUCCUCGAGUUUGAUACUAUAGCUAAUGAAUUUUUAUGGCAGAUAUAUAUUUUUCUUUGAAAAAAAAAAACACUUUACAACUGGUUAUGCAUUCAUUUAGGAGCUGUUAACUGAGCGUGAGUUCCAUAAUUUUCCAACCAGUGGUUAGGGUUUCACAGAAAAAUGUCGACAUUGAUCUUUAGGCAGCACUUAAGACUGAAAUUGGUUAUAGAGGAUCGAAUUUGGGGAACUAGAAAUUUCUGAUCAUUAAUAAUUGAAAAUGGCCUCUCACUUGUAGGCAGUUGUUGGAUGUAAUGUAUCCAGUUUCUGAAAUCGAAAGUAGAGUGAGUUCUUAAGUUAGAUGUACCUACAUGCAUUAAGGUUCGAAGAUGUGGAAUAGGCCAAUUGUUUGAUGUCAGCUUUGUUGCACAUGUUCUGAAAUUGAUCAUUUAAGAUGGCUUGGAAGCACUCCGUGAUGUGACUAAGAAGAUUCGAGGAAGUAUUAAAUAUGUUGAAAGUUCACAAUUAAUACAAGGUAAGUUCAAUGAGAUCACCCAGCAAGUUGAAAUCAACAGUCAAAAGAGCCUAAAGUGUGAUAUUUUUCUCUUGGAUUGUUUUUUUAUUUUCCAUUUCAAAGCUGAUAGUGUAAAUAUUUUGUUUGCAAAAGUUUCUAAAAAGUACUUGAGUCAAGAUGGUUAGGUAUUUCGUAACUUCCUUUUUACUCUUAACUAGAUUCAUAGAGAGUUAUAACAUUAACAUAAUUUUUUCUUUUAAAAGUGAUCAAUUAGACACUGAUGAGAUAUCUCACUUUUGAAUCAUUUAGCUUUAUGUAAUUUCAUUACUAUUAUAUGCCCCCAGGAAUUGUUGAAGUAUAUAUAUCUUGGCAUUUCUUCACUGACUGAAUUAUCUUUCAUAAUAUUCCAGCUUCAAAUGGGUACACUGCAGAGCCGAUUGGAUGCAGAAUUCCUUCUAGCUCAUAUGUGCUCUGUAAAAUUCAAAGACUGAAUAGUGGUUAUGGCAACUCUUUUUAGAUGAUCUAAGGUAUAAUGCCCAAUUAUUGCUUUUGCUUUAUCUGUUUUACCUUGCAACAUUUUGAAAUUUAUGAGAAGCAUAAAAUUACUGAGCCAAAAUUGAGGAUCUGAACUUUCGUAAAAAUAUUCGUAUUUUUAAAUUAUAAAAUAUUGCAUUUGAUGCUUUAGGUGGAACUUAGUUCACUACAGAAAGGAAAAUUAUGUUGGGCAUAACCAGAUGCUUUUCAAGAGAAAAUUUCACUGAUAUUUUUCUGAGGAUUUUACUUGGCCAUCUUAUUUCAAGCUGCUUGAAUUUUUUCUUUAUAUCAUCUUGGUUGUAUACUAUAACUCGUUGAAUUUGCUAGCACUUUUGCUAGUUGGUUAUUCUAUAUGUGAUUAUGGUGGUAAAGUUUGGAAGCUCAAAAAGUAAUGGAACUUAGGAAGAGUAUGACAUAGAAUGCUGGAUAGAAUUAAAAUAAUCAUUCUUCAGGCAUCCAAAGAUGAUGUAUUCAAAAUAGCUAGUUUUGACUUUUGAGGCCGUAUAAAUAACUAUUAUCUCACAUGGUUACAUUAUGAUAGGUAGGCACUAGCUUAAUAACUCCAAUUAACUUGAAGUUGUUACCUGAUUUAUUAUGACAGUGUGCAUUACGAUAAGUAUCCUUGCAUAUUAAGAUUUUCCUUCCAGAUCUUUGCGGUACUUUUUGAUCUUUUCCGACAUGAUAUGCGAUUAUGGGAAGCAUAUGCCAUCACCUUACAGGUAUUCUCUUAAUUUUUAGAUAGUGCUCAAGAUGACAUUCAAGUUGGCUAUUAUUGGGUGCAAGAUUUACCAUGCUCUUAUUUUGCUUUUUUAGUCUAACCCGAUAUUUGCUUAAUACCAUGAUCUGCUUCAAGCCUUGGAUGAAAAACUUUCAUUUUUUGUAUAUUCUGCAAUGAGAUGAGGGUAGUUUUUCUGAUGAUAUUUGGCAGUAAAUUGGGACUAACUAAAGUAAUUUUCUUAAUGGCAUGUCUACUUCUCAGAUGAAUGACCGUCUGUUCAGACUCCAAGGUGAUGAAUUAACAACCACCGAUCUAUUCUGGGUGAAGAUGAUGACGUUGACACCAAGCCAGUGGAAUGACUAGGACUUCCCUUUUGUUACAAUAAAUUGCGUUCAUUAGACACACGCAGUUAAUUAGUGUAGAUAAAGGAGGUCUAUGCACUAUAGACUGUUUUGUAUUUCGAGAGUCCUUUUUUUGUUUCUUUCAUUCUCCAUUCUUUUGAAAUUAUGUACAAUGGUUAUAUUGUCUGUAUUAUUACGGAUUUAUGAUGGGAGUAUCCCAAGUUUAUGGAAUAAUUAUAAAUAAGGACUUUAAAUUUUUGUUGAAAGAAGUUGAGUGAGAGAAAAGAAGCUAAAGCAGUAAGCAUUUGUUAUACUUCAUUCGAUUGUAUCUAAAUUACAAAGGUUGGUGGCCUUAUUUAUAGUGAAGUUCCCACAGGCCACUUGCACUCAAAACAUUCGAAAUAUGCAAACAUAUUGAUAUAUAAACAUACAGAAUUAAUAUUCUGAAACCUUGUAAGUAAUGCAAAUAAAAGUGAGGUUGGGGCAGCCAAUAUUUACAUCAUGUAUUAAUAGAAAUAAAAUCAAUUAUUUCCAAAUAAAUUCACUUAGUUCAAAGCACGGGCUUCGGUUAAGUUGAACAAGCAAGCCAAUUUUUGUUGUUACUUCAUGAUUGUAGUAAGCUGUGGGUAGUGGAUUGUGUUCCCUAUAAAAAAACAAACAGAAGCAUAAGUUUCUCUCAAUUAAGGCACCUGAAAUGUAUUUCCAUGUCUACUAACCUGGUCAUUCCUCCAUGAACUAAACCCUUCUGAGGAUCUUGAAUAGAUUUAUAGAGAUCUCAGAUAAUUUCCUCAUGGUGUGCCUAAGUAAAGACAAGUCUUAUGUACUUGAUUACUUCUGGCCAAUCCAUCGAGGCCACCACCUGUCUCAGUCAAUUCAAUCUUUUAAUAGAGUGAAUUACUAGAAUAAAAUUUAUUAAAGUUGAUAUAAAAUCUAAAUUAAAAAAAUCAGAUAAGAGAAUGAUCCAAAAUCCAAAAAAUCAGAUAUUUAAGGAGUGGACUUGUGACCCUCUAUAGAAUCCAUGGAAGAGUAACUAAGGGAAAAACAUUAGAGGUACUUUUGGCGAUACUAUUAGUAUUCUUGUGCUGAUCAUAAUCUUGGGGGUAGAUCUAGACUAAUUAGCUAUUCAUUGAACAUUCCAUUUCUCCACAAUUACAUGCAAAAGUGCACCUUGCAGUUGCAGCCUAGACCAUAGAAAUAUAGAAUUCCAAUUAUCAACAUCUAAAGCUACUGUAGUGACUUGCAACCAUGAGAUGAUAUAUACAUAUGCUGAGAUUCAAAUAUUUGAGAAGUUUAAACAUCCUGAUGAAAAAUAGACUAGUUCACAGCUACUUUGGGGAAGUUGAUUUCUAAUAGCAGUAGAAAAUACAAGUUUUUUUAAACAUACCUACUCCAGUAAACUCAAUUAACCAAAACAAAACUCAAAGCAUGAAAAAGAGGGAUUUUAACUAACCUAAUCAUUAUCAUUGAUAUUUUAACAUAUUGAUCUUCACAUGGAGUUAACAAACACAAGACUUAGUGCCUAGUACAUAUGUCUGGGGUUGCACAGUCUGUUCGACAAAUUUAUUGAAACUAUAUCCAUGCUCCUUCUCCAAUAAAUAAAUAUCCUCUUGCUUCUUCCAUCCUACUCUAAUUCUUCCUGGAAAGCAUUCUCCCCUUCUCUAAUUCUUCCGAAAAAACAUAACCGACAAUCCUAAACUAAUUACCACCGUUAAAUCUUUCAAACAAAAUUUACAAUUUCUUAUCAGUAGUUUCCUGCCGCAUCCGAUCGAACGGCUCAUCAACGAAUCAAACAGACUUCUUUCCACCCUUUUUCCAUAUAAUUACAUUUGCCUAAUUCCUAAAGUUUCGGCUCCGCCCAAUGUCGGCCGCAAUUGGCUGCCACAGCGAUAUGUUCAUCUUCAACUUCUCUGCUGCGAUUUCAAAUUUACUUCAGCCUCGUACCACCACACUUCCACUGGCAAUUAAUUUCAUUAUCCGAUUUUACUAUGUGUGGAAUAGAUUUGAGCAAUUUAUGAGUUUUCGCUACGAUUUCGACGAUGUCCUCUCAACACUAAUUUGAUCACCUAAUUUUAACUGUUUUGGGUUAUUUAUUUUUUAUUAUAUUUAUAUACAGUCUCUGCAGGCAACCGACUACUUUACUUAUAUGUGGAACUCAUCUGAGUCAUUAGAUGAAGGCCCUCGAGAUCCUACGGUGAUUAUAUAUGAGGACAAAAUGUGUUGUACGUUGCAACUGUUGCAACGUAGGAGGAUCCUUUAUUAAAAUGUUAAUUUAAUCUUUUAACUCAAGUUGAGACCGUAAAAAAUUGUUAUAUAAUAGUGUACUGUACAACCAAUUGCAUAUGUAUUUAUCCUGUGCAGCACUUCUAUUAUUAUUAUAUAAUAAUAAUUAGUAGUAGUAUAAUUACUAUAUAAUAAUAAUUAUUAAUAGUAUAAUUAUUAUAUAAUAAUAAUUUUAAUAAAAAAUUAUUAUUAAAAUAUUAAUUUAGCCUUUUAUUUUGUUUAAUUUACUUUUCAUUAAUAUGUUAUCUUGAAUUUGUUCAUGACCCAUGGGUAAACUAUACCCAAACUAUUAUAAAAUAAUUUUUUUCAUAAAAAUUCAAAUUUAACCCAUUUCAUGAUUUAUCCAACUCAAACCAUUUAAUUUAAUAGUAGAUAAAGGCCCAAUUUAACCCAUUUCAUUUAAUUUAAUAGUGGAGAUUCGGUAGGGUUUUAUUUCCUUCUCUUUGCUGUCAAACGAAAUUAUGUUACUCGAGUCUUAAUUUGUGUCUCAGUAAUUAAUCUGAUGUGACUAUUAUAACAAGCUGCCACAUCGAUUGAUGGCCAAGUAAUUGGAUAUUUAAUAUUACUCAAUUAAUAAAUUAACAAUAUAUUUGAGUUUUUAAGCUUUUUUCGGGUCAGAUCAUUAAUAACACAGAUUUUGCUGUAAUCUCAGGUUGUGUAAUUGAGUGCAUAAGAAAAAAACAAAACAAAAAACUAUUCAAAAAAAUUAAUUUCAUAUAAUAAAAUUAUACUUUUGUUAUAAUUUAACUUAGUAGUUAUUUUAAUUUUUUCAACAUACACAUAUAUACACAUAAUAAAAUUAAUUUCAUAUAAUAAAAUUAUACUUUUGUUAUAAUUUAACUUAGUUAGGACUCUGUUUUCUAGAAACAGAGUCCUAACUAAAUUAAUUGACUGUACAGUACAUUUCAACAUAGCAUAUUUAACCGUUAACCGUCUUCUGAGUUAUCAUCAACAAAUUCAUUCAUAUUUCUCCAGUCUUACGGACGAUAUCAUAUGUUUAAUAAUGAAUGAAUAGUCUUGGAUCAGUGUUUUGCAGCAAAUUCACAUCAUAGUUUUGAUUCUUUAGAUAUGAAUUCAUCACAUUACCGAAAAGAAUACGCGCUAAAAAAUGAUUCCAAGACUAUUUGACUACCAAAAGCUGCUGUCAGAGUGCACUGAAAGUUUCCGUAGGAUACUUUGCGGUUGUUUAUUAUGUUAUGAUGGGCAUAUAAUUCUCAAAUUUUGACUCCUCUCAGCGAAAAAUAUAUCAAAGUUUAGAUUAUGUGUUCGAGCUUUAAUAAAUGCCUGAGUUAAUAAUAAUAACAACAAUAAUAAUAAACUAAAAAGCAAAAUUACUAUUGAAUGAUCGGAAAAAAAAAAAAAAUUGAAAAUGUGUGAACUCCAAUAACCACCCCACAAAUUUAGUGGCGAAUUUUGGAGAGGGCAAGGCUGGGCUUCUCAGAAAAAAAAUGACGAGUAGAAUUGUGGAAAAUUAAAGCAAAAUGACAAGUAUGGAAAGGAAGGCUGAAAGUAAGGCAUGACGAAAGUCUUUGAGAAGGCUGAAGACUACCAAAGAAGACAACUGAAAGCUAGCUGGGGCGUGAGUGUAUAAAUUGUUAGAUGUGUUUGUUAUAAAUAACAUAGAGCCCUUUUGUUAUUUAUAGUUAUAGAGAAAGAGAGAAUGUGUGUUUUUUAAUAGUUAGAGAUAUAGCUAGAAUGGGUGGUUCAAAAUCCAAAAUGGUGACAAUGUUAGUUCUUAUAUUAAUAAUAUUAGGAAGAAGGGGGGGGGGGGGGGGGGUGUGGAGUGAGGGAUGUUUGGAGCAUGAGGAAUUUGCUCAUUUCUGGCUUAAACAUUUCUUCAAUUCCCCUUAUAGACUUCAAAACUGGGUAGAUGAACAAAGGGAAAGGGUUGAGUGCAGCAACUCCACAGGCCGAGUGGUACAACUACACCUUAGUCUUACUAGGAAUAUCGAUCUGGGAGUGUGGUAUCUGAAUGCUUCUCUAUUUACUUCCUUUCAACAACUUGGUAACAAAAUAGCCGGCUGCAUGCGUUGAGAAUGAAGGUCCUUCAUUUAAUUUAAUUUACUUAAUUUCUCCCUCCUAAUUAAUGUCUAUAACCAUUGGGAGGAACAAGGGAUUUUAUUAACUCAAAUAUAUGUAAUGGAGGAGCUCAUUCUUUGGUUUUACUUGCAGGUCUAGAAGCAGGUGUCAUCUAACAGCUGCUUUGAUAAUUUCCCACCCCUUCAUCUUUGAUGGAAAGAUGAAAUAAAAACAAAAUGGUGAAAAUGGUAUUGGUACCUGAGGCUAUGUAAUCUAAUUCAACAACUGCACCAUCAAAACGAUUACAUAAGUCCCAGAAGAAUCAAACAUUAGUUUGCAAAAUAUCAAUUGCUGGAGGUUAGAUUCUAACUUCCGCUCUUGAUUUUUAUGGGCAUGUUGUAUUGUACUUGCAUACGAAAAUCAUAUUUUAGUUUACUUACACUCAACGCUUGGAUUAAAGUUUUAGGUGGGGAAAAUUGAAGGAGACUAAAAUGACUCAAAAAAAUAGUUGAAUGAGUGAGGGUUUUGUCUUCAUUUAAGGAGCUCUUUAUAAAUUUUAGGAUUUUUUUUCCCUGAGAAAAUUUAUGCCAACUUAUUCUUUGCUUCUUUUCUGAAGGGACAAAUGCAACUAAAAGUGUAUUCUUGAAUUCUCCAGGAUAAGAGACAUAUGUUUAAUUAGAUUCUCGAGCCUUCAAAACAAUAUAAAAUUUUAGAUUGAUAAAAUUUUAUAUAUCUGAGCAUGAUGGUGUUUGACAUGACUUAAAACUGUUUAAUUUACUCUCACAUACAAGAAUGCCUAGUUAUAUUGUAGCUCAGAGUCUGAGGUUAAUUCAUAAAGAAAUGAUUUAAUUUGUUUAUUUAAGAUUAUCCCAAAAAAUAAAAAUAAAAUUUAAAUAUAUGUAAUUUAAUUUGAAAAAAGUUAUGAAAUUAAUUAUUUAGGGUCAUGGAUCCACUCUUAGUAAUAAAUACAAUUUAAUAAAUUCUUUUUAUUUUUAUUUUAUUGCCCAAAAGAUUAAUUAUAUAAAUUAUAAUUAUUUUCCCAUUAAUUUUAUUAUGGAUUAAGUACUUAAUGUGCCAAAACUUAACUUAUCUACAAUAAGUCAAAAUACCAUUUUACCAUAAUUUAUGCAAAGAUAUUAAGAAUUCAUGUGCCAAACUCCCAUGUUUGUCUACAAUAAAUCAAAAUUUCAAAACAUAAAAUAUGGAUCAAAUUAAAUAAAAAAUAAUUUAAUUUAUAUAAUUAAAAAUAGAAUUUGAUUAAAUCAUAUUUUUCUACUCAGAGUUUUACCUCACCCUAACUAUUAGUAUUUAGCUAAACAUAUUUGAAAUAAAUGAAAUUAUUAAAAUUAAAAAAUACAUAAUUAAAAAAAUGGUAUUUGAAAAUUAGAAAUAAAACUAAUUUUAUUUAUUGAAAAUGUAUUACAAAGAGAGAUGAGAAGAAGAAUUUGAGGGGAAAGAAGAGAAGAAAAUGUGUGGAGAGGUGUGUGAAAUUAUAUUGUAAAGAUGUUACACAAACAAAUGAAUAAAAAAAAACUAAAUGAAAAUUACACAAAUUAAAAAGAAAAUGAAAAUUAAAUAAACAAGAUAAAUGUGCAAGAAAAAAAUGCACAAUAAAAAUAAAUAAACUGAAAAGUAAUUAACUAAAAUUAAAAUAACUAAAUAGGCGGUAAACAAAGUAAAUGCCAAAAAUAAAAUAAGUGCGAAAAUUAAAUUACAGAAAUUAAAAGAAGAAAGAAAGAAAAAAUAAUUAUCUCAAAGUGUAAACUCUUUUUCUUUUUCUUUUCAAAUUUUAAAUAUUACCAGCCAAUUAAGUGAUUAAUUCAAAUUAUUAGGCUUUAAUAGUAAUUUUUAAAAUCAAUAUUCAGUUUAUUGAGUCCAAAUAAGGUCCAAAGAAGUUCAAGUUGUUGGUCUAAAAUUAAGAAUUUUGGGAAAUAUUGGCAACGGACCUAUUCAAAAAGUUCUAUAAUUUUAUGGUCAAACUGCAAUUAUGAGAAGAAUGAUCCAAAAAUUAGAAUUUUUGGGGUGAGUGAGAUUUAGAAAAUUUUGUGGAUAUAACAUAAUUUAAGAAAGAAAAAGGAGGUAAAUGAAAAUUUAUACAAAAAGUAAAAAAAGAAAGAAAAAAGAAAACAAAAUAAAUACCUCUCCCGGCAACGGCGGUAAAAACUUAACACGACUUUAAAGUAUUUAAUUUACUCUUAAGUAUAAGAGUAGCUAGUUAUAUUAUAUCGCGAGAAGUCCGAGAUCGAUCUACAGAAAAAUGAUUUAAUUUAUUUAUUUAAGUUUAUCUAAAAAAUAAAAUUAAAAUUAAAUACAUGCAAUUUAAUUUGAGAAAAACUAUGAAAUUGAAGUAGUUAGGAUUAUGGAUCUACUCCUAGUAAUAAAUGUAAUUUAAUAAAUUUUUUAAUUUUAUUUUAUUGACCAAAAGAUUAAUUGUAUAAAUUACAAUUAUUUUCCCAUUAAUUUUAUUAUGGAUUAAGUACUUAAUGUGCAAAAGCUUAACUUGUCUACAAUAAGUCAAAAUACUAUUUUACCAUACUUUAUACUAAGAUAUUAACAAUUCAUUGUGCCAAACUCCCAUGUUUGUCUACAAUAAAUUAAAAUUUCAAAAUAUAAAAUAUAGAUAAAAUUAAAUAAAAAAUAAUUUAAUUUAUAUAAUUAAAAAUAGAAUUUGAUUAAAUCAUAUUUUUCUACUCAGAGUUUUACCUCACCCUAACUAUUAGUAUUUAGCUAAACAUAUUUGAAGUAAAUGAAAUUAUUAAAAUUGAAAAAUACAUAAUUAAAAAAAUGGUAUUUGAAAAUUAGAAAUAAAACUAAUUUUAUUUAUUGAAAAUAUACUACAAAAAGAGAUGAGAAGAAAAAGUUGAGGGGAAUGAAGAGAAAAUAAGGUGUGGAGAGGUGUGUUCCUCCCCCCACCUCUCUAUUUAUACUAAUACGUGAUUAAUCCACACAACACAAAUAAAUAAAACUAAUUACAUCUUAGGCAUACAUUUGUCCUACUAACAAAACAUAAACCUAAGUUAAUCCACUUAAGCACAUCCAACACAUUUCACUAAAAAUUACCACACCUAACAUGAUAAAAACUUAUAAUUUCACAAUUACCACUUUUACUUUUACAACAAAAGCCGCGAAUCUUCUCGACAAUGACCUAAUUUCUCGGACUUUCGGAAUCUAAAAGUUUAAAUAAUAUUAAAUUUAUCUAAUAUAAAUAAAUGUAUUAAAUAAAAUAAUGUUUCAUUUUAUAUUUACCCUCCUUUUAUUAAAUUUCCUAUAAUUAUAUUUAAUAAAAUAAAUAAUAUUAUAUAUUUAAAUAAUAUUAGUUAUAUUUAACUAAAUUAAAGCAAAAUGACAAGUAUGGAAAGGAAGGCUGAAAGUAAGGCAUGACAUAAGGCUUUGAGAAGGCUGAAGACUACCAAAGAAGACAACUGAAAGCUAGCUGGGGCGUGAGUGUAUAAAUUGUUAGAUGUGUUUGUUAUAAAUAACAUAGAGCCCUUUUGUUAUUUAUAAUCAUAGAGAAAGAGAGAAUGUGUGUUUUUUAAUAGUUAGAGAUAUAGCUAGAAUGGGUGGCUCAAAAUCCAAAAUGGUGACAAUGUUAGUUCUCGUAUUGAUAAUAUUGGGGGGGGGGGGGGGGGGGGGAGGUCGAGUGAGGGAUGUUUGGAGCAUGAGAAAUUUGAUCUUUUGCGGCUUAAACAUUUCUUCAAUUCCCCUUAUACACUUCAAAACUGGGUAGGUGAACAAAGGGAAAGGGUUGAGUGCAGCAACUCCACAUGCCAAGUGGUACAACUACACCUUGGCCUUACUAGGAAUAUCGAUCUGGGAGAGUGGUAUCUGAAUGCUUCUCUAUUUACUUCCUUUCAACAACUUGGUAACAAAAUAGCCGGCUGCAUGCGUUGAGAAUGAAGGUCCUUCAUUUAAUUUAAUUUACUUAAUUCCUCCCUCCCAAUUAAUGUCUAAUGGAGCUCAUUCUUUGGUUUUACUUGCAGGUCUAGAAGCAGGUGUCAUCUAACAGCUGCUUUGAUAAUUUCCCACCGCUUCAUCUUUGAUGAAAAGAUGAAAUAAAAACAAAAUGGUGAAAAUGGUAUUGGUACCUGAGGCUAUGUAAUCUAAUUCAAAAACUGCACCAUCAAAACGAUUACAUAAGUCCCAGAAGAAUCAAACAUUAGUUUGCAAAAUAUCAAUUGCUGGAGGUUUGAUUCUAACUUCUGCUCUUCAUUUUUAUGGGCAUAUUGUGUUGUACUUGUUGGAGAAUUAACAAAUAAAACACACACAAAAACACACUAUUUUAUUUCUUCAACAACACUUCUCACUAAUUACAAUUCUUAUUUUUCACUCUCUACACCUGAGAGAUUUUGCUACUUCACUUGAUAUUUAAACCAAAGGGGAGAGGGGGUAUUUAUACAUGAAACAAACUAAUCACAACCAUUCAUUUAUUCAAUUAAUACACAAAUCCUCACCAUCCAUUAAAACCUACCACACCUAACACACCUAACACAAAUAAUUCAAACCUCACCAACCAUACCUACUCAUGGAACCUUCCAUGAGUUGGGCUUGAUUUAUUCAUCUUGGAUCAAGUUUAUGAUCCAACACCUCCCCUUAAACUUGAUCCUGUGACACCAAGCAAACUUCUGAAUCUUACAAAGUCUUCUUGCUUGAGUGGCUUAGUGAAGAUAUCAGCUGCUUGAUCUUGUGAUUUUACAUACUUGAUUUGCACUUCUUUUCUUGCAAUACACUCUCUUAUGAAAUGAUAAUGAGUGUCUAUGUGUUUACUUCGAUCAUGAAAGACUGGAUUCUUGGAUAGGGCAAUUGCUGAUUUGUUAUCAACACAAAUCUCGGUUGGCUCUUCUUGUGCCAAACUCAACUCCUUCAGUAAAUUUCUGAGCCAAAUUGCAUGACAAACACUUGAUGUGCCAGCUACAUAUUCAGCUUCACAGGUGGAUAGCGUGACAAUUGGUUGCUUCUUUGACAUCCAUGUGAAAGCAGUAUCUCCCAUGAAGAACACAAAUCUCGUGGUGCUCUUUCGAUCAUCUACAUCUCCACCCCAAUCGCUAUCGCUAUAUCCAACAAGCUUGUAGUCAUUAGAAAAUGAGUAUAGCAAGCCGAAAUUAGUUGUACCUUUGAUGUAGCGAAGGAUUCUUUUUGCAGCUUUAAAAUGGGUAGUCUUUGGAUUCUCCAUAUAUCGGCUCACAAAUCCAACAGCAUAAAGGAUAUCUGGUCUUAUGCAUGUCAAAUAACGUAGGCUUCCAACCAAACUUUUAAAGAAUGUUGGAUAUAUAUCUUCGCCUUCAUCAUGUUUGGAUAACUUGACUCCGCAUUCCACUGGCGUGCUUAUAGGCUUACAAUCAUUCAUCUUGAACUUCUUGAGAAUCUCCUUUGCAUAGCUUUCUUGGGAGAUAAAUAUGCCUUCUUCCUUUUGCUUGACCUCAAUGCCGAGGUAAUAUGCCAUCAGUCCGAUGUCAGUCAUCUCGAACUCUUUGAUCAUCACUCUCUUGAACUCUUCAAACAAGCUUGGAUUACUUCCAGUGAAGAUGAGAUCAUCCACAUACAGGCACACAAUCAAAAUAUCUCCAUCUUUUUCUUUGACGUAGAGAGCAUGUUCAUAUGGGCAUUUGGUGAAGCAUUUCUCUUGAAAAUACUUGUCAAUUCUGCUAUUCCAUGCCCUUGGUGCUUGCUUUAACCCGUAAAGAGCUUUCUUCAAUCUCAAAACUUUGUCCUCAUGUCCUUUCACCACAUAGCCUAAUGGUUGUUCGAUGUAAACUUCUUCUUCAAGGAAUCCAUUCAAGAAAGCAGACUUCACAUCCAUUUGAAAAAUCUUCCAUUUGUUCUGAGCAGCCAAAGAAAUAAUAAGUCUAAUAGUUUCAAGUCGAGCUACAGGAGCAAAUAUCUCGUCAUAGUCUAUGCCAGCCUUUUGACUAUAGCCUUUUGCAACUAGCCUCGCCUUGUGCCUUUCAAUUUCUCCCUUCGCAUUUUUUUUUGUUUUAUACACCCAUUUGACACCGAUCGCCUAGUGACCUUUUGGAAGAGUAGUAAGCUCCCAAGUAUCAUUCUUCACAAUGGCUUUGAUUUCUUCAUCCAUUGCAAUUCUCCACUUCUCAUCUAGUGCAGCUUCUUGGAAGUUGACUGGCUCACAAUCAGCAAAGAGGCAAAAGAGAGUGAGAUUAUCAUGUCUCUCAGUUACCUCAUAGAGAUCUUGAAGACUCCUUGUACGUUCUUCGGUUCUUUCAUUUAAGAAAGACGGCGGUGAAUCUCCGCAUGUGGUUGAUAAUGGUGAGAUAGGUGGAGUAGCAGGCUCUUGUUGUUCGUCUACUUGUUUUAACUGUGUAUGAUCAUCUUCUUCAAUGGGAAAGAAGUUGAAGUCAUCCACACCAGAGCCAAAAUCCCAUUCUCCUUCUUCAUCAAAAACUACAUCUCGACUGAUCACGAUCUUCCCGUUGUUUGGAUUGUAAAGCUUGUAUCCUUUGGAGUUGUUGUCGUAGCCGAUGAAGAUGAACUUCUCACUUUUGUCAUCCAGCUUGGCUUUACUUUCGUCUGGUAUAUGUACAUGGGCAAUGCUUCCGAAAACUCUUAGAUGGGUGAUGCCGGGUUUUCUUCCACUCCAAGCUUCUUAUGGCGUCUUGCCCCACACGCUUCUUGUUGGAGAUCGAUUGGAUAAGUAGACUGCACAUGCAACUACUUCAGCCCAAAAUUCUUUAGGUAGCCUCUUACUCUUAAGCAUGCUUCUAAAAUUCUUUAGGUAGCCCAAAAUUCUUUACCAGAUAUCCUUUAUGCUGUUGGAUUUGUGAGCCGAUAUAUGGAGAAUCCAAAGACUACCCAUUUUAAAGCUGUAAAAAGAAUCCUUCGCUACAUCAAAGGUACAACUAAUUUCGGCUUGCUAUACUCAUUUUCUAAUGACUACAAGCUUGUUGGAUAUAGCGAUAGCGAUUGGGGUGGAGAUGUAGAUGAUCGAAAGAGCACCACGGGAUUUGUGUUCUUCAUGGGAGAUAUUGCUUUCACAUGGAUGUCAAAGAAGCAACCAAUUGUCAUGCUAUCCACCUGUGAAGCUGAAUAUGUAGCUGGCACAUCAAGUGUUUGUCAUGCAAUUUGGCUCAGAAAUUUACUGAAGGAGUUGAGUUUGGCACAAGAAGAGCCAACCGAGAUUUGUGUUGAUAACAAAUCAGCAAUUGCCCUAUCCAAGAAUCCAGUCUUUCAUGAUCGAAGUAAACACAUAGACACUCGCUAUCAUUUCAUAAGAGAGUGUAUUGCAAGAAAAGAAGUGCAAAUCAAGUAUGUAAAAUCACAAGAUCAAGCAGCUGAUAUCUUCAGUAAGCCACUCAAGCAAGAAGACUUUGUAAGAUUCAGAAGUUUGCUUGGUGUCACAGGAUCAAGUUUAAGGGGAGGUGUUGGAUCAUAAACUUGAUCCAAGAUGAAUAAAUCAAGCCCAACUCAUAGAAGGUUCCAUGAGUAGGUAUGGUUGGUGAGGUUUGAAUUAUUUGUGUUAGGUGUGUUAGGUGUGGUUGGUGAAGUAGGUGAGUGGUAGGUUUUAAUAUAAUCUUUUAAGUGAAUAUCAUAGCCUUUUUCUAAAAGUUGACCUAAACUAAGAAUGUUGCUUUUCAUAUUGGGCACAUAGUAAACAUUCGAAAUUAUUUGGUGGCUACCAUCUUUUGCACGAAAAAGAAUGUUACCUCUACCCUUCACUAGUACUUUUGAAUCAUCUCCAAAAGCGACAUUGUCAUUCACAAAUUCACUUAGUUGCACGAACAUGCUUCUGUUUCCACUCAUAUGAUUGCUAGCACCUGUGUCAAGAUACCAUGUAUUUUCUUGACCUGCACUUGUGUCAUUGCGUGCUAGUAAAAGUGUGCCAUCUUCACCAUUUUUCUCUUCAGCAUAGUUCACUCUCUCCUCAAUUCUGGUGCUUGGAGCUCUGCAUUCUGAAGCAUAAUGCCCAAACUUUUGACAAUUAUAGCAUUGUACUUUGGAUUUGUCAUACCUCGAUCUUGGAUUGCCUCUGCCUCGUCCUCUGGUUGAGCUUUCUCCUUUGUCAUAAUUGGAGUUGUUGUUGUUGAAAUUCCAACCUCGUCCAUGACCACGACCUCUACCUCGUCCUCGACCUCUACCUCGGACAUAGUGCAUUCUCUCGUUGUCGGAGCUUUCUUCUCUUUUCUUUGGAUUGACUUCCAUCUUGAGAAGUUAUUCUUUGAUUCCUUGCUUCUUCUUUUUUUUCUUCAUAGGCUUGCAACCUUCCUUGAAGUUGCUCGAUCGUCAUAUCCUCCAAAUCUCUUGUUUCUUCAAUUGCACAACAAUAUGUUCAAACUUCGACUCUACUGAUCGAAGUAUCUUUUCAAUGAUCCUUACCUCUUUUAACUCCUCGCCAUUUCUUUUUAAUUCAUUGGAAAUGGUUACAACCCGAGUAAAGUAGUCAGAAAUUGACGCCGACGCCUUCAUGUGUAAAGACUCAAAUUCUCCUCGUAAUGUUUGGAGACGAACCUUCUUAACUUGCUCCGCUCCUUUGUAAGAGGUCUCUAGUUUCUCCCAUGCUUCUUUUGAGGAGGUUGUACCAGCAAUCUUUUCAAAAGCAUCUUCAUCUAAUGAUUGAAAGAUGAGAUACUUUGCUUUAUUCUCUUUCUUUUUCAAGUCUUUUAAAUUCUCCUUCUGCGCCGCAGUUAAAGUGGCUUCAUUUUCUGGCACAAUAAAGCCUUUUUCCACGACAUCCCAUACGUCAUGUGCGCCCAAUAGAGCCUUCAUUUUAAUACUCCAAUUGUCAAACUUACUUCCCUUUAAUUGUGGAACUUGAAAUGACAUCAUACCACCGUUUGCCAUAACUCAAAAAUUGAGUGAGAAUUUGGAGAUUCUGAAAGCACAGAUGGAUCCGGCACGUCGAAAAACCUUGGGAAGGACUCGAGUCAACUUUCGGUCAACGGUCAACGCUGGUCAACGGUCAACGUCGGUCAACGGUCAACGUCGGUCAACGGUCAACACCGGCUUGGUAGUCUUGGUUCGGUCCGGAUUGGUUCAGCUCGAGUUGGCUCGGUUCGACUUGAUGCGGUUCAAAUCGGCUCGGCUUGGUUCAGUUCGGCUCAGUUUGGUUCAACUCGGUGAGUCGACUCAGCUUUAGGUUAGAAAACUUUCGGCGGCAAGUGUGGGAGCGUCCGGUCUCAGAUCAGGAUGAUUUGUGCGGCGUCACGUUCCUCUCGUCGAGAUCUUCGAUUUGAUAUGCUAUAUGACCAUAUAUAACAUCACGUACUAGCUCUGAUACCACUUUGUUGGAGAAUUAACAAAUAAAACACACACAAAAACACACUAUUUUAUUUCUUCAACAACACUUCUCACCAAUUACAACUCUUAUUUUUCACUCUCUACACCUGAGAGAUUUUGCUACUUCACUUGAUAUUUAAACCAAAGGGGAGAGGGGGUAUUUAUACAUGAAACAAACUAAUCACAACCAUUCAUUUAUUCAAUUAAUACACAAAUCCUCACCAUCCAUUAAAACCUACCACUCACCUACUUCACCAACCACACCUAACACACCUAACACAAAUAAUUCAAACCUCACCAACCAUACCUACUCAUGGAACAUUCCAUGAGUUGGGCUUGAUUUAUUCAUCUUGGAUCAAGUUUAUGAUCCAACAGUACUUGCAUCCGAAAAUCAUAUUUUAGUUUACUUACACUCAACGCUUGGAUUUAAGUUUUAGGGGGGGGAUUGAAGAAGACUAAAAUGACACAAAAGAGUUGAGCGAGUGCAGGUUUUGUCUUCAUUUAAGGAGCUCUUUGUAAAUUUUAGGAUUUGUUUCCUGAGAAAAUUUAUGCCAACUCAUUCUUUGCUUCUUUUCUGAACGGACAGAUGCAACCGAAAGUAUAUUCUUGAAUUCUUUAGGAUGAGAGACAUACGUUUAGAUUCAUCGAGCCUUUAAAACAAUAUCAAAUUUUAGAUUGCUGAAAUUUUAUAUAUCUGAGUAUGAUGGUGUUCCAAUUAUAAGCUCCAGGGUGCAACUUCACUAAGUUUUAGAAUACCUUCCUAUAGAAUUGAGAAAUCUCCAUUGGCAUAAAUAUCCUUUGAAAAUAUUGCCAUCAGAUUUUGAAUUGGAGAACCUGAUUGAACUCAGCUUGCCUUGUAGUAAGGUUAAGCAAUUUUGGAAAAGAGAAAAUGUAUAAUGUAUUACUAUUACCAAAGUAUCUAUUUUUCUUUCUUUAAGUAUUUAUAAUGAAGGCUGAUUCAUAGGAAGGCUGUAAAACGGUAAUCAACGAAGGUAAAGGGGUUAGACACUUUUACACUAGAACUUAAGAAAUAAGAGCAUUUACGAAAAAAGGAGAGAAACACUCAUAGGUGUUCCACUGCCUAAGAGAUCAUGAGAGAGCCACGAGAUCAGUGGCCAAGUUUCCCAAAAAGUAAACCUAAAUUUCUGACUUGAGCGUAGGAGGAUUUUUCCGGCGUGCUCUGACCAGUUUUUGUGUGCGCAGGAGUCUGCUAAGUCAUACGAGUCAUAGCUCUGCUCGGUUAGAAGAGUUACGUGAAGUAUCCUACGUUGGUCGUGAGUUCGGGCGUUGAGGAGAGAUCCUGGUUGCAGACAAGCAGACACCAGAAUCUCGCAUCAACAGUGAAGAUGAUUCAAUAUUAAGCAUGUCAUAUAAUCUGGAAGUGGAUAUUGGACCAAUUUGAUGAUGAAUUUCUUUCAAUCUCAAUCUUUUUCUUUUUAGCAACAUGACUAGUCAUUGUGCAAAUUUAAACUCUGACAAUGAUUUCUCAAUCGGUUUCUAAAAUGAUGACCAUGCAUGUAUAUGUGUGUGUGUGUAGAGAGAGAGAGAGAGAUCACACGUGCGUGAUUUCCUUUUGCCAAUAGGAUAUGCAGAGAGCUUGAUCUUACCCAAUAGCAAAACAAACUUCCUAACAAGUGAAGGUAUAGUAUAAAUACUUAUACUUUCAUGUUAUUUUGUUCAUCAGUAGCUUGAUUAUUUUAUAUGCGUCUUUGUUUUUAAUUUUCUUUCCUUAUAAUCGCUAUUAUCUUUGAACUGGUCAUGAUUUGCCUAUAAGAUUUCUCAUGUUGUUUUGAGGUGCAAUGGAUUUUGAAUUUAGUGACGAGCAGUGGAAGCCAGAAGGCAAAUUAUGAAAAUGGAUAAAGAUCUAUAAUUAGUUGUUAUGGGAUGUCACAUAUCAUAUUGAUGGUAACAUUAUAUAUGUGUACAUAUAAUUAAUGGGGUUGGCUCACGAGCCCAUUAAUAAUCGUAUAUUAGCUUAUAUACUUCAAACAAUGUACUAUGAAGCAAUUUCACAAAUACUUGUUAGCUUAUGUUGAGCUUUAUUGAAUCAGUAGUUCACAGUUCAAUAAAAUGCAGGUUUGCUAUUUGAAGUACAUGGUUAUGGUGCGUACAUUCUUCAUAAGGCUAACUACUAAUUUAUCAUUGAAACUUGAAAAAUGUGACAGAGAGAUGUAGAUAACAGCCGCAAAACACUGAGAUUGAAAAUCAGGGCUGCUAAAUUCUACUAAAAGCCCUUAAAAUAGACAGCGAUCACCCUGAAAUGUAUAUACUGAAACUAAGAAAUAUUAAUCGCAAAGUUAUGCAUUAAUAGAACUAUUGACUACUUAUCUUUAGCAUAAGGUAUAUUUUUAACUACAGCUUUCUACUUUGUUCUAAGAACUAGGCAAAAAUGGUGUAUCUUCAAUCCAAUCAACAUGUAUACCACUUAUCUUCCUCUUCACUUCUGUCUAUUUUGAUUUGCACUUCAUAUCCUGCACUUGCUGCUUAGAAAUAGUCUUAUUCUGGACAUUGAAAGUAGAAAAAGUGCUUGAAACAAUCAUUGGCAUAGCCCGAGAUUCCAUUGAAUCGUGGACUCCAAGCUUUCAUAGUUCUAUAAAGAAAAUGACAAAACUUCAUACAACUGGCAUUCUGCUUUUAACAUUUGCACAACCUGAGCGAGUUAGCAAGCCCCUUGUUGCGUUCCCAUUGAAUAGACCUACUUUUGUUAUCCACAGAAGAUCCACCACUCAAAAUGUUUAUCACCAGGCUAUUCUUAAACUGAGCCUAAACUGAGUAGAAACUUCUGCACAUCUCUCAGCAUUUACAUGAAGAAAUCGACAACUAUCGUCAUCUCUCAGCACAUCUCUCAGCAUUCUACAAAGUUGCAUUUCACUAAGCAAUCUAUCCUCUCCAUUCCUAACAAAGUGACAUUGAUUCCCUUAUUUGUAAUCGCCUAACUUGGGUUUUGGGAAUAGCGUGGUCUUAAAAUUACCACCCAAUACUUUGUUCAGUGCCACUGGCAUCCACAACCUCUAGCCCUGUUAGCUGAAUCAUAUUCAAUGGGACAGUGAGGCAGCAUUUCACUAACAUAUUCAAUUUGACUACUUAUAUUGACGCAAAUAUUAGAAUUUGAAAUCACUUCUUUUCUUGGAAUAUUAUAUUAAAAUGACCCCAAAUGAAAGUUCUUGAAUGGAAAUGAUUUUUAUUUAAUUUUCCAACAGAUUCAAGAAAAUCCAGAGAACACAAAAUUUACACAGUAAUAUGAUUAAGAGCUGAGAACGUACAUGUAGUAAAUGUCUAUCAAAAAACACCCAAGGGUUUCUUUAAAAUUAGAAACUAGUAAAUAAAAAGAAAGAAUCAUUUUACAUUUUUAGCAACUUUGGGGUGAGUGAGUGAGUGAGAAAUUGAAACCCUAAAGUGAUGACAACAGUAAGAUUCAGUAUGAAGUGAAACCCCAAUUUGAAAUGUAGGCAUGAGUUGCUGAGUCAGUAGAUGAAGCUAUAAAUAGGCAUUCGGUUUCCUUCUUUUCGGUUUGGAGGGCCAUGGAAUAGUGUAUUGGAGUGGGCUCCAAGUAAUAGCCUCUAUCACUAGAACGACAAAUCUAUAAAAUGUGAUACAUGGGGAAGGAUUGGGCAUUAUAUUCUUAGAUUAGCGCCUUAUUUAGGGUGUAUAUUAAGCAGAUUAUAUAUUACAUGGAGAUGGAGUUUAUGAAAUAGAUUAAAAAGAAAAGGAAAUUUUGGUGCCUAAAGUUUGCCACUUGGAAUAUUUCGGUGUCUAAAAAUUCACUCACCACUUAUUUCAUGUUUGAUUAUAUGUUGAAAAGAUAUUAAAAUAGUAUAAUGCUAUUAAGGCUUAACGUAGAUUUUUUAUUAGUAGAGUGUAGAAUUUUUAAGAAAUAAAUUAUUAAAUUAUUAUAACUAACAUAUUAUUUUAAAGUUGUGUUAUGAAAAAAAUGAAAUAAAAAUGUACAGUAAAUAAGAAUAUUUUAAAACUUUUAUCUUUUUAAAAUUAGUUUUUAACAUAAGGUGAACUAUUUUUUCUUUAAAAUCACAUAUUCUAGUUAAAAUCAAAUAUGUAUUUAUAUGAAGCUUGUAAAUUUUUUUUUUUAGUACUGAUAUUUGAAUAUUAUCAAUAAAAAAAAGGGUAAUGUUCAUGCUGCAUUAUUUUUGUAGCACACAAAAGGACAACAAAGUUUAUGUUAUAAUACUAUCGCUUCUGUUAUGAUAAUAAUUUUUUGUGGCCAAAUAUCUUUUUUUUUUAAGUAAAAAAAAGUGGACAAAAUACAAAUCAGUUUUUAAUCCUCAAUCUCUCCCAAAAUAUAAAUUCGUAGGUCCAUGGGUUGUUAAAACUAUAGCUGACAAAAAGUUACUAACAAAAACAGAAUGUCCAUUUUAUAACUUUCUUAAAAAACUUUCCUUAACUUUUUUAAAAAGUUACCAACAAAAAGUUAUUUCUAAUUUUUAUUUUGUUAUAAUUUUUAUAACAAAAUUCGUAGUUAACUAAACUCUUCUUAUUCCCUUUCUCAACUACCCUAACCCUGUUCCCCAUGUCCCCACUAAACCACGCUCAAUUAAGGCCAUCAGAUUCUCCCGGGCCCACAUUAAUCCAACUGCUCACAGAGACCGACAGCCUCUCUAUCUCCAUUUCAAGCUCCCUCUUCAACUGGCUUCUGCUACCGUCCUACUCUUUCUCGGCUUCGGAGUCCGUAUUUGCUCGGCCUGUCCCACGAAACUCCCUCUCACUCCAAUUGUCGCCCCACAAGACCAAUUGCUUAAUCAAGACACCGAACAAGAAGAGGAUGAGAAGUUGAAACAAGAAUUUGAGAAUUGGAAAUAAAAAACGUACGCAUUGACCGUGCCUUUGAGAGUCGUUUCUCUUCAGAACUCAGUGCCUCAAUCUUGGGUUAAGGAUUUUAUGCGAAGUCAGGGAAAGAGAUUGAAGUUUCAGAUGAAUUUGUGUGCUAGCAUUGAUGGGAUCUUUAACAAUUUAUCUGUGCCCUUUAACAAAGUUAAGGCUAAGUCAGCUUCUUAUAUGGCUGCUGAUUUGGUUAGUGUUGGUGAUUCAUGGCUUAGUUUUGCCAUUAAAAAGAGAUUGAUUGAGCCAAUAGCUGGAGCUGAAGACCAAGAUUGGUUCAAAUGCUUAAGUCACAAAUGGAAGGUAACAUCUUUGUCUUUGAUCCUCGAGGUAAAAUAUGGGCGGCACCAUACAGGUGGGGCACAACGGUGAUAGCCUACAAGAAAAGUAAAUUUCGAAAGCAUAAUUUGGCUCCGAUUGAGGUAAUAAUUUUCUUUAAACUCAUUUAGUUUUAUAUCAAACAAAAUCAAGACUGCCUUUCUCUUCAAUAUUUUUUAUGAUAAUAUCUUUAGAAGCAUCUCAUUGACGGGUAACAAUGGCAUCCCUGAAAGAGUCUAUAAACUCAAUGAUAUUAUCUUCUACAAAUGGUUCAUUAAACUUUGUCGUUGUGCUCAAAUGUACACUCAGAGCAAUGAGAAGUUAUGCCACUUUAGCAUGUAGUGAUGGCACUUAAUAAGUGAGUUGCUAGGAUGUGAACUAGAAAAAUUAAAUAUUGUCUCCUUGGGUAUGCUAGCUCGUAAGUCAGGGUUAAUAUCAGAGCUUAAGAUAGUAUAACCGUGAGAACCUAUUGACUGCCAAUUAAAAUAUCCAUUAAAAUGUCUAGGGAGUUAUGAAGGUGGAGGUAACUUCCAAUUUCUAAGGCCACAGAGUAGACAUCAUCCAGGAUCCUAGGAAAGUCCAGUUAACCUCCUGCUCGAUGCAAUUAAUAAAUUUGGUCAAUGCCACUGAAACUUGCUAACUGACGUCACAAUGCGACAUGAGCACUUCAAAAUGGGACAGACGGUCAGUGGCACUAAAUUUUUCUUGCCUAAGAUUGAGCAAUUGGUCUAACUACUAAUCCCCCAGAUUUAAGAAUCUUUUGAUGAUAAUUUAUCACCUGCAGCUGUGCCGGAAGAUUCAAGUAGCACUGAAAAAUAUGAUAAUUUAAUUGAUAUGGACAGUUUCCAUAUCACUUUUAAAUCAUCUUAUGUAAUUGUAAUGUUAGGAAGCAUUAGUGAUCUAAAAGUGAACUAUUAUUGGUGUCAUUGGUGGUUUUAUCUUGUUAAAAUAUGGAUGACUUCCUGUUACUAUUUUAUUGUAGACAAUCUUAUUCAAUUAACAUAAGGUUUAAAACCAUUAUGUUUUAUGUAAAUCAAUCUAUUAAUUUUCAUGAUAUUUAACUGAGUUAAAACCAAGUGCACUCAAUAAAUGUCUUUUCCUUUAAAAAAACUACUACGCUUUGAUUUUAGUGCUUAAUAUUUCGUAACUACAGAUUAUCUAAUUGCGAGUUGCUGUCCAUAGCUGCUAAUUUGUAGUGAUUAUCUAAUUGACUGAGGUGACAAUAAUUCUUUUAUUUUCAAUAGCACAAUGUGGAAUUCAAUAAUUAAAUUCUCCUAUUUAAUUUGUUUCAAGUUAAAUUAUUAAUUACUUAAACUCUGUUUUAAGUCUUUAAUUUUAUGUGUUUAUGCAGAAUUGGAUUCUUGAGCGUGUUGGACACGACCAACAAUGAAAUUGAUAGUAAACAAACAUUACAACGUGUGGACUCCGGUAAGCACCAAUGAAUGUCUAGCCCCGUUGACUCCGCCAACUAAAGUUUUGUAAAAUUAAAAAAAAAAAUACAUAGAAUUCCACCAAAUGCAAAACGCGUGAAAUUUAAUUUUCGACCGUGUGGACCAAAACAUAAUUUAACAAAAAAGGAAAAAAUGAUAAGAUUUUUAAAAUGUGUGGAAGGUGAUCCAUAUUUUACUGAAACGACUUGUUAAAUUUUUCAAGGAUUUAGAAUAUUUGGUCAUAAAUUACGUGCAUGUUAAUUUUUCCGCCAUUGACUAUCAUAUUCUAGACUUAAUGGUACCUUUCUUGAUGAAGGGUACUUAGUCUCUCUUCUCCUCUUAUAAAAAUUAUAUUAAUUGAUUUCUUGUUAUAGUUAAUAGUCUUUAAGAACGGAUAGAUUUAUUGUUUUCAUGACCAAAUUAUGCAUGCCUAAGGUUGUAACUACUAAUAAAAUUAAUAUUUAAUGUUUAUGUUAAAAGAUAUAAGUUUUUAUGCAUUCAUUAAUUGUUAUUAGCUAAAGGAUGAAAUAUUUUUUCCCAAUCAGUUGAUGCAUCUGCAAGAGUUUUUUUUUUUCUUUUAUUGACCAUAAUUAUAUUCCGGGUACAAUAAAUUGUCUUUGGUGCUUGGAAAAUAUGACACCUCUCUGUCAACUUACUGGAAAUAUCUCCUCAUCUACUCUCAUUUAUCUAAUAUGAAUUGAAGAUCUCAUAUUUCCAAACUAUGACUUCCAAAUCUCAUUAUCAUUUGAGCAUUCAAAACUAAUCAAGUGUGGAAAUAAUCAAAUAUAUGCAAAAAUCGAGUCACAAUCUUUGGCCCCUCAAAAUUCUAAUUAUAUAACUUCUAUAUAUCUCAUACAUUUUCCAAAUUCCUCUUCCAUGAACAUCACUAGGAGUAUGUUCAUCUCUCACACAUUAACUUGAGUGAAGAGUUUCCAAAUUGAUUAUUAGAAAACAAUACAAAAGCUAGACACGUUUGAUCUGUCUAAUAAUUCUCUUUCGGUAAAAUUAAUUAAUUUUAGGGGAAUUCAGCCAACCUCUGUAAUUUCAGAGUGAUCAUUAAUUAAUUAAACAAUACAAAUAUCUAAAGUGAUUAGAUGUUUGCCGACAAUACAAGUUCAUGGCUUGAAAUUUGAUCUCUAUCAAUUGGUUUACAAAUGGACUCACUUGUGCCUUUGUGGUGAUAAUUGAACCAGAGAUGUGAAGCUGUAAGGAUUUGGCUGUAGUCAAUUGUUAUAAAGACAUAAAGACAACUUCCCAUGAUUAUUAUUUUUUUCCAAGAACUAUUUUACAACAAAUUCAUCUCGCCAAAAAUUCUAUUUUGCUAACUAACAAUAAUUGAGCACUUGACCGCAUUGACUCCACGUCUCCAGCUACUUUCUAAGUAAAAACAUGGAAAUGUAAUCUCCACAAAAUGCCAAACGUGUGGAAUUUAAUUUUUGGCCUUGUGGACCAAAAUGCAAAUGAAAGAAAAAGAGGGAAAAAAACAAGGCUCAAAGACUUCUAAAAGAUGUAAAAGUCUUUGGGCUUUUUUAUAAUGGUGGAUUUUUUAAAAGGAAAAAAUAACAACACUUCUAUGGUUUGUUUUAAUAAUCACAUUUACAUAUAUUCUCUAAUUUUCAAAAUGGACACAUAAAUCUUUUUUUUUCUACAAAUGUAUAUUAUUCGUAUUUUUUAUUAUUUUUAAUAUCAUAUUGUUAUUUAUUAUAAAUGUUUAAAGUAAAUUUUUAGGUUGAAAUAUAAUAAAAAGGUAUAAUCGUUCUCAUAUUAAACACCCAUACUUUUAGUUUCUAUCCAUUUGUCAUUUCAAUCUCCCUCAAUUAUUCUUUAUUGCUAGCUCAAAACGCAUCGCUGUUGAAAAUUAUAGCAAAAUGACAAAUAUGGAAAAAAAGGGAAGAAAAUUAAUGCAUGAAAGACUUGGAGAAAACAACCAAAUAAGUCAACUAUAAGCAAGCUGGGUGUAUAAAUUGUUAGAUGUGUUAUAAACAAAUACGUAUAAUGUUAAAGAUAUAGUUAGAAUGGGUGGUUCAAAAUCAAAAAUGGUGAUAAUGUUUGUUCUGCUCUUAAUAAUAUUUGAAGGUGGGUGGAGUGAGGGAUGUUUGAAUCAUGAGAGAUUUGCUCUUUUGCAACUUAAACUUUUCUUCACUGAUCCUCAUAAUUAUCUUCUCGAUUGGGUAGAUGAUGAGGGAGCUACUGAUUGUUGUCAGUGGGAAAGGGUUGAGUGCAGCAACACCACAGGUCGAGUGAUAAAACUUGACCUUGCUUUUACAAGGAAUAAUUAUUUGGAAGAGUACAGAGACUUUGUACACAAUCCGGGAGAGUAUCUGAAUGCUUCUUUGUUUACUCCCUUUCAACAACUUGAGUCACUUGAUUUAACUAACAACAACAUAGCCGGUUGUGUUGAGAAUGAAGGUGCUUCGUUUAAUUUAAUUAAUUUACUUUCUCCCCCCUAAUUUAAGUUGACUAUCAAGACCGAGCAAUUAGACGCAUAUUCAUUUAGUCGACAAUUUUCACUUUUUUUAAAUGAUUAAUUUUGAAAUUACACCAGUAUCUAUAAUCAUUUUUUUAUUUUACUUGCAGGUAUAGAGAGGCUAUCAAGAUUGAACAACUUGAAGAUGCUUAAUUUAAGUGAUAACUCGUUCAACAAUAGCAUUUUAUCAUCUCUAACCCGUCUUUCAUCAUUAAGAUCAUUAAAAUUAUCUGACAAUAGAUUGAAAGGAAGUAUUGACUUUAAAGGUACAUAAUUAAAACUUCAUCCCUUCUCCAAGCUCUUUCAUUAACUUGCUAAAAUAAGAUUCAAGGCUUUGAAUUCAAUUUUUUUAUGAUUAGUAUUAAAAAAAACAGUUUUAAGCAAUUUAUAAAUACAAGUUUUAAUGGUUAUCGUAAUUUCAUCUUGUAAUUUCAUGUCUUGAAUUUAAGAUUAAAAAAAUAACACUAACAGCGAACCAAACACCUCCACAACUUAUUAUUAUUAUUAUUAUUAUUAUUAUUAUUAUUAUUAUUAUUAUUAUUAUUAUUUUAAUUUGUUGUGAGGUUUGAAACAUUCAACUCAAUUUGUACUUACUACAGAAUUUGAUUCUUUGAGAGAUUUAGAGGAGCUAGACAUUGGCUGGAACAAGAUUGACAAAUUUGUGGUCUCAAAAGGUACUACAAAUACCAUAUAAAAAUGCUAACUUAUACAAAUUAGUUGGAUUCUUUGCCAUUUGGUUUAUUAUUUUACAGGUUUGAGUAAGUUGAAGUCUCUCGGUUUAAGUGGUAUCAAACUCAACCGUAGCAUCUUAUCUUCUCUUUCUUCAUUAAGAGAAUUAGAUAUAAGUGAUACGGGAUUCAAAGGAACAUUCGAUGUUCGAGGUAAGCCUAAGCCUUGCUUUCUCAUUUUAUAUAUGCCAACUAGAUUUGUGUAUCAUCGACAUAAUUUAAUAGUUAAUUUGAUAAGUCUGAAGGAAUUACAUGCUAAUUUAAACAUACUUUUAUUUACUUUGUCAAUUAAUUAAUUUAUUAAUUACUAUUUGGCUUGGUUUGGACGAAAUUCUCAUGAUGUUUUAAUUUCUUUAAAUUAAUUAAUUAAUUAACUCUGUUUUUAAGUCUUAAGUCUGGGCAUGUUUGCAGAAUUUGAUUCCUUCAAUAACUUAGAAGAAAAAUAGAAAAAGUCGAGCAAGAGACUCUCGCCCUAUUUUAAGAUGAGAGUAGCGAUCACUUACCUGAUCUACGACCUACUAUCUACGCGUACCAGCCUUCCUUUGUUUUGCAUCACGAGAUGGACUCUUCGCCCAUCCCCUAAGGUCUUUCAAAUUAUACCUAAUUGGGGAGAGGACCCACCAGGAGUCCAACUCCAGAUUGGUGGCUAAUGGGCCUCGCGUAUCCUGCCUUUUCGUAGAAUGCAACGCUUAUACGUUCACUGAGGAAUGAAAUCCUAUCUUUUAUCCGAGCUAGGGAUCAGAAAGCAAGAAGGUGGGGGUCAGAAAUGAGUAGCGUAGGUGAUACCGAUAGGGUGGUUGGAUACGCGACAGCAACGGCAAGGCACUCUUGACCCCGUCCGUAGAGGGUCGGUACGAAUGAGACUGUGCUAGAGAUCGCAGUGAGCAAGUAUGCCUUGUUGACUGGGUGUUGGUUUUGAAACAAGGAUGAGUCCCUCAGGGAGUCCGUCCAAGCUUCAGCUACUAAUGCCUGGGCUAACUUCUUGGGGGUGAACAAAGUGCUCUGAGUCUGAGAUCGAUACUGGUUAACGCCACAAGUGCUCUGCCAUUGGUCUACACACAGAGUCAUCAGGUAAAGUCAGAGCUUGGACUGGGAAUGAGAUCAGAAGAGGCUAGGCUACUAGGGAAGAUAGAAGCGAUCCACAAAUCAAACCACUAUCCCAUUGGCCGCUUCAUGCGCCGAACACUCUUAAUAAGAAGCUUUAUUUUAUAAGGUAUGUGUCUAUGCUCUCGAUACACGGCUUGAGAAGGCGGCUCCUUUUUAUUCUUCCUAUAGGAGCUACUCCUGAUUCAGUCAAUCAGAACAAGCCUUCGGACCUACCAACCAAUCAAACUAGCUUGAUGCGGAGGCAAAUACCCAGGGAUACUAUAGCUCAACACACGCCUGGCCGGGGGGAAGGAAGCCCUCGAAGCGAGCUCCGUACCAAAUAGCUGUGGAGAGAGAGAAGCCAAACUCUACCGCACUGAAGAGCGAGAUAAAUAACUGACAUCCUUGGUUGAUGAUCCUCGUCGGUGGAAGGGAAAGCGCGAUGAAAGGCAAGUCGGUAGUAGGUCCAAUGGAGAGAGGAAUUGAGAAGAGAUAGGGUCCGCUUUCUAGGCUGACGUUGGACAGCUGUUGGAUAGCCCCGACCUACACAAGUGGUUUUAGAAUGAACUCACAUUUUGAAAUGUUCUGUUAGGUUCUUAGUAGCAGUCGGCGAUCUUUUCUUCUUUUACUUCACAUAGCUUUUCGUCUCCUUGAUAGCUGGAAGUUCUCCAAAAGUAUGAAAAGCUGGAGGACUUUGUACCAUCCAUUCCGGUGUGGUUGGAUUCUGUUCAACAGCCCAAGGACUUGGAGCACAUCUUUUGUUAUUUCCACUGCUUGAAGUGAUUGUUACGACCACGAAGAAACGACGAAUCCCAACUACGGAUAUAUAAGAGCCAAAACUGCUAAGGGCAUUCCAUCCAGCGUAAGCAUCUGGAUAAUCUGGAAUGCGACGUGGCAUACCCGAAAGCCCUAAGAAAUGCAUGGGAAAGAAGGUCAGAUUAACCCCGAAAAAAGUGAUCCAAAAAUGGAUUUGCCCUAAAGUUUCAGGGUAUGUCCGACCAAAGAUUUUACCACCCAAUAGUGAAAUCCUGCAAAUAAAGCAAAAACGGCUCCCAUAGAAAGUACAUAAUGGAAAUGUGCAACCACAUAAUAAGUAUCAUGUAGAGCAAUGUCUAGCCCAGAAUUUGCCGGGACUAUUCCAGUGAGUCCUCCUAUAGUGAACAAAAAGAUGAACCCUACAGCAAAUAACAUGGGUGUUUUGUAUUGUAUCGAACCCCCCCACAUGGUAGCGAUCCAACUAAAGAUUUUGAUUCCAGUGGGGACAGCUAUGAUCAUGGUAGCUGCGGUGAAGUAGGCACGGGUAUCAACGUCUAAGCCCACAGUAAACAUAUGAUGAGCCCAAACAAGAAAUCCAAGAACACCUAUACUGAUCAUGGCAUAAACCAUGCCUAGAUACCCGAAGACCGGUUUUCCCGAAAAAGUCGAAACGAUAUGACUUAUGAUACCGGAUCCAGGCAGAAUGGGAAUAUACACCUCUGGAUGACCGAAAAACCAAAAGAGAUGCUGGUAUAAUAUGGGGUCUCCCCCUCCAGCGGGAUCAGAAAAGGUUGUAUUAAAGUUUCGAUCGGUUAAUAACAUGGUAAUUGCCCCCGCCAGUACCAGAAGUGAUAAUAAAAGUGGGAAUGCUGUCACUAGAACGGACCACACAAAUAGGGGUGAUCUAUGCAUAGUCAUUCCAGGUCCACGCAUGUUGGAGAUUGUUGUUAUAAAAUUGAUAGAACCUAAAAUGGAUGAAACACCAGAUAGAUGAAGACUAGAAAUUGCUGAAUCAACUGCUCCUCCAGAAUGGCUGGUAAUACCACUUAAGGGCGGAUAGACCGUCCACCCAGUGCCGCUACCCACUUCUACUAAGGCUGAGCUUAAUAGGAGCAAGAGACUUGGUGGCAACAACCAGAAUGAAAUAUUAUUUAAUCGUGGAAAUGCCAUGUCAGGUGCACCUAUCAGAAUCGGAACAGACCAAUUACCAGAUCCACCUAUCAUCGCCGGCAUAACCAUAAAAAAGAUCAUUAAAAAAGCGUGAGCCGUUAUUAAAACAUUAUAAAGUUGAUGAUUCCCACCAAGAAUUUGAUCGCCGGGAUGUGCUAAUUCCAUACGAAUCAAUACUGAGAAGCAUGUGCCCAUCACUCCAGCAAUGGCACCGAAGAUGAAAUAGAGAGUCCCUAUAUCCUUGUGGUUAGUGGAGAACAGCCAUCGAACCGGAUUUGUCAUAAAAUUGAGAUUCUUUCGUUUCCUUCCUUAUCAGAGAGGGGCCCCUUAGGGAGCGGGGCUUCUUUAUUGAAAAAGGGGGAGUGAGGGGGGAAGGAGCGAAGCGAAAGCGGGGGGGUCCGGAAAGCCCUUACUUUAUUGAUGGGACAUUUUGAUCCCCUUUUCCUCUCACCCCCCGUUCUGGUUCAGGAUUCAGGAAAGGGUCAACGCAAGGAUCUUACUUCGAAGCAAUCUCUGGAGUUUUCCCUUAUCCGAACGGGUCUUGCAAGAAAAUAGGAUUUCAUAUUGAGCUCCAAAUAUACGCUAUUGGGAUAGGAUGGCUCCUACUAUAUCUCCCCCCCCCCUAAGAACCGCACGUGCGAGUUCCCCUGCAUACGGCUCAAGUGGCGAAGGCACUUUCCUUCGCGCUUGAUAAGCGCUUCGCUGUAGCCAAGCUUACUGCUAGCCUAUCGGCUAGAGCCAAGCUUCGACCCCGACUGCUCGUCGCUUCUGGCCGCCUUAUUCCGUCACCCGAGAUCCAAGUCAGCACCGGAAAAAAGAUCUUGAUUCCUCGCGGCCGGGCCGGCUUGGAAGCAAGCUACUUGUCGCCUAUCUCACCCCCUUUCUUAUUAUUAGUAAGAUAGGGUGCCCCUUUCUCUAAUAAUAAGGUAAGCUUCUCUGAAUUCCGCUGGGUGAGCCUUCGCUUUUUGGAUCGUCUUCUGCCCAAUGCGGUACCCUCCCGUUUGUUUUUAGGUUCCCAUUGGGUUUACCUUGUUUACAGGUCGAUCCCAUGGCAGCAAGAAAAGGUGAUCUUGUGCUAUACUCCGGUGAUCUCUUUCCUACCGAGGCACGCAAACUCCCAUCGUGUCCCAGAUCAUAUUUCGUGAAUCGAAAGGGGAAGCCUCCUCAUCCAUCAGCUCCUCUCGUAGAUCAGUGCGGUUUUACGAAGCGUCUAAGCACAGUUCACUCGCGUUGAUCAAUCAAGAGCUUUGCCGCCACUCCUUAAGGUUACCUGUUGUAUCAUACACUUCUUGCAUUCUUUCCCACGCUUCAUACCCCCCUCUAGCUUCCGCACGGAGCGGUAAGGUAAAGGGCCAGGCAUGGUGGGGUCGGAGCAUCCUGUCAGCAAUCUUUUUGGCUUGACCAAGAAGUCUUAUGUCCUCCGAGUCGCGCGGCGUUUUAACCGAAAGAACUUCUUGCGCAAUUCAUGCCUUUCUGUUUUUAUGACCAGAAAUUUUUUCUUGAUUUCCAUUUCAAAUUGUUCUCUGGACUUUUUAUCAAUAUGAGGUGAUCGUAACACAGUAUAUAAGACUCGUGAUUCAGGCAAUCCAAUCUUUCGUGUGUAAGGCGGAAGAGCCUGGUUUUCCAAAAAUGGGUGAUCAAAAGAUCGAAUCACUAUGCGUAUCUUGGUGGUCGUUACUUUUGGUGGUCUUUCUUUUCUUUUUGGCUGACUCCUCCUACUCCUCCUUCUCUUAUCCUCUAUAUAGCUCGUCGUUGGUCCUUUUUUUUUACAUAACAUUCUCAGCCGCUCAAGAGUCAAGAGACUGACUAUCUCUCUCUUUACGCAAUUUCAAAAAUGAAGUAGCAGAGUGACUACUGAUUUUGGACGCGCUGAGUUAUUUAAGCAAAGCCUUUUUUGAUCUUGUUAUUCUAAAUUAUUUUAUUGUCUUUGCUCAACUUCGUCGAGCCUUGUACCCAGGUACACGGAACACUAACAGAAUCUCUGUUCAAACAAAAACGACAAGCAAACCCGAAAACUAAAGGGUCACCUUCUCUAGCAAGCAAGUAGACUUUUCUCUGAGCCCCAGGGUAGCAAAGCUAGCUCUUCGUAUCAUUGGCAUUGGGCAGGUGAACGGGAACCUGGCUACACAACUACUCUUACUCUAGCAGAGGAUCUAGUUCCACACCAAUCUGCUUAUCUUAUAUAAGAUAAAAUAGAUAAACUUAGCGUACCUACAACCGCUUGUGCCCUCUUGCUUUAGCUACUUACUCGGGAACUAGCUUCGCACCUCACCCCGGGAACUCAAGGGUGCGUAGCUUGCUUGUUGAAGGGGUGUUUCCGUUCCUCCGUUGUGGGAUAGUUUUUCCCUAGUUCGGUCCUAUAAGAAGAGUUCUCUAGAUAUCAACUCAUGGUACUCCCCGGGCCCCUAACAACAAAACUCAUAGGUUAGCUACAGCAGUUCUAGCAUCAGCUUCUCGAGGGCCUAAAAGAACCUCUUUCGUCAUUCGAAAGUGGCAUUUUAGCUCCUUUUCGUGAAACAGAUCGGAGAUCAGGUCUUAUCGAUUCAUACGAUUUUCAUACGUCUUUUUCCCACAUUAAUAAACCCCUUUUUUCUUUAACACGCUAGUGCCCAGAUCUUCUUCUUUUGUCUUUGAGCCUGCCUUUAGGUAGCGGCAUGGAAGUCCCCCUUCUUCUCAAGCAGGAAGCCCGCGUAUUCUUAUUCUAAUGUCCAUUGGAGCUUCUCUUUUCUUCCCGCUAUCUGGCUGUUCUAUUUAGACGUCUGUUCCCCAGUCUUACUUUCUCAUGCCCGCUUUCGCUUCACUCCUUUCUACUUCUGUUACAGUAGCUAUAGUUGUAAUGGCGGUUAUGCAGGUCCCCUUCUCAUUGAGUAGCCUAUACUCUGGAAUUGAAGUAGCGAAAUCGGCCUUAGCAUAGAACGUUUACCGCUUGCCUUACUAUUACUAAUAAUCGGGAAUCAGAACAGGCAACUAUGAGACUAAUUUAUCAUUGCCCCGAGCAAGUUACUGCGUACCUGAAGUGAGUGUGCCCAUCUUGGUCUCCUUUCUUUUUUCUUUGCAGCUGCCAUAAAAGUAAAGCCUUAGAUUCUAACAGGAAUCUCACCGCCUGCUCCCCUUAUAAUUAUAAGAUACUCGCUACUAAGGUUCUGAAAGAAGGCAGCUAAAUCAGCAAUAGAAGAGAACUCCAGAUCUAUGAAUAGCCAACAAAGAGCCUAGCUUUAUUACUGGAACUAAACAGCAAGCUGCUCCUACCUUACUUAUCGAGAAGGAGUACUUGGACUGAGUAGACUUCUUGUAGUUCUCUUUCCCCUAGCAACCUUUCCUGCUUUCCCGGUUGCAAGGUUUCGAGCUAACUACAGGAUUUGCUUCCUAGCUAAUAAUACUAAUUAGUAGUAUUGAACUUCGAACUAAAGAUUUUUUUUAGUUAACGGGCAGGUAAGGGCAAUGAAGGAAGCCGUUAGGCUUGAGACGAAACGGAUUCUAUGGAUUGAGUCUGGCAGUGAUGUUAGUUAAGUCCACUACCUGGGGCUUGUCUUGCUUGAGAACCCGUUUGGAACAAUCUGGAUUUUCCCCUUGUGAGUCACUCGAAUUCUUCUAUUUAUCAUUCUUUCAUGAAUAGAAAGAGAAAGAUCUCCGCUUCGUCUUUCUUCCAAGAAAAGAUCCCAAGCCAUUGAUAUUGGUCAUGCGUGGGCUUUCACUCAAUCUUUCACUAUGAUAUGAAAGGCAAGCAGGAAUUUCACCACUAAUGGGCCAGCGCUUGGCGCUUACUCUAGCCCGUGUUUCUAGGAUACACCUAUUAAUUAUAUAUAAUAGUUUCCCCGAUAUUCGUGGCUUUCCCCUUACUUAUUACUUAUAAGUAGAUCGGUUGAGAUAAGUAGAUUGGUUGAGGCCCGACCCUUUCCUUUGGGGUUGCCGACCUUGAUGCCAUAGUGUUUAGGGGGCUGAGCGGGAAACCAACACGUUGUGGAAACGGAAUAGAGCUUUUCCCUUGAUGGAUGUUAUCCAAUAAAAGCACACAAUCAGUGAGAUGAGCCUGCCAGCUCAGCCUUGGCCCUAUGCCUUUUGGCCAGCUUGACUUCUGACCGGUCGAUCCCGCCCCCUCUUGCAACGAUUCGGCGCCUCCACUUGAUGCUUGACGCCCACGCUUCGUUCAGGCAGCGCUCCUCGGAUAUGUCUUGCCAAUCGCCAGAGCGGUGCCACUUCCAGGAUUUGGUGCGGCCAGCUCGGGAACCUUCCCUGGAGUGAAAGGGUACAUGGAUCGGUUCCUCCACCAGAGGUCAGCUGAAGCGGAUUGGUCAAAAAGAAAUUUUCUGGCUUUGCCUCAUACCCGGUAUAACUACCAUUUUUACUUUGAUAUGCUUCUUACUUCCUUACAAAGUUGCAAGGAUCCCUUCUUGCAUUCCCUCCUUAUUCAAAAGGAAUUUAUUCGAAUAUCUAGUUGAUAAAUGUUCAUGAGCACGGGGUUGCCUUGCCUGAGACCUCUACUACUGCCGUGGAGGGUAAUUGAUAACAAUGGAAUAUUUUAGGUUAGUAAUGCAGACCCUUAUCCAUUCGAUCCACUUCUGAGGGAAUCACAUAGCCAGCAUGGCAGCUUCCCGGAAUCCCCAGUCAACACUGUCGAACGCUUUCCUCAGGUAAAUUUGCACACACAUCCUGGCUUUCCCUUGCGGAAGGUGGAAUUUUUUUAGCAUAUCGUGACAAAGCAAGAUGUUAUCCUGGAUGCAUCGCCUUUGUUGUUUAUACCUAGCAGGAGCAGCAAAGACGAAGGCUGAAGCAUCACUAGAGGUAUCUAUUGAGCUUUCUCCUCUUUUUGCAUUAGCCCAGUCACUUCCUUUAUGGAAUGGGUUCACCAGCACGCGGAGGUAAGUAGUUUACUGACUCAGUUCUUUUACUAAAAAAGGAGAAGGGAAGGGGGUGCUAUGAAUAGAAAUUUUGAAUUGCAUAUGCUCUCGAUCGACCUAGGCCUAAAAGGAAUCCGGCUACUCAAUCGCCAGAGAUAGAAAUAAAAGAUCUAAGCUUGCUUUAAUCAUUCGAAAGCGAUGCUCAUUCCAGGGUUUCAAGGCUUGGAAAUAGAUCUUAUUUAAGACAAAAAGAAGUGAGCAUAACCAUCUUCAAGCUCCACCCCGGGAUUUUAGGUGUGAACUCACUUUAGGGAAAUGAGGCUUAUAACCAAUCGAUUCUUCACCCACGUAAGCUCGCCCUGUCACCCUCGCUCUGGUUCGAGAAUCAUGUCACCCUCGCUUUCCGCUUCUGGAAGAUCAAUGACUAAUAGAUAAAGGGCUGUGGAACUAUAGACAAUAGGCGGUAACCUCUCUUGAUCCGCGAGUAGAGCACUUGAACUACUCAGAAAGAGCUGGUUGGCUCAAUUCAAAUAGAAAGAAAAAUAGACACCCAUCUUCUUGGCGAGCUAAUCAGGAGACAUACAAAACCAGCAAUCCAAGUUUUGAAGGGAGGCGGCUGCCUGCAGUCACUAAAGGAAGGGGCUUGGUGGUCUUAUUUUAUUAUCUAUAAAAGAUAGCAUCUCUUCCUGCUGUUCGAAUCAAAACGAUUAGGGACAACCGCUCGCUUCGAGGCAGGUUAAAAAGCAUAGGCCAUAGCUUCUACCUCUCCUGGAUCAUUAUGCUCAUCUGGAAGCGGUUUUUGCUAGGAUGAAUGCUACUUCUAUGUAUUUCCCAUCGCAUUUUCAUAAGGUUUCAUAUCCUUCUUUUUCAAUCUUUUAAUGAUGCUUGCCAAUUCUAAUCCAGGGGAGCACUUAGAUCGCAGAUUUUCGCAAAACGACCUCGCGUAGCCAGUUCAGGUAUAAAUUUGAAUAGGUUUACCAAAAGUUUUCCCUAUUUUGAGAAGAACUUCACUGUCGAAGUACUCAAUAGGGAGCUCAGGUAAACGGAUCCAAAGCGCAGUUUUAGUGACCGUUGCCAAGGAAGGCCUAAAAUCAGGGUGCUUCGAAAAGUGAGAUAAUGGUUUGCUAUCAUCCAAGGUCCCCCAGUAAGAGCUCUUUUGUAAUCCUCCCCAUCAGUUAAGGAUGGUCGUGGCCCAGGUCAAUGAAGUCAACUCCCCACUUGGUCUCCACAUUUUAAAAAUUUUCUCAUGGAUAAAUUUGUACUAAACUUUCUUACCCAGAACCUUAACUAUAAGAAAGAGACUUCCUCCAUGGUUGAAAAAUUCUCCUUUUCUUUUAGUUUCCCCAUUACCAUUAAUGUUGAUCACAAGGGGACAAUUCGAAGGGCCCUGGUUAUGGAUUUGCUGCUGCUGCUCAUCUUCUUCCUACUCGUCUGAUUUAAAGCCUUCAGACUCCGGUUCCGAGAUCUCAAGAUAGUAUGAGCCCUUGUGCUGUACCUGCAUGAGAACGAACAUCACGAAAGGACAGUGGUUGAUUACCGUCUUCCUUUGAUCGCUUCCAUGGUCCGGGACUCUUCCCAAGGUCCGGAGGUAGCUCACAAAGGUCGCCAUUAACUGUUUCAGUCGUCACAGAGGUCGCCAUUCCUUAGCCCCUCAUUGGUUGUUAGGCAUUUGUCACUUCUUCUAUUUCAUUUCCAUAGCGAUUCACUCAACAUAGAAAAGCAACUAGAGCAGAGCUCGUAUCCGGCCUAAAGCUCUUGAACUAUAGGAGGGGUCUAGCAUACUGAAACAUAAAUGUAGCUAUAAAGCCUUUUUGAGCAUCUUCCUUGCGAUCUCCUUAUCCUAUAUCAGAACACUUUUUCACUUUUUUUUGCUAUCACAAUAAAUUGCCAUAGAUCGAAAGUGAGUCCAGGCUUAGUGCUUCCGCCUAUCCGGCAGCCGUUACCAGCUGUUCACCACUCCUCCCUUCUAUGCUCCGUGGGUCUUUUGUUACCUAAUUCCCUUAAACACGGAAUUGCUCCUAGUCUUUACCCAAGAGAUGUCCCUGAGACUCAAUAAGAAAAUUGUCUCUUUGCUUAGCUUAAGCACAAGAUUCGACAGUUGUGAUUCCGUCUUGGAUUGAGCUUUCUCACUCUUUCUAUGCCUCUUCCUGAAGUGAACGAAUACAUCUCUUUCUGACGUGAAUGAACGCGAUUCUCUAAUAAGACCCAAUCUUAUUGAGUCAAGUAGAAGAUUCUUGUAGAAAUUUUUUUUGAUUGACUUACUCCAACAUCAAGGUGGAUUUAGCUUGGAUUAAUAGAGAUUAAUAGAACAGACGGGAACUAAACAGAUAGGAAUGCCCGACACAAUGCGGCUACUAGAAAAACGUAUAUUAGAUACACCAUUUCUUUGUCACGUGCAUAGCCCUGCUCCUUGUCUUUGAAAGUCCGUAGCAAUGGACACUAUAUAAUUCCUUGUCGCUCUCGUACGCACCAACCCUUGCCUUGUCUCUCGAACCCUUGCUUCUCUCUUGUGCUCCCUAGAGCUAAGUAAGCAAUUCUCUCUCCUCUCUAGCCGUGGCCGCUAGGAAUUGCUUUCGCUCUUCUCUCUCUGGGGUGCUGGUGGUCGAUAGUUGUAUGUAAUGUUGAGGAAAGAGAUUCGGAUGAAAGAGGUACGACGGGAUAUUCCUCCCCGGUUCGGAACUAAACGUUGAGCGGCGGAUCAAGUAAAAGCUGGCAAUCCUCCACCUAACAACUCCUCCUUUACAGUAUCAGCUGUUAAUAAGCUCUAAUAGACAACCAACCCCAUCUAUUCUUGAUAAACCGGGGCACCUUUCCUAUGUGUCAGUGCCAUUUUUCUCUAAGGCUUAAAGUGAAUCUGUCAUAGCUUGUUGCCAGCAGAGCUGGCCCACGGCUUCCGAAAAGGUUUGAGGUUCCCGCAUGAACACUGGCAAGAAAGGCACGAUCUUUGGGAGAAAACGAGUUAUAGGAUCCAUAGGAUUUUUCAUGCGAGAAGACCUACGUACCUCAGUAGAGGGUAGAUAGGAUCUGGAGACAAGGAAGAUGAUGUAGAGGUAGUAGGUUGGCCAGCCUGAUCCAUCUCAGAUGCCUUGCACUUUUUUAGCGCCUAGUGUAAACCGGAGUGGCAGGUCGGCUAGAAGGAGACGGCUCCUCAGUGGGACCAGAUGAAGAAAGCUCCCCUUACUAGUAAAGGGGGUCCGAGGUUCAGGAUAUGAAAUAAAGCAACUUGACGUAACAGAAAAAAGCGUAAACCGAGUUGAAUCAUAAAAUCAAGUUUCAUCCCCAACUGAGGAAAUGUAAUUGUUAAGGUCGGUAACCUGUGGCUACCUCAGGACUAUCUGACUACACUACUUGCGUUAAGGCGCUGAAGCCGGAGUUUUCUUGGUAGGGGUUAGCUUAUUCCCAGACGAACCAGCCCAGUAAGAGAGAUUCCCCCAGACACCAAUACCUGCGGGAACUAGUAGCCACACUACGGCGUAUGAGAAAUUCCCUGACGGCUUCCCUUAACCGUAGGCCACAGUUGCUUCCUUCGCUCUUGAAUCUAAAACCAUAUCUGGUUUCGCCUCCCCUUGGAGCGACCCUUCCGAAACAGCAUUCUAGCAACUUCGUUUUCAUCCAGCGUUCUCACCAACCAGUGAGCCGUCACAGAGUCUCCCGCUAACUCAUGCCAAACCCUUAUGAAGGUAUCCGACUUUUUCCAAUUCUUUGUGACUUCAUCAGUCUAGCAAUAGCAGCAUGCCAGUAUUUUGCCCUAACUACGAAGCUUGAGUCAUGUCUUCGCCCGUGAACGCAACAGGACGCGGUCGUCUAACUCGACUUCCGCAGCGAGUCUCAUUGCAGCUCUCUCCUGCAGUAGUGAAUUUUUUUUUAUUUUACUUCAAAGAUUUUUUUUCUCACAAGAUGCUUGUUUUGCAGAGGGGUGAAAGUUUUGAAGAAAUAGAAGAAGAAAGAAAGAGUAGUAGCCAUGAUCGAUUUCCUCUGCGCAGGAGCUUGGGAUUUGAGAGUAAGCAUGACUCUGAGAAGAUCUCUGAUUGUGAUCAAUUGGGUCUCACUCAAAUCUUGGUAAUAACGAAUGACUUGCUUGAUUUCUCUGCAUCGGCUCGUGAAAUCUUGGAUGAUCUUAUCAAGUUCAAUUGAACUAAGAAUGUCGAUUGCUCUGUCGUAAUAGUUUGUGGUCACUCCAAAGCUUCCAUGGCGGAAUCAGUACCCCCCUCCACUGAACUACGGAUGCCUGUACGCAACCCCAUGAAGCAACCGAAGAUCCAUUGAUCGCUUUUUCGACACCCGUAAUUUUCCUGUAAAAGAAAGAAAAUCCCGGAAACUCAGAUUCUUCAUUGUUGAAAAAUCUUAUAAAAAUAAGUAAUUUAGGAAUUUUCAUUACUGGGAACACGUCGCUAGCCUAAGGCGGGCUUCGCUAUCCUCCCGAAGCUGGUAUUUUCCAAUGUAAUGGUUUUUGACCACUCACUUAUAUGAGUACAAGGGGCUUGACUAUAUUUUUUUUACUUUAUGUAAUUAAGUUUAGCUGGAGGGUCCAUCUAGCCACCCUAAUUAACCCGGUUGAGGAUAACACAUUAUUAAAUCCGAAUGAUGAUUUCAUAAUCAAUCAUAGAGGUGUGAAAUGGCGUCUUUUCAGAAGUCAGAUAGCCCUUGAAGGUGUUAGCGCACACCCUUUUUCUAUCAUAUAAAUUUAGCUCCGAAGGCAACCCGUCGCGUCCUCGUCACGGCGUUAGCAGCCAUUGACGAUUAUUGAAGACUAAGCUAGUUGGCCUAGAAUGGAGCGCAUACUACUUCUUUGAAAUCGCGAACAUCUUACUCUUACCUUUCUUCUUAGUCUGAUCCGGGAGUGUUGGACAUGAGGUACAAUGAAAUCGACAAUCUUGUGGUUCCUCAAGGUAAACAAUUAAAAUAUUAUUCAAUUACAUUAUUUUAAUUCAUUUGAUUAGGGAAGGCCAAAAAGGUCCAAAAUAAUAAUAAUAAUAAUAAAGAAACAAAUAAUUUGUAUUAUUUAAAAAACAGAAUGUAAUAAAGAUUUGAUUCCAGUUCUUUAAUCUUUAAAGCGAUUGAAAAACAAUGUUGGACUUUUCCCAAAGCAUAAAAUACGAAUUGAAUGCCAAUUAACUUAAUCAUUCAUUUCGUUUAGCUCUAAAUUUAGACAAUGAAUUUUUAUAUUAUUUCAAAAACAGGACGUAAUAGAAUUUUUUUUAAAAACAGAUUGUAAUAAAGAUUUUAUUCCAAUUCUUUAAUCUUUACUGCGAUUGAAAAACGAUACUACUUCCCAAAGCAUAAAAUACGAAUUGACUCCCAAUUAAAUUAAUCAUUUAUUUUGUUUAGGUCUAAAUUUUAGAGGAAUGAAUUUUGAUUCUCUUCAAUCUUUUCUUAAUUAUUAUUAAUAAACAGGUUACAGAGGUUUGAGGAAGCUGAAAAGCCUUGAUCUAUCGGGAGUUGAAAUUAGAGAUGGAAGCAAGUUGUUACAGUCAAUGGGAUCAUUCCCAUCCCUCAACACUCUUUACCUGAAGGAUAAUAAUUUUACCGAUAUAGCGACAACUACUACUCAAGGUAAGUAAAAGGUACAGAUGUGGCCAAAUUUAUAAAUAAAUUGUUAAUUAAUUAAUUUUUCCAUAUUAUUAAUUAAGCUAAAUUUGCUAAAUAUAAACAAACAGAGUUGGACAAUUUCACCAACAUGGAAUAUUUGAGAUUGGACUUUUCCUCUCUCCAUAUAAGCCUUCUGCAAAGCAUUGCAUCAUUAUUCCCUUCGUUAAAAAAUCUGUCGAUGUCUUUCUGUGAAGUCAAUGGUGUCGUACGCGGUCAAGGUAAAAGAAAAGUGUUGAUUGUGAACUCACUCACUGGUGUCCUAUGUGUUCAACAUUUUUAUUUAUUUAUUUUAUUGUUUAAUGUUUCUGCUAGGUUUUCCUUAUUUCAAGAGUUUGGAACAUUUUGACAUGGAUGACACGCCCAUUGCACUCAACACCAGUUUUCUUCAAAUCAUUGGUGUAUCGAUGCCUUCUCUUAAGUACUUAUCACUGUCAGAUUCUACUCUUGGCACUAACAGCAGCAGGAUUCUUGAUCAAGGUUAAUCAGAUGCUCCCACCCUCCCUUCUUAAUCUAUAAUAUUAAUUUUCAAUUAAAUAUUUAAUUACACAAACGAAUCACUUAUUAUAAAAGAAUAAUACUCAUUCAUUAAUUUUUAUAUUGUAUUAAUAAUUGAUGAAUUUAAUAAAUUUUUAGGCCUCUGUUCGUUGAUGCAUCUGCAAGAGUUGUACAUUUAUAAUAAUGAUUUGAGAGGCAGCUUGCCUUGGUGCUUGGCAAAUAUGACAUCCCUCCGAAUAUUAGAUGUUUCUUCCAAUCAACUUACUGGAAGCAUCUCCUCAUCUCCCCUCGUUCAUUUGACAUCCAUUGAAGAGUUGUAUCUUUCAAACAAUCACUUCCAGAUCCCAAUUUCACUUGAACCACUUUUCAAUCAUUCAAGACUCAAGAUUUUUUAUGCUGACAACAACGAACUAAAUGCAGAAAUAACUCAGUCACAUUCUUUGACCGCCCCAAACUUCCAAUUAUCACAUCUCUCAUUGUCUUCCGGUUAUGAAGAUGGCGUCACAUUCCCCAAAUUCCUUGACCAUCAACAUGACCUGGAGUAUGUUGAUCUCUCACACAUAAAGAUGAAUGGAGAAUUUCCAACUUGGUUGUUGGAAAACAACACAAAGUUGAGACAACUUUCUCUCGUCAAUGAUUCUCUUGCAGGACCUUUUCGGUUGCCAAUUCAUUCACACAAAUGGUUAAGAAUGUUGGAUAUAUCCAACAACAACUUCCGAGGCCACAUUCCAGUAGAAAUUGGAGAUGUUUUACCAAGUUUAUACGUUUUCAACAAUUCCAUGAAUGCUUUAGAUGGUAGCAUUCCCUCUUCAUUUGGUAAUAUGAAAUUCCUCCAAAUUCUGGACUUAUCCAACAAUCACUUGACUGGUGAAAUCCCCGAGCACUUGGCCGUCGGUUGCGUCAACUUGAAGUCUAUUGCAUUGUCAAAUAACAACCUACAAGGUCACAUGUUCUCUAGAAAUUUUAACUUGACAAACUUGAAAUGGUUACAAUUGGAGGGCAAUCGCUUCGUAGGUGAGAUCCCACAAAGUUUGUCUAAAUGCUCCUCACUAGAAGGAUUGUAUCUUAAUAAUAAUAGUCUUUCGGGUAAGAUUCCACGAUGGUUGGGUAAUCUCACAUGGUUACAACAUAUUAUAAUGCCCAAUAAUCAUCUUGAAGGCCCUAUUCCAGUGGAGUUUUGUCAGCUUGAUUGGCUUCAGAUUUUGGACAUUUCAGACAACAACAUAUCUGGAAGUUUACCAUCUUGUUUCCAUCCUCUCUAUAUCAAACAAGUUCAUCUUUCAAAAAAUAUGUUACAUGGACAGCUAAAAAGAGGUACAUUCUUUAAUUGCUCUUCCCUUGUGACAUUAGAUCUUAGCUAUAACCGCUUGAAUGGCAGCAUUCCAGAUUGGGUUGAUGGGCUUUCUCAGUUAAGCCACCUUAUCUUAGGUCACAAUAAUCUUAAAGGUGAAGUGCCAGUUCAAUUGUGCGAAUUGAACCAACUACAAUUGUUAGAUCUUUCUAAUAAUAAUCUUCACGGUCCUAUUCCUCCUUGCUUUGAUAACACCACACUUCAUGAAAGUUACAGCAAUAGUUCUAGUCUUGAUGAGCAAUUUGAAAUAUCUUUUUCCAUCAACGGCCCUCAGGGAGGUGUAGAAAAGCAAAUCCGUGAAAAUUUUGAGUUCACAACAAAGAACAUUGCGUACAUUUACCAAGGAAAAGUGCUUAGUCUCCUAUCAGGACUUGAUCUUUCUUGCAACAAGCUAAUUGGUCAUAUUCCCCCUCAAAUUGGAAAUUUGACAAGGAUUCAAACAUUGAAUCUAUCACACAACAACUUGACAGGAUUGAUCCCAUCAACAUUUUCAAACUUGAAGCAAAUCGAAAGUUUGGAUCUUUCCUACAACAAAUUGAAUGGGAAAAUCCCUCAUCAACUUGUGGAGUUAAAGGAAUUAGCUGUUUUCAGUGUGGCAUACAAUAACUUAUCAGGCGAAAUUCCAGAAUGGAAAGCACAAUUUGCAACCUUCAACGAGAAUAGUUAUGAGGGAAAUACUUUUCUUUGUGGACUGCCAUUGCCCAUUUGCAGAUCACGAGCAACUAUGUCGGAGGCGUCAAUCGGCAAUGAACGAGAUGAUAAUUUAAUUGACACGGACAGUUUCUUUAUCACAUUUACAACAUCGUACGUAAUAGUGAUAUUUGGAAUUGUUAUUGUUUUAUAUGUAAAUUCUUAUUGGCGACGUAGAUGGUUUUACUUUGUUGAAAUGUGGAUAACUUCAUGUUAUUAUUUUGUUGUAGACAAUCUUAUUCCAACAAGAUUUUGUCAUUGAAAUUAAUUAGUAGCUUAAUUACGAUUCUUUAAGUACUAAUCAAGUUUGGUUAGGAAAUAAAUUUAUUUUUAUUUUUUAUUAAAAUUGUAGUAGUAUUUAGCGUUAUAUAGCUUCCAACUUCCAAGCACUUCACAUUUGUCUCCACACUUCCAAACCCAUAUCUAUCCACCAUAACUUAUACUUCCCUAUACUGUGCAGCAUACUUAAAUAAGAGAACCAUCUCCAAUUUUAAAAGCAGCCACUCUAUAACAUUCAUUUAGAAACUAUAUUCAGAAUAGUUUUAUAAUCAUACACAAGAAAUGAAACACCUAGAUGCACUUGAUCGCCUAUUUUACUUUAAAAAAUAAUGAUUAUGGUGCUAUCAUCAUCUUCUUCGCUAGCAACAUUAACACCAAAUCCAGCGAUGGACCCAGACAUUUUAUCAAGAAAGGUAUAUAUAUAAUAAAGUUGAAGCUUGACAAAAAAUUUAGGAAGAUUAAUGCCUCGCCACAACAAGGGGCAGCACAACAUCAAAGUAGAGAUGAAGCAAUAUUCUCAAAGCUAAAACUCUCAAAUCCACCCACCAGAAUUUCAUAUCUCCUCAACAAUUUUAAGAACUAAAGAUAAUUAGGAUCUAACAUUAGUUUUUUAUAUAUUAGUUUCAUAAUUUACAAAUCAAUGAAGAUGAAGAUUAUGCUAAUGAAUUCAAAUUAUACCAUACAUUCUCGAGAUGUUACCAAAAAUUUCUAAGUCAAUCCCACAUAUUUCAUAAUUUUAAGACUAGAAAAUUUCAUUAGUUAGAAGUUUCAUUACCUUCAAGUGGAAGAUGAAGAACAUUAUACAAUUGAUUCAGAUUAUAUCAUACACACUCCAAAUGCAACUAGAAAUUAACAAGUUCAUGCGCACAGAUUUCAUAACAUUAUGAAUGGAAAGUUUCACAAAGAGAAAUUCUAAAUUCAAUCUCUUGCAUCGAGGUAGUUUGAUUGAUUUGAGUUACUUUCUGAUCAAGCUAUUAAUAUAACAUUCAAGUCAGGGAGAAAGUAAAUUAAAACUGGGAAGAAAUAACAGUAAAAAUUUGUUGCUAAACAUGAUGUGUAUUUUUUUUUUAAGGCAAUUUGGAAACACAGUUGUUACUACAGAUAUUCUCCUCAACUUAGAGAUAAAUACAAAUAUUAAAAUGCAUAUGAUCGCACAUAGUACUUGGAGCUUAGUAAGAUUUCAUUAAGAGAAGCAAUCAAACCACUUAUCAAUUGUUGCAAUCGUUCUAUAAGCUAAAAUAGCAAUAUAAUACAAGAAAAAGAACAUAUAGAUACUUGGCAAGAGUUCAUUAAGAAGUCGCAUCACAUUCGGGUGAGGAGUUUGCUUCUGAUAUCUUGCUAGCUGGGGCUUUUUCUUGUCUUUCUACGUAUGCCGAGGGAAACCAACCAGCUUGGCCCUUGCAUUCACCUUCCGACCAUCCAAUAGGAGCCACCUUGAGAAGUUAUAACUAAAACGGUGAAUUAAACAAAAGUUGACCGUUCAAAGACCUAAGGGGAAAACUAAUUCUUUUACGUAGGAGGAGUGAAUUAGUUGUGAUCACUGAAAUAACAGCUUAACUAUGGAAGCAUAACAAGAUAUAAAUUCACACGUCUAUAAGGGUAAACUGGGUGGUUUAGAACUGAGCUAGCAACCCUACUAUAUUCUGAUUUGCACUUCAAUGUAAAAGGGAAUAUAUGGUAGGAAGAAAGAAAACCAACCAUCAUUUGUUAACUCAUUGCUUUUCAAUCAAAAUUUUAAGAACCAAAUGCCAUGUGCUUUGAACAUCAAAUAAGUAUAAGCAUUAGUUCUAAAUUCCACAUAUCAUAAGUUAGAAGGAUAAGUUAAUAGCAUAGUAGAAAAAUCUGUGUUGUUAUUUAGAGGGGAAAGUACCUGGCGAACCACAACAUAAUCAUCAAUUGAAAGACUUAGCUCUCCAUUUGCUUGUGCAUCAAAUGGAUGCAUAACCUGCAAGAUAAUGGGAUAAAUAGAACUUAAUCUUAAAAAAAGCAUAACAAAAGCAGCAACAGUACCAGCAACGUUCAUUGUAACCACUAUGAUCAUGGCCAACAAAGAUAUAUUAGAAACAAAAUUCCAUUUUUACUAUGAUAUCAUGACGAUUGGGUUACCAAGAGCUAUCAAAGUCCAAUAAGUUCUGUAUAACUUUAUGUAGUUAUUCAAAUUAUGUAUCAGAUUUUAAAUCUGAAAUUUUGACUGCUCUCCACAAAACAUGGCCUAUGCACAAGAAAUUCAUAGAUAAUGAGGAUUGCAAGUGUCUGACAUCUUUUGAGUGAUGGAUUUAACAUGAGAGCUUAUGGUCAGUCAAUUUCCUCUGCCUAGCAAUAUAAGCUUUCUCGGCCAAAUUUAUCAUCAAAUACAUAGAUUGCCCCAAGUCAAAUCCAUAUAAACAUAGUUUUUCUAGGUAAACCAAGCAAGGAGAAUCAUAAUUCAGACAUAAUCAUAAAAAGGCCCAUCUAACUUAAGAGAAAAUCUCAAAAAGAGGGAUGUUGAGCUAUCAGUCUUGUAUCCAUAAGGAAUGUCAAGACUUUACAUCACCUGCUACAUCGUGAGUGGCUACACAACUUUCAGUGGUUUGUCUUUCUUUGGCAUGCCUAACUCAGCUUUGAUGUUGCUGAGAUAUUGAUAGUAGAGACACAUGAGACUUCUAGCUCAUGCAUUCUAUCUAGCUCAUCCGACAGCUAUCUCUUUUUUAAUUCAUUAGUGUUUGCUAAGCCACAUGCUUAAAAGUCCUGUUGUUCUAAACAAAGUUUCCUAAGAAUGACUUCCUCAGCACCACAUUUGGACAUUUUUAGAGCAAUUUUAUUUGGGGGAAAAGAAUUUUCAAGGUGUUAACUAAUAAAUUUUAAAAAAUAAUUACAAUUUGUCCUACGAUUAUAUGACAAUUUAUCUGGGAUGAAAGGAUAUAGACAGACAUCUUCCACUUUCAAGACUAAUCACUACUUCCGUAGAUGUUUUGCAAUAAUACAAAUACUUGACCAGAUGGUAGUGAUGGUAGAAAAAAAUUUUAUUGCUCCAAAAUUAAAAUAAGAAUGCAAUGUGUUAAGCAAAAGACUAUGCAACAUCAAAUUAAUUGAUAAGUUUGUAAUUCAGUAAAUUAACAACUUUCAUGGUAAAAUACAACAAAUUUCUUUUCAAAAAAAAAAAAUCUUAAAAGACAGCAUUCAAUUUUGUGCGCAUCUUAUUUCUUAAGAUUUUCUAGGAGGGCAAUAGAGGGACUUUCACCUAUGCAAGAGAGCAGAAGCCUUACUUUCGCUAUAAAGUAGACGUCAUUCUGAUUAAUAUGCGUUUGCAAAUCAGCUCCAUUUGAAUCAGUAUUCUGAUAGACACAUGAGGCAUUUACAUCCAUUUCCAAAGUCACAUGUUGCGAGGAGGACUCAUUUGAUUGCUCCUCUAGGAUCAUCUAAUUCAAGUAGCAAGGGUUGGAAGAGAAUAAAAAGUCACAAUUAUUCUUUUGCAUAAGUGAGACGAAAAUGAUAUAUGCAAUAUUAUCAGCAGUAAACAAGAAGAGAACACUCCAAGGAAUAGAUAGAUGCGGACAAGCAAGUUAAAAUGCACAGUUCCAAACCUCCGCAUACAACUUCUCUGAAAUAGCAAUAACGUGUUGAUGAUAUGUUUUCUCGGCAUCUACCUGCAAAGGCCCGAGACCAGGAAAACAACAAUAAAACCACUAGCUAAAGGAGAAAGUAAAGAAAGAAAUACACUUGACAUAAAUCUUGACAAGAAGCACAAUUUAAGACAUAACAAACCCCAAUCAUAUUGUUUAGAACUACCAUUCGUUAUUUCGUUAUUGUAGCAUUUCGAACAAGUGUUGACUUAAUUCAACAUUGUUGGAAAGAUAGGCUUUUAGAAGCGGAAGAAAGCCACUCAAACCAAAGUGAUUCUUAGGAUGAGUUUUAAUCACUCCCCUGAUUUAUUUGGGUUGCAGUAAAACUAAGCGAGCAACUGUUUGACUUUCAAGCAACAUCUAAAUCAGCUAUUAAAAUUCAAAUAAAAUUAUAAUUGAAUAAUAACUGGCCAUCUUGCAUCAAAAAUUAAGUUUAAUUUGUGAUUUUUUUUCUAUAGACAUGUUAGUUCCUGCUAUUGAAAUGUUAAAAGCAUUGAAAAAUUAUUCAAUAAAUUAUGCAAACAUUAAAAUAGAGGACAUAUUAAAAAGUUUCUAAUUACAAUGUUAAGAUUUCCUAUAUUUUAGCAUUUGCAUAUUUUAAUUUAUUUAAAAGCUACGUCGAUCAACUUUGGGAGUGAAGAUUUUAGCUUCUACGAGACUUGAUUGGAAUAUGCAUAAGGAAGAGUGUUAAAAUAUGAUGCAUCCAACGAAAGACAAACCACGUGUAGUCUUUUAAUUAAGCCAAAGUAGCAGCUCAAACAAAUGACACUUGGACCAACAUGCAAUCAUGAAGUGGCCGGAAAAAGGACAAAUGCAACUUUGGCUUAAAUAAAAAAUAACAUGUGACUUGACUUUUGCCGGACAUGCAUCAUGUUAUUACAAGACAACAGAAAUCAGUAUGAUAGUACUAAAAGUUGACAAUAACAUGAAGAUAAGAGGCAGAAUGUCAACACAUGCAUAGGCACACACAAGAAAGUAUUAACUUAUAUACCAUAGCAAAAAGUCUUUGAUAUGCAUCUGUUGCUGCAGUGAUUCAACUGACAGCAUGGCAGCUGUUCCUUCUCUACCAAGAGCCAUUAUUGUAGAUUUAAGCUCGGUCAAUCUUGCUUCUGCAUUUCGAAGCUUCACAGCACUCUCUGCUGAUAUAUCAGAUUCCUUAAUCUUUGAUCGGCGCCUAAAUACUUCAGCUGCCUGGUGAAAAUAUUCAAUAUAAAUCUAACAUAAUUCUAAUCUUGCCUUAUACAUGCAUAUGUUAACUCAAAGCUUACCUGGGCUUCAACUUCAUGUCGAAGCUUGUCAUAACGAUGAGUCAGGUGUCGAGCAUCUUCCAAAGGUGCUCCGUUGAUUAACGCCCGUAGUGGCUCAGAUACCUACAUGUCCAAAAACCUGUAACAUAGUUAGAAAAAUGAAAAGAAAGAGCGAAACCUCAAUUAAAAAGUUCCUCCAACAUAAUCAUGGAAUUUGGGCCUACUUCAAGGAUAUAUAUAAGGAUAAUUUAUGCAAUUUUGGGUCUUAGGAUGAUUCAUAUUAGGUUAGUGUUCUUCUCUUCUGUAUUUAAGGUUAAAAUAGAAAUAAACCUAUGAAAAUAUCUAAAUUAGGGCUGUAAGACUUCCACAUGCAUCCUUCAGUCUCAUGGAUUUGAUUUUACUAUAGAUGCAAGUGUCUUUAUUGAAAAUGCUUGGAGUCAAUUGAGAGAACUCACGGCCAAUAACUUGUCACACGCUAGUCUUUGCUAGUGAUGUAAGAAGUCACAAGGUCUCUUCAGCAUUUGAACCAAUAAAAUUAUUAAGUCAUGGAUGUCACUAGCAAUGAUUUUAAUAUAAAACAUUAAAUAUUUCAGAGUUGUAACUUUAAAAUGGAUUCUUUUAUUCAAUAUCUUAGAACUAAGUUUCCUUAUGAGAAGAUAAUAGUUUCAGUAGUAAUUUACAUAUAAUUUUCUAUAUUUGAAUUAUUUUCUAGUUAGGGAUGAACUAACCUGAUCACGAAGAAUCCCAAGCAAAGUUUCCCUCUCAUUUUCCAUCAAAUCAUGUGAAGUGCCAAAUUGAAGAGCAGCUCUUGCAACGCAAGAAUUGUCACUUUGAUUCUCCGCUCCAUACUUGCAACAAUCUUCGGCCAACUUUCUCGCUACAAUAUUUGAAUACAAAAAUAUUGUACACAAGAACUAGUCAAGAAAAUUAAAAAAAAAAUCAAAUAUUAAAACGAGAGCAAGAGCAAACAAACAACCUAUUUCCAUUUGUUUCAAGUUUACUGCAACAAACACUUCAACGCCACGGACAACAUUCCAUUUGUUUUAUUCUUCUUAUACUUUACGCUUGCAUCAGCCUCAAUCACUUCUUAAUCGCUUGCUUUAACUGCAUCGCUCUCUCUGUGCUCUUCUAUAUAUGUAACGGUUAUGCGGUUGUAGUUCACGGCUGAGGCUACGUGUGGGUUUGACGUGGCAGUUACGUUACAAGGGGAUAAAUAAGAUUGGUUACAACAAACCCACUAAUUUUAUAAAAUUCGAGUAAUAUAGAAUAAAAUAAAAAAAUAAAUACAAAAUUGGCUUUUAUUUUGUAUGGUUGACUGUAUUUUGUGUUCUCUUCCGGCACUACUACAAUUGUUCCCUAUAUAUUAGUCACACCCAUAUAUCAUUAACACAAGAAAUGAAAUCUAAUGUCACCUACUUAGUUAAAGAAUCACUCAUGAAAAAUUUUUACCAUUUUGAUUUGAGGAUCCAUAUUUUGAACUGCAAGCUAAUGUUCAUCAAGAAUCACUGAUGUUCAUAAAAAUCAGAGUAUGGCCGUUGAGUAGAAAAAUUAUUUUUGGACAAAUUAUUUUUGUUGAUAGAAUCUGCCACUUUCUCAUGAAGAAAGGCAUGCGGAGCAUACCAUGGUACCAUACGGAGAAUGUUAGAACCACCCUAGAAUAUCUUUACCCUGAUGUUUCUAACAAAAAUCUGCAUGUGGCAGCAAUUACUAGAUCUACAAUUUCCCAAAUAAUAUUUUGUGUUUCUUAAAAAAAAUUGAAAUACAUAGUUGCAAUUGCACACCGUGAGACAGUGCUACAAUCUACUGAGAUCUAAAUUAUAUGAGACUUUAAGCUACUAAUGUUUGCAUAUUUCUACAUGUCAAAUUAACAUUACCAUCUAUAAUCCGAAACGACAGAUGAUAAACGGCUUUUGGCCACUUAUUACUAGCAUCCACAAUUAAUUUUUGUUCAGCAAUCAGCUUAUUUUAUAGAAAUUGAUUUAGUCAGCAACAAACACUAUAAUACUUGAAAUUAGUUCUUGUUCUUUGUAAUUUUCUAUGAUUUUUCAUAUAUCAAUUAAUCUGCAGUGCCAAGAUGAGGUUUAGUUUUCAAACUAAAUAAUCAAGUAAGCAAAAAUACAAAUUCAGAGAUUAGCGGGGUAAACUAGCUGGGUGGUUUAGAACUGGGCUAGCUACCUCCCUGUAUUCCUAUUUGUAAGGUGAAUUAAUUGAAUCAUGAGAAAACAAUGUGACCAUAGCUCAAUAUGAGAUGAUUUCGGAGAGGCAUAUUGUUUUCGAGUGAAUUUGAUCCAUUAAGAGAUGAAGUGGAUUGAAGUGGAAAGUUUAAAUAACAAAUCCUUGUUCUUGAGUUUUACGACGUCGUUACUCCUUCAGGUGGCAGAUUAUGCAAGUGAAUUCAAAAACACAAUGCAUCAAUCACGGGGACAAAAGACGGGAUCACAGUCUAUGCAUUGAACAGUUACAGUUGCUGCUACCAAUUGUUCGGCAAAGAUCAAGAAGACUGAACGGGAAGCUAAUGCCAUCAAUGUCGUCUUCACUAUAUCUGCUGGGAAUGUAGGUGAACUUUCCUCAUUUGCAGCUGUCUAUACAUAGGCUUUUCCCCAGCUUAAGUACAAAUAAAUGAAGCUGCCUUGAAGGCUUUAUUAUUGACCCCAAUAAGGAUUACUAAUUGAAGAAGACUAUACGGAGUUAAUCUCACAUUUUAGUUCUCUCAAUUUCUUUCAGAAGUGCCUCUGAAAAUAGCUGCCAAACCGUUAGUCAGCUUGUAUACUCUGUUUUCUGGAAACAGAGUAGCAUAUUUAAUCGUUUUAAUUGAAUUGUCUUCGUAGCGAUCAUCAACAAACUCAUCAUAAGAUUUUUGAAGCACCCAAGGACUAUCACUGGGUUUCUCUUCUGGUUGAUUUAUUAAUUAAUCAAAGAACGGUUGGAUGAAGUGCAAUGAUGGAGCAAAAUUUACAAUGUCUCCGGUUUCUCCUGACCAUCGGACUUUUGCAGUGAGAACAUAUAACAAAAAGACCUUCAUCAAAAUUUGUAGACUCCGGGUAUGGAUUGGAUCGAGUUUUUUGUUUGAUAUUGAAGAACCACUUUACUAUCGCGAUAUAGAUUAUGUGCAAGGGGUUGUCUACUGUUCUUUGCCUUGUGCUAUGAUCGGUGCUUUUGACGUUGCCCCGAAACAGUGGAAAAUACUUCGAUUUCCUCCGUUUGAUGAUGCAAAGAACUGGUUAAUGUACGAUUACCUAAUUGACUCAGGAUCAAGUAACAACAACAAUUUAUUAAUAGUAGUAUCACAAACGAAGAAGAUUUCGGAGAGGGUGAUGUAUGCCUAUACCGUUUACAGGUUUGAUCCACAGGGGAUGAAGUGGUCUCAAGUGGAAAGUGAUUUAUUAAACAACAAAUCAUUGUUCUUGGGUCAUACCUCAUGAUGUCAUCAAGUGGAAGAUGAAGAUUAUGCAAGACGAAGAUCGUUUGAUAUUGAAGAAUUUGAACAGAAAGCCCAUAGAAAGUACUUAAAUAAGCAUAUUCUUGUUGGGGUAGAAUAUUAAGAAAGGAGUUGUCUACUGUGUGUUGCGUGAUUAGGCUAUGAUCUGUGCUUUGAACAUUGCCCUCAAAACAGUGGAAAAUACUUCAUAUCCUCGACAUGAUGAUGAAAAAUUGGUUACCGAUUACCUAAUUGACUCAGUGACAACAAUCUAUUAAUAGCACAAUUUGGCGUGAUGCCGUUUAGGUAUAUGGUUUUCAAGUUUGAUUCAUCAGUGAUGAAGUGGACUAAAAUAAGAUGUUUAAAUGAUAAGUCAUUGUUCUUGGGCAUAUCGUCAUUACUACUUCUAGUGAUCAAAGAUGAAGAUGAAGAUGAAGAUGAAGAUGAAAAUUGUGCGAGUUCAAGAUUACCAUCAACUCAAUUUUAUGAUUGGAGUGUCUCACCGUGACUCAGACAAAUUCUGAUUCAACCUCCUUCACCAAUGGAUUUUGAUUAGUUAUUUUGUGAUCAAGCAACUUAAUUAAACUCACAGUUUGUUAGUCUAAUUUUAGUUUUACUGUGACCACUAUUCAAGGUAAGCGAAAGUUACAGAUGUGGCAAAAUCAAUAAUUAAAUUCAUAAAAUGUUAAAAAAUAAAACUUAUAAAUUUUGCAUGACUACUUACUAAUAAAUAAAUAAGUUAGAAUGUAGUUAGUUAAUUUUACACCAUAUUAUAUAUUAUUCGAUAAUAAUAUAAAAUAAAAAGAAUUAAAAAAUAAAUAAUUGAAUAAACAAAUAUGACUUUCUAAACAGUAAAAAUUCUAGAGUUAAAAUUUAUAUUAUUAUUUUAUUUUUUAAAAUUGACAUAUUUCUAUUAUCUUACAUGUACACAGAUUUUGAGAGUUGAGAAGAAUAUAUUUAAUGAAGCUUGCUAACAUUUGGUGGGAUAGCAAGUAAGGGUAAAUAAGAUUUUUUUGUUAUUUAUUUGAAUUAUAUCUAUUUUGUUCAAGUUAAAAUACUAAAUAUAAAUUGGAGGUAGACAUUUUAACAGAUCAUCUAAGCUCUCAAAUCUGAAAUUUUGUGUAGAUUUAAAUUCAUAAUUUUAGUUAAUUUUCAUACAUUCAUAUAAACAAAUUUAUGAGAUUUUUCUUUUCAGCAUGUUAUAUUUUGAAACUUUCAAUGUAUUAUUCUAGCUUUAUUUAAAUAAUUAAUUUAUUUAAAAUUUAUUUAAUUUUGAAUUUGAUCAAUAGUAAAAUUAUUUUUAUAUCAAAUUUUUUUAUUUAAAUAGUUCGUGGAUUGGACAAAAUUAAAAAUUUUUAAUCCACAAAAUGGUGGAUUAGAUAUGAAUUGGGUUAAAUACACAUUCGAUCCGCAGUCGUAUGAAUUUGAUUUGGAUUGAAUUUCAUCAAUCCAUGGAUUAGAUUGGAUUGAAAAAUUUAUUAUCCGCAAAAUCGUGGAUCGAAUAUGGACUGAUGUCCAAUCAGCAAAAUCCAAUCCCCGAACACUCCUCUAUCAAAAUUUUCAAGAAUAUUUUUUAUCUUACAAAUUUUUUUUAAAGUCAUAGUCUAAGGGCGGCCCAAUUUCUACUCCAUCCAUAUAAGCGGAGUUCAAAUCUCAUACCUCUUAUCUCCACACAAGAGAUUUAACCAAUUGAAAUAGCUAGCACCCACAAGUAUACUAGUACAGCAUCUCUUAACGUUUAACAUACGUAAAAUUAACGCCAUAGCUAUUGAUAAACACAUUGUUCAAUAUAUAUGAUCAAGAAUCUGAUCCUGCGAGCAACAGCAGUCAGAAGAACCAUUAUAAUGCCUAGCUCUUAUCCUGGUUAAUCCUCUGGCCCGAUGCUUCAUCAUAGUGAUUUAAAAAACCAACAACAGCUCUCUAAAAGAGAUGAAGAUAUCAUCUACGUAAAGAACAUGAGACGGAGAUUCACAACCCAUAAGAACUGAGAUAAAUUGGACCAGACCAGUAAUCUUGAGAUAAGUUAAACUGUGACUUAAGUUGAAAUCAGAGGACAGGAAUUUUAAAAUCUUUCGGCUAAGCCCCUGAGGAAUUUUCUAGAGUACGACUUCUGCUUACCUCUGUUUAAUUUCUCUUUAUAUUUUUCUUUCAUUUCAUUAAUAAAGUCAAAUAAUAAAUCAAAGAACGAGGGAAGAUUUUUCCAAGUCAUGCAUUAUUUGAUUACCAUCAAUCAAGAAACCGACCAAAUUAAUUUCUCUCCGUGAUUUUUAAAAAUUAAAAAAAAAAUAUUUGAGCAUAACAUCAUUAAUUAUAGAGUGGAUCAAACUGCGUUAAUCAUGAACUUUGUUGUGUUAAUUAUUUCAAUCCCCGAUUACGCAAUUUUUAAAUUAUAGCCUAACGGUGGUCUCAUCACCACGUGUGUGAUUUUCUUUUGCCAAUAGGAUCUGUAGAGAGCUUGAUCUCACCCAAUAGCAAAAUAAACUUCCUAAUAAGUGAAGGCAUAGUAUAAAUAAUUCACCCCCAUAUUAUUUAUUAGCAGCUUGAUUAUUUUAUAUGCAUCUUUGAUUUAAAUUUUUUUUUCCCAUAAUUGCUACUAUGUUCGAACUGGUCAUGAAUUAUCUAUAAGAUUUUUCAUGUUGCUUUUAGGUGCAUUGGAUUUUUUUUAGUUUAGUGCAAGAGUAGAGGAAGGCAAAUUAAGAAAAAGGAUAAAGAUCUAUGAUUAGCUAUUUUGGGAUGUCUCAUAACAUAUUGAUGGUAACAUUAUACAUAUGUAUAUCUAAAUAAUGGGGUUGGAUCAAGAGCCCAUUAAUAAUCAUAGAUUAGCUUAUAUAGCAAUUUCACAAGCACAUGUUAGCCUAUGUUGAGCUUUAUUAUCAAUAGUUCAUAGUUCAUCGGUGCACUGCAGGUUUACUAUUUGAAGUAAAUGUUAUGGUGCGUGCAUUUUUCAUAAGGCCAACCGCUGAAUUUAGCAUUGAAACUUACAAAAUGUAAUAGAGAGAGGUAGAUAACAGCCACAAAACACUAAGAUUGGAAAUCAGGGCUACUAAAUACUAUUACAAGCCCUUAGAAAAGACACUGAUCAUCCUGGAAUAUAUAUACUGAAAGUAAGAAAUAUUAAUCGCAAAGUUAUGUGCCAACAAAACUAUUGACCACUUGUCCCUAGCAGAAGGUAUAUAUUUUUAACUUCAGCUCUCUACUUUGUUCUAAGAACUAGGCAAAAGAAUGAAACUUCACUGUCUAAAGUUUGCCGCUUGGAAUAUUUCACUGUCUAAACAUUCACUCACCACUAAUUUCACAAAUGAAUUUUGUCUAACUAUAUGUUGAUAACGAUAUUAGAGGUAAUAUAAUGCAUUUAAGGCUUAACAUAUAUUUUUUAUUAGUAGAGUGUAGAAUUUUUAAGAAAUAAAUUAUUAAAUUACUAUAACUAACAUAUUAUUUUAAAGUUAUGUUAAGAAAAGAAUGAAACAAAAAAAAAAAAAAAAAUAAGGGUAUUCUAAAACUUUGAUCCUUUUAAAAGUAGUUUUUGACGUAAAUAAAAUAAUUUUUAUUUUUUUAAAUCACAUACUCUAGUUAAAAUCAAAUUUGUAUUUAUAAAGCUUGUAAAUUUUUUUUAGCAUUAAUAUUUGAAUACUUUCAAGAUAAGAAAUAGGGUACUAAUUAUGCUACAACAUUAUUAUAGCAUAUAAAAAGACAAUACCCUUUAUAUUAUUAUACUAUCGUUUUUGUUAUGAUAGUAUUUUGUUAGUGGUCAAAUAUUACUUUUUUAAGUAAAAAAGUAGACAAAUGUAAAUCAAUUUUUAAUCUCUCCUAAAAUUCUAAUUCCUAGUUACCAAACAAAAUUGUUUGAAAAUAAUUUGGCUAAGUGCAUGGGUUCUUAAAAGUUAAAACUAUAGGUGAUAGAAGUUACUAGCACAAGCAAUUUUGACGGUCCAUUUUAUAAAAAUUUUUAAUAAUUUUUUAUUUACCAUUUUACCACCUAUAUAAAGAGUGCCACAUCGACAUAUCAAUUCAUUUGCAAAUUAUAUUAAUUUUGUAAAAUUCAUUUGACUUGCUAAACCCUUCUUAUCCCCUUUCUCGACUGUCAUACCCUAACCUUAUUAAUCCAACUGGCAAGUGCUCACAAUGACCGACAGCCUCUCCAUCUCCAUUUCAAGCUUCCUCUUCAACUGGCUUCUGCUUCCGUCGUACGCUUCCUUGGAUUCGGAGUCCGUAUUCGCUCGACCGGUCCGGCACAGCUCCCUCUCACUCCAAUUGUCACCCAACAAGACCAAUUGCUUAACAUUGAUCGUAUGGCAAUUGUCCGUAUUUCUUGGAUUCAGAGUCCGUAUGGCACAGAACAAGAAGAGUAUGAGAGAGAGAUUUGGAAAUCGAAACGUACGCAUUGACCGUGCCUUUGAGGGCAAUUACUUUUCUUGAGAAUUGAAGUUUGGUAAUGUAAUUUGUUCUCUAUCUGUGUCCCCUUUGUAGUCAUUUCAUUUAUUUGUUUGUUUGCUUUUAUUUGCACUUACGAAGUCUCAGAUAUAUCUACGCAAGAAUGAUGCAGGAGAAAUUGAUCCUCGAGCUUACAAGAAAAGUAAAUUUCGAAAGCAUAAUUUGGCUCCGAUUGAGGUAAUAAUUGUCUUUAAACUCAUUUAGUUUUAUAUCAAACAAAAUCAAGGCUGCCUUUCUCUUCAAUAUUUUUUAUGAUAAUAUCUUUAGAAGCAUCUCAUUGACGGGUAAUCAUGGUAUCCCUUAAAGAGUCUAUAAACUCAAUGAUAUUUUCUUCUGCAAAUGGUUCAUUAAACUUCUUAGACGUAGUUAAAUGUACACUAAGAACAACGAGAAGCUAUGCCGCUGUAGCAUGUAGUGAGAUCUUGUUUGAAGUUGUUUUCUGAAAUGAACUGCCAAAUGGUAGUUUUUUUUUUCUUGGGUGCAUUUGAUGACUCUUUUCUCCUCAUUUUAAACAUGUACCUGCUUGGAAUGGGAAGGAAUAGGCUUCCGAGUUGUUAUAUAUGUUGACAUGCUCUGGUCAUUACACAAAAUGCUCAAAUUGGAAAUUAGAAUGAGAUAUUUGUCGAUGCUUUUUGAGAGAUCUGCAUUCUAUGCACCAUAACAUGAUUAAUGAAAACAGGUUUAAGGACUGGAAAGAUCUGUGGCGGCCCAAGCUUGCAGGAAGGAUUUCAAUGGUUAAUUCUCCCAGAGAGGUUAUUGGUACAAUUUUGAAGUAUCUGGGAGCAUCAUGCAAUUCAAACGACAUUGAUUAGCAACUUGCUGCUGGGAGGAUUGUUGUCAGCAGAAUCUGGCAUUACUGGGAAACCAGGUACUCUUAAAGAAAUGAUAUCUGGUCAAUGCAUAUUAUUGCCUGACAGCUGAUUUUGUUUGUAAAGUCUGCCUCUUCAUACAUAUGAAUGCAUAUGUUAGUGUUUUCUUCUCCUUUUAAUACACAUGAAUGCAUAUGUUAGUGUUGUCUUCUCCAUUCCAUAAAUAUGAAUGCAUAUGCUCUGGGUGUUGGUUACUACUUCAAGUGGAAGGUGAAGGUGAUGCAAGUGAUUUCAGGAGUACAUAUAUUCCAAGGAUGCCGGACUAUUAUUGCUUCCCCCCAUAUUUCAGAAUUUUUUGUCAACCUCCUCCACUAAGGGAUUCCAAUUGAGUUACAAAUAUAUUUUCUGUAGCUCUGUUUUAAAUUUUUGGUCUCAUGUUAAUUUUUCUAAUUACUAUUCUUCAACAAAUCUCUUUUACUUUAAAAAACUGCUACAGUUUGAUUUUACUGCCUUAUAUCAUUGAACAUUGAUACAUGGAAUUUGAAAUCAGACUUGUAACAACAGAUAAAUAGAUAUAGAACAUGCAUAUAAUCUCCAUUUCGAGCUCCCUCUCCAACUGGCUUCUGCUUCCGUCUUACUCUUUCUCGGAUUCGGAGUCCGUAUUUGCUCAGCCGGUCCUGCCCAGCUCCCUUUCACUCCAAUUGUCACCCAACAAGACCAAUUGCUUAAUCAAGGCACAGAACAAGAAGAGGAUGAGAAGUUGAAACAAGAAUUUGAGAAUUGGAAAUCGAAAAUGUAUGCAUUGACUGUGCCUCUAAGGGUUGUUUCUCUUCAGAAUUCAAUGCCUCAAUCUUGGGUUAAGGAUUUUAUGCGAAGUCAAGGAAAGAGAUUGAAGUUUCAGAUGAAUUUGUGUGCUAGCAUUGGUGGGAUCUUUAACAAUUUAUCUGUGCCCUUUAACAAAGUUAAGGGUAAGUCAGCUUCGUAUACGGCUGCUGAUUUGGUUAGUGUUGGUGAUUCAUGGCUCAGUUUUACAAUUAAAAAGAGAUUGAUUGAGCCAAUAGCUGAAGCUGAAGAUCAAGACUGGUUCAAAUGCUUAUGUCACAAAUGGAAGGUAACAUCAUUAUCUUUGACCCGAUAAUUUUUAUUGUCUUACAUUGAAAUUUGGUAAUGUAAUUUGUUCUCUAUUUGUGUUACCCUUUGUAGUCGUUUUAUUUAUUUGUUUAUUUGCUUUUAUUUGCACUAACGAAAUCUCAGGUAUAUCUAUGCAGGAAUGAUGCAGGAGAAAUUGAUCCUCGAGGUAAAAUAUGGGCGGCACCAUACAGGUGGGGCACAACGGUGAUAGCCUACAAGAAAAGUAAAUUUCGAAAGCAUAAUUUGGCUCCGAUUGAGGUAAUAAUUGUCUUUAAACUCAUUUAGUUUUAUAUCAAACAAAAUCAAGACUGCCUUUCUCUUCAAUAUUUUUGAUGAUAAUAUCUUUAGAAGCAUCUCAUUGACGGGUAACAAUGGUAUCCCUGAAAGUGUCUUUAAACUCAAUGAUAUUAUCUUCUACAAAUGGUUCAUUAAACUUUGUUGUUGUAGUCAAAUGUACACUCAGAGCAAUGAGAAGCUAUGGCACUGUAGCAUGUAGUGAUGGCACUUAAUAAGUGAGUUGCUAGGAUGUGAACUAGAAAAAUUAAAUAUUGUCUCCUUGGGUAUGCUAGCUUGUAAGUCAGGGUUAAUAUUAGAGCUUAAGUUACUAUAACCAUGAGACGCUAUUGACUGCCAAUUAAAAUAUCCAUUAAAUUGUCUAGGAAGUUAUGAAAGUGGAGGUAUCUUCCGAUUUCUAAGGCCAGAUAGUAGACAUCAUCCAGGAUCCUAGGAAAGUGCAGUUAACCUCCUGCUCGAUGCAAUUAAUAAAUUUGGUCAAUGCCACUGAAACCUGCUAACCGACGUCACAAUGCGAGAUGAGCACUUCAAAAUGGGACAGACGGUCAGUAGCACUAAAUUUUUCUUUCCUAAGAUUGAGCAAUUGGUCUAACUACUAACCCCUAUUGUAGGUUGAUCAUUAUUUUUCCAAUUAUGUUCAGUUUGACCCAAAAAGUUACAGAAUCUUGAGCUGAAUAUUGUCACUGAACACUGUCAAUGUCAUUUAGCAUACCCAACUAACUUGAGUUUGGUAAAACAAACACACUGUGCGUCUCAUCUCUCACAAUUCAAAUUAUCAUCUGUAAUGAUGGAGAAUUUUUCCAAUGUAUGAAGUAUGCUUUGAUAUGUGUACCUUGGAGAAGAUAUCUCCAAAUAAAGAAUAUGGAGAGAAAACGGUUCAGUAGUUUAUUAUUCUGUAGGCAAGUCUUGUCUCGAAAAUGGUCAAAAUUUAAAUGAAUAAGGACAGGGGAUCUUCAUUCUUUUUUCCCUUUUUUAUACCAAGAUAUCUCUCAACCUUUAUAUAAUCCCCACUGGAUAUCUGCUUCUAAUAAUUAAAAUAAAAAUUUCACUCACACAAAUAAAUACUGACCAAGCUCUAACAAUAUAAAGUAACAUCUUUACUCAAGUAAUUUACAGUUCCUCAUCAUCUUAGUGUGAGACUAUCAUUACGUUCCAAAAACAAAAUAAAACUGGUUUGAUCCUGUUUAUUGAUGUUUAAAUGUUGUUCAUUGUGACAUGUAGAAAUGAUGAAGCGAAGUUUAUUUGGUCAUCAAUUAGUAAGAUCUUGUUUGAAGUUGUUUUCUGAAAUGAACUGCCUUUUUUUUGGGCAUAUGAUGGCUCUUUUUUCCUCAUUUUCAACAUGUGCCUGCUUGGAAUGGGAUGGAUUUGGCUGCAGAGUUGUUAUAUAUUUUGAGAUGCUCUGGCUGUUGUGAAAAUUUUAAUAUACUCGCAAGCACACGAAUCUAGAAAUAGAAUAGUGAUAACGAGGUCGAACCCACAGGGAUUAUUGAAAAGUCUAAUUUAAAUCUAAAAUUAAUAUUAAUUCUAACCUAGUUGAGCAAAUUGAGUUUUAAGAGAAAUUAAACUAAUUAAACUAAGAAAAUAAUUAAAGUAAAGGAGAAUUCAAUAAGACAAAAAUUACCAAGGUUUCAGAAUCCACCACUAUUCAACUAGUAAUUAUCUAAUUAUUAAUUAAUCCCCAAUUUUAGAGUGACAACUCGAAAUCAAUCUAUGUCAUCUCAUGGAUAUAACAAUUAAGCCCAAGUAAUUAAAUCUAAUGUAGGUUCUUUUUCUACUUAAUAGUAUGAUAUCUAAGAAUCUCAUGUAAACAUAUUGAAUAACAAAGAGUCAAAGUUUUCUUAAGCACUCUAUGUAAACAAUUUAAUGAAAGACAUAAAAUCAAAGAUAAUCAUGCAUAAACUUUAUAGAUCCAAGCAUAGAUUUAAUCGAAUAUUAAUCCUAACAAUCAAUAAUGCAUAACAGAAUUGAUGAAAAGAUUUUAAUAACAUCCAACUAAUCAUGUGAAAUAAAAACCAUAAUCAUUAAAGAACAUAUAUAGGGAAUUAAAUAAAUAAAAAAAUAAUUAUUUCAUUGAAUAGGGUUUCAUCCUUAACCUCAGUAUAAGAAAAUUAGUUAGACAUACUUGAAUUGGGAAAAACAAAAGAGAUAAAACCGGCCAUGAGGAAUAUUGAACUGUUGGUGCCGAUUGCUCUUUUCCAGCCUUGCGUCUGCUUUCCUCUGGCGGCUACCUCCCCCCUUGCAAAAGCCAAAGUUCGGCUUUUAUAUUGUAACUCCCCCACAAAAUCCUCAAAUCAAAAGGUUUUAAAACAAGCCAAGCACAACCGACUUUGAGCCCAUGCAUGUGAAGCCCAAUUGGAAUUUUCAUUCCUUUUUUAAUGCCAUGCAAUUGCUUUCCCACGUGCUGGCCACUUUAGCUUUAAAUUUCUUCUUUGUUUGCACUAGCAUGGAGAAUUCAAUUUAUUGGCUUCGGCUUCUUCGGAUUGAAUUUCAUACACAUCUACUUAAUUGCUUCCACAAAUUGACUUGAUUUUUAAUGUUGUCCAAUUGUUAUUCUUUAUGUACUUUUCAUCCUUAAUCUCCAAUUAAUUCCCUAUUCAAUAAAAUUAACUUAGCAAUUAUAUAAUAAAGGGUAAAAUAUGUAUAUAAAUUAUGCUCAUCACUGGCCAUUGCACAAUUUGUUCACACUGGAAAUUUGAAUGAGAAAUUUGUUGAUGCUGUUUUGAGAGAUCUGCAUUCUAUGCACAAUAACAUGAUUAAUGAAAAUGGAUUGUAGGACUGGAAAGAUCUGUGGCAGCCUGAGCUCGCAGGAAGAAUUUCAAUGGUUAAUUCUCCCCGAGAGGUUAUUGGUUCAGUUUUGAAGUAUAUGGGAGCAUCAUACAAUUCAAACGAUAUUGAUUCGCAAGUUGCAGGUGGGAAGAUUGCUGUUCAGCAGAAUCUGGCAUUACUGGCAAACCAGGUACUCUUAAAGAAAUGAUAUCUGAUCAUUGCAUGUUAUUGCCUGACAACUGAUUUUGUUUGUAAAAGUCUGCUUCUUCAUACAUAUGAAUGCAUAUGUUAGUGUUCUCUUCUCCUUUUCAUACAUAUGAAUGCAUAUGUUGGUGUUGUCUUUUCCUUUUCAUACAUAUUAAUACAUAUAUUGGUGCUCUCUCCUGAGAUGGAUGCAAUAAAGGCUUUUGGUCCUAAAUUUAGGUGAAGAAAUGGCAAGGGAUGUGAGAUUCUGUCUCAUUAAAUUAACAAAAACCCAAAACAAUGAAAACCCAUAAUAAUGUGGUGGGGGUAAAUUGGCACCAUUUGGUUUGUUUACUUAAUGUGAAUACACGAGCAAUAGGGACUAACAAAAUGAAGUGACAACAACAAGUCAGUGUCCUUUGAUGGAUGCAUUUUAGGCAAAAAUAGGUUUGUAAUUGACCAAUUUCAAAAAAUUUAAAUUAUGUGGUUAUUAGCUGUAAUGAAGGGGAUAGGAGGUGCAAUCAGGUGGAUCCAGGAAAGUUCAACAAAGUUCUGGUAUGGCAUAGUGAAAUUGGUUUGUGCAACUCAAGAGUCUUUCAGGUGAACGAUGAUAUGUUUUGAUUUAUAAAUGUUAUAAAUCUACCGUCCAUAGUAUUCUAGUAGAAUCAUCUAUAAGUUCUAGUUAUUGAAAUUGUCUACUUUGUCCAGUUUGAGUUAAGGGCACAUGUAAUAGGAAAAAUAGUUGUCACAUCUUUUUGGUUACCUAACAUUUGAUCAAUCCUAUUAUGAGGGCUUCAAGAUGUCUAACAAUAUGUAGAAUGCCCAUGCUCCUCCCCAUUGUUUAUCUUAUACAAUAAUUUGUUUUAGAUGCUAAUAUAUUUGUCGAUACCGGUAACGAUAUUACAAUAUCUGCAUUUAUUGGGUUUUACAUAGGUUCGACUGUUUGACAGUACACACUAUCUGAAGGCAUUUGGAAUUGGAGAUGUAUGGGUUGCUGUUGGGUGGAGUAGUGAUGUUCUUCCUGCUGUCAAACGUAUGUCUAAUGUUGCAGUUGUUCCCAAGUCUGGUGCUAGCUUAUGGGCCGAUCUUUGGGUAUACCCAUGCCGGCCAUUCUACUUCGAUAUUCACGUUGUUAUCUCCUUCAUAUUAGCGAUCAUAAACUUGAUAAUGUGACUAAUAAGUUCGUAUUCUCUUUAUAGGCAAUCCCUGCUGCCUCAAGACUUGAAACAAAAGAAAUUGGAGGGCGAGUCUGAGGUCCAUCUCCAUUAAUCCAUCAAUGGAUAGAAUCCUGCUUGCAAACAGCGAGAACAUUGCCUUUCAAGCAAGAGGUUAUCCCGGGCGCAUCUCCCUCUGCCCUUGAAAGUACUCUGGUUAAGUUGCCUGAAGAACUUCUGAAGGGUAAACCAAGUCUGGAUACUAACUUAAUUGCUGGAGUACCCCCGGCUGAAAUUCUGGCCAGAUGUGAGUUUUUGGAGCCAUUGUCUGAAGCUACAUUGUCAUAUUAUGAGUGGCUGGUUGCUAAUCUGCAAAAACCUGCCCCCCUCUUGAUGAAUAGGCUGCAACAUUACUUGUCAUCAUUAAUCCAAAGCUUUCUAGCAAAAGCUACAUUGAAAAGUUAAUGGCACUGCAUGCCAGUCAUUGUAAUGCUGUCAGGGCUAUUGGGUCAGGGCUAUUGGGUCAGAGCAUAACUUCAUUAGGAAAAGAGGCUUCAGCUACGUUAAAUAUUACAGGAUGUACUGAGAUGGCUGAAGUUCUUGAGGUUUUACGAGAAACGAAAGAUGAGUGUUUGUUUGAACAAAGUUGUUGCCAUCUUGCAGAGUUUGAGAAGAAAGAUCACUGAGCGAAUGCCACCGAUUUCUUAAUCAUUGUAGCCUCCAUAGUUGAAGUUUCCUUAUUUGAAGCUGUUUAUGCGUACGCUUUUUCCCUGCUCAAGUACAGGAAAUUGAAGAAUUAACCAGAUGUGAUAUGCUGAAAGAGGGAAGUUUUCUUCCUUGAACGUGGCCUUGUGAUUUGUCUUGGAAGGAAUAGGAUGAUCACUGGCAAGAACCCUAUCAAGGUAGAUUUUAUGGUGCUAACGUAUUAUUAAGCAUUUUGUUACAUCAGCAAUGAUGCUUUCAUAGCAUGAAAGGGUUUAAAUUUAACUGAAUGAUUCUGAUUAAUCAAUUAUGAGUUUGAAUCGAGUAAAAACUAAAUACAAUCAUCGUUAACAAUACUGAAAAAAUUUAACUGAAUCAUCGUUAAUUGAGUAAAUAGGAUCUUGAUAUUGAAGAAUUUGAAAUCACAACGCACACAGGAAAUUGAAGAAUUUGAAAUACAAUCAUCGUUAACAAUAUAAGAUGAGUGUUUGUUUGAACAAAGUUGUUGCCAAUCUUGCCGAGUUCGAAAAAAAAGAUCACGGAGCAAAUGCCACUGAUUUCUUCAUCAUUGUAGCCUCCAUAGUUGAAGUUUCCUCAUGUGAAGCUGUACAUCAAGUACAGGAAAUUGAAGAAUUAACCAGAUGUGAUAUGCUGAAAGAGGGAAGUUUUCUCCCUUGAAUGUGGCCUUUGUGAUUUGUCUUGAAGGAAUAGGAUGAUCACCGGCAAGAACCCUAUCAAGGUAGAUUUUAUGAUGUUAACAUAUUAUUAAGCAUUUUGUUACAUCAGCAAUGAUGCUUUCAUAGCAUGAAAGUGUUUAAAUUUAACUGAAUGAUCUUGAUUAAUCAAUAAUGAGUUUUAAUCGAGUAAAAACUAAAUACAAUAAUUGUUAACAAAUACUGAAAUUGGGUAAAUAUGAUCUUGCUAUUGAAGAAUUUGAAAUCACAACCCACACAGGAAAUCACCCUUCGCGUGGAGAUGGAGAUGUUUACUGCAGCGAUAUUGAAUAUGUCCACUGCUCUUUGGGUUAUGGUGCGACUUGCGAUUUCAAGGUUGCCCUGAAACAAUGGAAAAGAAUUAACAUACCCUGCAAUGAAUGAAAGCGGCUGGACUAAUUCUGAUUACCUGAUUGACUCAGGAUCGGAUGGCAAUAAAGACAGUUUAUUAACAAUGCACAGUCCCGAGUACUUUUUCAGGAUCAGAUAUUACGUGGUCUAAUGUUGAUAAUAAUAGAUUAUCAAAUGAGAGAUGCUGAGAGAUGCUGGUCUAGUAUUGCAAGCCCCCAGAUUUAAGAAUCUUUUGAUGAUAAUUUACCACCUGUAACUGUGCCGGAAGAUUCACCUAGCAUUGAAAAAGAUGAUAAUUUAAUUGAUAUGGAUAGUUUUCAUAACACUUUUAAAUCAUCUUAUGUAAUUAUAAUGUUGAGAAGCAUUAGUGGUCUAUAUGUGAACUAUUAUUGACGCUAUUUUGUUGUAAACAAUCUUAUUCAAUUAAUGUAUAAUUUAAAAUCAUUAUGUAAAUCAAUCUAUUACUUUUCAUGAUAUUUAACUGAGUUAAAACUAAGUGCACCCAAUAAAUCUCUUUUCCUUUAAAAAACUGUUACGCUUUGAUUUUAGUGCUUAAUAUUUACGGAACUCCGGUACAGGGAAUUCGAAAUCAAACUCGUAACUACAGAUUAUCUAAUUGCAAGCUUUUGUCCAUAGUUGCUGAUUGUAGUGAUUAUCUAAUUGACUGAGGUGACAACAAUUUUUUUUUUUAAUUUUCAAUAGCAUAAUGUGGAAUUCAAUAAUUAAAUUCUCCUUUUUAAUUUGUUUCCAGUUAAAUUAUUAAUUACUUAAACUCUGUUUUAAGUCUUUAAUUUUAUGUCUUGGCGUAUAUGCAGGGUUGGAUUCUUGAGCGUGUUGGACACGACCAACAAUGAAAUUGACAGUAAACAAACAUUAUAACGCGUUGAGUGUCGACUCCGCUAGCUGCCCUACAAGUCUACAACUUUACAAACAAUAACUGAGUACACACAUUUGAUUCUCAGGGCCUUUCAAUGAAUUUCUAGGCCGGUUGACUCCACCGACAAAAGUUUUGGAAAAUAAAAAAGAAAAUUCAUAGAAUUCCACCAAAUGCAAAACGCGUGGAAUUUAAUUUUCGGCUGUGUGGACCAAAACAUAAUUUAAUGAAAAAAAAGAUAAGAUUUCUAGAAUGUGUGGAAGGUGAUCCAUAUUUUACUGAAACAACUUAUUAAAUUUUUCAAGGAUUUAGAAUAUUUGGUCAUAAAUUACGCUCAUGUUAAUUUUUCCACUGUUGACUAUCAUAUUCUAGACUCACUGGUACCUUUCUUGAUGAAGGGUACUUAGUCUCUCUUCUCCUCUUAUAAAAAUUAUAUUAAUUAAUUUCUUAUUAUAAUAAAUAGUCUUUAAGAACGUAUAGAUUUAUUGUUUUCGUGACCAAAUUAUGCCAGCUUAAGGUUGCGACUAUUAAUAAAAUUAAUAUUUAAUGUUUAUGUUAAAAGAUAUAAGAUUUUUUGCAUUCAUUAAUUGUCAUUAGCUAAAGGAUUAAUUAUUUUUUCAACCCAAUCAGUUGAUGCAUCUGCAAGAAUUUUUUCUUUUAUUGACCAUAAUUAUAUUCCGGGUACAAUAAAUUAUCUUUGGUGCUUGGAAAAUAUGACUUCUUACUUCAAGUUUGAUGUGUCUCUCUCCAUAAGCUUACUGGAAAUAUAUCCUCAUCUACUGUCAUUUAUCUAAUAUCAAUUGAAUAUCUGACUUUUUCAAACUAUCACUUCCAAGUCUCAUUGUCACUUGGCCAUUCUUGGACCAUUCAAAACCAAACAAGUGUUGAAAUAAUCAAAUAUAUGCAAAAUUAGAGUCACGACUUUUGGUCCUCCAAAUUCUAAUUAUAUUACUUCUAUAUAUCUCAUUGUCAGGUCACGAACUUGUUGGCACAUUUUCCAAAUUCCUCUUCCAUCAGCUCUUACACGUUAACUUAAGUGGAAAGUUUCCAAGUUGAUUGCUAGAAAGCAACGCAAAAUCAGACACGCUUGAUCUGUCCCCUAAUUCUCUUUUCUACGUUGAAAAAGAAAAAAAAUAAGAAAAAAGAAAAUAGAUCUAUGUAAAAAUAAAUAAUAAACUGAGUAAAAGUACAUUUGUUUAUUUAACAUCUGAUCGGGGCAUUUUUGGUGUAAUUUCGUGCUGUGUUUAACCCACAACUAAAAUCAAACAGCCCCUUAGAAUACUUCUUCCAUUUUGGGUGCGUUUGGGAUUGAGGUUGGGCAGCUGUAACUUAAAAACUACAGCACUAAAGUGUUUGAUAAACACUAACUGCUGUAGCUUUUAAGCUAUGUUGAUAUGGUUUUUCACUUGUAUAAUACAAAAUUUAUUAUAUCUUUAAUAAUUUUAUCAAAAUUAUUAUUUAAAAUUUAUAUUUACUAUAUAUUAUUAACUUUUGUUUCAUAAUUACAGCUUUUUUUUCACAGCAACUGUAGCUUAAAAGCUACAGCAUCUCAAUCCCAAACGCACCCUUUAUCUGCUACUUUUGUGGAUCUUAUAGGGUGGGCAUGUGAACAGAAUUUAAAAAUUUUAAUAGUCUCAAAGAAUAAGAUAUGCUAAAGCUAAAGUUGUUGCACCUUCUAAUUAAAUAAAGUUGUAUAAUUUCACCAACUUGGAAGAAUUGAUAUUAAUGGACGGUCCCCUCUCCAUAUAUGAAGCCUUCUUAAAAGUUAAUUUUUAUUUCAGAAAAAAAAAGUUUAAGUUACAUAUAUUAUAGUAAGAUUUUUUUAGACCAAUUCCCUUCUUGAAAUAAUAAUGGAAAAGCAUUAAUUUAAAAAUAAAAUGAAUAUGUAUUGAUUAUAUCCUGAUUUUCAUCGAUUAUAGUGAGAGUUUCUCCAAAUCAAUUCCCUUAUUCAAAUAAUACAGAAAAAAUAGUAAUUUAAUAGUAAAAUAAACAAGUGUUGAUUAUAUAUUCUAAGUUUCAUCGAUUAUGUGAUCAAAGUGGCAUUGUUGAUUUAUUUCUUGUUCAAUGUUAAUUUUUAGGUUAUAUAAAUUUCAAGGAUCUAAAAUCUUUGGUCAUGGAUUACACGCUUGUUAAUUUUUCUGCCAUUAACUGUCAUAUUCUAGACUUAAUGAUACCUUUCUUGAUCAAGCGUAAUUAUUCUCUCUUCUCCUCUUAUAAAUUCCUCUUCCAUUAACAUCACUAGGAGUAUGUUGAUCUCUCAGACGUUAACUUGAGUGGAGAGUUUCCAAAUUGAUUGUUACAAAACAACACAAAAACUAGACACACUUGAUCUGUCUAAUAAUUCUCUUUCGGUAAAAUUAAUUAAUUUUAGGGAAAUAUUCUGCCAACCUCUGUAAUUUCAAAGUGAUCAUUAAUUAAUUAAACGAUACAAAUAUCUAAAGUGAUUAGAUGUUUGCCGACAAUACAAGUUCAUGACUUGAAAUUUGAUCUCUAUCGAUUGGUUUACAAAUGGACGUACUUGUGCCUUUGUGGCGAUAAUCAAACAAGUUCCCAUGAUUAUUAUUUUUUCCAAAAACGUUUUUACAACAAAUUCAUCUCGCCAAAAAUUCUAUGUUGCUAACUAACAAUAAUUGAGCACUUGGCCGCAUUGACCCCACGUCUCCACCUCUUUCUAAAAACAUGGAAAAUGUAAUUUCCACAAAAUGCCAAACGUGUGGAAUUUAAUUUUUUUGCCUUGUGGAUCAAAAUACAAAUGAAAGAAACAGGAGAAAAAAAAGGCCCAAAGACUUCUAAAAGAUGAAGAAGUCUUUGGGCCUUUUUAUAAUGGUGAAUUUUUUAAAAGAAAAAAAAUAACAACAUUUUUAUGGUUUGUUUUGAUAAUCAUAUUUACAUAUACUCUCUAAUUUUCAAAAUGGACACAUAAAUCUUUUUUUUUACAAAAUAUAUAUUAUUCAUAUUUUUUAUUUUUUAUUAUCAUAUUUUUAUUUAUUAUAAAUGUUUAGAGUAAAUUUUUAGGUUGAAAUAUAAUAAAAAUGUAUAAUCGUUCUCUUAUUAAACACACAUACUUUUAUUAGUUUCUAUGCAUUUGUCAUCUCAAUCUCUCUCAAUUAUUCUUUAUUGCUAGCUCAAAACGCGUUGCUGUUGCAAAUUAUAGCAAAAUGACAAAUAUGGAAAAAAAGGGAAGAAAAUUAAUGCAUGAAAGACUUGGAGAAAACAACAAAAUAAGCCAACUAUGAGCUAGUUGGGUGUAUAAAUUGUUAGAUGUGUUAUAUACAAAUAGCAUAGAGCCCUCUAGUUAGUUCCAGAGACAGAAAGAGCGUGUGUGUUUUUUCACAGUUAGAGAUAUAGUUAGAAUGGGUGGUUCAAAAUCAAAAAUGAUGAUAAUGUUUAUUAUGUUAUUAAUAAUAUUUAAAAGUGGGUGGAGUGAGGGAUGUUUGGAUCACGAGAGAUUUGCUCUUUUGCGACUCAAACAUUUCUUCGAUGAUAGUUAUCUUUAUGACUGGGCCGAUGAUGAGGGAGCUACUGAUUGUUGUCAGUGGGAAAAUGUUGAGUGCAGCAACACCACAGGCCGAGUGAUAGCGCUAGACCUUUUUGACACGCAUGGGGGAGAGCACAGCUGGUAUAUGAAUGCUUCUUUGUUUACUCCCUUCCAACAACUUGAGUCACUUGAUUUAACUGACAACAAUAUAGCCGGUUGUGUUGAGAAUGAAGGUGCUUCGUUUAAUUUAAUUAAUUUACUUUCUCCCCCCAAAUUUAAGUUGAAUAUCAAGACCGAGCAAUUAUAUGCAUAUUCAUUUAGUCGACAAUUUUGACUUUUUUUUAAAUGAUUAAUUUUGAAAUUACACCAGUAUCUAUGAUCUUUUUUUAUUUUAUUUUAUUUGCAGGUAUAGAGAGGCUAUCAAGAUUGAACAACUUGAAGAUGCUUAAUUUAAGUCGAAACUCAUUCAAUAAUAGCAUUUUAUCAUCUCUAACUCAUCUUUCAUCAUUAAGAUCAUUAAAUUUACUUUGGAAUAGAUUGGAAGGAAGUAUUGACGUUAAAGGUACAUAAUUAAAACUUCAAGCUCUUUCAUUAACUUGCUAAAAUAAGAUUCAAGGCUUUGAAAGAAAAAGAGAGAAAAAAACAAGGCCCAAAGACUUCUAAAAGAUGUAAAAGUCUUUGGGCUUUUUUAUAAUGGUGGAUUUUUUAAAAGGAAAAAAUAACAACGCUUCUAUGGUUUGUUUUGAUAAUCACAUUUACAUAUACUCUCUAAAUUUCAAAAUGGACACAUAAAUCUUUUUUUUUUCUACAAAUGUAUAUUGUAUUUUUUAUUAUUUUUAAUAUCAUAUUGUUAUUUAUUAUAAAUAUUUAAAGUAAAUUUUUAAGUUGAAAUAUAAUAAAAGAGUAUAAUCGUUCUCUUCUUAAACACUCAUACUUUUAGUUUCUAUCCAUUUGUCAUCUCAAUCUCUCUCAAUUAUUCAUUAUUGCUAGCUCAAAACGCGUUGCUGUGGAAAAUUAUAGCAAAAAGACAAAUAUGGAAAAGAAAAAAGGGAAGAAAAUUAAUGCAUGAAAGACUUGGAGAAAACAACGAAGUAAGUCAACUAUAAUCUAGCUGGGUGUAUAAAUUGUUUGAUGCUUUAUAAGCAAAUAACAUACAGAGACAGACAAUGUGUGUUCGUUUUUUCAUAGUUAAAGAUAUAGUUAGAAUGGGUGGUUCAAAAUCAAAAAUGGUGAUAAUGUUUGUUAUGUUAUUAAUAAUAUUUAAAAGUGGGUGGAGUGAGGGAUGUUUGGAUCACGAGAGAUUUGCUCUUUUACGACUCAAACAUUUCUUCAAUGAUCCUCUUAAUUCUCUUUACGACUGGGUAGAUGGUGAGGGAGCUACUGAUUGUUGUCAGUGGGAAAGGGUUGAGUGCAGCAACACCACAGGCCAAGUGAUAGCGUUGCACCUUUCUAAUAUAUAUUUGGGAGAGUACAGCUGGUAUCUGAAUGCUUCUUUGUUUACUCCCUUCCAACAACUUGAGUCACUUGAUUUAAGUUUCAACAAAAUAGCCGGUUGUGAUGAGAAUGAAGGUGCUUCGUUUAAUUUAAUUAAUUUACUUUCUCUCUCCUAAUUUAAGUGGUAUAUUAAAAUUGAGCAACUAUAUGCAUAUACAUUAGUUGACAAUUUUGACAUAUUUUUUGAAGUGAUUAAUUAAUUUUGAAAUUACACCAAAUAUCUAUGAUCAUUUUUUUUUAUUUUACUUGAAGGUAUAAAGAGGUUAUCAAGAUUGAACAACUUGAAGAUGCUUAAUUUAAGUGCUAACUCGUUCAACAAUAGCAUUUUAUCAUCUCUAACUCAUCUUUCAUCAAUAAGAUCAUUAAAUUUAUAUGUGAAUGAAUUGGAAGGAAGUAUUGAUGCUAAAGGUACAUAUUUAAAACUUCUCUCUUCCCCAAGCUCUUUCAUUAACUUGCUAAAAUAAGAUUCAAGGCUUUGAAUUCAAUUUUUUUAUGAUUAAUAUUUAAAAAAAACAGUUUUAAGCAAUUUAUAAAUACAAGUUUUAAUGUUUCUUAUAAUUUCAUCUUGUACUUUCAUAUGUCUUGAAUUUAAGAUUAAAAAAAAAACUCUAAUAGCAAACCAAACACCUCCACAACUUAUUAUUAUUAUUAUUAUUAUUAUUAUUAUUAUUAUAUAUUUUUUAAUUUGUGGUGAGGUUUGAAACAUUCAACUCAAUUUGUACUUGUUACAGAAUUUGAUUCUUUGAGAGAUUUAGAGGAGCUAGACAUUGGCGGGAACAAGAUUGACAAAUUUGUGGUCUCAAAAGGUACUACAAAUACCAUAAAAAAAAUAUGCUAACUUUUACAAAUUAGUUAGAUUCUUUGCCAUUUGGUUUAUUAUUUUACAGGUUUGAGUAAGUUGAAGUCUCUUGGUUUAAGUGGUAUCAAACUCAAUCGUAGCAUCUUAUCUUCUCUUUCUUCGUUAAGAGAAUUAGAUAUAAGUCGUACGGGAUUCAAAGGAACAUUUGAUGUUCGAGGUAAGCCUAAACCUUGCUUUCUCAUUUUAUAUAUGCCAACUAGAUUUGUGUAUCAUCGACAUAAUUUAAUAUUUAAUUUGAUAAGUCUGAAGGAAUUACAUGCUAAUUUAAACACACUUUUAUUUACUUUGUCAAUUAAUCAAUUAAUUACUAUUUGGCUUGGUUUGGACGAAAUUCUCAUGAUGUUUUAAUUUCUUUAAAUUAAUUAAUUAAUUAACUCUGUUUUUAAGUCUUAAGUCUGGGCAUGUUUGCAGAAUUUGAUUCCUUCAAUAACUUAGAAGUGUUGGACAUGAGUUGGAACGAAAUCGACAAUCUUGUGGUUCCUCAAGGUAAACAAUUAAAAUAUUAUUCAAUUACAUUAUUUUAAUUCAUUUGAUUAGAGAAGGCCAAAAAGGUAAAAAAAAAAUUCAAUAAAGAAAUAGAGAAUUUGUAUUAUUUAAAAAACAGAAUGUAAUAAAGAUUUGAUUCUAGUUCUUUAAUCUUUAAAGCGAUUGAAAAACAAUGUUGGUCUUUUCGCAAAGCAUAAAAUACGAAUUGAAUGCCAAUUAACUUAAUCAUUCAUUUCGUUUAGCUCUAAAUUUAGACAAUGAAUUUUUAUAUUAUUUCAAAAACAGGACGUAAUAGAAUUUUUUUAAAAAUAGAUUGUAAUGAAGAUUUGAUUCCAAUUCUUUAAUCUUUACAGUGAUUGAAAAACGAUACUACUUCCCAAAGCAUAAAAUACGAAUUGACUCUCAAUUAAAUUAAUCAUUUAUUUCGUUCAUCUCUGAAUUUAAAUAAUGAAUUUUGAUCUUCAAUCUUUUCCUAAUUAUUAUUAAUAAACAGGUUACAGAGGUUUGAGGAAGUUGAAAAGCUUUGGUCUAUCGGGAGUUGGAAUUAGAGAUGGAAGCAAGUUGUUACAGUCAAUGAGAUCAUUCCCAUCCCUCAACACUCUUGACCUGACCGAUAAUAAUUUUACCAAUAUAGCGACCGCUACUCAAGGUAAGUAAAAGGUACAGAUGUGGCCAAAUUUAUAAAUAAAUUGUUUAUUAAUUAAUUUUUUCGUAUUAUUAAUUAAGCUAAAUUCGUUGCUCCUUCCUUCUAAAUCUAAACAGAGUUGCACAAUUUCACCAACUUGGAAUAUUUGACAUUGCACGGUUCCUCUCUCCAUAUAAGCCUUCUGCAAAGCAUUGCAUCAAUAUUCCCUUCGUUAAAAAAUCUGUCGAUGUCUUUUUGUGAAGUCAAUGGUGUUGUACGCGGUCAAGGUAAAAGAAAAGCGUUGAUUGUGAACUCACUCAAUGGUGUCCUACGUGUUCAACAUUUUUAUUUAUUAAUUUAUUUAUUGUUUAAUGUUUCUGCUAGGUUUUCCUCAUUUCAAGAGUUUGGAACAUUUUGACAUGAGCUCCACACGCAUUGCACUCAACACCAGCUUUCUUCAAAUCAUCGGUGAAUCGAUGCCUUCUCUUAAGUACUUAUCACUGUCAUAUUCUACUCUUGGCACUAACAGCAGCAGGAUUCUUGAUCAAGGUUAAUGAGAUGCUGCCACCCUCCCUUCUUAAUCUAUAAUAUUAAUUUUCGAUUAAAUAUUUAAUUACACAAACCAAUCACUUAUUAUAAAAGAAUAAUACGCAUUCAUUAAUUUUUAAAUUGUAUUAAUAAUUGAUGAAUUUAAUAAAUUUUCAGGCCUCUGUUCGUUGAUGCAUCUACAAGAGUUACACAUUGCUUAUAACGAUUUAAGAGGUAGCUUGCCUUGGUGCUUGGCAAAUAUGACAUCCCUCCGAAUAUUAGAUGUUUCUUCCAAUCAACUUACUGGAAGCAUCUCCUCAUCUCCCCUCGUUCAUUUGACAUCCAUUGAAGAGCUGAGGCUUUCAUACAACCACUUCCAGAUCCCAAUUUCACUUGAACCACUUUUCAAUCAUUCAAGACUCAAGAUUUUUUAUGCUGACAACAACGAACUAAAUGCAGAAAUAACUGAGUCACAUUCUUUGACCGCCCCAAACUUCCAAUUAUCACGUCUCUCAUUGUCUUCCAGUUACGGAGACAGUUUCAUAUUCCCCAAAUUCCUUUACCAUCAACAUGACCUGGAGUAUGUUGAUCUCUCACACAUAAAGAUGAAUGGAGAAUUUCCAACUUGGUUGUUGGAAAACAACACAAAAUUGAGACAACUUUCUCUCGUCAAUGAUUCUCUUGCAGGACAUUUCCGGUUGCCAAUUCAUUCACACAAGCGGUUAGGACUGUUGGAUAUAUCCAACAACAACUUCCGAGGCCACAUUCCAGUAAAAAUUGGAGAUGUUUUACCAAGUUUAUACGUUUUCAACAAUUCCAUGAAUGCUUUAGACGGUAGCAUUCCCUCUUCAUUUGGUAAUAUGAAAUUCCUCCAAAUUCUGGACUUAUCCAACAAUCACUUGACUGGUGAAAUCCCCGAGCACUUGGCCGUGGGUUGCGUCAACUUGCAGUCUCUUGCAUUAUCAAAUAACAACCUACAAGGUCAUUUGUUCUCUAGAAAUUUUAACUUGACAAACUUGCAAUGGUUACAAUUGGAGGGCAAUCGCUUCGUAGGUGAGAUCCCACAAAGUUUGUCUAAAUGCUCCUCACUAGAAGGAUUGUAUCUUAACAAUAAUAGUCUUUCGGGUAAGAUUCCACGAUGGUUGGGUAAUCUCACAUGGUUACAAUAUAUUAUACUGCCCAAUAAUCAUCUUGAAGGCCCUAUUCCAGUGGAGUUUUGUCAGCUUGAUUCGCUUCAGAUUUUGGACAUUUCAGACAACAACAUAUCUGGAAGUUUACCAUCUUGUUUCCAUCCUCUCUCUAUCAAACAAGUUCAUCUUUCAAAAAAUAUGUUACAUGGACAGCUAAAAAGAGGUACAUUCUUUAAUUGCUCUUCCCUUGUGACAUUAGAUCUUAGUUAUAACCGCUUGAAUGGCAGCAUUCCGGAUUGGGUUGAUGGGCUUUCUCGGUUAAGCCACCUUAUCUUAGGUCACAAUAAUCUUGAAGGUGAAGUGCCAGUUCAAUUGUGCAAAUUGAACCAACUACAAUUGUUAGAUCUUUCUAAUAAUAAUCUUCACGGUCUUAUUCCUCCUUGCUUUGAUAACACCACACUUCAUGAAAGUUACAGCAAUAGUUCUAGUCCUGAUGAGCAAUUUGAAAUAUUUUUUUCCAUCGAAGGCCCUCAGGGAGGUGUAGAAAAGCAAAUCCAUGAAAAUUUUGAGUUCACAACAAAGAACAAUGCAUACAUUUACCAAGGAAAAGUGCUUAGCCUCCUAUCAGGACUUGAUCUUUCUUGCAACAAGCUAAUCGGUCAUAUUCCUCCUCAAAUUGGAAAUUUGACAAGGAUUCAAACAUUGAAUCUAUCGCACAACAACUUGACAGGAUCGAUCCCAUCAACAUUUUCAAACUUGAAGUAUGUCGAAAGUUUGGAUCUUUCCAACAACAAAUUGAAUGGGAAAAUCCCUUAUCAACUAGUGGAGUUAAAGACAUUGGAGGUUUUCAGUGUGGCAUACAAUAACUUAUCAGGCGAAAUUCCAGAAUGGAAAGCACAAUUUGCAACCUUCAACGAGAGUAGCUAUGAGGGAAAUAUUUUUCUUUGUGGACUGCCAUUGCCUAUUUGCAUAUCACCAACAACUACGCAGGAGGCUUCAAUUGACAAUGAACGAGAUGAUAAUUUAAUUGACAUGGACAGUUUCUUUAUCACAUUUACAACAUCGUACGUAAUUGUGAUAUUCGGAAUUGUUAUUGUUUUAUAUGUAAAUUCUUAUUGGCGACGUAGAUGGUUUUACUUUGUUGAAAUGUGGAUAACUUCAUGUUAUUAUUUUAUUGUAGACAAUCUUAUUGCAACAAGAUAUUGUCAUUGAAAUUAAUUAGCAGUUUAAUUACCAUUCUUUAAGUUCUAAUCAAGUUUGCUUAGGAAAUAAAUUUAUUUUUAUUUUUUAUUAAAAUUGUAGUAGUAUUUAGCGCUAUAUAGCUUCCAACUUCCGAGCACUUCACAUUUGUCUCUACACUUCCAAACCCAUAUCUGUCCACCAUAACUUAUACUUCCUUAUACUGUGCAGCAUACUUAAAUAAGAGAACCAUCUCCAAUGUUAAAACCAACCACUCUAUAACAUUCAUUUAGAAACUAUAUUUAGAAUAUUUUUAUAAUCAUACACAAGAAAUGAAACACCUAGAUGCACUUGAUCGCCUUUUUUUACUUUAAAAAAUAAUGAUUAUGGUGCUAUCAUCAUCUUCUUCACUAGCGUCAUUAACACCAAAUCCAGCGACGGACCCAUACAUUUUAUCAAGAAAGGUAUAUAUAUAAUAAAGUUGAAGCUCGACAAAAAUUCAGGAAGAUUGAUGCCUCGCCACAACAAGGGGCACACCAACAUCAAAGUAGAGAUGAAGCAAUAUUCUCAAAGCUAAAACUCUCAAAUCCACCCACCAGAAUUUCAUAUCCCUCAACAAUUUUAAGAACUAAAGAUAAUUAGGAUCUAACAUUAGUUUUUUAUAUAUUAGUUUCAUAAUUUACAAAUCAAUGAAGAUGAAGAUUAUGCUAAUGAAUUCAAAUUAUACCAUACAUUCUCGAGAUGUUACCAAAAAUUUCUAAGUCAAUCCCACAUAUUUCAUAAUUUUAAGACUAGAAAAUUUCAUUAGUUAGAAGUUUAUUACCUUCAAGUGGAAGAUGAAGAACAUUAUACAACUGAUUCAGAUUAUAUCAUACAUACUCCAAAUGCAACUAGAAAUUAACAAGUUCAUGCGCACAGAUUUCAUAACAUUAUGAUUGGAAAGUUUCACAAAGAGAAAUUCUAAAUUCAAUCUAUUGCAUCAAGGUAGUUUGAUUGAUUUGAGUUACUUUCUGAUCAAGCUACUAAUAUAACAUUCAAGUCAGGGAGAAAGUAAAUUAAAUCUGAGAAGAAAUAACAAUAAAAAUUUGUUGCUAAACAUGAUGUGUAUUUUUUUUUCAAGGCAAUUUGGAAACACAGUUGUUACUACAGAUAUUCUCCUCAACUUAGAGAUAAAUACAAAUAUUAAAAUGCAUAUGAUCGCACAUAUUACUUGGAGCUUAGUAAGAUUUCAUAAAGAGAAGAAAUCAAACCACUUAUCAAUUGUUGCAAUCGUUCUAUAAGCUAAAAUAGCAAUAUAAUACAAGAAAAGGAACAUAUAGAUACUUGGCAAGAGUUCAUUAAGAAGUCGCAUCACAUUCGGGUGAGUUUGCUUCUGAUAUCUUGCUAGCGGGGGCUUUUUCUUGUCUUUCUACGUAUGCCGAGGGAAACUAACCAGCUUGGCCCUUGCAUUCACCUUCUGACCAUCCAGUAGGAGCCACCUUGAGAAGUUAUAACUAAAACAGUGAAUUAAACAAAAGUUGACCGUUCAAAGACCUAAGGGGAAAACUAAUUCUUUUACGUAGGAGGAGUGAAUUAGUUGUGAUCACUGAAAUAACAGCAUAACUAUGGAAGCAUAACAAGAUAUAAAUUCACACGUCUAUAAGGGUAAACUGGGUGGUUUAGAACUGAGCUAGCAACCCUACUAUAUUCUGAUUUGCACUUCAAUGUAAAAGGGAAUAUAUGGUAGGAAGAAAGAAAACCAACCAUCAUUUGUUAACUCAUUGCUUUUCAAUCAAAAUUUUAAGAACAAAAUGCCAUGUGCUUUGAACAUCAAAUAAGUAUAAGCAUUAGUUCUAAAUUCCACAUAUCAUAAGUUAGAAGGAUAAGUUAAUAGCAUAGUAGAAAAAUCUCUGUGUUGUUAUUUAGAGGGGAAAGUACCAGGCGAACCACAACAUAAUCAUCAAUUGAAAGACUUAGCUCUCCAUUUGCUUGAGCAUCAAAUGGAUGUAUAACCUGCAAGAUAAUGGGAUAAAUAGAACUUAAAUCUUAAAAAAAGCAUAACAAAAGCAGCAACAGUAGCAGCAGCGUUCAUUGUAACCACUAUGAUCAUGGCCAACAAAGAUAUAUUAGAAACAAAAUUCCAUUUUUACUACGACAUUAAUAUGUACUAUAUGAUAUCAUGACGAUAGGGUUACCAAGAGCUAUCAAAGUCCAAUAAAUUCUGUAUAACUUUAUGUAGUUAUUCAAAUUAUGGAUCAGAUUUUAAAUCUGAAAUUUUGACUGCUCUCCACAAAACAUGGCCUAUGCACAAGAAAGUCAUAGAUAAUGAGGAUUACAAGUGUCUGACAUCUUUUGAGUGAUGGAUUUAACAUGAGAGCUUAUGGUCAGUCAAUUUCCUCUGCCUAGCAAUAUAAGCUUUUUCGGCCAGAUUUAUCAUCAAAUACAUAGAUUGCCCCCAAGUCACAUCCAUAUAAACAUAGUUUUUCUAGGUAAACCAAGUAAGGAAAAUCAUAAUUCAGACAUAAUCAUAAAAAGACCCAUCUAACUUUCUUUGGCAUGCCUAACUCAGCUUUGAUGUUGCUGAGAUAUUGAUAGUAGAGACACAUGAUACUUCUAGCUCAUGCAUUCUAUCUAGCUCAUCUGACAGCUAUCUCUUUUUUAAUUCAUUAGUGUUUGCUAAACCUCAUGCUUAAGAGUCCUGUUCUCCUAAACAAAGUUUUCUAAGAAUGACUUCCUCAGCACCACAUUUGGACACUUUUAAAGCAAUUUUAUUUGGGGGAAAAGAAUUUUCAAGGUGUUAACUAAUAAAUUUUAAAAAAUAAUUACAAUUUGUCCUACGAUUAUAUGACAAUUUAUCUGGGAUGAACGGAUACAGACAAACAUCUUCCACUUUUAAGACUAAUCACUACUUCCGUAGAUGUUUUGCAAUAACACAAAUGCUUGACCAGAUGGUAGUGAUGGUAGAAAAAAAUUUUAUUGCUCUAAAAUUAAAAUAAGAAUGCAAUAUGUUAAGCAAAAGACUGUGCAACAUCAAAUUAAUUGAUAAGUUUGUAAUUCAGUAAAUUAACAACUUUCAUGGUAAAAUACAACAAAUUUCUUUUCAAAAAAAAAUCUUAAAAGACAGCAUUCAAUUUUGUGCGCAUCUUAUUUCUUAAGAUUUUCCAGGAGGGCAAUACAGGGACUUUCACCUACGCAAGAGAGCAAAAGCCUUACUUUCGCUAUAAAGUAGACGUCAUUCUGAUUAAUAUGCGUUUGCAAAUCAGCUCCAUUUGAAUCAGUAUUCUGAUAGACACAUGAGGCAUUUACAUCCAUUUCCAAAGUCACAUGUUGCGAGGAGGACUCAUUUGAUUGCUCCUCUAGGAUCAUCUAAUUCAAGUAGCAAGGGUUGGAAGAGAAUAAAAAGUCACAAUUAUUCUUUUGCAUAAGUGAGACGAAAAUGAUAAAUGCACUAUUAUCAGCAGUAAACAAGAAGAGAACACUCCAAGGAAUAGAUAGAUGCGGACAAGCAAGUUAAAAUGCAAAGUUCCAAACCUCCGCAUACAACUUCUCUAAAAUAGCAAUAAUGUGUUGAUGAUAUGUUUUCUCAGCAUCUACCUGCAAAGGCCCGAGACUAGGAAAACAACAAUAAAACCACUAGCUAAAGGAGAAAGUAAAUAAAGAAAUACACUUGACAUAAAUCUUGACAAGAAGCACAAUUUAAGACAUAACAAACCCCAAUCAUAUUGUUUAGAACUACCAUUCGUUAUUUCGUUAUUGUAGCAUUUCGAACAAGUGUUGACUUAAUUCAACAUUGUUGGAAAGAUAGGCUUUUAGAAGCGGAAGAAAGCCACUCAAACCAAAGUGAUUAUCCUUGUAUUGAUCAAGGGAUGUAAACAUAUUACAUUUGCAGGAUGAGUUUUAAUCACUCCCCUGAUUUAUUUGGGUUGCAGUAAAACUAAGCGAGCAACUGUUUGACUUUCAAGCAACAUCUAAAUCAGCUAUUAAAAUUCAAAUAAAAUCAUAAUAGAAUAAUAACAGGCCAUCUUGCAUCAAAAAUUAAGUUUAAUUUGUGAAUUUUUUUCUAUAGACAUGUUAGUUCCUGCUAUUGAAAUGUUAAAAGCAUUGAAAAAUUAUUCAAUAAAUUAUGCAAACAUUAAAAUAGAGGACAUAUUAAAAAGUUUCUAAUUACAAUGUUAUGAUUUCCUAUAUUUUAGCAUUUGCAUAUUUUAAUUUAUUUAAAAGCUACGUCGAUCAACUUUGGGCGUGAAGAUUUUAGCUUCUACGAGACUUGAUUGGAAUAUGCAUAAGGAAGAGUGUUAAAAUAUGAUGCAUCCAACGAAAGACAAACCACGUGUAGUCUUUUAAUUAAGCCAAGAGUAGUGCUAGAGAGAGAGAAGCACGAGAGAAGGACGAGAGAAUUUUGCCCCUUUCUCUCUACCCACUCAUUCUCUCUCUACCCCUUUUUUCAUUGUUUCUCUCGUCUUUCUCUCGUGUUUCUCUACACCAAGCAUUUUCCUUAAGCCAAAGUAGCAGCUCAAACAAAUGACACUUGGACCAACAUGCAAUCAUGAAGUGGCCGGAAAAAGGACAAAUGCAACUUUGGCUUAAAUAAAAAAUAACAUGUGACUUGACUUUUGCUGGACAUGCAUCAUGUUAUUACAAGACAACAGAAAUCAGUAUGAUAGUACUAAAAGUUGACAAUAACAUGAAGAUAAGAGGCAGAAUGUCAACAAAUGCAUAGGCACACACAAGAAAGUAUUAACUUAUAUACCAUAGCAAAAAGUCUUUGAUAUGUCAUCUGUUGCUGCUGUGAUUCAACUGACAGCAUGGCAGCUGUCGCUUCUCUACCAAGAGCCAUUAUUGUAGAUUUAAGCUCGGUCAAUCUUGCUUCUGCAUUUCGAAGCUUCACAGCACUCUCUGCUGAUAUAUCAGAUUCCCUAAUCUUUGAUCGGCGCCUAAAUACUUCAGCUGCCUGGUGAAAAUAUUCAAUAUAAAUCUAACAUAAUUCUAAUCUUGCCUUAUACAUGCAUAUGUUAACUCAAAGCUUACCUGCGCUUCAACUUCAUGUCGAAGUUUGUCAUAACGAUGAGUCAGGUGUCGAGCAUCUUCCAAAGGUGCUCCAUUGAUUAACGCCCGUAGUGGCUCAGAUACCGACAUGUCCAAAAACCUGUAACAUAGUUAGAAAAAUGAAAAGAAAGAGCAAAACCUCAAUUAAAAAGUUCCUCCAACAUAAUCAUGGAAUUUGGGCCUACUUCAAGGAUAUAUAUAAGGAUAAUUUAUGCAAUUUUGGGUCUAAGGAUGAUUCAUAUUAGGUUAGUGUUCUUCUCUUCUGUAUUUAAGGUUAAAAUAGAAAUAAACCUAUGAAAAUAUCUAAAUUAGGGCUGUAAGACUUCCACAUGCAUCCUUCAGUCUCAUGGAUUUGAUUUUACUAUAGAUGCAAGUGUCUUUAUCGAAAAUGCUUGGAGUCAAUUGAGAGAACUCACGGCCAAUAACUUGUCACACGCUAGUCUUUGCUAGUGAUGUAAGAAGUCACAAGGUCUCUUCAACAUUUGAACCAAUAAAAUUAUUAAGUCAUGGAUGUCACUAGCAAUGAUUUUAAUAUAAAACAUUACAUAUUUCAGAGUUGAAACUUUAAAAUGGAUUCUUUUAUUCAGUAUCUUAGAACUAAGUUUCCUUAUGAGAAGAUAAUAGUUUCAGUAGUAAUUUACAUAUAAUUUUCUAUAUUUGAAUUAUUUUCUAGUUAGGGAUGAACUAACCUGAUCACGAAGAAUCCCAAGCAAAGUUUCCCUCUCAUUUUCCAUCAAAUCAUGUGAAGUGCCAAAUUGAAGAGCAGCUCUUGCAACGCAAGAAUUGUCACUUUGAUUCUCCACUCCAUACUUGCAACAAUCUUCGGCCAACUUUCUCGCUACAAUAUUUGAAUACAAAAAUAUUGUACACGAGAACUAGUCAAGAAAAUUAAAAAAAAAAAAAAUCAAAUAUUAUAACGAGAGCAAGAGCAAACAAACAACCUAUUUCCAUUUGUUUCAAGCUUACUGCAACAAACCCUUCAACGCCACGGACAACAUUCCUCUGAAAAUGCUGCGCUACAGAGCAUAUAUUCCAAAUUAUUGUUCAGAUAAAACCAUACAAACCAUCAUAAUUAUUCAACAUACAUUAAGCUCCGUUUGGUAAAUACUUGCAACUUCAGUCCAGAAAAUACAGUUAAUUUUUAUUUAAAAAACAUCAUAAUUAUCAACAUACAUAUUUGACAAAAUUAUUAUUUAAAAAUCAUAACUAAUUACCAAAAGCCACAAUAAAUCAAUAUCAAACAGUCUUAUUAUUAGCUAAAGGAGGAUAGUACCUUAGCUGCCCUGGUGGAAUUGUAUAGAUUUUGAAGUUGUUGGUGACACUCAAUUUCAGAUUCAUCAACAUUUUCAAUACCAAGAUGGAGCAGAUGCUUCAAUACUGCCUGUACAAACCAUAAAAAACUAAUGAAAAAUAAAUAAAAUCGAGAAAUUUCACUAAAUAAAAGUCUAAAUAUAAUUUUUAAAAAAAGAAAAGAAACGGACUUGCUGCUGCUUGGCGACUUGUUCUCGGAGCUUGAUUGCCUGUUUCUUGAUAGCUUCCAUACUGUUUCUUUCAAAAAGCGACGACGGCUCAGCUCAUGGAGGUGGAAAAAAAAAAGUGUGAUGGAGAAAAAUAAAAAGGCAUGAAUAAUUUUUGACAAAAAGCGAAAAUCAAGGAAAGCCAGCUCUUUCCAGAAAAAUAAAAAAGAAAAAAGAAAAUUAUAAGUUUGAAAGGAGAAGAUGAUAGUGGAAGUGUGCGGUGUGGCUGCCAGCUACUUGGAUUUUACUGUUGGGUAAGGUAAUAGUAGAGAAUUUUUUUUUUUUUUUAAGAAAAAUAGUAGAGAAUUUUUUAAGAAGCUAGAACAGAGCAUGACAUUAGACUUUUGUGGACCAAAUUCAAAAGCCGAAUGGCACGGCCCAGAAGCUUUUGAAUAGAAAAACUUGCAUCAGCCUCAAUCACUUCUUAAUCGCUUGCUUUAACUGCAUCGCUCUCUCUGUGCUCUUCUAUAUAUGUAACGGUUAUGCGGUUGUAGUUCACGACUGAGGCUACGUGUUGGUUUGACGUGGCAGUUACGUUACUAGGGGAUAAAUAAGAUUGGUUUCAACAAACCCACUAAUUUUAUAAAAUUCGAGUAAUAUAGAAUAAAAUAAAAAAAAUAAAUACAAAAUUGGCUUUUAUUUUUUCUGGUUGACUGUAUUUUGUGUUCUCUUCCGGCACUACUACAAUUGUUCCCUAUAUAUUAGUCACACCCAUAUGUCAUUAACACAAGAAAUGAAAUCUAAUGUCACCUAUUUAGUUAAAGAAUCACUUAUGAAAAAAUUUUACCAUUUUGAUUUGAGGAUCCAUAUUUUGAACUGCAAACUAAUGUUCAUCAAGAACAGAGUAUGACUUAUGUGUAGAAAAUUUUAUGAUUUUGGCCCGAAAUAUAAGGAAAUUAAAUUAGAUGAGAAUCUGCCACUUUCUCAUGAAGAAAGGCAUGCGGAGCAUACCAUGGUACCAUACGGAGAAUAUUAGAACCUCCCUAGAAUAUCUUUACCCUGAUGUUUCUAACAAAAAUCUGCAUGUGGCAGCAAUUACUAGAUCUACAAUUUCCCAAAUAAUAUUUUGUGUUUCUUAAAAAAUUUGAAAUACAUAGUUGCACUUGCACACCGUGAGACAGUGCUACAAUCUACUGAGAUCUAAAUUAUAUGAGACUUUAAGCUACUAAUGUUUGCAUAUUUCUACAUGUCAAAUUAACAUUACCAUCUAUAAUCCUAAACGACAGAUGAUAAACGGCUUUUGGCCACUUAUUACUAGCAUCCACAAUUAAUUUUUGUUCAGCAAUCAGCUUAUUUUAUAGAAAUUGAUUUAGUCAGCAACAAACACUAUAAUACUUGAAAUUAGUUCUUGUUCUUUGUAAUUUUCUAUGAUUUUUCAUAUAUCAAUUAAUCUGCAGUGCCAAGAUGAGGUUUAGUUUUCAAACUAAAUAAUCAAGUAAGCAAAAAUACAAAUUCAGAGAUUAGCGGGGUAAACUAGCUGGGUGGUUUAGAACUGGGCUAGCUACCUCCCUGUAUUCCUAUUUGUAAGGUGAAUUAAUUGAAUCAUGAGAAAACAAUGUGACCAUAGCUCAAUAUGAGAUGAUUUCGGAGAGGCAUAUUGUUUUCGAGUGAAUUUGAUCCAUUAAGAGAUGAAGUGGAUUGAAGUGGAAAGUUUAAAUAACAAAUCCUUGUUCUUGAGUUUUACGACGUCGUUACUCCUUCAGGUGGCAGAUUAUGCAAGUGAAUUCAAAAACACAAUGCAUCAAUCACGGGGACAAAAGACGGGAUCACAGUCUAUGCAUUGAACAGUUACAGUUGCUGCUACCAAUUGUUCGGCAAAGAUCAAGAAGACUGAACGGGAAGCUAAUGCCAUCAAUGUCGUCUUCACUAUAUCUGCUGGGAAUGUAGGUGAACUUUCCUCAUUUGCAGCUGUCUAUACAUAGGCUUUUCCCCAGCUUAAGUACAAAUAAAUGAAGCUGCCUUGAAGGCUUUAUUAUUGACCCCAAUAAGGAUUACUAAUUGAAGAAGACUAUACGGAGUUAAUCUCACAUUUUAGUUCUCUCAAUUUCUUUCAGAAGUGCCUCUGAAAAUAGCUGCCAAACCGUUAGUCAGCUUGUAUACUCUGUUUUCUGGAAACAGAGUAGCAUAUUUAAUCGUUUUAAUUGAAUUGUCUUCGUAGCGAUCAUCAACAAACUCAUCAUAAGAUUUUUGAAGCACCCAAGGACUAUCACUGGGUUUCUCUUCUGGUUGAUUUAUUAAUUAAUCAAAGAACGGUUGGAUGAAGUGCAAUGAUGGAGCAAAAUUUACAAUGUCUCCGGUUUCUCCUGACCAUCGGACUUUUGCAGUGAGAACAUAUAACAAAAAGACCUUCAUCAAAAUUUGUAGACUCCGGGUAUGGAUUGGAUCGAGUUUUUUGUUUGAUAUUGAAGAACCACUUUACUAUCGCGAUAUAGAUUAUGUGCAAGGGGUUGUCUACUGUUCUUUGCCUUGUGCUAUGAUCGGUGCUUUUGACGUUGCCCCGAAACAGUGGAAAAUACUUCGAUUUCCUCCGUUUGAUGAUGCAAAGAACUGGUUAAUGUACGAUUACCUAAUUGACUCAGGAUCAAGUAACAACAACAAUUUAUUAAUAGUAGUAUCACAAACGAAGAAGAUUUCGGAGAGGGUGAUGUAUGCCUAUACCGUUUACAGGUUUGAUCCACAGGGGAUGAAGUGGUCUCAAGUGGAAAGUGAUUUAUUAAACAACAAAUCAUUGUUCUUGGGUCAUACCUCAUGAUGUCAUCAAGUGGAAGAUGAAGAUUAUGCAAGACGAAGAUCGUUUGAUAUUGAAGAAUUUGAACAGAAAGCCCAUAGAAAGUACUUAAAUAAGCAUAUUCUUGUUGGGGUAGAAUAUUAAGAAAGGAGUUGUCUACUGUGUGUUGCGUGAUUAGGCUAUGAUCUGUGCUUUGAACAUUGCCCUCAAAACAGUGGAAAAUACUUCAUAUCCUCGACAUGAUGAUGAAAAAUUGGUUACCGAUUACCUAAUUGACUCAGUGACAACAAUCUAUUAAUAGCACAAUUUGGCGUGAUGCCGUUUAGGUAUAUGGUUUUCAAGUUUGAUUCAUCAGUGAUGAAGUGGACUAAAAUAAGAUGUUUAAAUGAUAAGUCAUUGUUCUUGGGCAUAUCGUCAUUACUACUUCUAGUGAUCAAAGAUGAAGAUGAAGAUGAAGAUGAAGAUGAAAAUUGUGCGAGUUCAAGAUUACCAUCAACUCAAUUUUAUGAUUGGAGUGUCUCACCGUGACUCAGACAAAUUCUGAUUCAACCUCCUUCACCAAUGGAUUUUGAUUAGUUAUUUUGUGAUCAAGCAACUUAAUUAAACUCACAGUUUGUUAGUCUAAUUUUAGUUUUACUGUGACCACUAUUCAAGGUAAGCGAAAGUUACAGAUGUGGCAAAAUCAAUAAUUAAAUUCAUAAAAUGUUAAAAAAUAAAACUUAUAAAUUUUGCAUGACUACUUACUAAUAAAUAAAUAAGUUAGAAUGUAGUUAGUUAAUUUUACACCAUAUUAUAUAUUAUUCGAUAAUAAUAUAAAAUAAAAAGAAUUAAAAAAUAAAUAAUUGAAUAAACAAAUAUGACUUUCUAAACAGUAAAAAUUCUAGAGUUAAAAUUUAUAUUAUUAUUUUAUUUUUUAAAAUUGACAUAUUUCUAUUAUCUUACAUGUACACAGAUUUUGAGAGUUGAGAAGAAUAUAUUUAAUGAAGCUUGCUAACAUUUGGUGGGAUAGCAAGUAAGGGUAAAUAAGAUUUUUUUGUUAUUUAUUUGAAUUAUAUCUAUUUUGUUCAAGUUAAAAUACUAAAUAUAAAUUGGAGGUAGACAUUUUAACAGAUCAUCUAAGCUCUCAAAUCUGAAAUUUUGUGUAGAUUUAAAUUCAUAAUUUUAGUUAAUUUUCAUACAUUCAUAUAAACAAAUUUAUGAGAUUUUUCUUUUCAGCAUGUUAUAUUUUGAAACUUUCAAUGUAUUAUUCUAGCUUUAUUUAAAUAAUUAAUUUAUUUAAAAUUUAUUUAAUUUUGAAUUUGAUCAAUAGUAAAAUUAUUUUUAUAUCAAAUUUUUUUAUUUAAAUAGUUCGUGGAUUGGACAAAAUUAAAAAUUUUUAAUCCACAAAAUGGUGGAUUAGAUAUGAAUUGGGUUAAAUACACAUUCGAUCCGCAGUCGUAUGAAUUUGAUUUGGAUUGAAUUUCAUCAAUCCAUGGAUUAGAUUGGAUUGAAAAAUUUAUUAUCCGCAAAAUCGUGGAUCGAAUAUGGACUGAUGUCCAAUCAGCAAAAUCCAAUCCCCGAACACUCCUCUAUCAAAAUUUUCAAGAAUAUUUUUUAUCUUACAAAUUUUUUUUAAAGUCAUAGUCUAAGGGCGGCCCAAUUUCUACUCCAUCCAUAUAAGCGGAGUUCAAAUCUCAUACCUCUUAUCUCCACACAAGAGAUUUAACCAAUUGAAAUAGCUAGCACCCACAAGUAUACUAGUACAGCAUCUCUUAACGUUUAACAUACGUAAAAUUAACGCCAUAGCUAUUGAUAAACACAUUGUUCAAUAUAUAUGAUCAAGAAUCUGAUCCUGCGAGCAACAGCAGUCAGAAGAACCAUUAUAAUGCCUAGCUCUUAUCCUGGUUAAUCCUCUGGCCCGAUGCUUCAUCAUAGUGAUUUAAAAAACCAACAACAGCUCUCUAAAAGAGAUGAAGAUAUCAUCUACGUAAAGAACAUGAGACGGAGAUUCACAACCCAUAAGAACUGAGAUAAAUUGGACCAGACCAGUAAUCUUGAGAUAAGUUAAACUGUGACUUAAGUUGAAAUCAGAGGACAGGAAUUUUAAAAUCUUUCGGCUAAGCCCCUGAGGAAUUUUCUAGAGUACGACUUCUGCUUACCUCUGUUUAAUUUCUCUUUAUAUUUUUCUUUCAUUUCAUUAAUAAAGUCAAAUAAUAAAUCAAAGAACGAGGGAAGAUUUUUCCAAGUCAUGCAUUAUUUGAUUACCAUCAAUCAAGAAACCGACCAAAUUAAUUUCUCUCCGUGAUUUUUAAAAAUUAAAAAAAAAAUAUUUGAGCAUAACAUCAUUAAUUAUAGAGUGGAUCAAACUGCGUUAAUCAUGAACUUUGUUGUGUUAAUUAUUUCAAUCCCCGAUUACGCAAUUUUUAAAUUAUAGCCUAACGGUGGUCUCAUCACCACGUGUGUGAUUUUCUUUUGCCAAUAGGAUCUGUAGAGAGCUUGAUCUCACCCAAUAGCAAAAUAAACUUCCUAAUAAGUGAAGGCAUAGUAUAAAUAAUUCACCCCCAUAUUAUUUAUUAGCAGCUUGAUUAUUUUAUAUGCAUCUUUGAUUUAAAUUUUUUUUUCCCAUAAUUGCUACUAUGUUCGAACUGGUCAUGAAUUAUCUAUAAGAUUUUUCAUGUUGCUUUUAGGUGCAUUGGAUUUUUUUUAGUUUAGUGCAAGAGUAGAGGAAGGCAAAUUAAGAAAAAGGAUAAAGAUCUAUGAUUAGCUAUUUUGGGAUGUCUCAUAACAUAUUGAUGGUAACAUUAUACAUAUGUAUAUCUAAAAAAUGGGGUUGGAUCAAGAGCCCAUUAAUAAUCAUAGAUUAGCUUAUAUAGCAAUUUCACAAGCACAUGUUAGCCUAUGUUGAGCUUUAUUAUCAAUAGUUCAUAGUUCAUCGGUGCACUGCAGGUUUACUAUUUGAAGUAAAUAUUAUGGUGCGUGCAUUUUUUAUAAGGCCAACUGCUGAAUUUAGCAUUGAAACUUACAAAAUGUAAUAGAGAGAGGUAGAUAACAGCCACAAAACACUAAGAUUGGAAAUCAGGGCUACUAAAUACUAUUACAAGCCCUUAGAAAAGACACUGAUCAUCCUAGAAUGUAUAUACUGAAAGUAAGAAAUAUUAAUCGCAAAGUUAUGUGCCAACAAAACUAUUGACUACUUGUCUCUAGCAGAAGGUAUAUAUUUUUAACUUCAGCUCUCUACUUUGUUCUAAGAACUAGGCAAAAGAAUGAAACUUCGGUGUCUAAAGUUUGCCGCUUGAAAUAUUUCACUGUCUAAACAUUCACUCACCACUUAUUUCAUAAAUGAAUUUUGUCUAACUAUAUGUUGAUAAAGAUAUUAGAGGUAAUAUAAUGCAUUUAAGACUUAACGUAUAUUUUUUAUUAGUAGAGUGUAGAAUUUUUAAGAAAUAAAUUAUUAAAUUACUAUAACUAACAUAUUAUUUUAAAGUUAUGUUAAGAAAAGAAUGAAAAUAAAAAAUAAAAAAAUAAGGGUAUUCUAAAACUUUGAUCCUUUUAAAAGUAGUUUUUGACGUAAAUAAAAUAAUUUUUAUUUUUUUUAAAUCACAUACUCUAGUUAAAAUCAAAUUUGUAUUUAUAAAGAUUGUAAAAUUUUUUUUAGCAUUAAUAUUUGAAUACUUUCAAGAUAAGAAAUAGGGUACUAAUUAUGCUACAACAUUAUUAUAGCACAUAAAAAGACAAUACCCUUUAUAUUAUUAUACUAUCGUUUUUGUUAUGAUAGUAUUUUGUUAGUGGUCAAAUAUUACUUUUUUAAAUAAAAAAGUAGACAAAUGUAAAUCAAUUUUUAAUCUCUCCUAAAAUUCUAAUUCCUAGUUACCAAACAAAAUUGUUUGAAAAUAAUUUGGCUAAGUGCAUGGGUUCUUAAAACUAUAGGUGAUAGAAGUUACAAGCACAAGCAAAUUUGACGGUCCAUUUUAUAAAAUUUUUAAUAAUUUUUUAUUUACCAUUUUACCACCUAUAUAAUGAGUGCCACAUCGACAAAUCAAUUCAUUUGCAAAUUAUAUUAAUUUUGUAAAAUUCAUUUGACUUGCUAAACCCUUCUUAUCCCCUUUCUCGACUGUCAUACCCUAACCUUAUUUCCCGUGUCCACACUUGACCACGCUCAAUUCAGGCCAUCAGAUUAUCCUGGACCCACAUUAAUCCAACUGCUCACAAUGACCGACAGCCUCUCCAUCUCCAUUUCAAGCUUCCUCUUCAACUGGCUUCUGCUUCCGUCGUACUCUUUCUUGGAUUCGGAGUCCGUAUUUGCUCGGCCGGUCCCGCACAGCUCCCUCUCACUCCAAUUGUCACCCAACAAGACCAAUUGCUUAACAUUGACCGUAUGGCAAUUGUCCGUAUUUCUUGGAUUCGGAGUCCGUAUGGCACAGAACAAGAAGAGGAUGAGAAAUUGAAACAAGAAUUUGAGAAUUGGAAAUCGAAAACGUACGCAUUGACCGUGCCUUUGAGGGCAAUUACUUUUCUUGAGAAUUGAAGUUUGGUAAUGUAAUUUGUUCUCCAUCUGUGUUCCCUUUGUAGUCAUUUCAUUUAUUUGUUUGUUUGCUUUUAUUUGCACUUACGAAGUCUCAGAUAUAUCUACGCAGGAAUGAUGCAGGAGAAAUUGAUCCUCGAGCUUACAAGAAAAGUAAAUUUCGAAAGCAUAAUUUGGCUCCGAUUGAGGUAAUAAUUGUCUUUAAACUCAUUUAGUUUUAUAUCAAACAAAAUAAAGGCUGCCUUUCUCUUCAAUAUUUUUUAUGAUAAUAUCUUUAGAAGCAUCUCAUUGACGGGUAAUCAUGGUAUCCCUUAAAGAGUCUAUAAACUCAAUGAUAUUUUCUUCUGCAAAUGGUUCAUUAAACUUCUUAGACGUAGUUAAAUGUACACUAAGAACAACGAGAAGCUAUGCCGCUGUAGCAUGUAGUGAGAUCUUGUUUGAAGUUGUUUUCUGAAAUGAACUGCCAAAUGGUAGUUUUUUAUUUCUUGGGUGCAUUUGAUGACUCUUUUCUCCUCAUUUUAAGCAUGUACCUGCUUGGAAUGGGAAGGAAUAGGCUUCCGAGUUGUUAUAUAUGUUGACAUGCUCUGAUCAUUACACAAAAUGUUCAAAUUGGAAAUUAGAAUGAGAUAUUUGUCGAUGCUUUUUGAGAGAUCUGCAUUCUAUGCACCAUAACAUGAUUAAUGAAAACAGGUUUAAGGACUGGAAAGAUCUGUGGCGGCCCAAGCUUGCAGGAAGGAUUUCAAUGGUUAAUUCUCCCAGAGAGGUUAUUGGUACAGUUUUGAAGUAUAUGGGAGCAUCAUACAAUUCAAACGACAUUGAUUAGCAAGUUGCUGCUGGGAGGAUUGCUGUUCAGCAGAAUCUGGCAUUACUGGGAAACCAGGUACUCUUAAAGAAAUGAUAUCUGGUCAAUGCAUAUUACUGCCUGAGCUGAUUUUGUUUGUAAAGUCUGCCUCUUCAUACAUAUGAAUGCAUAUGUUAGUGUUUUCUUCUCCUUUUAAUACACAUGAAUGCAUAUGUUAGUGUUGUCUUCUCCUUUCCAUAAAUAUGAAUGCAUAUGCUCUGGGUGUUGGUUACUACUUCAAGUGGAAGGUGAAGGUGAUGCAAGUGAUUUCAGGAGUACAUAUAUUCCAAGGAUGCUGGACUAUUAUUGCUUCCCCCCAUAUUUCAGAAUUUUUUGUCAACCUCCUCCACUAAGGGAUUCCAAUUGAGUUACAAAUAUAUUUUCUGUAGCUAUGUUUUAAAGUUUUGGUCUCAUGUUAAUUUUUCUAAUUACUAUUCUUCAACAAAUCUCUUUUACUUUAAAAAACUGCUACAGUUUGAUUUUACUGCCUUAUAUCAUUGAACAUUGAUACAUGGAAUUUGAAAUCAGACUUGUAACAACAGAUAUAUAGAUAUAGAACAUGCAUAUAAUCUCCAUUUCGAGCUCCCUCUCCAACUGGCUUCUGCUUCCGUCGUACUCUUUCUGGGAUUCGGAGUCCGUAUUUGCUCGGCCGGUCCUGCACAGCUCCCUCUCACUCCAAUUGUCACCCAACAAGACCAAUUGCUUAAUCAAGGCACAGAACAAGAAGAGGAUGAGAAGUUGAAACAAGAAUUUGAGAAUUGGAAAUCGAAAACGUAUGCAUUGACUGUGCCUCUAAGGGUUGUUUCUCUUCAGAAUUCAGUGCCUCAAUCUUGGGUUAAGGAUUUUAUGCGAAGUCAAGGAAAGAGAUUGAAGUUUCAGAUGAAUUUGUGUGCUAGCAUUGGUGGGAUCUUUAACAAUUUAUCUGUGCCCUUUAACAAAGUUAAGGGUAAGUCAGCUUCGUAUACGGCUGCUGAUUUGGUUAGUGUUGGUGAUUCAUGGCUCAGUUUUGCGAUUAAAAAGAGAUUGAUUGAGCCAAUAGCUGAAGCUGAAGAUCAAGAUUGGUUCAAAUGCUUAUGUCACAAAUGGAAGGUAACAUACUAACAUCUUUAUCUUUGACCCGAUAAUUUUUAUUGUCUUACAUUGAAAUUUGGUAAUGUAAUUUGUUCUCUAUUUGUGUUACCCUUUGUAGUCGUUUUAUUUAUUUGUUUAUUUGCUUUUAUUUGCACUAAUGAAAUCUCAGGUAUAUCUACGCAGGAAUGAUUCAGGAGAAAUUGAUCCUCGAGGUAAAAUAUGGGCGGCACCAUACAGGUGGGGCACAACGGUGAUAGCCCACAAGAAAAGUAAAUUUCGAAAGCAUAAUUUGGCUCCGAUUGAGGUAAUAAUUGUCUUUAAACUCAUUUAUUUUUAUAUCAAACAAAAUCAAGACUGCCUUUCUCUUCAAUAUUUUUUAUGAUAAUAUCUUUAGAAGCAUCUCAUUGACGGGUAACAAUGGUAUCCCUGAAAGAGUCUUUAAACUCAAUGAUAUUAUCUUCUACAAAUGGUUCAUUAAACUUUGUCGUUGUAGUGAAAUGUACACUCAGAGCAAUGAGAAGCUAUGCCACUGUAGCAUGUAGUGAUGGCACUUAAUAAGUGAGUUGCUAGGAUGUGAACUAGAAAAAUUAAAUAUUGUCUCCUUGGGUAUGCUAGCUCAUAAGUCAGGGUUAAUAUUAGAGCUUAAGUUACUAUAACCAUGAGACGCUAUUGACUGCCAAUUAAAAUAUCCAUUAAAUUGUCUAGGAAGUUAUGAAAGUGGAGGUAUCUUCCGAUUUCUAAGGCCAGAUAGUAGACAUCAUCCAGGAUCCUAGGAAAGUGCAGUUAACCUCCUGCUCGAUGCAAUUAAUAAAUUUGGUCAAUGCCACUGAAACCUGCAAACCGACGUCACAAUGCAAGAUGAGCACUUCAAAAUGGGACAGACGGUCAGUAGCACUAAAUUUUUCUUUCCCAAGAUUGAGCAAUUGGUCUAACAACUAACCCCUAUUGUAGGUUGAUCAUUAUUUUUCCAAUUAUGUUCAGUUUGACCCAAAAAGUUACAGAAUCUUGAGCUGAAUAUUGUCACUGAACACUGUCAAUGUCGUUUAGCAUACCCAACUAACUUGAGUUUGGUAAAACAAACACACUGUGUGUCUCAUCUCUCACAAUUCAAAUUAUCAUCUGUAAUGAUGGAGAAUUUUUCCGAUGUAUGAAGUAUGCUUUGAUACGUGUACCUUGGAGAAGAUAUCUCCAAAUAAAGAAUAUGGAGAGAAAACGGUUCAGUAGUUUAUUAUUCUGUAGGCAAUUCUUGUCUCAAAAAUGGUCAAAAUUUAAAUGAAUAAGGACAGGGGAUCUUCAUUCUUUUUUCCCUUUUUUAUACCAAGAUAUCUCUCAACCUUUAUAUAAUCCCCACUGGAUAUCUGCUUCUAAUAAUUAAAAUAAAAAUUUCACCCGCACAAAUAAAUACUGACCAAGCUCUAACAAUAAAAAGUAACAUCUUUACUCAAGUAAUUUACAGUUCCUCAUCAUCUUAGUGUGAGACUAUCAUUACGUUCCAAAAACAUAAUAAAACUGGUUUGAUCCUGUUUAUUGAUGUUUAAAUGUUGUUCAUUGUGACAUGUAGAAAUGAUGAGGCGAAGUUUAUUUGGUCAUCAAUUAGUAAGAUCUUGUUUGAAGUUGUUUUCUGAAAUGAACUGCCAAAUGGUAGUUUUUUUGGGCAUAUGAUGGCUCUUUUUUCCUCAUUUUCAACAUGUGCCUGCUUGGAAUGGGAUGGAUUAGGCUGCAGAGUUGUUAUAUAUUUUGAGAUGCUCUGGCCAUUGCACAAUUUGUUCACACUGGAAAUUAGAAUGAGAAAUUUGUUGAUGCUGUUUUGAGAGAUCUGCAUUCUAUGCACAAUAACAUGAUUAAUGAAAAUGGAUUGUAGGACUGGAAAGAUCUGUGGCAGCCUGAGCUCGCAGGAAGAAUUUCAAUGGUUAAUUCUCCCCGAGAGGUUAUUGGUUCAGUUUUGAAGUAUAUGGGAGCAUCAUACAAUUCAAGCGAUAUUGAUUCGCAAGUUGCGGGUGGGAAGAUUGCUGUUCAGCAGAAUCUGGCAUUACUGGCAAACCAGGUACUCUUAAAGAAAUGAUAUCUGAUCAUGCAUGUUAUUGCCUGACAACUGAUUUUGUUUGUAAAAGUCUGCUUCUUCAUACAUAUGAAUGCAUAUGUUAGUGUUCUCUUCUCCUUUUCAUACAUAUGAAUGCAUAUGUUGGUGUUGUCUUUUCCUUUUCAUACAUAUUAAUACAUAUAUUGGUGCUCUCUCCUGAGAUGGAUGCAAUAAAGGCUUUUGGUCCUAAAUUUAGCUGAAGAAAUGGCAAGGGAUGUGAGAUUCUGUCUCAUUAAAUUAACAAAAACCCAAAACAAUGAAAACCGAUAAUAAUGUGGUGGGGGUAAAUUGGCACCAUUUGGUUUGUUUCCUUAAUGUGAAUACACGAGCAAUAGGGACUAACAAAAUGAAGUGACAACAACAAGUCAGUGUCCUUUGAUGGAUGCAUUUUAGGCAGAAAUAGGUUUGUAAUUGACCAAUUUCAAAAAAUUUAAAUUAUGUGGUUAUUAGCUGUAAUGAAGGGGAUAGUAGGUGCAAUCAGGUGGAUCCAGGAAAGUUCAACAAAGUUCUGGUAUGGCAUAGUGAAAUUGGUUUGUGCAACUCAAGAGUCUUUCAGGUGAACGAUGAUACGUUUUGAUUUAUAAAUGUUAUAAAUCUACCGUCCAUAGUAUUCUAGUAGAGUCAUCUAUAAGUUCUAGUUAUUGAAAUUGUCUACUUUGUCCAGUUUGAGUUAAGGGCACAUGUAAUAGGAAAAAUAGUAUUCACAUCUUUUUGGUUACCUAACAUUUGAUCGAUCCUAUUAUGAGGGCUUCAAGAUGCCUGACAAUAUGUAGAAUGCCCAUGCUCCUCCCCAUUGUUUAUCUUAUACAAUAAUUUGUUUUAGAUGCUAAUAUAUUUGUCGAUACCGGUAACGAUAUUACAAUAUCUGCGUUUAUUGGGUUUUACAUAGGUUCGACUGUUUGACAGUACACACUAUCUGAAGGCAUUUGGAAUUGGAGAUGUAUGGGUUGCUGUUGGGUGGAGUAGUGAUGUUCUUCCUGCUGUCAAACGUAUGUCUAAUGUUGCAGUUGUUGUUCCCAAGUCUGGUGCUAGCUUAUGGGCCGAUCUUUGGGUAUACCCAUGCCUGCCAUUCUACUUCGAUAUUCACAUUGUUAUCUCCUUCAUUUUAGCGAUCAUAAACUUGAUAAUGUGACUAAUAAGUUCGUAUUCUCUAUAUAGGCAAUCCCUGCUGCCUCAAGACUUGAAACAAAAGAAAUUGGAGGGCGAGUCAGAGGUCCAUCUCCAUUAAUCCAUCAAUGGAUAGAAUUCUGCUUGCAAACAGCGAGAACAUUGCCUUUCAAGCAAGAGGUUAUCCCGGGCGCAUCUCCCUCUGCCCUUGAAAGUACUCUGGUUAAGUUGCCUGAAGAACUUCUGAUGGGUAAACCAAGUCUGGAUACUAACUUAAUUGCUGGAGUACCCCCGGCUGAAAUUCUGGCCAGAUGUGAGUUUUUGGAGCCAUUGCCUGAAGCUACAUUGUCAGAUUAUGAGUGGCUGGUUGCUAAUCUGCAAAAACCUGCCCCCGUCUUGAUGAAAAGGCUGCAACAUUACUUGUCAUCAUUAAUCCAAAGCUUUCUAGCAAAAGCUACAUUGAAAAGUUAAUGGCACUGCAUGCCAGUCAUUGUAAUGCUGUCAGGGCUAUUGGGUCAGGGCAAUUAGGUAAGAGCAUAACUUCAUUAGGAAAAGAGGCUUCAGCUACGUUAAAUAUUGCAGGAUGUACUGAGAUGGUUGAAGUUCUUGAGGUUUUACGAGAAACGAAAGAUGAGUGUUUGUUUGAACAAAGUUGUUGCCAUCUUGCAAGAUCACUGAGCGAAUGCCACCGAUUUCUUAAUCAUUGUAGCCUCCAUAGUUGAAGUUUCCUUAUUUGAAGCUGUUUAUGCGUACGCUUUUUCCCUGCUCAAGUACAGGAAAUUGAAGAAUUAACCAGAUGUGAUAUGCUGAAAGAGGGAAGUUUUCUUCCUUGAACGUGGCCUUGUGAUUUGUCUUGAAGGAAUAGGAUGAUCACUGGCAAGAACCCUAUCAAGGUAGAUUUUAUGGUGCUAACGUAUUAUUAAGCAUUUUGUUACAUCAGCAAUGAUGCUUCCAUAGCAUGAAAGUGUUUAAAUUUAACUGAAUGAUCUUGAUUAAUCAAUUAUGAGUUUUAAUCGAGUAAAAACUAAAUACAAUCAUCGUUAGCAAAUACUGAAAUUGGGUAAAUAUGAUCUUGAUAUUGAAGAAUCUGAAAACACAACCCACACAGGGAAUCACCCUUCGCGUGGGGAUGGAGAUGUUUACUGCAGCGAUAUUGAAUAUGUCCACUGCUCUUUGGGUUAUGGUGCGACUUGCCCUGAAACAAUGGAAAAGAUUAACAUACCCUGCAAUGAAUGAAAGCGGCUGGACUAAUUCUGAUUACCUAAUUGACUCAGGAUCGGGUGGCAAUAAUGACAGUUUAUUAACAAUGCACAGUUCCGAGUACUUUUCCAGGAUCAGAUAUUACGUGGUCUAAUGUUGAUAAUAAUAGAUUAUCAAAUGAGAGAUGCUGAGAGAUGCUGGUCUACCUUUGCAAGCCCCCAGAUUUAAGAAUCUUUUGAUGAUAAUUUACCACCUGUACCUGUGCCGGAAGAUUCACCUAGCACUGAAAAAGAUGAUAAUUUAAUUGAUAUGGAUAGUUUUCAUAACACUUUUAAAUCAUCUAUAUGUGAACUAUUAUUGACGCUAUUUUGUUGUAAACAAUCUUAUUCAAUUAAUAUAUAAUUUAAAAUCAUUAUGUAAAUCAAUCUAUUACUUUUCAUGAUAUUUAAUUGAGUUAAAACUAAGUGCACCCAAUAAAUCUCUUUUCCUUUAAAAAACUGUUACGCUUUGAUUUUAGUGCUUAAUAUUUACGGAACUCCGGUACAGGGAAUUCGAAAUCAAACUCGUAACCACAGAUUAUCUAAUUGCAAGUUUUUGUCCAUAGUUGCUGAUUGUAGUGAUUAUCUAAUUGACUGAGGUGACAACAAUUUUUUUUUUUAAUUUUCAAUAGCAUAAUGUGGAAUUCAAUAAUUAAAUUCUCCUUUUUAAUUUGUUUCCAAUUAAAUUAUUAAUUACUUAAACUCUGUUUUAAGUCUUUAAUUUUAUGUCUUGGCGUAUAUGCAGGGUUGGAUUCUUGAGCGUGUUGGACACGACCAACAAUGAAAUUGACAGUAAACAAACAUUACAACGCGUUGAGUGUCGACUCCGCUAGCUGCCCUACAAGUCUACAACUUUACAAACAACAACUGAGUACACACAUUUGAUUCUUGGGACCCUUCAAUGAAUUUCUAGCCCGGUUGACUCCACCGACAAAAGUUUUGGAAAAUAAAAAAGAAAAUUCAUAGAAUUCCACCAAAUGCAAAACGCGUGGAAUUUAAUUUUCGGCCAUGUGGACCAAAACAUAAUUUAAUGAAAAAAAAAGAUAAGAUUUCUAAAAUGUGUGGAAGGUGAUCCAUAUUUUACUGAAAACAACUUGUUAAAUUUUUCAAAGAUUUAGAAUAUUUGGUCAUAAAUUACGCUCAUGUUAAUUUUUCCGCUAUUGACUAUCAUAUUCUAGACUCACUGGUACCUUUCUUGAUGAAGGGUACUUAGUCUCUCUUCUCCUCUUAUAAAAAUUAUAUUAAGUGAUUUCUUAUUAUAAUAAAUAGUCUUUAAGAACGUAUAGAUUUAUUGUUUUCGUGACCAAAUUAUGCCAGCUUAAGGUUGCGACUAUUAAUAAAAUUAAUAUUUAAUGUUUAUGUUAAAAGAUAUAAGAUUUUAUGCAUUCAUUAAUUGUUAUUAGCUAAAGGAUUAAUUAUUUUUUCAACCCAAUCAGUUGAUGCAUCUGCAAAAAAAAUUUCUUUUAUUGACCAUAAUUAUAUUCCGGGUACAAUAAAUUAUCUUUGGUGCUUGGAAAAUUUGACUUCUUACUUCAAGUUUGAUGUGUCUCUCUCCAUAAGCUUACUGGAAAUAUAUCCUUUUGUAUUAUUAAUAAAGUGAAAUUUGUUGCUCCUUCCUUCUAAAUCUAAACAGAGUUUCACAAUUUCACCAACUUGGAAUAUUUGACAUUGGACUUUUCCUCUCUCCAUAUAAGCCUUCUGCAAAGAAUUGCAUCGUUAUUCCCUUCAUUAAAAAAUCUGUCGAUGUCUGGUUGUGAAGUCAAUGGUGUCCUACGCGGUCAAGGUAAAAGAAAAGUGUUGAUUGUGAACUCACUCAAUGGUGUCCUACGUGUUCAACAUUUUUAUUUAUUAAUCUUUCUGCUAGAUUUUCCUCAUUUCAAGAGUUUGGAACAUUUUGACCAGCUUUCUUCAAAUCAUCGGUGAAUCAAUGCCUUCUCUUAAGUACUUAUCACUGUCAGAUUCUACUCUUGGCACUAACAGCAGCAGGAUUCUUGUUCGAGGUUAAUCAGAUGCUCCCACCCUCCCUUCUUAAUCUAUAAUAUUAAUUUUCAAUUAAAUAUUCAAUUACACAAACCAAUCACUUAUUAUAAAAGAACAAUACGCAUUCAUUAAUUUUUAUAUUGUAUUAAUAAUUGAUGAAUUUAAUAAAUUUUCAAAUAUUGUAUUAAUAUUUGACAUCCAUUGAAGAGCUGUAUCUUUCAAACAAUCACUUCCAGAUCCCAAUUUCACUUGAACCAUUUUUCAAUCACUCACGACUCAAGAGUUUCUAUGCUGACAACAAUGAAAUAAAUGCAGAAAUAAUUGAGUCGCAUUCUUUGACUGCCCCAAACUUCCAAUUAAAAUAUCUCUCAUUGUCUUCCGGUUACGGAGAUGGUGUCACAUUCCCCAAAUUCCUUUACCAUCAACAUGAUCUGGAGACUGUUGACCUCUCACAUAUAAAGAUGAGUGGAGAAUUUCCAAAUUGGUUGUUGGAAAACAACACAAACUUAGAAUAUCUUUUUUUGGUUAAUGAUUCUCUUGCAGGACCUUUUCGGUUGCCAAUUCAUUCACACAAGCGGUUAAGACUGUUGGAUAUAUCCAACAACAACAUCCGAGGCCACAUUCCAGUAGAAAUUGGAGAUGUUUUACCAAAUUUAUACGUUUUCAACAAUUCCAUGAAUGCUUUAGACGGUAGCAUUCCCUCUUCAUUUGGUAAUAUGAAAUUCCUCCAAAUUCUAGACUUAUCCAACAAUCACUUGACUGGUAAAAUCCCCGAGCACUUGGCCAUGGGUUGCGUCUACUUGAAUUUUCUUGUCUUGUCAAACAACAACCUACAAGGUCAUUUGUUCUCUAGAAAUUUUAACUUGACAAACUUGAAAUGGUUACAAUUGGAGGGCAAUCGCUUCGUAGGUGAGAUCCCAGAAAGUUUGUCUAAAUGCUCCUCACUAGAAGGAUUGUCUCUUAACAAUAAUAGUCUUUCGGGUAAGAUUCCACGAUGGUUGGGUAAUCUCACAUGGUUAGAAUAUAUUAUAAUGCCCAAUAAUCAUCUUGAAGGCCCUAUUCCAGUGGAGUUUUGUCAGCUUGAUUUGCUUCAGAUUUUGGGCAUUUCAGACAACAACAUAUCUGGAAGUUUACCAUCUUGUUUCCAUCCUCUCUCUAUCAAACAAGUUCAUCUUUCAAAAAAUAUGUUACAUGGACAGCUAAAAAGAGGUACAUUCUUUCAUUGCUCUUCCCUUGUGACAUUAGAUCUUAGCUAUAACCGCUUGAAUGGCAGCAUUCCGGAUUGGGUUGAUGGGCUUUCUCAGUUAAGCCACCUUAUCUUAGGUCACAAUAAUCUUGAAGGUGAAGUGCUAGUUCAAUUAUGCGAAUUGAACCAACUACAAUUGUUAGAUCUUUCUAAUAAUAAUCUUCACGGUCCUAUUCCUCCUUGCUUUGAUAACACCACACUUUAUGAAAGUUACAGCAAUAAUUCUAGUCUUGAUGAGCAAUUUGAAAUAUCUUGUUCCAUCGAAAGCCCUCAGGGAGAUGUAGAAAAGCAAAUCCGUGAAAAUUUUGAGUUCACAACAAAGAACAUUGCGUACAUUUACCAAGGAAAAGUGCUUAGCCUCCUAUCAGGACUUGAUCUUUCUUGCAACAAGCUAAUCGGUCCUAUUCCUCCUCAAAUUGGAAAUUUGACAAGGAUUCAAACAUUGAAUCUAUCACACAACGACUUGACAGGAUCGAUCCCAUCAACAUUUUCAAACUUGAAGCAUGUCGAAAGUUUGGAUCUUUCCAACAACAAAUUGAAUGGGAAAAUCCCUCAUCAACUAGUGGGGUUAAAGACAUUGGAGGUUUUCAGUGUGGCAUACAAUAACUUAUCAGGCGAAAUUCCAGAAUGGACUGCACAAUUUGCAACAUUCAAUGAGAGUAGCUAUGAGGGAAAUACUUUUCUUUGUGGAUUGCCAAUGCCCAUUUGCAGAUCACCAGAAACUAUAUCGGAGGCUUCAAUUGGCAAUGAACGAGAUGAUAAUUUAAUUGACAUGGACAGUUUCUUUAUCACAUUUACAACAUCGUACGUAAUUGUGAUAUUCGCAAUUAUUAUUAUUUUAUAUGUAAAUUCUUAUUGGCGACGUAGAUGGUUUUACUUUGUUGAAAUGUGGAUAACUUCAUCUUACUAUUUUGUUGUAGACAAUCUUAUUCCAACAUGAUUUUGUCAUUGAAAUUAAUUAGUAGCUUAAUUACGAUCCUUUAAGUACUAAUCAAGUUUGCUUAGGAAAUAUUUUUUUAUUAAAAUUGUAGUAGUAUUUAGCAUUAUAUAGCUUCCAACUUCCAAGCACUUCACAUUUGUCUCUACACUUAAAAAACUGAGUGAUCAUGUUUUGCAGAUCUGGAUUUGGAGCAGGAUGGAUCCAAACCCAUAUCUGUCCACCAUAACUUAUAGCUUCCCUAUACUGUGCAGCAUACUUAAAUAAGAGAACCAUCUCCAAUGUUAAAAGCAUUCACUCUAUAACAUUCAUUUAGAAACUAUAUUCAGAAUAAUUUUAUAAUUAAACACAAGAAAUGAAACACACAGAUACACUUGAUCGCCUAUUUUACUCUAAAAAAGAACGAUUACUGUGCUAUCAUCAUCUUCUUCACUAGCAACAUUAACACCAAAUCGAUAGACCCAUACAUUUCAUCAAGAAAGGUAUAUAUCCAAUAAAGUUGAAGCCUAACAAAAAAUUCAAGAAGAUUAAUGCCUCGCCACAACAAGGGGCACAACAACAUCAAAGUAGAGAUUAAGCAGUAUUCUCAAAGCUAAAACUCUCAAAUCCACCCACCAGAAUUUCAUAUCUCCUCAACAAUUUUAAGAAAUAAAGAUAAUUAGGAUUUAACAUUAGUUUUUUAUAUAUUAGUUUCAUAAUUUACAAAUCAAUGAAGAUGAAGAUUAUGCUAAUAAAUUCAAAUUAUACCAUACAUUCUCUAGAUGUUACCAAAAAUUUCUAAGUCAAUCCCACAUAUUUCAUAAUUUUAAGACUAGAAAAUUUCACUAGUUAGAAGUUUCAUUAACUUCAAGUGGAAGAUGAAGAACAUUAUACAAGUGAUUCAGAUUAUAUCAUACAUACUCCAAAUGCAACUAGAAAUUAACAAGUUCAUGCGCACAUAUUUCAUAACAUUAUGAUUGAAACGUUUCACAAAGAGAAAUUCUAAAUUCAAUCUCUUGCAUGAAGGCAGUUUGAUUGAUUUGAGUUACUUUCUUAUCAAGCUACUAAUAUAACAUUCAAGUCAGGGAGAAAAUAAAUUAAAACUGGGAAGAAAUAACAGUAAAAAUUUGUUGCUCAACAUGAUGUGUAUUUUUUUUCAAGGCAAUUUGGAAACACAAUUGUUACUACAGAUAUUCUUCUCAACUUGGAGAUAAAUACAAAUAUUAAAAUGCAUAUGAUCGCACAUAUUACUUCGAGUUUAGUAAGAUUUCAUUAAAAGAAGCAAUCAAACCACUUAUCAAUUGUCGCAGUCGUUCUAUAAACUAAAAUAGCAAUAUAAUACAAGAAAAAGAACAUAUAGAUACUUGGCAAGAGUUCAUUAAGAAGUCGCAUCACAUUCGGGUGAGGAGUUUGCUUCUGAUAUCUUGCUAGCUGGGGCUUUUUCUUGUCUUUCUACGUAUGCCGAGGGAAACCAACCAGCUUGGCCCUUGCAUUCACCUUCCGACCAUCCAAUAGGAGCCACCUUGAGAAGUUAUAACUAAAACGGUGAAUUAAACAAAAGUUGACCGUUCAAAGACCUAAGGGGAAAACUAAUUCUUUUACGUAGGAGGAGUGAAUUAGUUGUGAUCACUGAAAUAACAGCAUAACUAUGGAAGCAUAACAAGAUAUAAAUUCACACGUCUAUAAGGAUAAACUGGGUGGUUUAGAACUGAGCUAGCAACCCUACUAUAUUCUGAUUUGCACUUCAAUGUAAAAGGGAAUAUAUGGUAGGAAGAAAGAAAACCAACCAUCAUUUGUUAACUCAUUGCUUUUCAAUCAAAAUUUUAAGAACAAAAUGCCAUGUGCUUUGAACAUCAAAUAAGUAUAAGCAUUAGUUCUAAAUUCCACAUAUCAUAAGUUGUUAGAAGGAUAAGUUAAUAGCAGAGUAGAAAAAUCAAUGUGUUGGUAUUUAGAGGGGAAAGUACCUGGCGAACCACAACAUAAUCAUCAAUUGAAAGACUUAGCUCUCCAUUUGCUUGAGCAUCAAAUGGAUGUAUAACCUGCAAGAUAAUGGGAUAAAUGGAACUUAAAAAAAGCAUAACAAAAGCAGCAACAGUAGCAGCAACGUUCAUUGUAACCACUAUGAUCAUGGCCAACAAAGAUAUAUUAGAAACAAAAUUCCAUUUUUACUAUGACAUUAAUAUGUACUAUACGAUAUCAUGACGAUUGGGUUACUAAGAGCUAUCAAAGUCUAAUAAGUUCUGUAUAACUUUAUGUAGUUAUUUAAAUUAUGGAUCAGAUUUUAAAUUUGAAAUUUUGACUGCUCUCCACAAAACAUGGCCUAUGCACAAGAAAGUCAUAGAUAAUGAGGAUUACAAGUGUCCGACAUCUUUUGAGUGAUGGAUUUAACAUGAGAGCUUAUGGUCAGUCAAUUUCCUCUGCCUAGCAAUAUAAGCUUUCUCGGCCAGAUUUAUCAUCAAAUACAUAGAUUGCCCCCAAGUCACAUCCAUAUAAACAUAGUUUUUCUAGGUAAACCAAGUAAGGAGCAUCAUAAUUCAGACAUAAUCAUAAAAAGGCCCAUCUAAAUUAAGAGAAAAUCUCAAAAAGAGGGAUGCUGAGCUAUCAGUCUUGUAUCUAUAAGCAAUAUCAAGACUUUACAUCACCUGCUACAUCAUGAGUGGCUACACAACUUUCAGUGGUUUGUCUUUCUUUGGCACGCCUAACUCAGCUUUGAUGUUGCUGAGAUAUUGAUAGUAGAGACACAUGAUACUUCUAGCUCAUGCAUUCUAUCUAACUCAUCCAACAACUAUCUCUUUUUUAAUUCAUUAGUGUUUGCUAAACCUCAUGCUUAAAAGUCCUGUUCUCCUAAAUAAAGUUUCCUAAGAAUGACUUCCUUAGCACCACAGUUGGACACUUGUAGAGCAAUUUUAUUUGGGGGAAAAGAAUUUUCAAGGUGUUAACUAAUAAAUUUUAAAAAAUAAUUACAAUUUGUCCUACGAUCAUAUGACAAUUUAUCUGGGAUGAAAGGAUACAGAUAGACAUCUUCCACUUUCAAGACUAAUCACUACUUCCGUAGAUGUUGUGCAAUAAUACAAAUACUUGACCAGAUGGUAGUGAUGGUAGAAAAAAAAUUUAUUGCUCCAAAAUUAAAAUAAGAAUGCAAUAUGUUAAGCAAAAGGCUGUGCAACAUCAAAUUAAUUGAUAAGAUAGAUGCAGACAAGCAAGUUAAAAUGCAUAGUCCCAAACCUCCGCAUACAACUUCUCUAAAAUAGCAAUAACGUGUUGAUGCUAUGUUUUCUCAGCAUCUACCUGCAAAGGCCCGAGACCAGGAAAACAACAAUAAAACCACUAGCUGAAGGAGAAAGCAAAGAAAGAAAUACACUUGACAUAAAUCUUGACAAGAAGCACAAUUUAAGACAUAACAAACCCCAAUCAUAUUGUUUAGAACUACCAUUCGUUAUUUCGUUAUUGUAACAUUUCGAACAAGUGUUGACUUAAUUCAACAUUGUUGGAAAGAUAGGCUUUUAGAAGCAGAAGAAAGCCUCUCAAACCAAAGUGCUGGUCCUUGUAUUGAUCAAGGGAUGUAAACAUAUUACAUUUGCAGGAUGAGAUUUAAUCACUCCCCUGAUUUAUUUGGGUUGCAGUAAAACUAAGCGAGCAACUGUUUGACUUCCAAGCAACAGCUAAAUCAGCUAUUAAAAUUCAAAUAAAAUCAUAAUAGAAUAAUAACAGGCCCUCUUGCAUCAAAAAUUAAGUUUAAUUUGUGCAUUGUUUUCUAUAGACAUGUCAGUUUCUGCUAUUGAAAUGUUAAAAGCAUUGAAAAAUUAUUCAAUAAAUUAUGCAAGCAUUAAAAUAGAGGACAUAUUAAAAAGUUUCUAAUUACAAUGCUAAUAUUUCCUAUAUUUUAGCAUUUGCAUAUUUUAAUUUAUUUAAAAGCUACGUCGAUCAACUUUGGGCAUGAAGAUUUUAGCUUCUACGAGACUUGAUUGGAAUAUGCAUAAGGAAGAGUGUUAAAAUAUGAUGCAUCCAACGAAAGAAAACCACGUGUAGUCUUUUAAUUAAGCCAAAGUAGCAGCUCAAACAAAUGACACUUGGACCAACAUGCAAUCAUGAAGUGGCCGGAAAAAGGACAAAUGCUACUUUGGCUUAAAUAAAAAAUAACAUGUGACUUGACUUUUGCUGGACAUGCAUCAUGUUAUUACAAGACAACAGAAAUCAGUAUGAUAGUACUAAAAGUUGACAAUAACAUGAAGAUAAGAGGCAGAAUGUCAACACAUGCAUAGGCACACACAAGAAAGUAUUAACAUAUAUACCAUAGCAAAAACUCUUUUAUAUGUCAUCUGUUGCUGCUGUGAUUCAACUGACAGCAAGGCAGCUGUCGCUUCUCUACCAAGAGCCAUUAUUUUAGAUUUAAGCUCGGUCAAUCUUGCUUCUGCAUUUCGAAGCUUCACAGCACUCUCUGCUGAUAUAUCAGAUUCCCUAAUCUUUGAUCGGUGCCUAAAUACUUCAGCUGCCUGGUGAAAAUAUUCAAUAUAAAUCUAAUAUAAUUCUCAUCUUGCCUUAUACAUGCAUAUGUUACGUCAAAGCUUACCUGGGCUUCAACUUCAUGUCGAAGUUUGUCAUAACAAUGAGUCAGGUGUCGAGCAUCUUCCAAAGGUGCUCCGUUGAUUAACGCCCGUAGUGGCUCAGAUACCUACAUGUCCAAAAACCUGUAACAUAGUUAGAAAAAUGAAAAGAAAGAGCGAAACCUCAAUUAAAAAGUUCAUCCAACAUAAUCAUGGAAUUUGGGCCUACUUUAAGAAUAUAUAUAAGGAUAAUUUAUGCAAUUUUGGGUCUUAGGAUGAUUGGUAUUAGGUUAGUGUUCUUCUCUUCUGUAUUUAAGGUUAAAAUAGAAAUAAACCUAUGCAAGUAUCUAAAUUAGGCCUGUAAGACAUCCACAUGCAUCCUUCAGUCUCAUGGAUUUGAUUUUACUAUAGAUGCAAGUGUCUUUAUCGAAAAUGCUUGGAGUCAAUUGAGAGAACUCAUGGCCAAUAACUUGUCACACGCUAGUCUUUGCUAGUGAUCACAAGGUCUCUUCAACAUUUGAACCAAUAAAAUUAUUAAGUCAUGGAUGUCACUAGCAAUGAUUUUAAUAUAAAACAUUAAAUAUUUCAGAGUUGUAACUUUAAAAUGGAUUCUUUUAUUCAAUAUCAUAGAACUAAGUUUCCUUAUGAGAAGAUAAUAGUUUCGAUAAUAAUUUUACAUAUAAUUUUCUAUAUUUGAAUUAUUUUCUAGUUAGGGAUGAACUAACCUGAUCACGAAGAAUCCCGAGCAAAGUUUCCCUCUCAUUUUCCAUCAAAUCAUGUGAAGUGCCAAAUUGAAGAGCAGCUCUUGCAACGCAAGAAUUGUCACUUUGAUUCUCUACUCCAUACUUGCAACAAUCUUCAGCCAACUUUCUCGCUACAAUAUUUGAAUACAAAAAUAUUGUACACAAGAACUAUAAAAAAACUAAUGAAAAAUGCCAAGAUGGAGCAGAUGCUUCAAUACUGCCUAUACAAACCAUAAAAAACUAAUGAAAAAUAAAUAAAAUCGAGAAAUUUUACUAAUUAAAAGUCUAAAUAUAAUUUUGAAAAAAGAAAAGAAACGGACUUGCUGCUGCUUGGCGACUUGUUCUCGGAGCUUGAUUGCCUGUUUCUUGAUAGCUUCCAUACUGUUUCUUUCAAAAAGCGACGACGGCUCUGCUCAUGGAAGUGGAAAAAAAAGUGUGAUCGAGAAAAAUGAAAAGGCGUGAAUAAUUUUUGACAAAAAGCGAAAAUCAAGGAAAGCCGGCUCUUUCCAGAAAAUAAAAAAAAGAAAAAAAGAAAAAAGAAAAUCAUAAGUUUGAAAGGAGAAGAUGAUAUUGGAAGUAUGCAGUGUGGCUGCCAGGUACUUGGAUUGUAUUGUCGGGUAAGGUAAUAGUGGAGAAUUGUAAGUUUGAACGGAGCAUGUUGGACUUUUGUUGACCAAAUUCAAAAGCCAAAUGGCACGGCCCGGAAGCUUUUGAAUAGAAAAACUUGCUAGAAAGCAUCAGUUUAAAUCACUACUUAAACGCUUGCUUUAACUGCACCGCUUUGUACUGUUUUAUGUAUGUAGCGGUUGUGCGGUUGUAAUUCACGGCUGACGCUACGUGUUUGUUUGUACUGUUCUAUUCGGUGACAGAGUAUUAUUAGUUAGGCCAAAACUAUGUUGCAACAGUGGUACAGUAGCACUGUUGCUUUCAGUCAUUAGAUCUAUAGUUGUACAGUUGCAUUAACAAGAUCCAAUGACUGAAAGCAACAGUAGUACCGAACUACUGUUGCAACAUAGCUGGAGCCUAUUAGUUAUUUCAAAGGGAUAAAUAAGAUUGGUUACAACAAACCUACUAAUUUUAUAAAAUUCAAGUAACAUAGAAUAAAAUAAAAAAAUAAAUACAAAAUUGACUUUUAUUUUUUAUGGUUGACUAUAUUUUGUGUUCUCUUCGGGCACUGCUACAAUUGUUCCCUAUAUAUCAAUUACACCACAUACUAUCGACACAAGAAAUGAAAUCUAAUAUCACCUGUUUAGUUAAAAAAUCACUCAUGAAAAAAUUUUACCAUUUUGAUUUGAGGAUCCAUAUUUUAAACUACAAGCUAAUGUUCAUCAAGAAUUACUGAUGGACAAAUUAUUUUUUUUGAUAGAAGAAUUUCUUUAGGAACUACUAAAUUAUUAAUAAAAAUAUCGAACACACCCACAUAUCAUCGACACAAUUGAUUUUGAGGAUCCAUGCUUUGAACUACAGCCUAAUGUUCAUCAAGAAUAGAGUAUGGCUUAUGAGUAGAAAAUUUUCUUAUUUUGGCCCAAAAUAAAAAGAAAUUAAAUUGGAUGAGAAUCUGCCACUUUCUCAUGAAGAAAGGCAUACGGAGCAUACCAUGGUACCAUACAAUAUAAGAAGCCUCCGUUCUUUGGUUUUUCAAACUCUGAAGGGGCUAAUAUUGCCAAAUUCCCCCUUGAAAAUUCUGAUUACGACAUUAUUCAUCGCUUGAUGCAAUCAAAGUAGUGACAAAGUUAGGAAAAAUAUGAGUCCUAAGUAAUUGCUAGGCAGGGCUCCUGAGAGCAAAAUUGUCCUAAGCAUUAUAUGCAUACAUAGUGCAGUACAUAGAGCACGUUGAAUUCCCCACUAUAACACAAACCCAGAAAGACAAGUAAUAACUCAACUGAUAUAAAGACAAAAAGAAGAUAAAAUGAUAUAGAAAAAAGAAUUUCAAAGAGACAGCAACAUACAAUAGACUGAAGCCACUUGAUCUGCUCAUUGAUUGCAGCCUUAAACUUGCAAAUAGUUACUGUACGCUAGUGCUCUAAGAAGUGAAAAUGAUGCGAGCCCUGAUUCCCUUUUGACUUCCAUUUACUGUCAAACAUUCUAGUAAUACAAAAAAUUGUUUAGAUAUCUUGCUAUAAAUAUAGCCGUUUGACUGUCAUAAUAAAGUCACAAAUAACCAUUCAUAUUGAUCUACUGUCACACAGCAUGCUUUAUGCAUACAACAGCUGUAUGCAUACCAACUCCUAACCUUAUCAAUACAUUUGGCAAAAACUUAAGAAGAAAGCUAUUUCUCCAUCUCUUUUUUGAAAUUUCACAAUAACCAGCACAAUGUGAAAGCUAUGUUCUAACCUUAUGAUAAAUGCUCCAGACUCCAAAAGGGUUUUAUAUAUGAGAGUUUGUUGCAGCAGAUAUAUUGACUUAUCAAGUAUGAAUCAUUGUCUGGAUGAACUAUCUUUAGAUAAAAGAAUAUUAGAACCACUGUAGAAUAUCUUUACCCUGCUGGUUCUAACAGGAAUCUGCAUGUGGCAACAAUUGCUAGACCCACAAUUCCCCAACUUGAAAUACAUAGUUGCACACCAUGAGAUAGUGCUACAAUCUACUGAGAUCUAACUUAUAUGGUACUUUAAGCUACUAAUGUUUGCAUAUUUCUACAUGUUAAAUUAACACUAUCAUCUAUAAUCACUCCAAAACAACAAAUGAUAAGCAGCUUUUGGCCACUUAUUACUAGCAUACACAAUUAUAAAUAAGAGAUCAUGGGUUUACUUGUUGCACCUACUUAAUUAUCUGCAGUUGACAUCCUGACACAAGGUUUAAAUAGUGACUGCUUAGAACCCUUGUAGUUGGAUCUUGACCUCUCCCAUUGUAGCCAAGAUUGGUUACUCUGGUAAUGAAUCAACACUCUCCUGCUCAGGGCCAUGAAGAUCUGAAAGCUCAGCACUAGUGGAGAACUUCAUCAAUCUCUUCUUCUCAGCAUACUUGAGACAAGGCUGCAUUACGAGACCAAUCACCACAGCACCAACGCUUAAAACUGCAACUUUUAAAGAAGAAAGAGCCAACACAACACAACACAAAUCAAUAUGGUUGGAGGAAUACACAUGAUAAUGGCUCCAACAGUGCCAGUGGGUAUCUUGUAGGGAUGAGAUGCAGCAGGAUAUUGUAUCCUUAACCAUACAAAUGCUAUGAACUCCAUAAUCAUUCCAAAACAGUACAGGAAGUUCUCUGCAGCUACAAUAUCUCGAAAGCUCAGCCAUGAUAGCAAAACCACACCAGAAGCUGAGAAUAUGAUUCCAAUCAAAGGAGUCCCAUAACAAGACCUCUUAGCAAAAAACUGAGGUAGCAUUCCACGCUCAGCCAUCCCCAAAAGUUGGAAAGAGUCGCUGCUCAUCUCAGCCACAAACAUGCCCAUAUUGGACAUUGCUGCAGCCCCCUGGAUGCACCAUCUCAACCAAACUCCUCCAAGCACUUUAGCAAUAUCUGAAAAGUAACCAUCGGUCCACAAGUCGCGAUCUAAUGGAAUAGCUCCAGUUCAAACUAGAAGGGGAAAGAAAUACCC
rnacentral:lncRNA from 1 species